CUCGGGGUCGGGAUCCGAGCCAGGAGAGGUCGGCAAUACGCCACCUAUCCUGGACCCGAACACCGAUCCCGAGGGAAACAACGCUGCCCCACCCGACCCGGCCGCGAAAGCCAAGCCCUCCGACCCCGCGGUUAUGGAAAUCGAGGCGGGCCCCGCAGCGGGGGCCGACCCCCCGACCGAUUGGAGAGCCCCGUACCUCGGGUACCUUAUCCACGACGCGCUCCCAACUGACAAGACCGAAGCCCGCAGGAUCAUGCGCCGUGCGAAAUCCUUCACCAUCAUCAACCAGGAGCUUUACAAGCGAAGCCACACGGGGAUCGUCCAGCGCUGCAUCCCGAUCGAGCAGGGAAAGGCGCUGAUCCAGGACAUCCACGCCGGGGCUUGCGGUCAUCACGCUGCGCCAAGGACGCUUGUGGGCAAUGCUUUCCGGCAAGGUUUCUACUGGCCAACCGCGGUCGCGGAUGCUACCCAGGUAGUCCGCACUUGCGAAGGAUGCCAAUUCUUUGCCCGCCAAACCCAUCUGCCCGCACAGGCGUUGCAAACCAUCCCCAUCACGUGGCCGUUCGCGGUCUGGGGGCUGGAUCUCGUCGGACCCUUCAAAAGGGCGCCCGGGGGCUUCACCCACCUACUCGUCACUGUCGACAAGUUUUCCAAAUGGAUCGAAGCAAGGCCUGUGGCGCAAAUCAAGUCCGAGCAGGCGGUACAAUUUUUCACCGACAUCAUCCACCGCUUCGGGAUCCCGAACUCCAACAUAACCGACAACGGUACGCAGUUCACCGGAAAGAGGUUCCUCCAGUUCUGCGACGACCACCACAUUCGAGUGGAUUGGGCGGCAGUUGCGCACCCCCGCACGAACGGGCAAGUCGAACGAGCCAACGGCAUGAUACUUCAGGGUCUCAAGCCACGGAUCUUCGACCGCCUUAAAAAGUUCGGCGGACAAUGGGUUGCGGAGCUCCCAGCAGUCCUCUGGAGCCUGAGGACGACCCCCAGCCGGGCGACAGGAUUCACCCCGUUCUUCAUGGUUUACGGGUCCGAGGCCAUCCUGCCCACCGACUUGGAGUAUGGGUCACCAAGGGUCAAAGCAUACGACGAACAGGGAAACCAGGCGUCGCUCGAGGACGCGCAAGACCAACUCGACGAAGCGCGAGAUGUAGCCCUCCUACACUCGGCUAAGUACCAGCAGGCCCUACGGCGUUACCACAGCCGCAAGAUACAAGGCCGCGCCUUCAACGUUGGAGAUCUAGUGCUCCGCCUCGUCCAAGACAGCAGGGGUCGGCACAAGUUGACUCCCCCAUGGGAGGGCCCGUUCAUCGUCGCACAGGUGCUACGGCCAGGCACCUACAAGCUGGCAACCCCCAACGGGCAAAUCUUCAGCAACGCCUGGAACAUAGAACAGCUAAGGCGCUUCUACCCAUAGCUCUUGUUUAUAAGUUAUACAUAGCUUUGCCCCCGUCUUCGUUUAAGCUCAGGGGUAUCCGACCCUGGCCUCGUUCCAAGGUCGCAUACCCCUCGGGGGCUACCAGUUUUGUUCUUCUGCGAAAAAAGAAACCCUAAGCCACUUUCGGCACAGGUCCUUUCGUUUAAGCUCAGGGGCAUCUGACCCUGGCCUUGCUCCAGGGUCGCACACCCCUCGGGGGCUACCAGUUUUGCUCUUCUGCGAGGAAAGAAGGCCUUUUCUUUUAAGCUUAGGGGUAUCCGACCCUGGUCCGGCUCCAGGAUCGCACACCCCUCGGGGGCUUUCAGGGGUCCCGACCCCAGCCGCUGGGCACCCCUAAAAAGAAAAACGUUUUUCCUUCUUUUUUCAAAAACCGGACACUCCCUUUCGAAAACCUUUGGACGCAAAAAGAUAAGGAUGUGUGAACGGUACUCAGCCAAGUUGCAAUCGGACUGCGAAAAAGCCUACGCCCCAGCGGCUAUGGUACCUUCGCUCAUCAAAAAACUUACUGACGCACCCGGCAACACAUCCUAACGCUUUCAAAAACCAAAGGAAUAACAAAGGGAAACGGUUUCCUUAGCGCAAAAUAAAAAGUCAUAAGAACAGGCCCGUAUGGCCAGCACAAUCAAGUUCAAGACGACUGACUUAAAUACAAACGUUUUUUGGGCACAAGCCCGGUACAGCUAAUUGACAGGAGGAUCGGCUGGAGCAGUAAUCCCGGGGUCGGCUGAAGCGGCGGCUUCGGGGUCAACAGGAGCAACGGCCUCAGGGUCGGCGACGGCGGCGGCUUCAGGGUCGGCGGCGGAUAGGGCCUCGGGGCCGGCAGAAGCGGCUUCAGGGUCGGCAGGGGGGACGGCUUCAUCCUCCAGAAGCUUCGCGAGGGCCUCCGCCGGCGCAGUCACCGCGGAGUCGAUCUCGUCCAGUUCGGCGUCAGUAUAGCCGGCGCAGUACCCCUCACUCAUCCCGACAAAGUUAAUGUCAGCAUAGUGGGAGCCGAAGACCCCGAAGGCGCUCCGCACACCAAGGUGAAGCGCGUCCACGGCAAUCUCACGGCGGCGACGGUGCACUUCAAGAACUCGGGCCGACAGCGAGCUCGACCCUUCUUCCGGAGCGACACCGAAGUCCUCGCAGACGACGCGGACCGCAUCCCGCAAGGCGCCAUGCUCGCCGCGCUCCUCGUCGAGCAAAACCCGCAACCUGGCGAGGUCCUCUGCAGGAGCCGAUCAAGAAACCUCACCAAGUUAAAGGAAACGAAACACCAACGACACGGAAAUACAAAAGGAGAAAGAGCCUCACCGUCGGCUUGGGCCUUCAGCUCGCGUUCCCGGUUGGCACUGAGGGACACGGCGGUCUGGAGCCCGUGCACCUGCAAACGGAAUUGGUCGCGUUCCGUGCGAAGGGCUCCAUUCUCCCCCCUCAGCCGCGCCAGUUCCUCGGCGUCUCGACGGGCUCGCUCAUUAGCCGCGGCCCUUAGCCCCUCGGCAUCGCGGCGCGCCUUGUCCAUGGCAGCCUGGAACUCCUCAAGGUCCAGACGGGCCUUCUCCGCGACGGCCUGGAGCUUGGCCUCGGCACGCCGCGCCCCCUCCAGCGCCACCUGCUCACGACCCUCCAGGUCGCGAACGGCCCCCUGGGCGGCACCGAGCUGCAGGGCCAGAUUCCUGGAGCGCUCCCUCUCGGUGUUGUAGUGCUCCCAGAGGUUCCGCUGCCGCCGGAGGAAGUCGGAUUUCUCCAGGCUGGCCUCCUGAAGAGCCUGCAAAGCAGCAUGACGGUAAGACAAAAAAGUAAAAACAAAGGAGCUCAUCACCGAGCGGCAGAAACAACAUACCUGGUUGCCAAGGACCACGGUGUUGGCCAAAGCUCCCAACACCGAGGUCAGCGCCGCCUGAGCCUGGGCGACGCCGCCAUGCACCGCCUACCACCGAUGCCACUCGGCGGCAUCAUCCAGCACGUAGAGGCGCCUCGGCGGGUCGUCGCGGGAUGUCCAACGGAGGACGGGCCCUCUCCAUGCCCCAGGGACGGGAGAAGCCGAGGGCGGAACAAGGGACGACUCUGACGUCGCCGUCGAUGACGACAUCACGAUGCCAGAAACCCCAGGACCUGCCGGCGGCUCCGGCGCCGGCGCACCCGUCGCCACCACGGCCGCCGACGGCACCUCUGUGGGCACCUCCGUCUCGGCCACCGGAAGCACCCCCGGGGGAGCAACCGGGACGGAGACCUCGGCCUCCGACACCGGUGCCUCCACCGCCGCCGCAGCCUCGGGGGCGAGUGCCCCCUCUGCCUCCGACCCCGCCAUGGCAGCAGGGGCAUCCGCCUCGCCCCCCGUCAUCUCCGCCUCCUCCGCCUCGUCGGCGUCGAGGUCGAUCACCUCCCCCGCCUGCGGGCCCGGGGGGAUCACGGCCCAGACGGGAGGAACGACCGGUGGAGCCACAGGCGGGGUGGAGUCCGCUCCCCCUCCUGCGGCCGACCCCGCCGCCGUCCCGGCAACCGGCUCCUCAGCGGCCACCUCCGCCGGGGAAUCCACGGCCACACCGGGAACCCCGCCAAUCGCCGCUGGCGGGGUCGCGGCCCGCGCCCCAGAGGAGGACGACGUCCGCAACAUCUUCUUGGGCGCCAGCCGCAGGGUGACGCCGCGGGGAGAAGUGCUGCACGUUGACGGUCAGGCGUCAAACAGAAACAUACGGAGAAGGAAAGGAAGGACGACGUGUGGGAGGAGUCAACUUACACCCUCGAAGCGCAGGGGCGGCGUGCGCGCUUCGACUCGGAGCCAGACGCCGACCCCGGGGCAUCUGGCAGUGGCCGCUUGUCGCCGCCCCGUUGCCCUCCGCCAGCAGGCACGGCGGCGGGGGCAGCCCCCACGGGUCCCCGAGGAGCCCCCCGAGCGGACUCCUGGGGGGCGCCCCGCGCCGGACCCAAAACUGCGGCAGGGGCGGACUCUGAAGGCCCCUGAGGGGCGCUCCGGCUCGACGCCGGGGCGACAUCCCUCGCCGGCGCCAAGGGAGCAUCCCGCGCCUGCUCCUGGGGAGUGCCCUGGGACGACCCUGAAGGGGCGCCCCGCGUCCCUCCCUGGGGGAGGCCCUGUGCCGGCCCCCGGGGGACACCCUGCGUCACCCCUGGGGAGCGAUCUGCACCGGCUCCUGACGCGCGCGCAGCGCCGACCCCUGAGGAGCGGUCCGCUCAGGCUCCUGGAGCGCGCGCGGCGCUGGCCCCUGAGGCACGGUCCCAGGACCGGGGGGAGCCGGAUCCCGCACGGACGCUCCCGCCGCCGCACCCCCUGCCGCCGUCUGCGGGGGUGUGUCACGAAUCACUAAAGCCCCCGAACGGGGGGCAAACAAUCCCACUUCCUCCUCCUCUUCUUCUUCUUCUUCUUCCUCUUCUUCGUCGUCGUCGUCGUCGUCGUCGUCAGACACGACCGCCCCUCUCCGCCGCCGUUGGUACUCCCUGGCGGCCCUCUUCCGCCGCUUCUCCGUCUCCUUGUCCUUGCGGCGUUUGUCCUUCUCCGCCUGGAGACGGUUGAGAGCCCUCCGUGCGGCACCCUCCGGCAUCGACGGGAGAGAGUCCUUAACCCGGGUCAGCGGGCCCUGUGAGGCGUAAAAGGAGGACCCACGUCAGAACGACAAGACAAUGCGACGGCAGGAAGGAGAGGUGGUGGCCCAAACGCCUUACCAGGUCCACGAAGCCCUGCUCCGGGCGCAUAGGUGGAUGCCCAGGGAUCGGGUAGUCGAUGUCCCUGUCCUCCAGCGCCUCCCGGAGCCGUUGCUGGAUCUCGGAGGCGGCGAGCGCACCUAUCGCCAUGACAGUGCCCUCGGGAGGCAUGUCGGGGGUCAUGACGCCAAGGGGCCGGACCCGGAGCAUCAGCGGCACCACCCGCCGGGCGUGGUAUGCGCCGAUGACCCCGGCGCCGGUGAGCCCCUCCCGCUUCAACUGCCUGAUGGCCUGCAGAAGGUCGGAGAUCUUCUUCUUCUCCUUCUCCACCGGCCCGUACGCCCACACGUCGGGCACCGCGUCGAUGGUGCGGCCGGUGAACGCCGGCAGGGGGGAGUUCGGGUAGUUCUUCACGUAGAACUACUGGUUGUGCCACCCCUUAUGGGACACAGAGGUCUUCACCGUCAUAUACUCCUUGGAGCGAGUAUGACGGAGGUGGAUGCCGGCGCACCCAAUCGGCACCGGAGGCGACCGUUGCUGGCUUCCGGCCUUCCCCGUCUUCUGGUAGAGGCUCACCGUGAAGAAGUACUUCCACAGCUCGAAGUGGGGCUCGAUCCCCAGGAAUCCCUCGCACAACGCGACGAACGCCGCAAUGUGCUGGAUCCCAUUGGGGUUGAGAUGCUGGAGCUCGAGCCCGUAGUAAUGGAGGAGCCCGCGGAAGAAACGGCUUGGAGGGGAAGCGAAUCCCCGCUCGUGGAAGUGGGCGAAGGAGACGACGUAGCCGGCGGGCGGCAACGGAACCUGCUCCGACCCCGGCAGCCUCCACUCGUCCGCCGCCGUCCUCUCGCAGAGGAGCCCCUUUCGCACCAAACCUUCGGCGCGACUGGCGGUGAAGUGGGAGACUCCCCAGGAAUCCAUCACCGAAGAAGGAAGGAGACCGACGAAGGCGAAGACGAAACGCGCGGCGAGUGGCAACAGAAACGAGGCGAACAAGGCGAGCGCAGGAGAGCUGGGAAGGCAAGAAGGCUUGAGCGCGAAAGGAGAGGAACCAGCGCGACGUGUUCCUACUUUUAUAGGAAGAGUACCGGGGAAGCCAAACCGACGCCCCGGCCGCCAUAAAUGCGGCGCCAGGUACGCCUCUGCCCCGCCCGUUUCCUUUCGAAAAUCGCGCGCACGAUCGGCCGCGAAAAAACAUCCUAUCUUCCUCGAUCCGCGGGACGGCGCUUCCAUAACUCCACUCCCCGGGCUUCGCGCCCACGACGCUCCCCACGAUCGGCCCUGGCACAUCAACCGCUCCGCUCCGGCCCAAGGCCCACAGGGAGGUAAGAAAGGGAUACGGGGCUGAAAACACCCCUACGGCCCAAUACGGUCCAGGGGUUCGAAAGCUGGCCCAACACGGGUUCGACAGUUGCCCCAGGACAUCCCCGAGCAAGGGGUGAGAAGGGACGGGCCCGCUAGCGGCCAACACCCAGGCGAGCAAAACGCCAAGGGCGCCCCAACCUCACGUUCGAGUCCCGCCCAGUAUAAAGUUCAUGGUUUUUCCACGGGGAAAGGCAACGAGCCCUCAGAUCCAAUCGAACGGAUCCGAGAACUAUAUGAACUGACUGGCGGGAAAUUGGAGUACGCCACCAGCUUGGCCCGAGCCGGACCCCCCCGAACGGGGACCGGGACUCCACUCGAACUUACCCGUUUGCAGCUCAAGCGAGCACCACGGUUCGUCCUACGCGGAUAACGUGGCCCGGCUCAACCCCUCCGUCCUAGCGAACGGGCGCUUGAGGGGCAACGAUCAAAAAGUCGACCUGGCCUCCCGAUCGGUUUCCUGCAGCGAGCAGGAGCUCGGGGGCUAGCCUCGCAAAAAACCGCCACGCGUGUGGUCACAAACUAAUAAGGUUCUCUCAAGCAUGGCGAAGAUGAAACAAGCGCGCCAUAAUGCAGGAACCGACGGCAAACAGCGAAAGGAGCCUCCGGAGGAGCACUCCUGCUCCACCACAGUCUCGGGGGCUACUGUUGGGGGGAAAUAUUAACGACCCCCUAAUACGCUUAAGGAAACAAACAUAAAGGCCCAGGCCCACCAAAGCAUGAUCAAAUCAUCGCCUCGCCCGACCCAGGCGUCAGGGUCGGGAGCGCCCAACCUCCCACCGCGAGGCCUCCGCCUCGCCCGACUGUAACCCCAGGGUCGGGAACGCCCGACCCUGUACCGCGCAAGUUCCGCCUCGCCCGACCCCGUGCGAAAGAGUCAGGCGCGUUGAGGGCCACGGGGUCAGAAUCCCCCUCGGAUGCGAUCCGCGUAAACAGGACAAAAUCCUGUGGGUCCCCCCGUCGGCCUCACCAUAAAUGCGCCACAGAGCUGGCAGAACGCAGGGCGACCGCGCCCCUCACGCAACCCGGCGCAAGUACCCGUGCACGACCGGCCUGUGCGAGCUACAGUGCCGGCGGCCGGUUUCUAUUCGUCGCAGGGUACUCAUGACCUGCGGCGACCGGAGCGAAGCAAGGAGCGGCCCCGUCCUCGGGCCCUGCACGCCCUCGGGCCCCGCACGAACGGCAGUACAGGCGUGAAGCUCCCCCUCUCUACAAUUGUAACUCCGGCCGGCCCCUUGCGAUAUAAAAGGAGGAAUCUAGAGCCGGGGGAGGGGGAUCGGCAGAUCAAGAGAUCAACACUCCUCCUAGAACACGAAAACUGAAGAGACCUGGGACCGGUCCCUCUCUCGCCCAUCUGUAACCCCCUACUACAGAAUCCCCGUGCGGGUAACACGAACAUCCUCGAUACUGGACGUAGGGCUUCCUUUGCCCGAACCAGUCUAAUCCGUGUCUCCCGUGCAACCAUCUGAGGCUCACGCGCAUAAAAGAAAUUUACUAGUCUAAGUCCUGAUCCGCUGAUCUUGACAACGACACUUCCUCUAACGUGCGGGCCCGCCGACGCUAGACUCUUCUUCCUCCUCCUGCCAAAAACCAGGCGCGACAGGGGGCGGUGCGGCUCGCCGGCCGGCACCCUACCGGCGACGGGGCUAGGCCGGGGAAGCAUCGCCAUGCCCUAGCGCACCCGUGCACGGCGGUAGCUUCCCGGGAGGUGGCCGGAGCAACUCUCCCCACAGCGGCGGCCGGCGGCGCCUACGGCCGGCCGUGACUAAGCACGACGACAGCGCGGCCUACCCCGACGACUACCUCUACGGCUUCCUAGCACCCCAAGGACUCAUCUACGACUACCCAUAAGGAAAGAGAACAGCGGCAAGAAGGUGCUCACCGUGAGCAGGAGGUGUGGCGGUGGCGGAUGGAAAUGACGGCGAGUACGGGUACUCCGGCAAAGAUGCUGGGCAACAAGUUGCUAGGGUUGCUGGUGGGGUGUGAGUGGAGGUGUGGACGGAGGGAAUCGACGAGAGCUGCGGUGUGGUGGGAGUAUUUUGCUCGACGGCGGCAGCUUGACAGAGAGGACGGCGGCGGUAAAAAGGACAGGUAGUAAAAGAGAGGCGGCGGGAGCGGUAGAUAUACGAAAGUUCACCGAGCGCAUGGACGACACCGUGGCCUACUCGUAGGCUUGCGUGGUAAGGAGGUGGCGUAGCUGCUGUGCUGGCGGUCGACCGAGAACGCCGACGGCGACACGUCGUUCUCGGCUCUGUCACCCCCCCUCCCGUUCUUUGUUUUCUGACGCCCGAAACUUCAGAGCUCAGCCACGGUCAAAAUCGCAUCCGACGGUCCACAAGUUACUUAAGCAAAGUUGUAGAUAAACUCGAGCUUUACAUUUCAUAUUUAAACUCUUGCCCGAGAUAAACAUUCAAUUGUUGGGAAUUUCGAAAUAUUUGCCCUCAGGUAACUGAACUUCAUUGAACUCCCGAUUCAGUUCGUCAGUCACUUGUUCAUGGUCAUUUACCCAUCUUUGUAAAUAAUUUCAGUGGUCUAACCAAAUCCCUUCCUUUUAGUCCAACUACUAACCAAUUACACUCUACAACCAUCAGGGAUUCCAUUUUGCUCAUAAUCACCUAUACUUCUUGGACCACAUUCUCCUGAAUUCAGCUCCAAACAUCGGCACUUAUCACUGUUUUCAGACUUAGGCAGAAAUUCAGUUCAACAGCUAAGGUGACCGUGGUAAAGUGCUGACUUUGAGCCUCCGUUUGAAAUGGGUCCCUCUACUAUUCUUGAUCAACAACACCUUAAGAUACUUGUCCAAAGUCUAUAAUUUAAUACUGUAUAGUUGUCUUGGUCCAUUUAUUUGGAAAAUUUGGCAGAAAUCAAAUUCCAAAAUGGGCUCUUAUGCUGUUUUCCUGAAAUCCUGUUGUCGGACGAUGAAUAGUACAUUUCGGUUUUAAUUUCUUUCUUUGAUUUUCUUGAGAUAUUUAGGACCAGAUUUUGUCCCCAAUCUUGAUCUCCAAGUUCUAAACACUCUUAUCCUUUCAUUCCAUCUUUUUGCCAAAUUUUUCUGAAUUUCGAAUUCAAAAUUCAAAUUUCGAUCAAAUUUGACUCAAACUUGAUUUUUAGCCAAUUUCUUCUCUUUUUCUUCAUGAUUUGCUUCUAUUUCUGCAGAAUUAUUUUUGAUGGCUAAAAUGGCAGGUGUUACAAAAACCUAGUCUUGUGUCGGACGGGCGAUGAUGGCGCUUUUGCAUCAUGUCCUUCUAGGAGGCGUCGUCUUUAGGAUACCUUCAUCGUGCUGCUUUCACCAUUACUGUGGGUGAUAUGGCUGGUGUUGGUAGUCUUAAAGUCUUGUUUGCAGGGGGUUCGUUGCUUGGUUUGUCUCUUGGGUAGUCUUUUGGCGAUGGUGGCGUGUUUUUUCUUCAUUGUCUUAUGGAGCUAAGGUGGUCGCUCUCUCUUUUCUAACAAUGUCAUCUCGGUGCACUAUCAUCUUCAAGCUUUGGUGGUGGCUCAUCACUCAGCAAGAUUGGACUUCGUGCUUGGUGCCCGGUGGUCUUCAGCUUCGUCAGGCUUGAGUUCCUUGUUUUGUGUGACGGGUUAUUUCUAAGCUUUGCGAUAUAGUGCUGUGUGUUUCUUCGAGUUUGUUACGGUCGUGGUGGAGUGUUGUUGUACCUGUUCAAACUUCUCUUCUUCUUAAUGAAAAACGUGCAUCAUCUUUAGUGCCUGGUAAGCUUGGGAGGGAACAAAAAUUUUCUGGCAAAUUUAUUGUCACCAGGAAGAAAUCCAACCCUACCCUACCUACCUAGAUCUAGUCUAAAAGCUCCUAGGAGUGCAUUGGUGGCAGACAUCCAAUCCAGCAAGCGAAACCAAAGGCCCAGGUCGGAGAAACCAAAAAUAUAAAAAUCAUCUUCCCUCCCUUCGCUAUUACUUGCCAAUCGCCGCUGUAACCAGCUACUACUAGAUCCAUCAGAGAAGAAACUUGUGCAGUGAUUGUGUUUUAGUCUAUGUUGGGUAAUUAUCUAUGUAACAAGUAGCAGUGGUAGGGAAUUAUCCUCCAACUCCAUAUUUAGAUCCAUAUUUUAUGGUUCUGGAGUUGCAAAAGAGAUACUCAAAAAAAUGAACUUGAGCUUCAAAAAAUAAUGGAGUUUGGGAUAUUUAGCUAGCUCCAUCCAACUCCACCACAAAGUUUGGAGUUGGAAGCAUGCUAAACAUGACCGUAAAAUGUGCAUAAAAUGGGCAUAUGCACGAGUUACGAUAGUUUAUCUGUGACAUGGUGAAUGAAAAAAAAAUAUGGACAGGCGCGCAGUGUGACCCAUCGCCCAAUAACUUUAUCAAAAGUUGUUGGAAUUAUCCAGCAAAACUUUUCAAGGAAAGUAUGUUAUAGGGGUGUUUGGGAGGAGGGGGCUAAAUUUUAACCCCGUCAUAUCGAAUGUUUGGAUACUAAUUACGAGUAUUAAACCUAGACUAAUUACAAAACUAAUUACACAACCCUAGGCUAAAUCGCGAGACGAAUCUAUUAAACCUAAUUAGUCCAUAAUUUGACAAUGUGGUGCUACAGUAACCAUUCACUAAUGAUGGAUUAAUUAGGCUUAAUAGAUUCGUCUCAUGAUUUAGCUUAGGGGUUCUGCAAUUAGUUUUAUAAUUAGCUUAUGUUUAGUCCUCCUAAUUAGUAUCCGAACAUCCGAAGUGACAGGGCUAAAGUUUAGGCCCUCCUCCCAAACACCCCCUAUAGCUCUAUAUUUCCCAAUUUCUGUUGCUGCAAAUCCCUUCUUCACUAAGGAAAACUUAUCCAUCAGCAUUUAAUAUAACCACUACCUGUCUGCAGCUCAAUUUAGGCAAAUCUUGCAGCUCGAGCUACUUUCAACGCAAGGAUCAAUCUCAAUACUUCAAACAGAUCAACAAUUCAGCAGUAGACAGUUGUAUCAUACCUAACAGCACAGCUUAAGCCAGUGUACACAUUCUUUACGCAGAACUGAACAAAAACGUCAUAACACAAGCCUUCAGGCAAAUGGCAGUGUCAUUACACUAUGGGAUCUUAAACACUGGAUCCAAAUAACCAAAUAAUAUACGACAAAUCUUGGAAGAUAAUCCUUAGCCCCCGCACUGGCAGCACGGUUCCAAUGCCUUGAAAUUUGUUGAUGAGGGCACAAUCCCCUCAAUGCAUCUGUUCACAGCCUCAAGAGCUCUCUGUGCCUCCAUCAGCCCUUCCUUCGACAUAUGCUCGCACUUGUCGGUCUUUGUAGUCCUCCUGCCACAACCCCAUGCAGUGUCCAGUGUCAUGCACACAAGUGCUGAUGCAUUGCGAACAAUGUGGCUUGUUAAUUCAAUCAGGCUCUUUGCAGAGCUAAAUCCAGUCAUCAUCACGUUCUUCAGAUUGUAAUGCAAGCAUUCUGGCAUCUGCCUCAAAUGCAAUUGAUCCUUGUCAAGAUCUUUAAGAACUGAAUCACUUCUCAGCACAUAACCGGUUUCUACCUGCAUUAGAUCAACAUCAAAACCACUGUUCAACAUAGACUUAAUAAAAGAAAAUCAAGAAUAUCUUUAACACGUGGAAUCAAUAAUACUCCCACAAACAUGAAAAAUCAAGCACAAUUUAUCCGGUCAAAGUCGCAUCAAAUAACUCGCAGCAUUGAGCGAAGGUUAAACUGCAAGUGUCUUGGUACAAUGGCUUUAAAAUCAAUCUUGACUGAACAGACAGAAAACAACACUGCCUGCGAGUUUGCGUUAAACAAGGCAGAAUUAGACAGGUAAGACCCAGCUGUCACUAUAGUCAUCAUGACAAAUGCACAGGGUCCCCAAAUAUACUUUUAAAGGUUUCACUGAGAUGGCACUGAGAAUGCAACUUACACGCAGCAUGAAAGUCUCCAAGGCAGGAGAGGCUUCCAGGAAAGAAACCAAACUGAAGUAAUCCUGGCGGUAGAGUUGUACAUCCACAAGAAAAAUGUCCAAGUACUUGAGAAGGAGGAACUUGCUAGACAUUAUUGGAGUCUUGACCUUCUGAAGAAAGAGACCAAAAGAAUGAAUCAAGCUAAAGGCAUGCAUGCAUAUCGUCACUGUAUAGAUCAUAAUUUCAAAUCAACUGAAUGGCAUAAACAUAGCACAUACCUCACAAAUCGAUUCCACAGUAAGUCUUUCAACUGCUGGCAUAAAGCAAGGAAUCUCGGCACGAGCAUGACAGAGUGUGUUUGGUUUACUACCUAUCAUCCGUAUGUGUUUGACUUCUGCUCCUAGAGAAAUUUGCAUUAGGUUAUCCCCACAGUCAAAAGUGGAGAGCUUUGGAGCCCUAAUCUCUAUUACUUGCAGCAUUUUACAUUGUGUCACAUGGAAAUGAUUAAGGUGAUGCAACACACAUGGUGCUUUAAAGCAAAUUAAAUCAUUGCACUUAUAAAUUGACAACCGUGCUAAAGCGAAACAAUUGGAAACAAACUGCCCGAGUUCCUCUCCGGUAAUGCGGACAAAGGACAGAUAAACGCUUGUCAAGCUUCUAUUGCAACCAAGACUUGCGGUAGGAUGAAAUGCGCAUGAAGUAAGGCGAAGAGAUUCCAGUGUUGCUCCUCCUAUCUCAUUAGAUAAAAGAAAAAUCGGGAAGUUAUAGUCUGCCCUCUUAUUAAAUACAGCCAUCUCCAAUGCAAGCUCUUCAAUCCCAGGUUUGACAGCAAUUCGAAGCCAUUUAUCAAAAUAUGAUGCAUCAAUAUUUGCACAAGGGUACAGUUGAAGUAUGAGCACCUUCAUCCCAAAGCCAGAAUGGUUUUCAAGAACAUGGUUAAUUUUAUUGACGAAAUGGCUUUCUAUUUUAUCUUGUCUAUAUUGUUCAUCUUCCAAAGCUCGUGUGUCCUCAUCCAAAUGCAUGCUGAGCUUAUCAUAACCUACGGUUUUGUUAUUGAAUAAAAGCCUGGGAUACCGUCUCCAGGAACGUAGAUAUCGACGAGAGACACAGGCAGCACGGGCAGCAUCUUCAAUAGGUAAGUAGGAAAAUAAGUUAUCAACAAUAUCCUGCAAAAACCAUUAUCAAGAGAGUUGGACAUGCAAGACUGCUACCAGAACUACAAUAUAGUGUAUUCGACCAUACCUCUGGAAGUCUGUCAAGCAUGAAAUGUCCCAUCACUUGCAAACAUUGCUCAUCUUGUGAGGUGUGACCUUGCAAACUAGCUGAUGAAGGCUCUGAUCCAGAGCCCAGAAUGAAGUAAGGUAACAAGUAAUAGCUGAAAUAGGAGGCAGCUAACUUUUUGCCACUUAGAAAAAAAAAACUCUUACCGAAAGAACUUUGUGUGCAUUAUUAUGGACAUAUUUAUUAUCCUGUCUAAAAAAGUUUAUUAAUAUACAUACACGAUAGCUUCAGAAUCCUCAAAAUAUUUUUUGACAGCUACAAUGUAGUAAUUGUUACAGGACUUAGCACAGAAGCAUCAAACAAAUUAUUCUAUGUAUAAUUACAAUCAGACACAAAAUCUUCAUUUAGUUACUCAUGUUUUUGCUCAAUUAUUCUGGCGCUUUUCCUUUAAGCAGAAAGGAAAAGGAGCCUUAGAUAGCCAUCCCAUCUUCUAGACAGACUCGAGAUCAGGAACCCUAGGCUGCCCGUGUAGGAUCGAGGUGCGGAGGAGUACCUGGCUGCAGCUCCCGCUUUCGACAUGUUCCGGUGUACAUCUCCGCGCUCUACCUUGUCGACGCCGACGCGAAGGAAACCGCUCCUCGGUUAAGGGGCUCCCGCGGCUCCUCCUCCUCGUUUCCCACCCGUGCCCUCUGGGUAGGGCCCACAGGCAGGCGGAGGCGGCGGGAGGCGGGGGCGGAGGCGGCGGGAGGCGGACGACGGCGGGAGGUGGGGGCCAGCCGCGGGAGGCGGGGGCGGGCCGGCGGCGGGAGACCGGGAGGCGGGCGGCGGGGGCCGGGGUUGAGCCGGCGGUGGGGGGCCGGAUAAUGAUGGAAGAGAAAAGAAAGAAGAAAAAUAAAUAGGAAGGAAGGAAAAUAAAAAAGAAAAGGAAAGGGUACUAGGGGUAUUCAUCUUAUCUGAGAGAUCGGAGGAGAGGCGGGGAGUCGAGGAACCCCUGUUGGAGUCGGGCAGGCCUUGGUUGGUGUUGAUACGGGCUUCUUUUUUUAUUUUUUGACGCCGUGUUGAUAUGUGUUUGGUUUGUUGGACACCGAAGAAAAUUGCCUUGCCGUCCGUCGGACGACGGGCCAGCAAUGCAAAGUGAAUCGGGCAGGCAGGGGACAUGUUGGUCCAGCAAAUGGUGGAUCAGCCCAGUAAGUAGUGGGAGAGCUAACCUUGUUUUUUUUAGCUUAGCUAUUUUUUUUUUGUUAGCACUGCAGUCAAAUUUCUUGAAGAGUGACUACACAUAUCGAUCCGUUAAUUUCUUGUUGUAUUUUAGCCAAUUUUAUGUCCAAUUGAAUUGUGCCACUUCGUGUACCUAAAAUAGAAAAGGUGGGCGAGGAAGGAAAAAACGAACCAAGAUCUCAGUAUACUCAGAUCUCAGUAUACUCCUCGUAAUUCUACCGGGCAGCAUUUUCUGGUCUUCCUCAGUACAGUACAUAUAAUUUUAAGGAAAUACAAAACCGAAUAAUGGCACAACAGACCCAAGACAAAAACUGACUAACUCGCUCCCAUAUGUGAACUACACACACCUCGAGCGAGCGACCAAGCUUUUUUUUUCUUUCUAAGGGCAGAUAAGAAAGAACAGGAACCAAUUGAAAUCUACAUAAUUUCAGGACUGUGCUCAACUACUGCCUAAGUCCAUCUUUAUUUUGCACAACAUGGUUGCACGUUCUCUAAGUAUCCAAUGAACUCAUCAUAAUUCAAGCUAGAGAAACAAGUGUGUGAUUUGCACUUUCAAGAAAAAUAAUCCGAUGAAUCAAUGGCGUGAUCACAAAGGGUCUUCGAAUAUGCAGCAUUAGCUAGUGUAGCACCAUAUCUGCAUAUAAUUACUUGGAUUUUUUCCAUCCUUUUCCACCAUAUUAGAGGAAUAGAGGCUCAGACCCUUUUGCAAGCUAGCAUCGCCAUUGUUGUUUCAUUGUUGCAACAAUAAGUCAUUUAUAUGUAUUUUGUUAUCCUCUAUUAUGCUGCUCAUCAAAAUGAUGUUAGACAUUGAUCUCUUAAUAUUACCAGCUAAGUGCAUCUUAUGAUAGGAGGUACUCCCCAUUCUUAAAAAUAUGACGUUUAUCACAAGCUAAUUGGUUUAAAAAUGUACUAAUUGGUUUGUCCUAAAUGGCUAAACAUCACAUAUUAAGGCUAGAGUACCAGUACAUAAGCCAUUUCUACAGUGCGCGUACUCUAUUUCUACUUGCGGUCAGUAGCGAAGUCCAAAUCAUGGGCUAGUAUCACACGGGAAAAAAAAUUGUACUGGUGGAGGGACUUCAUAUUUUUCCAUCUAAUUAAUUGAUGUCAUAUUAAAAAUUACUUCAAACGCUAGCAAUUACGAUUCUAUCCAUAUAUGCUCCGUUUGUUCACUUUAUUUCAUUGGCGUAGUGCUGCCAGCUCAAAUGUAGUCUAAUUCUCCAACUUAAUAUAUAAAGGGCCAAUUCCUUGCACAUCCUUACACUGUCAGCUCAUCUCCUGAUAAUUCCAUGUUAGAGCUACUUCCAACGCAAGGAUCAAUCUCAAUACAGGACUUCAAAUAGAUCAACAAUUCAGCAAUAGACAGUUGUAUUAUACCUAACAGCACAGCUUAAGCCAGUGUACACAUUUUUUAUACAGAACUGAACAAAAACGUCAUAACACAAGCCUUCAGGCAAAUGGUAGUGUCAUUACACUAUGGGAUCUUAAACACUGGAUCCAGAUAACAUAUUAAUAUACGACAAAUCUUGGAAGAUCGUCCUUAGCACCCACAUUGGCAGCACGGUUCCAAUGCCUUGAAAUUUGUUGAUGAGGGCACAAUCCCCUCAAUGCAUCUGUUCACAGCCUCAAGAGCUCUCUGUGCCUCCAUCAGCCCGUCCUUCGACAUAUGCUAGCACUUGUCCGUCUUUGUAGUCCUCCUGCCACAACCACAGGCUGUGUCCAGUGUCAUGCACACAAGUGCUGAUGCAUUGCGAACAAUGUGGCUUGUUAAUUCAAUCAGGCUCUUUGCAGAGCUAAAUCCAGUCAUCAUCACGUUCUUCAGAUUGUAAUGCAAGCAUUCUGGCAUCUGCCUCAAAUGCAAUUGAUCCUUGUCAAGAUUUUUAAGAACUGAAUCACUUCUCAGCAAAUUACUGGUUUCUACCUGCAUUAGAUCAACAUCAAAACCAUUAUUCACCAGACUUAAUAAAACAAAAUCAAGAAUAUCUUUACCACGUGGAAUCAAUAAUAUUCCCACAAGCAUGAAAAAUCAAGCACAAUUUAUCCGUCAAAGUCGCAUCAAAUAACUUGCUGCAUUAAGCGAAGGUUAAACUGCAAGUGUCUUGGUACAAUGGCUUUAAAAUCGAUCUUGACUGAACAGACAAAAAACAACACUGCCUGCUAGUUUGUGUUAAACAAGACAGAAUUAGACAAGUAAGACCCAGCUGUCACUAUAGUCAUCAUGACAAGUGCACAGGGUCCCCAAAUAUACUUUUAAAGGUUUCACUGAGAUGGCACUGAGAGUGCAACUUACACGCAGCAUGAAAGUCUCCAAGGCAGGAGAGGCUUCCAGGAAAGAAACCAAACUUAAGUAAUCCUGGCGGUAGAGUUGUACAUCCACAAGAGAAAUGUCCAAGUACUUGAGAAGGAGGAACUUGCUAGACAUUAUUGGAGUCUUGACCUUCCGAAGAAAGAGACCAAAAGAACUAAUCAAGCUAAAGGCAUGCAUGCAUAUAUCGUCACUGGCCUAUAGAUCAUAAUUUCAAAUCAACUGAAUGGCAUAAACAUAGCACAUACCUCACAAAUCGAUUCCACGAUAAGUCUUUCAACUGCUGGCAUAAAGCAAGGAAUCUCGACACGAGCAUGGCAGAGUGUGUUUAGUUUACUACCUAUCAUCCGUAUGUGUUUGACUUCUGCUCCUAGAGAAAUUUGCAUUAGGUUAUCCCCACAGUCAAAAGUGGGGAGCUUUGGAGCCCUAAUCUCUAUUGGUUGCAGCAUUUUACAUUGUGUCACAUGGAAAUGAUUAAGGUGAUGCAACACACAUGGUGCUUUGAAGCAAAUUAAAUGAUUGCACUUAUAAAUUGGCAACCGUGCUAAAGCGAUACAAUUGGAAACAAACUGCCCGAGUUCCUCUCCGGUAACGCGGACAAAGGACAGAUAAACGCUUGUCAAGCUUCUAUUGCAACCAAGACUUGCGGUAGGAUGAAAUGCACAUGAAGUAAGGCGAAGAGAUUCCAGUGUUGCUCCUCCUAUCUCAUUAGAUAAAAGAAAAAUCGGGAAGUUAUAGUCUGCCCUCUUAUUCAAUACAGCCAUCUCCAAUGCAAGCUCUUCAAUCCCAGGUUUGACAGCAAUUCGAAGCCAUUUAUCAAAAUAUGAUGCAUCAAUAUUGCACAAGGGUACAGUUGAAGUAUGAGCGCCUUCAUCCCAGAGCCAGAAUGGUUUUCAAGAACAUGGUUAAUUUUAUUGACGAAAUGGCUUUCUAUUUUAUCUUGUCUAUAUUGCUCAUCUUCCAAAGCUCGUGUGUCCUCAUCCAAAUGCAUGCUGAGCUUAUCGUAACCUACGGUUUUGUUAUUGAAUAAAAGCCUGGGAUACCGUAGCAAAAACUAUGUAAUUAGAAAAGUUAAAACGAAUAAUAAUUUGGGAUGGAGGGAGUAUGUAACACUAAUUGUUGAUAUCAAUUCAACAUUUUUUUUUGGUUUUGACCUAUCCUGUCCAAAACUCUGGACAAUUGUUUUGAGCAUCUAGAUAGCUUCAAGUAAAAUGUAUUAUCUUAAUAUAAGAUCUGUUUCCAUCCUAGUCGAUACAAAUAACUAAUGAAAUACAAGUUGUCAACUCAAAUUACAAAUUCGUGAAAGGGCCCCCACGGUGAUGGGUGGGCCGUGGGCGAGAUCCGCCAGCCCACAGGCCCACCACAGCCAGCCACCCACACGGGAUGAGUGAUCGGGGGCCCAUUUCCACGUGAACGUCCUGUGCGCCUUCGAUGCAUCGUUUACGUAUUCGGCCAUAGCUGGCGCUCGCGAGCCGCCACCGGUGGUCGGCCACGCGAAAGAGCGCGCCCCACGCCUCGUCGGCGACUAGCGGCGAUGUCGGCGGCCGCCACCUCGUGCGGCGCCCCCUCCCCCUCUUACGCCUCCGGCCCCGGCGGCGAGGACGGGGAGAUCACGUACGUGAGCUACGGCGGGGAGCAGCACCUGCCGCUGGUGAUGUCGCUGGUGGACGCGGAGCUCAGCGAGCCUUACUCCAUCUUCACCUACCGCUACUUCGUCUACCUCUGGCCGCAGCUCACCUUCCUCGUACGUGCGCAUCCCCUUCUCCGCUCCCCGCACCCGAAUUGCGCGGUGCUUGUCAGCUUGCGGCGGAUUUGACGAGGCUCUCUUGGUUCUUUGUUUUCUGGGGGCCGAUUGGGGAUGGGGGGAUUGCGCAGGCGUUCGAUGCCAAGGAGGGCAAGUGCGUGGGGACAGUGGUGUGCAAGAUGGGGGAGCACCGGGGCGCCUUCAGGGGCUACAUCGCCAUGCUCGUCGUCCUCAAGCCCUACAGAGGAAGGGGAAUAGGUGAUACAUUUCUUCGUCCUUUUACCUGCUGGCUGCUGCUUGCCUCUUGAACUAUUGCCAGUUCUGUUGUUAUAGACACGGAGUGAUCUUGCUUUCUGUCAUUCAAAAUGUGCAAGGCAGCACUUCUCUGCAGUGAAUACAGAUCAAUGACUAGGCCUUAAAAAUCUUCAAUUUUGUGUAGGGUCAAAACACACCAUCACAUACUUCAACUACUAUGCUGCAGAAACUUGUUUGUAUUGUUCAUUGUUCAAUUAUCUUAAACAUGUUAAUUCCUUUCUGCAAGAAAAGACUUAGCAAAUUCAUUAUGUCUCAGAGAGAAGUUUGAUUAUUUGUGCUGUGGUUUGUUUGCUUGGUUGCAGCAAGAAAAAGGCAUAUUUUCUUGUCUGUUAAAUCAUUUUUUUCUGACAAUUGACAUGCUACCUAUUAGGCUGAUACCUUACCUUUUUUGGAGUAAAUGACUUCAUUGGCUAAUUGUAUUUGAGAUUUACUUUAGUGGUUAGACAAGGAGGUAGUAAACUUUUUUUGAAUAGUUUUUUAUUGUUUUGUAGGUGUUGACAUGCUCUGCACAAGUUUUCUAUGUUCACUCUGUUUUAGUGUAGUCAGAUCAUGUAUGGUAGUUCAGUGUGGGAUAUCAUCUGGGCACUGUUCAUGUUGCUAAAAGAAUAGUUGGAGUUAAUUAGUAUUUAUGAUGUGACGUGUCAACAUAUUUCAUUUGGUGUGUGCUGCACUCAUCUUUUGUCAGAUCCUCCUAUCGAGAGUCUUUCGUUUGGCAGACAUUGAUGAUGAAUGCUUGAAAUUAUGUAGUCUUAAAUUUAGUGCUUAUUUGUUGAAAGUAGUUCAUAGUAUUGUCAUAAAGGUGUUACCUGGAUCAUAUCAGCACAGUAAUCUUUGCGCUUAGCUUGGUAACGGUAUUUGUCUAUCUGAAAGGCAGUCUUGUUGGUAUGAAUUAUGACAUUAACAGCAAGGAUGUUAACAAAUAUCCAUGCAUCAGGUGAAUCCUGUUUCACAUGAACAAUAGUAUCUAAAUGAUAGAUGCUUCUAUUCCAGUAUCUAAGACAACUAGAGUACCAAUGGUAGGACAUGGUAGCACUCCAGCUUCAUUUUCACUAGCCAUAUGAAAUAGGGCAGGUGCUUUGCUCUUCAAAAUGGCUGUUGCUUGCUUUUUCUUUCAGUUUAUGUGAACAUAAAGAGAGCAUAUGCAAUUUCAAGCCAAGUAACUGAAUCUCUAUUUCUUGUGAUACAGCAACUGAACUGGUUACUAGAUCUAUUCGGGUAAUGAUGGAAUCUGGCUGUGAGGAGGUAACCACUCUUUUCAUUGACUUUGAAACACGUAGAUGUGAAAGCUUAUGAUGUAUCCUAGUUUUUUAUAUCCACACCACAUUUAUUGGUGGCUGUAAGGUUGGUUUAUAACCUCAAUGGGAAAAUUGGAGAUAGGAUUCUCAGUCCGUAGAUUAACACCCAGUUUCCAUAGAAACAUCUUUCCCAGAACAUUCUUAAAAGCUGAAGUAUCUAACAUCCUAAUUGCAACCAGGUGACACUUGAAGCAGAAGUUACAAACAAGGGUGCCCUCGCUCUGUACGGCCGUCUGGGUUUUAUCCGAGCAAAGAGGCUGUACAGAUACUAUCUAAAUGGCGUGGAUGCUUUUCGCCUGAAACUAUUGUUUCCACACCCUGAUCCUGGCUUGCCUCCGAUGAUUGUCGGCAGCGAAAGGGAUGACCAGCAUAUAGAUUCGCCCUACUUGUGACAGUACCCUAUGAGUAGGUAGAAUGUGUUGGAGUCCUGGAACCCCAACCUUUUUUGCACUUCUGUUUCAAAGCUUUCACAGCUCACAUGUAACUGUAACAUUAUUUGUGCUUACAAAUAACUUUUUUGAGGUAUUCUAUGUAUUACUGCCCCUAUUUUAAGAAUGCUGCGAAAUUCGUAUUUUACAGUCUUUUGUGGAGCACUGCUGAUCUGCAAUUAUUUUGCUCAGUGAAUGCAUGUUGUGUCCCGAACCACUGUUUGAGUGUAAAUGUGAAUGCUUACGACCUUGUCUAGUUUUCUGUUAAAAUUCCUAUGAUUUUAAUUUGUGGAUCGCCACAAGCUAAGCCUUUCCAGGCCAUUCGUCUUGUUCACCAUUCUGUAAGUGUACAUACCAUGGUUCUUAAGCCCCCCUUCCAGUCGCCUAAUCGCUUCUCCAUAGUAAGAGGGGGUGGGUGGACGAAAAAGGGAAACGGGAAAAGGAAAGAAGAGAAACGGGGCUGCCAAGCCCACCAUGCAAAACAUCUUUCCAUUCCCAUAGUACAUUAGGCAGCCCAGGCCCAGGCGGCCGCCAGCCAUCGCCCAUCAGGCAUCAGCCUUUCCCCCACUUCCCUGCCCCUCAGUCCUCAGAUGGCACAUACAGACUAGCUCAAUUGUAAAAUGCAUGCCAAAUUAUGCAUUAGUCCAUGAGUCUGUGAAAAGCUGUUUUCGCUAAAAACUUGACAUAUUUAUUUACAUAAGCUGUACUGUUUUAACAGAAGCAGCUACCCAGUCAGAAGAACCUAUCCAGAGAACCCGGAAGAAUCGAGCUCAGCUGUACACCACCCUCCAUGUCAGUAAGUUGGAACAAGCGUAGCAGUGCUAUUUGCUUCGACAAUCAUGCUUUCAGAACUUGAAACAGCAAUCACUGGCACCCUGGUGCAGCUGUGACAUUGCAGGUAACUUGCUGCUGGGGCUGAUUCACCACAGGAUCCCAACCGCUGACGGCUUGUAAGUUUGUCAUGGCUGUUCCAGGUGCAGCAGUCAGAUUGCUUAGAGUGGGGGUCCAUAACACCUGACAUGGAAGAGUGCAAAAGUAUGUUUAGCGAUUUUCGCAUGUUGCAGCAAAUACAGGGAUGGCUUCCAAUAUGUAAAAUAUUUUUCUAUAUUGUCUCAGCAAAUAGUUUAUUGAACAUGUUCAGAUAUUAUUCAGCUGAAUAACAUGGCUUGGGCAUAAAUGUUGCCAGCAUUGGCCAUAUUUACGACUUGAUUUAAAAAAAGCUAUCACAGAACAGAAUUAACAAAGUAACAUGCAGGAAGUGCUAGGUUCAUUAAGAUAUCAAAUACGUACCUCUCGUAUGUGCUUUGUUGAUAAUGAGAAUUGGCAUUGCCAGGAUGAUAUGGAUCAUUCUGAUAAUAGGGGGCAGUAGAAUAGACAAGCUGAAACAUAAUGUGGCAUGGAGUAUUGGUUAUAAAGAGAACAUGGAGGGGGUGCUUGCGCAUACUGAUAGGUAGAAGGCAAUGGACCACAUGCUGCAUAUCCAGCAUAAAAACCAUACCCAGUUGUUGGUACAUGGCAAGUAUGUGUAGCGGAUCGAGUAGGACAUGGAGGUGCAUAGGCUUCAGGUGGCAUUAAAUGAGCAGCUGGAGGAGCAACAUAGGCAGUUGGAUGAUGUGCAUAAGCAGGUGGCUGUGCUGGAAGAGCUGGAGGCAGAAAAGCAGGGGCAGAGGGCCAGUUAUCAACAUCAUGUGAGGAUGACGAUUGUGGCAGCGAAGUAAUUGGCUGAAACAAUGCCCUCAGUUUCUCAACCUACAACAGAAGAUCAACAGUACAUGAAUUAGCUAUUUCGUUACAUGUAUUAUAAAUCCAUAAACAAAUACUGACAAACACAAGGGCAAAGCAAACGACAAGGUCAUAAUCUUUCACAUUCCACCUUGCUGUUAAACUGUUAUGGAUUAUCAAGAAUGAUAUGAAACCAAGAAAAACAUAAAAAUGUUAUCAUCAUGUCCGAAUCUUCCUUUCUUUUCUUUGUAGUAGACCAUUUCUUUAUUUCUCAGGUCAAUCAAAAAUAGAAGACAAGGUCAUAAGCUUUCACACUCCAUCUAGCUCCUAAACUGAUAUGAAAUGACAAGAAUGAUAACUCAUAUCAAGACCAAGAGAAAAGCAUAAAACAAAAGAUAAAAAUGUCCCCAUCAUGCCUAAUUUUCUUUUCUCUGCAUCUUUUCAUUUCGAGGGCAACCACAAUGUUUUUGGCAAACCAGUUCAUAGGAGCGGAGUCCGCAGCAGGCAGUCUUUAGUUCUGGAAAGCGCCACAAUGUUAGGAAAUAAGAUUUCCAUCAGACUAGAAAAAAUCCUCUACCCCGACUUCUGGUUGGCUGAUUUUAUUUGUUUACAGUGGUACUGUACAAGUAUAGUUUUAAAAUGGCAAAAUAGCCAUUUUGGUCCCUGAACUUUGCACCGAGGGUCAAGUUCGUCCCUCAACUUCUAGAAUGGCCAAUCUAGUCCCUCAAUUUUUGUUUUUGGAUCAAACAUGUCCUUGUGCUGAUACAGGGCUUCACAUUAGCAUGAAAUAAAUGCAAAAAGUCAUUUUUGCCCUUGGCUCCUCCUUCCCUCCUUAAUUUUCACUGUAAAUUAACAGUAUUAUCCAAAAUAAGUACAUAUGAGCAUAUAUAUGUUUACUGAGUAUACCGUACCACGAGUAUAUGAGCACAUAUCAACUUUAGAGUAUGAGUACAUACAAUAAGUUGUGUAUAUAUGAAAGAAUAUGAGUACAUACAUUUUGCAUAUCAACAUUUAAUUUGUAUGAGCACAUGAUUGAUUUUAUAGAGUUCGAGUACUUACAUUUUUUAGAAACUAUUUUUUAUGCUAGUUAAAAAAUACAUUGCUGCGUGUAUGUAUCAAGGGAGUAUGAGCAUAUACAUGUUUGACCUACAUGAGCCAAAGGGUAAAAUGGACUUUUCACAUUAGUCUCAUACUAAGAUAUAGCACCACAUCAGCACAAGGAUGAGUUUGACUCGAAAAUGGAAGUUGAGGGACUAAAUUGACCUAUUUGAAAGUUGAGGAACGAACUUGACCCUUGGUGUAAAGUUCAGGGAGCAAAAUGCCUAUUUUGCCUUUUAAAAUGCCUAUGGGUUCCCCAGUGCUAUGGGUAUCUUUUGUUAUCUCCUUCAUAUGGACUACUUGCAAAUUGGUGUCAGGAGGCUGAAUGGAAUAAUAUAAUGCCUAUGGACUACUUUAUGGUUAGAUGGUUCCCCGUCUGUCUGCUCCUUACAACUUUACUCCAAAUUCAUCAGGUAUUUCCAUUGUGAAAUGGAAAUGGGGCAAGCCUCAUAUCAAAAAAAAGUACACAUUGUGGUCAGGGAUGAACAAUGUAAUUUCAACAACCUAAAUGCAUCAAGAAAACCUUCUGUGUUCCAAUACCACUGAACACCCAAGCUACAUAGAAGGUUAAAAAAAGCUUCAGCUGCAGUAGUCAUGAGAAAUAAAGGGCAUAAAACAAAAUAAGCUUCAGGCCUUAUAAUUCAAACAAACAUACAUGAUAGCAAAAUGAGAUACCUCUCAAGUCUCAACCCCAAUUUGACUUAGGAUUUCCAUGUGAUGCAAGGGAAUUCGAAAGGAUAGGUUUACAUACAUGUUUUAUGGCAUUACUGUCCACUUUUUCUACUUACACCCACCUACCAGACACAAUGGAAAACUACGAAAAUAGACACAAUAAGAUACCAGACACCAGUUUCAAUUUAUCAAUUGGCAUCCUAAUUUUAUUCUAAUGGGGUAGCUGAAGCAGAGUUCUUCGGAACUCAUUCCAUUAGUUAACAUUAAAAUAAUGUUUGGCACAAUUCAUUUCUCCUGGUGAACAUAACAAUUAAGAACAGCACAUAUUAAUUCAAAUUUGCUCAUUCAAACUUACUUGUGUAGAGGUAAGCUCUGGGUUGAACUUUCCUUUGAAAUAGUUCUCCUUUAUAGCUCUUUUUAGGCUACUCUCAGGGAUGGGCAUGAAAUCACCAUCGAUCAUAAAUUUAACCUGCACGUAUAAAAAAUGUUACCUUUGUUCCAUUGAGAAUACUGUACACCUAAUAUAUGAGGUUAAUUGAUAGAUGUCAUUACACAGUAUUAGAUGGCAACUAAAAAGCAUAUAAGAUGUGCCAAGAAAAUGAAAAUGCAAGUAAAAAAAUGUAAGCAACUAAUUCGCAUCAAAAGGUUAUCUUAUAAUAGAGAGAGCUCUUUGACAUCUUCCUCAGGAUCCUUACAUUAAAAAUGUAAGCAAACAUUUGCUGCUGAAUGCAUGUCAUCAGUCACACUAAGUCCCAACAUGCACCACCCACAGAAUGAAAGCAUUAAAAGCAUUAUAGUUUUAAACCCAUUCUUAACCUUAGAUCUUUAGUCCCCGAAUCCAAUGGUUCUCCAAAAACCCAAGCAAAGUGCGACAGUCUGUGGGGAUCCAAAGUGCCUGGACUACAAAAUUUCCCAGCAAGGGCUUUAUGCUGUAUGCUGCUGUUAUCAUUUUUCGAAAACAUGCAGGAGAGCUGCAUAUCGUUAUAUUAAAGAAGAAAAGGGUGGGAAACCCUUAUGUUACAAAUGCACACCCCAAUGUUACAGAGAUUACAAGCGCAGCUCAGCUACAAAAAUAUAAACGGCCUCGUCCUAGUAGGCUAUAGUUAUCUCAUCACAGAAGCAACAAAGUGGGUCGUCAUCCCCAUUAAAUGUGGUUACCUGCCAUUCAAUAUAACCCAAUGCGUUUCCUGAAUAGUCAUUACACCUCAAACAAGUACCAUACAUCAUAUAUCCUACCACUUCUGAUAGCAUACCAAUAAUUGUUUGCCUAUUGUCUAUUUAUGUAUCAACCAUUGAUUUGCUAUUUUUACAUGCAAACAAUCAGUACAGUCCAAGUAUAUUAUUCCCUACAUAAUAAACAUCCACAAUGGCCAUACCCGGCCUGACUUUAGUAGAAUGAUCUGAUCCAGAAGGGUAAGGGUAACCUAUCAAAAACAUUAACGAGGUAAAACUUCAGCAUUUCAAAUUCUUUUCCUUAACAAAGUGUAGCGUUGAAACUGGACUAUCUCAAGCAAUCCUAUCCUCAAUAGGACAGAAGUGGCAGAUAACUAACAGCAAGCCAAAAAUAUUGCCUCCUCAUGCCAACAAAAACCACUGCAAAGGAUCAUAACUCAUCAGCGCAAUAUUAGAAAGACCACCCUCUGAUUUGUUCUCACCAAACACAAACAUUUAAGAACACUAAUUUCUCUUAUCAUGCACAUUAGCUCACCAGUUCCACACAUUCACAAUUCCCCAUUAUAGUGACUAGAGCCAUACCCACCCAUCAUUUCUUGAUUCUGGUCAACAGAAAGCUGAUAUCUUUGCAGCAAGGACAGCAAGGCUACCAACCUGAGCGGGGAAGCGGCCAUGGAAGGCGCCGGGGACAAGGUCAGCCCCACCAUCAGAGUCAGCGUGGUAGGGCCCACAGAGGUGCUUGGCGUUGAAGUCGUAGAGGAAGACCGCUGCCCCUCGCCGGAUCCGGGAGACAGCCUCCAGACUCCCCGGUGGCAGGCCCAGCACCCGGUGGCGGUAGCAUUCAGGCCUUGUUGCGCUGCUGCACAUGAAGAUGAACCCCGCCAGUGAUACAGUGAUGGUUGAGGAGGAAGCUCCAGUGUGGACAUCGUCCUUUGUUGCCACCACUAGGGAGUGCGGCCACUUGCGCGGUAGCAGGAAGGUAGAGGCGGGAGGUGAGGGCUGGCUUGCCAUGGAGGUAGCUGGAGCAGCAUGGGUAGUUGGAUGAUGUGCAUAAGCAGGUGGCUGUGCCGAGUGAGCUGAAGGAGGCAGAAAAGCAGGAACAGGGGGCCAGUUAUCAACAUCAUGUGGGGGUGAUGAUUCUGGAAGCAGAGUAAUUGGCUGAAACAAUGUGCUCAAUUUCUUAACCUACAACAGAAACCAAUAGCAUAUGAAGUAGCUACCUUGUUACUCCAAUUAUAAAUUCAGCUAAAAAGUAAAAAUUAAUAUGAUUGACAGACAAAGGCAAAAUAGAAGAUAAAGUCACAAUCUGGCUAGCAACUAAACUUUGAUGGAAAGGACAGGACUCAUAACUGAUACCAAAACCAGGAGAAAAGCAUAAAACAGAAGAUGAAAAUGUUCUCAUCAUGCCUCAUUUUUUCUUUUCUCUGCAUUUCUUCACUUCUCAGGAUGAACAGUGUCACUUCAUAACUGAAAGGCUAAAUACAUCAUGAAAACCUACUGUGUCCCAAUACUGCUGAACAUCCUAGCUCCAUUUCACAUCAAUAGUUAUGUAAAAUAAUGGGCAAUAAAAAGAUAGGCUUCAGGCCUCAAAAUUCAAACAUACAACAUAGCAAGAUGGAUGAAAUCCCUCUCAGACCAACUUGACUUUGCAUUUGCAUGUGAUGCAAGAGAAAUUCAGAAGGAAAGUAUUACAUACAAGUUUUAUGGUUUUUAGGGUAUUACUGACCCCCUUUGUCUGCCACAUCCUCCUCCCAGACAAUGGAAAACUACCACUUAAACUAGACAAAAUAAGGUACAAAUUACACAUAAGUUUCAUGUUUAUGAAUGGCCAUCCUUAAUUUAUUCCAAUGGGGUGGCUGAAGUACAUGGUUCUUCAGAACUCUUGUCCACAUGUUAUACAUUCAAAUAAUGUUCAGCAAUCGGCAUCAUUCAUUUCUCUCACAAACUUAACAACAGAACACAACGAUUGAAAUUUUCGCUUAUUCAAACUUACUUGUGUGGAGGUAAGCUAUGGGUUGAACAUCCCUUUGAAAAAGUUCUCCUUCAUAGCUUUUCUUAGGCUUUUCUCACGAAGCGGCAAGAAAUCACCAUGGAUCGUAAAUUUAACCUACAAAAAUAAAAGAUGGUGACCUUUGUUCCAUACUUCCAUUGAGAACACUGUACAGAUAAUCAGUGAGAUUAUUUUCUAUAUGCCAUUACAUGGUUUUAAUUGCAGCUAAAGGGCAUAUAACGUGCCAACUGCCAAGAGAAUGAAAAUGUGAGAAAACCCAACAACAGUUAUUAAUUGGCAUCAAAAGUUUAUUCUAUAUUCAGAGAGAGGUCAUUGACAUCCUCCUUAGGACCCCUAUAGUAAGAGAUGUAAGAAAAGUGAGCCACAAAGUGCAUGCCAUUGGUUCCUCCGAGUCACAACUCUCAACUCCCAACAUGCUCACCCCAGAAGAGAAGCACUGAAAGGCAUAACAAAUCCAUUCUUAACCUUAGAUCUUCAGUCCCAGACCCCAAUUGUUCUACACUACUUCAAGAGCAGACAGGCAGGCUGUGGGGAUCAAAGAGUGCUGGAAUGCAACAUGUCCCAGCAACGUGCUUUACGCUGUAGGCUGUUGUUAUCUCAGCACAGAAACAGCGAAGUGACUCAUCGCCCCCAUUAAAUGAAGCUACCUGCCAUCCAAUAUAACGCAAUGUGUUGGAAAUCUGCUCCUGAAUAGACAUUCUACAAACAUAAAAAGAGCAACAGACAUUAUAUAUCCUCCAGCUUGUGAUAGCAAACCAAUAGUUGUCCGCAUAUUGUAUCUUUAAUGAUAGUCUUAAAUAAUGAUUCUUUAUCUUCCAUGCAAACAAUCAGCAUAGGCCAAGUAUAUUAUUCCCUACAUAUGUUUAAUAAGUUUUGCCUACAAAGCAAAAUUUUGAAACUUGACUAUAUCUAAUAAACAUAUCCUUAAUAAGACAGAAGUGGAGAUAACUGACACAUGUCAAAAAUAUCACCUUUUUAAUGCCAUAAAAAAACCACUGCAAAAGGUCACUAAGAUUUGUGGUUUUCUCCUUCGAAUCAUCACAAUAAGUUAGAAGGUACAGGUGCAACAAUAUAUGAAGAGAUUCCAGGAAAUCUAGAACUGCGCAUAUGCUUAAAUAUUCCAAGUAACAGGUAAGCUUCUAUUCUGCUAAAGCCAUCUUAAUCUUCCUAAGAUGUUGUCUGGGAUUAAACAACUUACAACAUAAUAUCACGCAGAAAAGAAAAAAUCAACAACAACAAAAAAGAGAGGAACAAAUAACUGCAUGCUCAUAUCGAACUAGCUCAAUAGAACUGAUUCAGAAGGCAAGCGGGUAACGCGCUUGUCUGGUCCAUGACACGCGAGAAAACCACUCAUUUAGCUGGGGAAUGGUAUGUUACUAUUCAUCUCAGUUUGGUGAGUUUCAGAUUCUCCAAAACUGCACGGCAUUCUAUCACGAAGACAACAUAACAUAAAUCACUGAAGCUCCAAACUAACUGUCAACAUCAAACUGUAAAUUUUCAGUUUGAUAAUAGGAUUCAGCGAAAUAAACGAAUUUCGACAUCCCCUAAUUUUGACAUCAUACCCUAGACAAACAAAUUUUGGCAUCCUUCCUGAGUUCCUAUGAGCACAGUAGUCGAAAGAUCACCCUCCAAUUUGUUCACGCCAACCACAAAACAUCUCGAACAACACUUCGUAUCCCCCCCCCCCCCACCCCCCCACCCCACCACCACAAUUCGUAUGCACAGUUCCACGCAUUCCUAAAUCCCAAUUCCCCAUUUCUUGAUUCCGGUCACCAUAGAACUGAUAGCAUUGGAGCUAGGACAGGGAGGCUACCCACCUGCGCGGGGAAGCGGCCGUCGAAGGCGCCGGGGACGAGGUUGGUCCCGCCGUCGGAGUCGGCGCGGUAGGGCCCGUAGAGGAGCUUGACGUCGAAGUCGUAGAGGAAGACCGCCGCGCCGCGGGGAUCCGGGAGACGGCCCCCAGCUUCCCCCUGGGCAGGCCCAGCACCCGGUGGCGGUAGCAGUCGACCUUCGUCCCGCUGCUGCAAACCUCCGCCGCCGCCGCCGGAGGGGACGGGGAGGGGGGCGUGUCGGUCGCCAUGACCGGAUCCCCGACACGAAAAGUCAAGCGGUUGACUUAUGCUCGGCUGAUUGAGUAUUCCCAUUUCCCAGUAGAACAUCCGAUGGAACAAUUGGUAGUUUGGCCCAUGCUAAUCUUAACCCCUAGAGAAAUAGAGAGAUUGUGCUAUAUCUCAGUUUUCAAAUAUUUGAAUUUAUCAACAACUUAUAUCAUUUGAUGAAAUAUGUAAAGUGUGUAGUCAUGGGACGCGAGCGUUAAUUCGAAAGUCUUAUACCUUCAAAGUUAAUAUGGACAUUCUUUUAGAGGUUUUUUAUUAUUUUUGUGUGUUAACAAUCAAUUCAAAAUGCCUUCACUUUUUAGAAUAGGUCCGAGUCAAAUGAUAAUGAUUCAAAGUUUUUUUUUCCAUUAAUCUAAAGAACAUGACCGUGCGAGCAUAUAAGGGUGCGUUUGGUUGCGAGAACGAAGUGGGACGGGACAGGACGAUCCCACUUCGUCCCGCGUUUGGUUGGAGGACAGGUGGGACAGGGACAUCCCUACGAGGGAAUAUACCCUCCAAAUGCGGGAUGCCACCAUCCCACCAAAACGAGCGGACGGGGGCAUCCCACUUCGUCCCCGUCACGCGCCGUCCGUCCGCACCGGUGGAGGGGGCGAGUUUGGGCGAGGGGAGCCGCCGGCGAAGGGGCCGGAGCGGGCGAGCUCCGCCGCGGCCGGCGGGCGGGAGCUCCACCGUGGCCGGCCACGGGCGAGCGCGGCCAGCGGGCGCGGAGGGGCCGGCGCGGGCUCGCGCGGCCGGCUCGGGCGAGCACGGCCGGCGGGCGCGGGCGAGCGCGGCCGCGGCUGGCGUAGGCGAGCAGGGCCGGCGGGCGGGGGCGAGCGCGGCCGCGGCCGGCGGGCGCGGGCGAGCAGGGCCGGCGGGCGCGAGCUCCACCGCGGCCGGCCGGUGGAGGUAUAAGAUACCUGUUAGUAUGACAGGUGGGCCCCACGAACGGUGUUAACAGAAGAAGAAAACGGUGCUCGUCCCGUCUAUAGCGAUCUCUCCAACCAAACAAAAAAUUAGGACGGACCCAUCCCAUUCAACCAAACAAGAAAUGGGAUCAUCUGUAAUAAGUGCCAUUUGAAGUAUUAGAGUGACCAUGAAAAUUUAGAAAGAAAUCCAAAAGAAAAAGAAAGGAAAUUGGCAAAAAUUCCAAAUUCGGCCAAAUUUUGACAGAAAUUUGAAUUUCAAAUUUGAAAUUCAGAAAAAUUUGCCAAAAAUGUGGAAUACAAGUGUAAGGGUGUUUAGGACUAAAGGAUCAAAAAUUUGGAGCUAAGUUGGUGCCAAAGUUCUUCAGAAGAAUCAAAGAAAGAAAAGAAAAACUCAGUUUACUGUUCACCGUCCGAAAAUAGGAAUUCAGAGAAAACAGCCUCAGAGCCCGUUUUCAAAAUUCAUUUCUGGAGAGAAUUUUUCGACUAAGUGCACCAUGACAACUAUACCAUAUUAAAGUGUGAACUUUGGACUACAAUAAUCAUGUGUUGUUGGCCAGGAUCAGUAACAGGAAGGGAGUUAAAUUCUAGCCCAAAGUCAGCACAAAACCACAAAGUUCACUGAAACCCUGAAUUUUUACUAAGUCUGAAAAUCAGCAGUACAUCAACUUGGAGCUCGAAUUUAGAGCUAUUUAGAUCAAAAGAGAUACUUGCUCAUGAGCAAAAUGGAACAUUGGGACAUAGUAGAGCAGGUUUGAGUAGAAGUUGGAUUGGAAAAACAAAGUUUAGGUCACUGAUUUGAGUGCACAAAUGAGAUCGACGCCACUGUCGAUACUGACGAAACUGAAUGGCAGUUCAGUUAAAAGUUGAGGAGAAACCAAGAAACAAUUCCAAAUUCAAGCCAAUUCGAUGUUUAUCUCGAGCCGAAACCAAAAUAAAAGUUAAAGAGCUCAAGUUUAUCUGCCACUUUGAUUAAAGCAUCUGAGCACCGUUGGAUUGAGAAUUAGUCGCGGAGAAGCUCUGAAGAUCACGGGCGGUGACUGAGCAUCAAACGUGUCGCCGCCGCCGUCGUCGGUCGACCGCCAGGGCAACUAGCUAGGCCACCUCCUCACCACGCAAGCCUACGGGUAGGCCACGGUGUCGUCCAUACGAGGGGUUAAACGCUUGAAUGUUUACUGCUCCCGCGCCGCCGUUUCACCAUCUCCUUUUUACCGCCGCCCGCUCUCCUCUGCCUGAGCACCGCCGCCAAGCAAAAAUUCCACCGCCACAUCUCGCCUCCCGUCGAUUCCUCUCGCCCACUCCUCCACAGACACCCCAGCUACACCCCGAGCCAAUCGUUGUCCCACAUCCUUGCCGGGAUAGCCGUGCUCGCCGCCGCUUCUGUCCGCCGCCGUCGCGCCGCCCGCUCACGGUGAGAACCACCUUGCGCUGCUUUUCUUCCUUCUUGUGUAGUUGUAAUCGAGUCCUUAGGGUCCCAGGAUGGAGUAGAAGUAGUCGUUUGAGUCGGUUAAGCUGUUGUCACGAGUAACCACGGCCGGCCGAGGGAGUUGCCGCCUGUCGCCGUGGAGGGGAUGGCUCCGGCCAUCUCCUGGGGAGCUGUCACCGCGCACGGGGUCGUGUACGUCUAGGGUUGGGAUAGCAACCUAGUCCCGCCGUCGGGAGGGCGCCGGCCGGCGAGCUGCGCCGCCCCCUGUCUCGGUCACGCUUUUGGCGGGAGGAAGAAGAAGGAGCUGGGCACCCGGGCCCGCGAGUCAGAGAGAAGAGGGGGGGAGAAGGAGCAGGCCGAGGCGGUGCAGUCGGUGGCUGGGCCGCGACGCGUUGGAGGCCCAAGAGCGCGCGCGCGCGGUUCGGCUGGAAAGAAAAGAAAAGGGGCCGGCGUGGGUUUUGGGCUGGCAUCGCGAAGGCCCAGGGAGCCGCGCGCGAGCGACGUAGGCCGGCGUCGCGAAGAAAAAAGAAGAAAAAGGAAAGAGGCCGUGGGCCGGUGCUGGGCUGCCGAAGGAAAAAGAAAAGGAAUCGGCCCGUGGGGGCCCGUCAGGAGAAGAAGGAGGACCGGCGGGUAGAAAUAAAUAGGAAGGUGGGGUCCGCGCCGUGGGGUCCAGUGAUUCGUGAGAGAGGGUAGCGCGUGGGUGAGUAAGAAAAGUUUUUCCGGGGGAUUUUCGGAAAAAGUUAGAUUUCUUUAGCAAAAUAAUUCGUUUAAAUUCGUUUUAUACCAUUUUAAUCACAGAAAUUUGUAGGAGUGUCCAAAAUUAGUGAAACCAAUUUUGUUAGGCUUGUUUUAUUUUCCUUUAUGCAUUAAAAUUUUUACACCCUAGGAAAAUAAUAAAAAUUUGGGUAUUUAUUUAAUGCCUUCCUUUUAAGGUAAUUAAAUAAAUACUUAAUAUUUAUAAAAUGUAUAAAAACAUGAAUAAUACUUUAUCAAUCACAAAUAACUCUUAACCCAUAGGAAAUUAGAUUUUCAAGUUAGAAAUUAUUUACCACCUUUUCUAAAAAUUAAAGGAAAAGCUAUAGGAAGGGUUAAAUAAGAAAAAUAAAAGUAUAGGAUAAUCUUUUUAGAUUUUUGUGUGUUGGCUUGCAACUUCAUCAUGAUAAGUCGUAUAGUCCUUGUUGGCUUGCAACUUUAUCAUGAAGGAAAGUUGUAUAGUCUGUUAUUUAAAAAAUUUUGCAUUCUAACCCCUGCAUAUAUUGUGCCGUAGAUCCAGAAGCACCGGAAGAGGAUUACUGGGAAUUUUCAGAAGGACCCUUGGAGUCCGACGAAGUGUUUGAAUUUGUUCCCUGUGAAGCAAAUCAGUCGGCUUCCACUAAUCUUUUUAACGAUCAAGGCAAGCCCCGGUGCAUUUAUACCUAUCUAUUUUGGAGUCGUUAUUUCAUGUGACUAGUUAUAGGUUAUUUGUUUAUCGCAUGCACUAAGUCUAGGAGUUGAAUGAAACCUAUGCUUGUGUAUGAUCCUACCUUGAUUUAAGGACAUAUUUGCCACUUGUUCAAGCUUAGAAACUACCCAAGUCUAGAAAUGCUUACUUGCUUACAUGAAUGGUUUACCAACCUUAAGGAAAACUCUUAAGUCAUACAUGUUGCUUAUAAAGGAUAGUCUGGAAUAUGACAACGGACAGAAGCUAGAGAUGUAGUUCUGUCUGCUAGAUUAAUUUGGUUAAGGACCGAUUCGUGUCUUAACCAUUGAUCAAGUGAUAAGCAUCUGAUCACUUACUGGGUAUGGGACCAGUAAAGCCCAGUAGAUUAGUAAAUUCUAUGAUCAGGAAUGCUUCGUACCCGCAUUUGACGUGUUGGAGAUUGGCAGGGAUGUAGCCUGAAACUCACAUGGAGAUCAGGCCAGACAUGGGGUCCCAUGUGGGGGUGCAUCCCUGGGUCCGGGUAGUUGUAUUCCUAAUCAUUGACUUUGCUAAUUGAGAGGUUGUUAGUACGACCUGGACAGUCGUAUAAUGCUGGUGAUCAGGGUAUUCUCCUGCAGGAUGUAAAUUGAUCCGGAUCGCCGCAAUUCUCGGUUAUGAAUGCACUUGAUCACUGUUAAGCUUCGUAGUAUGAACUCAUGCGAUAUAAAAUCUCCUGUUGCCAAGUACUGUAUGAUUUAACAGCUAUGAUUGUUUUACUUCUGUUAUCAUCUAGAAUGGUUAGGUAAUGACUUAACUAAAAUAAAAGAUAAAACUAAGGCCUCACUCGUAGUAAGCUUUUUCGGCAAAAAUCGUGUCAACCAAACACACCCAAAGGCUGACAUGCAUUCCAAGAAAAACUAUUAUAUUGGUUAGUCGGGUAAGACUUGCUGAGUACCCUGUACUCAGGGUUUUCCCCUUGUGGUUAUCUUUCAGAAGCUCCACCGGAAGCUACCGAGGAGGAGACCCCGAAGACCUAGAGUAUUGACCUGAGUCUCACAAUACUCUAGAAAACCGUUUAUCGACGCAUCUUCUCCUGAACUGUUUAUGUUUAAUCUUAGAACUUGUCUAACACUGCAUCACUAAGUUUGCCUCAACUUAUGUCUUGUAAUAACUCGUACCUCUUAAUUAUGUAUGUAAAAAUAUAAUGUUUGUUGAUAUUAUCCCAUCGCAGAUAUUAUCCUGAUGUAUGGUUAUGAGACACGCCGUGGAUCCUUCGAGGAGUCCUAGGGACACUCGACGGACUACCGGACUUACGCUGUUUUAAGUGCGUUUCGGAUAAUUGCUGUUCCGACAGCGAUUAGGCGCACUUAAACCAGCUUAAGUUGGGCGGUUCUGCCACAUCAUCCCAUCCCGAAAAACUGUAACGGGACCGUCCCGUUCUACAUUGUCUCCCAACCAAACGCACCCUAAGUGCACAUGGCACAACAUUCACAUAUGCCUUACAAGUUAGGUGGUUAAACUUAUACGUGAUAGAUGCACAUGCCACUUUUAAACUAGUUUAGCUGCACUUACGAGCACUCAAUACAAAUGGCAUGGCAUGAACCCAUGCAUGGACUAUUGUGUUGGGUUGAGAAAACUUACCACAUAAUUUGCACCUGUCACAUUUGCCAUUCUAAUAUCCUGCGCAGGUUAGUAUAUUUAGGGUGUAUUUGGUUGGGCUGUGGCUUUUAGAAAAGCUGUUGUAAGCUGUGGGCUGUUGGAAAGCAGCUAUAGGAAAAGCAGAAGACCGUUUGGUUAGAGCAGCUGUGAAACUGUACGCAGUGUAAGAAAUACCUGUAAUGUCCUUAAAGGUCUGUGGGUGUGUUUAUAUGCAAAUUUCUCGUAAUAAAAUAAUGUAUUCACUAAUUUGCAUGUAAAUGACUAUUUUAGAAAGAAAAAAAAAUUUAUAUGUUCUUCAUCCAUUAAAGUGAUUGGUCCACGUAAAUAGAACAAUAUCCAUAAAAAAUUUUAUACAAUGAUGCCAUCUGUCCUCCUCUAGCACUAACCAAAGCGUCAGUUAUCCUAGUACGAAUGGUAUUCAUGGUAUUCUCAUUCUCCACAUCAUCACUCUCAUCUCCUUGUGUUUAUCUCGUGCUACUUGUAUAUUGUAUCAAGUACUCCUCAUCAUCGUCACAUCUCUUGAACUCCUUAUCACACAAAUUGCUGCCACGGAUAAAAUUAUGCAAUGCAAGACAAGCCAUAAUGAUAUGCUUCUGAGUACGAGGUGAGAAACUUGGCAUGCCCUUCAAAAUACGUCACUUCUGCUUUAAGACUCCAAAAAACCUUUCAAUGACAUUACGUAGAGAUGAAUGCAAGAAAUUGAACAUCUUGUACUUUCCUUGAGGAGGCCCUUAUACCGAAGUUCUGGUAUAUGGUACGUGCUUCCUUUGAAAGACGCAAGAUACCCAAUUCGAUUUUGGGUAACCCGAAUCUACAAGAUAAUACUUUCCUACAAAACUAAGUUAGUAAGGUACAUAAUAAUACAAGUAUUGCCAAUGCUAGAAUAAUACCAUGUAUACCUUUAGGAGGCACUGGAAUGAAGAAAAAUUUGCCAAUGCAUGAUUGAGGAUACCUGUGUCAUGUGCAAAACCCGAGCACCUGGCAACCGCAAAGGUGAACCUCAUGUCAAAGUCACAAAUAGCUAGAACAUUCUGAGAUGUAUAUCCAUGACGGCAUGUGUGGUUAACCACUUCGUCCACUGGCACUACCACCUUAACAUGUGAACCAUCUAUUGCUCCAAUUGCGCCUUUAAAGUAUGGCCAAAAAUGGUCCUGUCUCACCCUUUCAUGCUUCGUAGAAAAGGUAUGAUCUCUCAGCUUAAUGUUGUCCUUAGCUAACUUGCACAAACACUUCAACACUUCGUGAAACUUCAUGUGAACUGUCCAACAUGACCAUGUGAAACGAUUUUCAGCUUGUGAAAAAGAUUGUGGUCCUCCGACGAUCCACAAGAACACUGCCAAUGAUUCAAUAGAUGAAACAUUGUUGCUUGAGGUCAAUCCGUAGGUAGAGACUAGCAAGUCAUGAAGUUUCUCGAAAAUCUCGGUGCUCACCCGAAACAUCUUAUAAAAAUACCUCGGACGUGACAUACACCUCAUCACCCAUUGAAUUCCAGUUUCAGAUGUUUCCCUAUAUUGAGCUUUGUGCAAAUACCGCUCAGUAUACAAGUUGCCCAUUUCUCCAAUAGCACCAGCAUGCUGUACAGGUUCAGCUAGCAGUAGUAGUCCUUUUUAUCCUCCUUUGGCUACAUCUCCCAAUCCAUCAUCCAUCUACAUGAGACACUAGUAUAUUAACAAUUAAAUACAACAACUUUCUUGACAAUACUAAAUGAGCUCAACAUAACACGAUAAUAGAUAAAUAAUGUUUCACAUCUCUAAGCAAAUUAUGGUUUAACAUAGGGUAGCAAAUUAUGGUUUAACAUAAGGAAAAUGUUGUCACAUAUGAUAAGAAAAUAAUUUGAUGAACAUGAAAACAAAUUAGUGGCGCUUCAUCAUCUCCUUUUCCAGCUCCCUCUCAAUCAAAUCGAGUCUUCCUUUAGUUGUUUCUAGAGAGCUAAAGAGCUCCCUAAAUUUAGGCUUAACAAUUAGAGAGGUGGCUGUGUACAUUAGAGCAGUUCCUUCUUGCACCCCACAUUUUUUCACCAUCUUCAUAAUCUCUACAAUGGUAGGAACUAAGUUGGUUGGAGGAGCUAAUGAUGCUUCAACACUUGUGGAGAUCCUCUCUGUAGCAUUUUCUAUCUUCAAACAAGUGUUCUUAUACAAACAAAAGAAUGGGCUCUUCUCAUCCUUCUUUUCAACACCAAUGGAGAUACCCUUGCAUUUCCUUUUUCCUAGGUUCACUGUCAUAUCCUUCUAUGUAGGUUUUGGUACCUCAUUGUAUCCUCAUCACUUGCCUUAUCGGAGGAUAUAUCUCUAGGACAGGAUGCAGAAGACCCACUGAUAUAUGCCGUGCCAAACAAGAUAUGCAGGUCAUCAAGGAACUUGGGUCCUUAUUUUUGAAACUUCACAUGCUGGCAUUUGAUUCCUUUGUCACGAUUGUUGCAUCUCUAAAAUUAAAAUUUUUUUAGCAAGGCACAACAUAACAAAGAAUGGGAAGAAUAUAUUUACAAUGACAAUGUAGUUCUUAUGGCAAGGUGUUCGUCCCACCAUUCUUCUGAGCAAUCAACAACUUGUUUUGCCUCAUCCCAUCCAAGACCAGUGGCACAAUUCUUCAACUCCAUAAAUGUUGAAUACUCCUUUUUCAGAAGAUCUAACUUGUUCUUCAAUUAUUUUUUUUGUUCUCCUGUCACCAGAUUUUUCUGCAAAUUUGGAAACAACAUUCUUCCAACCGAUAGUAGUGAAAAUUCCCAUCGGCCUAUUCCUAGCUUCAAUCUCUUCUUUACAUGCAUCAAUCAAAUACCUUAAAAAAGCAUCACCCCAAUCUUCCUUGUCACCCAUUCUUCAACCAACCAAAAAUAAAUCAUAAGAACUACAACCAAAGUGCUAUAUAACGCAUUCCCAAGAAACCCCUCUAUGUAUGAUCUAAACAAUAACUCUAAUAAGCUAAAACAUAAAUCUCAAAAAUAUCAAGGUAGGAACUAAAUUUUUGGUAAGGGUACCUCUCGGAGAUCGAGGAUGUACGGUCGCAAGACAGUGAGAGUAGGUCUUGUCCAACUCCAACCAGGAGAAUCUACAAAGUAGCCACAAUGUAUUCAGAUUAGAAUUCACAUGAGGAUCCAGAAAGGGUUAGCAAACCUCACUGGAUGGCUGGCUGCCCCUGGUUCUAGCAAACCGCCAUUGUUUUUUUGGCAACACUAGAGUACUUGACUAUUAUCUAGGAGUAAACAUCGAGAUUGCACAGAUCAAGUAAUGAUGGCUUCUAUUGUAUCUGAACAAAAAAGAACAGUUCCCAGACAGCAAAUAGAGCACCUGAGAUUACAAGUUGUUCUUUUCAAACAUCAAUUCCAGAAAAAAUAUAUAAGCACUGUAAUCAUUCUGCAGAACGGCAGAUUUAUCUAUGAGUAAACAUCCAUCUAAUUUCUCGUAGUUUUGUGCCUGUAUGAUUCUAGUAUGAAAUGCACUGCAUGAAAUUGAAGGGGGAAAAGGGAAAUAGCAAAGGAAUAGGAUGAGGAACAAAUCAGAAAAUGGAGGAAUCAAACCUCUGGUGGUCGCCCAGGGGCGGCGGCCGGCAAGACGGCGACCUGGGGCGUUGAGCGGCGGGGUGAGAUGUCCGUAGGCUGGCGGGGUGCGACGGGCAGCGGUGUCUAGAGGCGGCGGGUGGCGGUCGUCCAGGGACGGCGGGCAGCGGGCGUCGGGGGGAGGCUGUCCAGGGGCGGCGGAUGGAGGGCUAGUGGCUGGAGGUGGCAUGCCACCGGGGGCAGCGGGCGGAGGUAGUCCUGUGGGAGACGGACGGUUCCGUGGGGAGGAGGCGAUGCGGGAGAGUAGAACGCGAUGAGAAAUAGAAACGAAGCGGUACGUUUCAUAACUGGUGGCAAGGUGGGUAAUUAUUUACCCCAAAAGUACUUUGAAAGCAGGGGGAGGUGCUUUUGGUUUUGUACUAGACCAAAAUCAGCUUUUAGGCAAAAGCACAUGUGGCUUUUUGGCCCUUUGGUUGGCUUUUGGCUUUUGCAAAAGCAAAAGCUGGUCCAAAAGCCCAACCAAAGGCACCCUUAGAUUUGGCUACAUAUUCGUAGUUUGUCUCGGUAUCACUUUUACCUUGUUGAAUGGGUAAUACAUAGAGACUUGGUGCAUCUCAUUACCUACGCAAAAAUUCAGAGUGAGAAAGUUGGUGGUCAUGUUCCCAUUAUGAUUUUAAUCAGAGUUCCAACCGUCCAUUUAGGUAUUAAAGAUCCUAUUACCGUCAAAUCCUCAAAUGUGCAUUGAAUCCUCGUUUGACCAAUAGGAAAAAUUGUAGCAUCACACUCGAACGUUUUGUGGAUGGCUUUUGUGGGGACCCCCUCGGACGUCCACAUUUAAGCAAUACAGUGCUGUGCUCUAGAUCAAUAUCUGGCACCAGCGUAUAUUGAAAUGAUUAUCAGAGUAACAAGAGGAGGAAAUAGGAGGAAUUAUGUCCGUGUUAUCUUCACCUUUAGGGAAUAAUCAAGCAACAAUCAAUGCGCAGCGGAAAGACGAAAGCUGACUCCCUAGGCAACUUGGCAAAACAAGCAAGAUUGAGUACUUUUGCCAGAAGUACUCAGCAAGUAUCUUAACGUAGAAAAGUUAAUGACAUGUAUGGUAAAUCAAGGGAAACUAGGUUUAUAUGCAGAAAAUUAUUUGUAUGCAAAGUGUAACACCAUUUGGGGUUUAAAAAGAGGUAGUUAUUAUUAUUAUAAUAAUGUUGUUUUGGCCCUAGAGGGGGAAACAAGCCUCCCCUAUAUGUUCCCAUAUUUUAAAGGCAGCGACCGUCAGGAUCCUGCUCUUCUCAAAAGCAUGGGCAUCUGCCCCCAAUUCUCUACUUCAUACAAAAGGGUGUGACUAAUCAAAGAGAGUUUUGACCAUGUGAGUUCAUGACCAAGAACCUCGGCUAUUUGAAUAGAUUAAUUAACUCUGCAGAGCCUCUACACUUUACCCAUACAAUCGGGUAGCCCAUACCAAGGUCUUUGGCAGUACUACCCUACGAGGCCCAUACCCACCAGCAACCAUCUUUGGACAACGUCCUCUAGCUCCAUCCACGGAUAACACUGGGGCCUACGCAUGGGCCAUUUCAUGUCCACUCAGGGACACUAACUCGAGAAAAUAGAUGCAUCAUAAUGUGGCAUACAAUGCCACCAGGCCCUAUGGACCUCAACCAAUGACCCGUGUUGGCCGGACCUAGGACUCUGCGAAGGUCCUGCUCUAGUCUAUCCGUUGCCCGCCGUGGCCCCUUGGGAUGAUUUACUAGAUUCUGUAGUGGGGUGUGAAUCAAGUCCUCACAUAAGUAGGCACUCUUGAAGGUUGUACCUUUUUAGCUCGUAUGGUUGCACAUAUACACUGGAAAGACUUUCUUAGUGAGCCAAUCCUUAAAUGACCGGGGUAACGCUGGAUAGGGGCUCCUUGUGAGGUUACCCAACUUACCUUGCGUCCUCCUUAGUUGGUUACUAGUCAAGUUUUAUAGUUCAUUUCCUUUGCCACAACUCAUACCUAAAGGAUUAAAUUGGCAAAUAGAAAAUAUAUGAGAUCUAUUAGGCCUUAGAUAUAAGGCCAUUCCUAGGGUUUUAAGCAAGGAUGAGGAGUAAGGGCUUGCUUAUAGGAAUAUGCUUAACCUUAUAUUUAGGGGGCUUAUGGAAUAUGCAAUAUCACAUUAUUAUCUUGGUUAAUUUUAGUAUUGCAAAAUAUAGCAUGAACAAGGGGUUGGUGUUAACACUUGCCUUGCUUGUCGAGCGGUGAAACCGAAUCCUUAUAUGGAUGACUAUCUCUGAGGUGGAGCGCGAACUUCUCAAGGAGAGAUUAAGUUACUAAUAAACAAAAGAAUAAACAUGCAAUCAAUCACCAAUCGAAAUACUUCAAAGCUCAUGGGAGAGAAUUUUAAGGAAAGAUUCUGGAGGGGGUUGGGUUAUCGAAUAAGACUAAUAUGGCUUUUCCUAAGUUUUCGGCGAUCUCCUAUAUUUCAAGUGAUGUCCCUUAUAUCUUAUGUGAGCUUCUAGGUGUAGGUUCCGGGGUUAGGAGAUAACUCGAUGGUGGUCUUUGUGUUAUAGGGUUUUAGUGAUUAUUUGGGAAUUUUAGUAUGAUUUCUAGUAUAAAGAGAAUAGGGUUAUUUAGGUGGCUCUUUAGUUUUGGGGGUUUGGAACAUGAGUUUGGGAAGGUGAACUCAUGAAUGUGUCUAGAAUAUAUUCUAGUAUUUUUAGGAAUUUAUUGAAUAUUUUUGGGGCUAAGAAAUGCAAAAGGGAGAAUUCGGGGUACACUUAUGGGGCUUUUCUAUUGGCUGAAAAUGGUUUUAUUUAGUUUUGGACCUUAAAGAUGUGUAAAAGGAGAUUGGGUGGUUCUAAUGUGUUUGGGAACCUAAAAUUUUUGGAAAUUUUGGUAGAAUUUUUGGAUAAUUGGAAGUGGGUGAAAUAACAUUUGAGGUACUCUCAAUCGUGUGUACCUAGCAUAUUCGUGUAGUUUGUGAGACCGACAGGUGGGGCCGGGUCAGCAGGUCAGCGAGGCUGUGACGGAGGCGGCUGUGCUAUGGACCUGGUUCGUGGUCCUGUGGACCGGGGUGAACGGAUGAGAGUGGUCCACUAGACUAGGUGUAUGGAAGGGUAGGGGGUGACGCGGUGCUUAUGGGGCAGUGUGCGUGGCGUGUGUGUGUGACACUAGUGCGUGGGGUCGGGGCUGACAUGGACACCACCUAGGUGCCACGUGGGAGCGCCACCCAACAUGGGCACUAGUGUGCGGCGAUGCAAGUAGAGGAGCUCGCCGGAGCUUUUGCCGCCGGUCGCUAUAGGGCGGGGCUCGGGACAUGGAGUGGCCCUACGGCCCAAGGUGUCAUGGCGGUGAGGAUAGGCUAGGUCUCAUCAUGGUUUAGAGGUUGGGGUGGUCGGGACGGCUCACCGGAGUGGUGGCGGUGGUGCGGCCAAGAAGGUAAAUUGGCCUGGGUGGUUAGGCUAGCCGGGAGGUGGCCGGAGCGGCACCGGUGGCUUGCUGGAAUCGAGCGGCGCUACGCUCUUGCGGGGAGGGGCGGCUGGAGAGGGGGCCGGAGCUUGAGCGGGAAUUUUGGCAGCAUAACAGGGUUACCUGCGGUGCCACUAUGGGCAGCGCGACGGCUGGAGCAAGGCGACGGCAUGCGGCGGCUGUGGGGUUGAGCGGCGAUAGCAGGUCAGCGCGGAGCGGCCAGCAAAGCGGCGUUGUGGCGCGGGAAAGAAGGCUAAAGACGUCGCGGCGACCUCGACUUCGACCCGUUCCAGCUCUAGAGGAUAGAGUGUAGCGGCGGGUGGAGGCGGCGAGCUUGGGUUCCUACUCCGGCAAGGGAAGGGAGGCGACUCGUGGUGGUGUGAGGUGGGAAGGUGCCCCGGUGCGGCUCGGGCCAUCGGAUAAGCUCGCCGGCCAUUAAUGGCAUGCGAGUGAGCAGUGCGCCGGUAGGGCCUCUAGCGUGGGUGUGCAGGGGAGCAAGGGAGGCGUUCCGGGCGUGGUUGAGGAGCCAGGGUGACAUGUCAUGAUGAGGCGGCUCCAGAGCGCUGCUCGGAGCAGUGAAUAGCGGACGGGGUGAGGAGAUCAGGGCGACGGUCGUCGCGGCCACGCCGUGACGUCGCGCAUGCAGGCGCGAGCGGCCAAGGUUGUGAGGAAGGGAAGGAGGAUUCUGACAGAGGGAGUGGGCGAGGCGUGGCCGUGGCAGUACGACGCGCUCAUCACGGUACAGGGAGGUGGCCAGGGGAGGCCGAUCCGGUGGGGUCGGGUUCACCGGCGAGGGGGGAUGGAUGGACGAGUGCGUUAGGGGGAGGGAGGAUGACGACAUUGGCGUUGCGGGCUGGCUGGGCCGGCUGGGCCGAGCGGCCUACUAGGCCAUGCGGGAGGGUGGAGGUGAUGGUGGGAGGAGCGUGCCUGGUUUGGUCGGGCUGGGAGAAAGAAAGGGAGUUGGUGGCCCAUUUAGGAAUAGGAGGGUUUAGUUAUUUAUUUUGAAAGGUUUUAGAUUUAGUUUGAAUUCAAAUUUGAGGAUUGUUUUAAGAGCUUUGAAUCACAACUAAGACUCUAGAGCACACAAUGCUUAAAUGUGGGCAUAUGUUGAAAUAAAUUCUAAUUAUUAGGGGAAAAGAAGAAAAUUUUAACAAGUCCUCAUUUGUUAAUGUUUUAAAUUUUUGGGAUGUUAUAGCUUUUAAGAAAAAUCCACGUGUAGUGAUCAUAUAUCUUAAACGGCUCUUGCAUAGAAAACUCGUGUAUGCUCGGAUUUUGACCCUACAUUUUAGUUUAGAGUAAAUUGCACACACUAUACAACUACUUGUAUGGUUGUAUAACUUUUGUCCAAGAAGUAGACAAAUUGUAUAUCGCUUUCGUUACCUCCAAAUGAUGUACAUAUUUGAAAAAUUUGUGUAUCUAUUAUUUGUACAUUUUGGUACUUGUUGGACUAAAGUGAUACAACAUAUGGUGCGUGCAUUUUACUCAUUAGUUUAGGUGGUCGGGACUAAAACACAAGGUAGUGUCCCGUUGAUAUUGAUAUUUUUUCGCUGUAGUCUAACUUGAGCCAAGGCAAGCAAGGUCCAUUUCAUAAUGCGCUCCACUACAAAUUAAAAUCUCCUAGAAUUUACCUUACCCUGACAAAUGAAGCAUUUUUUUUCCUUUUUCUUUCUUCAUUUCCUUUUAAGAAUGAAUCAAUUCUCCGUUUCUUCGUGUAAGUUAAAUGCAAGAAACGUGAAUUUCUUGAGUUUGUAAAUCAUGUGAAGCAACACAGCGACGGACUAGAGACGUAUGGGCUGCUGCCACGCAUACAUAGAUUUCCACGGAUGCAUGAGAGCUAGCUCAAUUUUGGGCUAAAUUAGUUUGCUAAGAGCAACUCCAAGAGUAUAUAAAAAAUUCUUCCCCAAAAUAAGAUAUUGGGAGCUGUGCUAAAAAAUUCCUCCCUAAAAAAUGUACCAGCCUACAGCAGAAUGCUAAAAAGCUAGCCUCCUAAUAUUUCAAAUCAGUCCACGUCAUCGUAUUGGACCCAUUUUAGAAUUCGUUUUUUCCCUUUAAAAAGGAUCACGCCGCCGGCUGGAAACCUCCUGUCGCCGCUGUUGAUUUCCUCACGCCAUCGAGUAAAUUUGGUCCUCUCGCACCAUCGCAACAUCAUCCAGACCCUAUAGCUUGCUGCUAGCUAUUCUUUUGUUGUUUACUAAGUUUAAAGGACGGUGUUCAGAGGAUAUAUCAGAUUCAGUAGCACUGUCAAUAACCUUCCAAAGACACAUAACAAUGUCACAAAGAGCGCCAACGCUGUCAGUUGUCCUCUUUGACUGCAGGAUAGCUCCAUUAUCUUCUUGUUCUGAGUUAAGGAAAGCUAGCAGGUUCUUGUACUCGAGAAGAUUAUCCUACAAAACAGCAAGAUUUGACAAGGAAUUAUUUGUGCAGUAGUACAGAAGCAAAGUAACAGUUUGGAGUUGACGAAAGGUACCUUCUACAAAUUUGUGCCACCGCCCGGUCCAUUGAGGCUAUGCAAUUGGCCAUCAGAUGAGCCAAGGAUAAGAUUUCAAUCAUAAUUCAUAGGUGCCAACUGAUGACGUAUUGAUUCAGUUAAUUCAAUUUGUAGAUGUCAGAAGCCAAGCUCUAAUUGCCAAUUAGCAAUUAUAAACUUUCCACAAUCCAACCUCAAUUAGGAAAAACAAGUUUGCGAGUCUAACCGAGAGCCUUUAACAGACCUGAGCUGCUAUUGAAGUAGGCGACGAGGAGAAUGACACCCUGCAGACCUGAACAGCUAAACCGUCAGCGUCAAAGGAGAGGGGAAUACCAGGACGACGAGGGCAAUGGUGAGCACAGGUGGCGCGCGCGACUUGGGGUGGAGCAGGCCAUCGACGGACGGCAGGCCCUCGUCUGCCACCUGCCGGCUCAGGUUCAGAGACCUCCUAGACAUCCUCUUGCCCUCCCUCCCGAAUCCGGCCAGCCAUAGAAGCGCGUCAGCCGCAGAUCGGAAUCCCCUAUGGCGCAAGGAGGCGGAGGUACCUCUGUCAAUGGCACCGGUCACCGGGAGAGGAGAUCUGCGUCCCGGCCUGCCACCGCAUAGCGCUCACCGGUCGCCGGGAGAGGAGAGCCGGCGCCGGGAGAGGAGGCCGUGCCGCCUGUCGCCGGGAGAGAGCUGCCGCCGGGAGAGAGCGCGCCAAAAAAAAUAGCACGGGAAGGGGGCGCGGGAACGGAGUUCGGGAGGAUUGGGGGAACACCGCGCGUCGCUAAAAUAUGCGGGGUGGUGGGGUGUUUUUUCGCGUCGCUAAUCUUUUGGGGUAGUUUUGGGUGGACUGUUGGAGUUCAUUUUUUCUCUUUUUUUCCCAAAAGAAGAUAUUAGGAAUAAAAUUAGCAGCCUCUUGAGUUGCUCUAAGUUCCUAUCUCCUCUCUUUAUAACGAAACCAGCACCAUGCGCUCAGGCAUAUUAUUAGGCCAAGUUAUCCUGAUUUUUACUACCGUCGGAUCCCGGGCAAAGUUUCAUCCGUCCGUCAUUCUGGAGCUUCUAGCGAUAUGUUCACGACUCUUCGCGAGGGCUCUCCGUUUCCGGUGGCUCGUCCCGCGCCCUAGGCGCUCUUCACCAACCCUCUCGCCUCCUAUACGUCGCCGGCGCUGAUCAAGGGCCCGCCCUGCCACCGCCUUGCGAUCUCUCUCCGGCGUCAACGCUGCGUCCCUGGAGCAGCAAGCCAGCAGUUGACAUCUCUUCCGACAUCCUUUGCACCAAUUGCCGCAUAAGCAGUUGGCCCGAAAUUCCUGCACCUCAACAUCCAAUUCGAGCCCACCAGACAUCCCCGAUCCUCUCGCAUCUUCCAUACCCUCUGCUCUCCCUUUUUCAAUCUAACAAAAUAGUAGCACCAAAUCCAUCACCUGAUCUCUGUUCAUCAUCAUCCAUCGCAAACUCCACUGCGACCGGUCCAUGCCAGCCACUCCCUUCCUCUCUGUGCCACCAAAUCCAAGCCAUGAGCUCACAGGUGAUGCUGGAGUCUGUUUCUUUGCGUAUGCCUUUGAUGCUUAGUGCUUUGAACAUGUUUGUGCACUUCAGAGUUAUGGCAACUUCACCCGCGUGUAGUCAUCCAGCAAGGCAUUCAGUAUUCCAGAGUUAUGGCAACUUCACCCGCGUGUAGUCAUCCAGCAAGGCAUUCAGUAUUAUGCCAAUUUCAGUGUAGUACUUCUAACAAAAGUCAUGUGACCAAUGAACUGUUAUAAAUUUACAUACAUUAUCUAUGUGAUGAGUACAUGCACCUAAGAACUCAAGAUCGAUGCUUCCCCAUUUGUUCUGUACCUACGCAAAUCAAGUAUAACAUAGGAUGGCCAGGUGCAAAGAUUGAGACAUCAGUACUUUGUUUGAAAAGAGAUCGAGGUAUUGGAAUGUGAGGUAUACUUUUACCUCAUCAGACAAUGGUCCACCUUUUUACCGGGCUGACAAAGUCCCAAACAUGUAAUAUUUUACACCUCAGUAUUAUUUUUUCUAAUCAUUCUAAAAUUUCUCUAUUCAUAUAACGUACUUUACCUUUUGAAAUCGUCCGGUUAUAAUAACAACUAAGGUUCAUAAUGGAAAACAAUGAUGUAGUGGUCUUAAGUAAUGAUUAAUGAAUUAUACUGUUCUUUCUAAGUUUAUUUAAACUAUACUCUUAAGCACAUAAGACUUAGAAUCUGGAUUAACUUUGCUUUUAAGAAGAUAAUUCUAAAACCUAUCAAUAUGUUCUGCUUGAGAACUUUCAGAGAACAAAGGAGGGAUCUCAAAAGCUGACCGCUAUCAUUCUUACCGAGCUGCUGGUACUUAACUACCAACAGACACUAUAAAGGUAUGAAAUUGAAUAUAUAUAUAUAUAUAUCUUGUUAUCGAUAUAUAUGAGAAAGAGCUUUUGCAAAUGUAAUGAUAUGCGAAUGUAAAAUUUGCCAUGUUAAAUGGGAUUAUGAUGCCAAAUUUUAAAUAUUGUGUCAGAACUUCCCUUUGAACCUUAGAUUUCAGUACACAAUAUUAUCUGUAUGUUCCAAAUAAGACUUAUAGAGUUGCCCAAAUUCUUUACAAAAAUUCUAUUGCAUGUUCGGCUUCUAAAUCAAACUCUCCCAUCCUUCAGUGUUCAGACAUGCAUGCACCCCAGAAUCUCCUAUGCUAUGAUAGUACAAUAUAACUUUAGACUAUACCAAAAAAAAUAAGCUACAUAGAUCACUGUUCAGGAAUCUCUAACCUCACAGUGCAUCAGAGCUGUGAAUCUACGAACAAAUCAGCCUUAUUUCGUUAAAGCUCCUCCUAGAGCUAUUUAAAUUGCCAGUGCCAACAUGGACACCGAGCGUUGCGGUAGCUGGAGGAAGAUCAAUUCGAGAACAUUACAUAUAAAGGUUUUUACCUACUUAUCAUCAUACUAAAAAGGUUUUUACCUACUUAUCAUCAUACUAAAAAGGGAGGGUAAAUAUUUGUACGAUGUUACGUAUACAUACCACAUAAACUGAAUAUAUACCGGGCCAACCCACUCUACAGCGUGGCAAAGCCGUGCCGGUAUUUCUAGUACCUUUCGUAUUAUACUACAUUUCACGGCCCAUUACAACCAAUUACUAAAGGGCCUGUCAUCUAGGCACAAAUUUAAUGGACAAAUCUAUGGAAUUUCCACAAUUGGAUCCUAAAUCAACGGUUGAGAUCAAUUUAUACUUCAUAUAUAGAAGAAACCAAACCUAAUUCCCUUCCCGGUCCUAUUCCCCGCUGCAACCCCUCACUUUCAUCCCCACUCGCACGGCGUCUCCCCACUCCCUUGUCAGCAUCGUCCUUGGCGACGGCGCGACUCAGGUCAGAUCUCCCGCCGCCCUCCUUCCACCGUUCACCUCCAUCCUCACCUCUCCACCCACAUACCCCUUCCUCGUCACUGUCCUCACGCCACCCCAUACAACUGCUUUUGCACGCGAUUUGUCCAAAGUACGGUGGUCUUGUCACAUAUCUUCCCGACCGCCAUCCUCCACCAUCGCGGCCGGGCGAGCCAUCUCGUCGAGAAGCCCACCGCCUACCUUCACCGCUGACCUCGGCCACCAAAUCAACCUCCCAUAUUCAAAACCCCACGACACUAAUCGCUAAUCAGAAUUCCAACCCUAAGGUAGCUAGAGAAGAAGAGAAGAAGGUGCAGCUGAAGAAGCUGACGUGCUCGCCGGAGAAGAGGGACGCAACUCUCCAAGGCAAGAUCCAAUGGUACGAAAAUUCGAUUUAUUUUGUUUCAGCAAAAAAAAUUCGAUUUAUUUCUACCACUAAUCUAUCUGACACAUAUCUAGCAAAACUCAUUGGUAAUUUUCAUUUUUCUUGACAGAAUACGCUUCGGUCAGCCGUCCGUGUUCAGGGCUUCCGACGAGCAAAGUAGUUCCUCCGGAGUCCGAGUCUCGCCUCUCGAGUCCGAACCCGACCAAGAGCCUCGCAAAAGCCGCGACCCUUCCGUCUUUGCCAUACAAAACUGCCCGUGCCUCUCGAUCGACCUACCUCUGCAUCGACCCAUCACCUCUCUCUCUCUCGGAGUCUCGGAGGCCAUGGAGGAGGAGCACGUGGAUCCGCAAGAUGGCGGCAAGACGACGGUGUCAGUGGAGGAGGAGGAUCCCGAGAUGGCCGGGCCGCCGUUGGGCCGCGUGUUCGACCCCGUCCCCGUCCCGUUCGACGAUCGCCACGUCGUCUUUGGCCUGCCGGCGUUUUUCGACCCGCCGGAGGAGGACUCGGUUAUUAUUCCAGCAGGCGACGAAGAGGAGGAGCUCGCUGACGUCGUGCACGACGAGGAGGACAUGGAGGGUUACGACAUGGAUGACGGCGGCGGCAGCAGCGACAGUGAAAUGGAAGGGAACGACGACGAGCCGGUGAGGUUCUGGGACGGCGAAGCGGCCGGGAGCAACAACGAUUUGGUGACCCGGGAGCUGACCUUCCUCGGCCAGCCGGCGCUGUUCGCCUCCUACCAGGGCACGGCCGGCUUCAUGCGCGUCGCCGCCUUAGAGGCGGCGCCGCCGGCUCCAGGCGAGGAAGCCGGCGGCGGGGUGAUCGCCGUGCACUACCGCUACUACCGCUUCUCGAGGCCCCGUGGCAGGGGGCACGGCGUCGAUGCGCCCAACUACGGAACGGACCUGCACCACGUCCGGUACGUCGUCCCGUUCGCCGCCGACCCAGCGAGCUCGCUGCGCCUCGUCGGCGCGUCGCUGGCCGCCGACGUCUACCCCUACCGCUCCAACGCGCAGCUCCAGGCGCUGUGGUCGGGCAUGGUCGCGGCGGCGCCGGUGCGCGUCCCGCCGCUGGCCAACGAGCUCGUGAUCACCGUCGACGUGGGCGUGCUCCGGAGCGAGGACCGCACGCCAGAGCACAUGGAGUGCAUGCGCUCGGUGCUCGAGGAGAAAGCGCGCGAGGUCGACGCCUCGCCGCCGACGGACUACGGCCAGGAGCAGCUCCUGCCGGCGCCGGUGCGCUGCGACGACGGCGAGCCGGGCGGGGCCGUCGCUCGGCCGGCGAAGCGGGGGAGGUUCGGCGACGUCGCGGGGGAGGAGGUGUGCGCCAUCUGUCAGGAGGUCCUCGAGGAGCGCGGCCUUGCGGCGUGGCCCCGGUGCGCGCACGUCUUCCAUGGCAAGUGCUUGGAGCAGCUCCUCGCCACGGUGCGGCAUCGCUGCCCUAUGUGCAGGAGGACACUGUCAAUCAAAGGCAUGUUUGAUUGAUUGAUUCCUUUGGCGAAUGGCGAUGGAUGAUUUUUGAAGAAGAUCAAGAUGGGGGCGCUGAAGCUAAACAUCAUAUCAGCACUGUGAUCUGAUCCCCCUGGCCUUCUCAGGAUGUAUUUGCGGCCAAGACCUGCAUUCUUCAAUUGGUGCAGUCGCUGUUGUUUUCAUCUGCUUUGGCUUAAUGGCUUAGUCCUUUUCGUAGUCGUAGUUGUUAUCUUGUACUCUUGUCUGUGUAAUGCUAUGAUUUGCCGCAAAUGUGAUUCAGCUAAUGUUACUCUUGCAAACUGCUAUCUGGGUGUGUCAUUGACUAUGGACGCACACCAAUACAAAUAGGGAUGUCUUCUUGAGACACAUGUGGCUAUGUAAUCAAGUUAAAAUAGGGCAUGUGAAAAAAUGUAUCUCCAUUUUAGGUAUAGAAUAUGUGGACGAUGUCCCUUUUAUGUUGUGACAUUAAAACUUGCGAUCUCCUGUGACGAACUGAUUAUUAAAUUGAUACAGGAUGUAUUCUUAAAGUUGAUUUGUUUCAUAGAAGAAUUUGGAAAUUUGAGUUUUGGUUCAUCUCAAUUCUCAAGAUAUAUAUGACAGGGUGUGCCCUUGAGAGCAUGAUUUUGUCAAGAUUGGCUGCUUGUUCAUCUGUGAACUGAUACAACUACUGGAGAAGUUGUGGUUAGGAGGGAGCAUAGGAGGUUCCAUGUCCUUCGCCCUUUUUGCUGGUGAGUUCUCCCACCAUGUGAACAUCCGCAGGAAUAGAAUGCCUUCAUAAUUCACUCACUCUCAUUCCUGACUUAUUAACUAAAUUGUGCUGACUGUUUCCUCUGUUUUGUGCUGUAUGGUUCAAAAUAUUGCAUUUUACUGUUCUGUGAAUCGUGAUUUGUUUGUUAUGCACUUCAGUGGUGCUGUUGCUGUUGUGCUACUUUAUCCCAAAUUUUACCGAUGUUUCUUGAACCGGUCAGCUUGAUCCAACUUGAAGUAGAGGUCGGAUUGCGACCUCGUGGAGUUUUUUCAUGUCCGGGACAGAGCGGAGAUCGCCGCGCUGCCGAUUUUGCCGACUUUCUCGACGAUGUCGUCCAGAACCUCGGAACGGGUCGCACGACCAGGAAGUUGGCCUUCUAUCGUGGCUGGCGAAGGUCCGAGUUGUCAGGACCGUUAGCGAUGCAGAUCCAGUAGCCAAAACGAACAUUAUGCUUUCCUUGAAUGAUAAUCUAUCAACGGAUACCCAAGUAGUAGAUUGGCUGGUGAGGUUUCACGAGAUCAGUAACUCGAUGGUGAACAUGAGGCAAAAUUUAGAGAGGUUCAGGCAACCUAGAGAGCGUAAUACCCUACGCCAUGUAUUGCCUUGUGUUGGGUCAUGUUUCGGAGGAUCCCUACCUCGCUAUAUACACACGGCGGGCAGGGUUGUGAGCCUGUUUGUACAUGUUUUGUGUCAGUUAUGAUAAGAAGAGGCAUGGUGUUAUUACCAUCUAGAUUGCUCUAUUGUCCGACUAGUUCUCCUUUCCGUUGCUACGCUAACUUUACAUCGUAGUAGCCUCCUCCUAGAGUAAUUGGGCCAGCCCAUCCCCUUUUCCAGGAUGGUCUAGCCCUCUUAGGGACACCAUGCAUCCUGAUCCGUUGAUAUAUUAGGUGUCUAGCCCUCUUAGGGACACCAUGCAUCCUGAUCCGUUGAUAUAUUAGGUGUCUCACCGAUCAGCAACUGUGAUCCAUUACAUUAUUGCAUAUGGUUGUAUGCCCAACCAUAACAUCAUAUUAAAUUCACUAGAUGGGUUUGGACGCAUUCGUGUUUUAAAGAUACUAGCAAUAUACCCGUGCGUUGCAACGGUAAACAUGGCACAAACUUAGUUGAUAAUUUGAUUUAUAAUAACCCAUAUCAAUUAUUCUAAAGAUUUUUAGACUUCAAAUUUGUGCAUAAGUUAGGCUCAUUCACGUGACGGCACCACGCUUUGAAUGGAGUCGCAAAGAUGCACAACCAGAAAAACACACAUCAAAUCACACAUACAGCAAAUAUGCUCUCCCCUUUAUCUAGUGGUGAGGAACAGGGUGGUAACGGACCUCUACCCCACGGCCCCCGCCGCCACCGAUGGGGCCACACCAUCCACCGGCUGCAGCGUGGCCGGAGGCAGCUCGCCCCCAUGGUUGUUGCGGCAGCCUGCCGGUGGCCAUGGCACCAAACAAGUGCUGCUUAGUGAUCACUCUGCUGAAGAUAAAAUAGUAAAUCAGUUACACAGAUGCUCAUUAUCAUUCCAAUAAAUCACUCUACAUUAAAGGUAGCAUAUCAAACUAAAGGAAUAGUAUUGAUAUAUACAUAAAAAUUCAAACAGCUAGAGAGAAUGGUAUUGAUACAUAAAUAUUCUAAGAGCUACUAAAGGAAUUGGCAACUGAUCAAUUUGUGUUUGAGUUGCACAUGAUCAAAACCCAUUAGCGUGCAACAUCCGGCAAAACAAGAGGCCUAAAAGUCCUUGGGCGCAUGCAAAAGAGUUCUGAGGUGCAUGCGAGCUGUACUGCUCUAUGCCUCUAUCAACUAUCAACCCAGCUCACUACACUGACACAAUGAUGACCCAUAGCGAGGAGCUGAGGACAGGGUGUGCUGUGUGCAUCGACGGCAGCACGUCUCCUUGAAGUGCUCCACUACUACUCUUGAAGUGCUCCACUCUACUACUGCGCACAAUGGAGUAGAGUUAAUAAACUUGUGAUCCACAAAUAUUGCAUCAUGCACAAUUAAUGUUAGAUGCAUUUUCAAAAUACUAUUUUCACACUUGCUCUCAACGAAGAAAAGAACAUAUUUGGGAUUUCAGCAAACAAAAAGGAAAUUUAAAUCAACUGCUUUGCCAUUUCACAAAUGAUAAGCUAUGACUUAUUGUAUGAAUUCAUCCUUUUGUCUUAACCUUUAUCUUAAUAAAACACCAAGUAAAUAUGGAUAAAUUAAUAAUUGUCACCAUAAUUUAGUAUUUAUCAAGGCAUUGAAACCUCACUUUCCAGGUGAAAUAGACCCUCAUCAGUCAUCACCAAUCUUGCGUGGGUCUAAGUCUAAGCACUCGUUGAUCAAUUCUGAAAGGAACAAGGGCAUCAGAAAAAAAAGUAUUUCCCCAUUAUGCAUCAAUUGAUACACAAUGAAAUAUAAAUUCUGUUGUACUUGAAAGGUACAAGCAUCUCUCACAAGAUAUUAGGUAGAAGCAUAUUUCCGACAAGAUAUUAAAGUUAAAUGCUCUUUGUAGGUGUAUUUAUGACAAGAUAUUGAUAGCCUACGAUUUUAAUUAUGAAUACAGUCAAGAAAAACGAUGAACCACUUUCCUAAACAGAUAAUUGAGUUUGCCAAAAGUUUUGUAAUCUGCAUCGUGUUUACGUUCUAAGUUCUCACAGCUGUCGUUGCAUGUGCCACACCAACUUCAAUUCAGCAAGACCAAUAAAGGCCAGUCCUACAAUAGAAUAAUUUUUUAGUCUGUUAGUGAUGUUUUAGUAUCCAAGUGGUUGAUUUGAAGUGGUUCAUGCAACAAUCUAAAUGAGUAUUACUGUAGAGUUCAUAGCUAGAUGUGUACACAUAGGGAAACAGGACUAAAUAAAUUCAUAAAAAAGUAAAACUUGGUCAAAAACAUGCUGCCUCCAAUCAACUAUUUUCUUUUGAAAUUAAGAAUAGAAUGAUAUUGUGUUCACCGCACCAGCAACAAGAGAAAUAAAAUUUUUUGUUCCUUUCAUGCUGUAUAUACUAUAUAGUAGCUGAAAAGUAUUAUCAGGUUAUCUUUGUCUGACACUUGGAAACAUUCAUGUUGUGUAUUAAAACAAGAACUCUUAAUCGGAUCCUAAAUCAUUCUCUUAUCAUAACAUAUGUUAUGACAAUUGUAGAUAAUUAGUGGUAAUGGGCACUAUUUCCACGGGCAAAGAGAUUAAAUAUAAGAUUUUUUUUGCAGAAGUGACAAUUGAUAGCACAGUAGGUCCAGAAGACACAAAACCUGAUAUAACCUCUAAAGAAACUGCAGUGACUCCAUAGCCCUCCAGAUUGAGAUGAGCUAACUUGUGUAGACCUGAAUUGAAUGAGCCAACAAUAAAACACAUGGAGUAACUUGAAAUGAAACCUCAUUUUACUGAAACUAAAAGCAAUGAGUUAGUAAAACAAGUAAAUAGACCUAAGAAAGCAUGUGACUUUAAUACUGAAACCCACCGAAAGCAAUGAAACCCACCAAAAGCAUAGUGCAAACCUGAUUGAAAUGCUGCCGUCGCUGUUCAUCUGAGAGAAGAAACAGAGGCUUGCUGCUGCUGCGUGCCUGCACUUCACCAAAACAAUACAUGUGCCCAAGAGCAAAAAACUGCAGGCGCUGAUGCUCCUCCUGUCACUGCACCAUAUUACCUAUUGAACAUAGAAAUAGAGCUCUAGCAAAACCAAGCCGAGCUGCAGCUAUUACCAAGUGAAAGAAACAACACUAAAAGCCGGGGCAAUGCUGAUGGCCUACGUUCAGAAGUGAAGCUUCAAGAGCUUUCGAGCAAAGGCAUAGAGCAGAGCUGCCAGAUCAAGCUCCAAGAGCAGAAGCCAGAAAUCUAAACAGCGGAAAAUGAGAAAUUCGAUGAGGGAGCUUUUGCUGACAGAAAAUAUGUGGCACCGGAACUGAGGUCCAGCGCCUCCAUCUACGUGAGCUUCGCGAAGGAUGGCAGCAGGUCGCCGUCGAGACCGUUGUUGAAGAGCACCAGAAAUCUGAGGUUGGACAAAUCGCCAAUGCAGUCAGGAAGCGCGGCAUUGAGGUUGUUGUUCACCGCGCGGAACGCCCACAUCGCCGAGCAGUUGCAGAGGCGGCCGGGGAUGCCGCCGUGGAGCGUGUUGUUGCCGAGGUCCAGUAGCUGCAGGCUCCUCAGGUCGCCGAGCUCCGGCGGGAUGCCGCUGGUGAAGUUGUUGUCGUACAGUACGAGCUGCUCGAGCUCGCCGAGGCGGCCGAGCUGCGGCGGCACGGUGCCGCCGAAGCGGUUCGAUGUCAGGUCGAGGACCUGCAGCGUCGAGAUGUUGCCGAGGAACGGCGUGAGCAUGCCCCGGAGCUCGGUCUCCAGGAGCUGGAUGGACGUGAUGUGGCCGGCGCCGUCGCAAGCCACGCCGGUCCAGUUGCAGAGCGUCGCGAAGGCGCCACCGGCACCGCCUGCCCGCACCAGUAUAUGUUCCGAUUCCGUCUCGAUGCAGCUUCUGUUUCUCGAUUCCGUCUCCAAGCGCGCGGCGGGCCGAAUCGGCGGGUGAGGCAACCGGGAGCGAACUGCGGCCGCCGCGGAGCGGGGAUCAGGAAAUACUGCCGAGAUCGAGCGAGAACACGAACUGGAGGGACCCCAUGGGCCUCCACCCUGCGCUGCCGCAAGCCCCCGCCCCUGCCGCCGUCCCCUUCGCCGGCCCUCCCGACGCCGCCGCCACCGCUCCACGCCUCCAUCGUCGAGGUCGCCGAGGAGGACCACACAGCCGACCUCCCCGAGGAGCUCCCUCGUCUGGCGCCAGAUUCGUCGCCGCCUCCAGCGCCUCCUUCACCGAGGUGAGGAGGAGAGAGGACCUCCCUUCACACUCUCCCUCCUCCCAUUCUUCACGGCUGCGGCCGAGCCUAGGACACCGGCCGCCGCACCACCGACGCUGCCGGCCGCCCGCGCCCAGUCUCCCUCCGCCUCUCUGUUGUGAAGAAAGGAGAAGUGUUUUUCCCGUUAACCCCCUCCCUUCCCUUCUUUUUCCACCCGAGCUCCCCUCUUUUCAACAUUUGGACUGCGGGUUGAUUACUAAAAAUUCAAGGGACUUUUUUGCAAAAUAACCACGACGGACGAAAAUUGCUGGCAGAGACGUUCCUUGCUUCAAUAAUAGGUAUAGAUAUAGAUAUUUGAUGCUGCUAGUUUGGGUGUUGCAAAAUUCUAUCCGGUAGUUUCGUUGAGUAUGAAUAUACAACCAAUACUCUAGAUUUGUUGAAGAUGUAUUACAACCUAUAUUUUUCAGUAUGGCUAAAAUUCUCAUGGUAUGCUGCUAAUUGAAUUUCAAAAUACUGUAGGUUGCAGGUACACCCAACUGAGAGAAGACAUGACAAAAUUGACUUAAAUAAGCAAUCACAGUAUUUUAUUUAUGAGCAGCCAUCUUAAAUAAUGUCCGGUUGGCACUGCUUACAGGGCUCAAGAACCUUGAGGCAAACAUUUGAUGGUACAUUUCCAAUAACACCGGUGGAAAAUCCACCUUUAGUCCUAGUUAGAUAGGGUUAUAGAUUUUGAAAAUCCAACCGGAAUUACGUACUCGAGAAAAAAGGGAUUAUCUUUAAUCCCGAGUCAUUCACCCGGAACUAAAGUUGGGACUAAAGACCCCCUUACCAACCGGGACUAAAGGGGUGGUCACAUAGGUGCAAGCACGCACCCCUUUAAUCCGGUUGGUUUUACACAAUUCUUAGUAUAUUAUACACAUCAAACUAGUAUUUAUAUAAGUACUAUAUAUAUAAUAAUUUUUCCACUUCAUUCUUAGGAUCCUCCCGUGGUGGUGUUGAUCGGUUCAGCUAUUGAAUGUCCAUCAUAAUAAAAUUCUCCAACGGGAUUUAUCACCUCGUCCACCAGAAAUCCUAUGAGAGCUUUUUGGAUUGCCAAAAGUCUAUCCUUCUCCAAGAGUUCUUCUCUAAUAUGCAUCCUCUGUAAUUUGGAAAUAUUUGAAUGUUACACCAACAAUUAAAUAUAAGAAGCUAGAAAAUAAUUAAUUAUUAAUAUCUUUAUUAUGCGUACAUGUAUAUUUUCCAAUGAUAUCACUUUGUCUCGCAUAAAACAGUUCAUGUGCUCACAGAUGUAGUAUCCACAUAAAUUAUUGCCUUGUUCCUGUCUCAAGCACUUUAGCGGAGAAAACAAGUUAUGAAAUAUUCAUGUUAUAGAAUGUAGAAAAUGUGCAAACUUCAUACGUACUGGGAACGUUGUAGUGAAUGUAAGUUUUUCUUUGAAUUCACCACGGUGAGUUUUACGGAAUUUCUUCCAUGCGCUGCCAAUUAAAAUAAUGAAUGAUGCGGUGUUAGGUGAAUAUUUAGGAAACAAACUUUUGCAUAUAGAUAAAGGUCCUGAAUUAUUACAAGUUUAGCAUGUCUUGAAUGUUUUUGCACUCCGCCGGUGGUUCCCUCAAUGAAUCGAACACAAUAACAUUGCUUUUAUCAAUCAAAAUUAUGAGGAGAAUCCAGUGGAAACUCUGUACAUAAAUGUUCAUAUUAGAACUAACUAAUACUAAUUAGGUAAGGAAAAGGAAAAUAAAAAUAAAUGGUACCCACACUUGCAUGGCAGUUGUAUGUAUUGCUUCUAAUUUUGUUGCUCCAAGAAAUUGUAUGUUGUGUCCGGCGGACGGCGGCGCGGAUGGCGGCCAGGGUGCAUGCAGACAGCGGUUGGGGCAUGGCCGGGUCGCGGACGGUGGGACUGUGGCCCAGGGGGGCGAGCAAAGACGGCGAGCGGCGGAUCCACAGAAAUGAUGGAGACGAGGCAGGGGAGAAGGGGGCGGAUGCUUUAAACCCCCUAGUCCCGGGUUGACUUUGCAACCGGGACUAAAGGGCCUUUAGUCUUGGUUGCAAAUUCAACCCGGGACUAAUGGGUGCUUUUCACGCGGGAGAUGAAAAAGCACCCUUUACUCCCGGUUGGAAACUGCAACCAGGACAAAAAGGCCCUCCUUUUUCGUUUCCCGCUGCUUUUCCAGUUUUAAUUUAUAUAUGUUUUAAAUUGUUUUGCACCGGUUUUGUUACAGAAAAAUAAAGACUUUACAUAUUUUGAACAUGCAAAAAUAUAUUAAAUUAGCAAGUAUAUUUAAAAUAAGUUUGAAUCAGUCAUUAAUUCUAUACUAGUUGAUUAAGUUUCUAAAAUAAUUAUUUGAAUGCAUCACUAUCAUCAACAAACUCUUCAAUUAAAUAAUUUCAACGCACAAAAAAUGCAAUUGAUGUAUGUGGUUAAGUUAACAUUGUUUAUAUUGAUCAAAUAAAUGUUCACCAUAAAGCAUUAUAAUAUAAUUCAAAGAUUCUGAUGGCCAUAGAGCAUUACAUAAAGGUGCACCAUAUUUAGUGCAUUACAAUAUAACAUCAAAGGUUCCUUGGUCAUGAUCACGACAAAGGUAUAGAGCCUCUUAUUUGCCUAGCAUGAUGCUUGGGUCAACUUCGACAACAAAUGGAGGCGUACCAUCAAACUGAUCAUAAUCAUCUGACUAGUCUAUUUUUUCCUUGACUCCCACAAUUUUUCUUCUACUUAGAAGAACUAUGUGACACUUUGGCUGCUAUGUUUUUCUUUAUCCUCUGAAUUUUUUUAGGUUUACUAGACAUGUCUUUCACAUAGAAAACCUGAUGCACAUCAUUGGCAAGGAGGAAUGGUUCAUCACUGUAUCCAAUCUUGGUCAGGUGCACUAUUGUCAUUCUAUACUGAUCUUUCGUUAUGCCACCUCUAGUUAACUUCACCCAUUGGCAAAGAAACAGAGGGAUGUUCAGCGGUCCGUAUUCAAGUUCCCAUAUCUCCUCUAUGAAACCAUAAUACGAGUAAUUGCUCCUGUUGUUGUUUCUGGCAUCUAUGCGGACACCACUAUUUUGGUUGGUGUUUUUUUGGUCUUAGGCUCUCGUGUAAAAUGUAUAACCAUUUAUCUCGUAACCUUGGAAUUUCACGAUUGUGCUAGAAGGUCACCUAGCUAACCAAGCAAGUUGUUCAUGAAUUGUGGAGUUACCUAUAAGAUGUUGACCCAACCAAGAGGGAAAAGUAUCCAUGUGAUGACGUAUAAUCUAAGUAUCGGAUUUCGUCGGGUAUUGGAAAAAUAGAAUCUGCUUGUGUUCCUCGAUAUACGGAGCCACAAAGGAUGCUUGUUGCAGAAUCGUGAAAUGUGCUUUAUGGAACAAAUUAGUAUCAUUGUUCAAUAACAUCCUCUAUUCCAUAUCCCUUGGCAAUGCUUCCUUCUAGAUGGGCAUGAUUAAGAACAUAAUUUUUUAGACUGACAUGAACCUCUCAAAAGGUCACAUAUUGUGCAGGAAUACUGGACCGAGGAUAGUAAUCUCUUUGACUAGGUGAAUCAGGAGGUGCGUCAUAAUAUUGAAGAAAGAUGGUGGAAAUACCAACUCAAAGCUGACAAAACAUUGUACCACAUCGUUCUAUAGCUUUAGUAGCUUGGUUGUAUUGAUUGUCUUCUGCAAAAUCGCAUUGAGAAACGUGCAUAGCUUUACGAGCACCAAUUGUACAUACUAUGAUAGAAUACCCCUUAGUGCAACCGGAAGUAACUGGGUCAUCAACAUGUGGCAGUCAUGGGCCUUGAGAUUUGUGAACUUCUUUUUUCUUUCAUAUUUAUUAUUUCCUUUAUAUUCAAGGAGUACCCAGGUGGAACCUUGAUACUAUUCAUGCAUUCAAACAUGCUAUCCUUCUCUUACUUACUGAGAGUAUAACUGGUAGGACGUAGGCAAUGCUAUCCUUUAUCUUUCUUUUUCGGAUGUAGGUCAUCUCAUUGCUUCAUACAUUUCAGAUCCUGUCAUGCUUCCAAUGUAUCUUUUGAUUUCCCAUAAUAACCCAUGAAGCCCAGCACGUUCACGCACAGAUUUUUCAUUAGCUGCAUCACGUCUAUUGCAUUGCGAAUCUCUAGGAUCCCAAUAAGCUAACUCCCAAAAUAUAGACUUCUUCUUCCACAUGGGUGCACAUCCAUUAUUGUUGUUCGGAAUAGGUUUGCUACCAAGACCCUUUCCAAAGCCUACCCUUACAUCCUUUAUCAUCUCAAAUACACGUUUUCCAUUACAGUGUGCAGGUUUUUUAUGAUGGUCUGGCGCCCCUUUGAAAUGCAUCCCUUUCUUUCUUAACGGGUUGUUAGCAUGAAGAAAUCGACGAUAACCCAUAUACACGACCUACCUACAGUGUUUCAAAUACAUGCUAUCUAUGUCAUCUAAACAGUGGGUGUAUGCCCGAUAGCUCUUAUUUAUCUGUCCUGAAAGGUUACUUAGCGUAGGCUAAUCAUUGAUGGUUACAAACAACAAUGCUCAUUAGUCCAAGCUCCCUUGUUUAUCCUCAUCCCACACACACACCUUUUUCCUUCCAGAGCAGUAAAAGUUCAUCAACCAACAGUUUUAGGUAGAUGUCAAUGUCAUUGCCGGGUUAUUUUGGACCUUGAAUAAGCACCGGUAUCAUAAUGAACUUCCGCUUCAUACACAACUAAGGAGGAAGGUUGAACGUACAUAGGGUCACAGGCCAAGUACUAUGACCACUACUCAACUCACCGAAUGAAUUGAAUCCAUCAGUACUUAAAACAAACCUUAUGUUUCUUGCGCCACUUUCAAAGUCCAUGAAUGCUUUAUCAAUUGAUCUCCACUGGGUCCCAUCCGUGGGGUGUCUCUGCAUCUCAUCUUGCUUACGUUCUUCUUUGUGCCAUCGUAUCAACAUAGCAUUAACCUUGUUUCUAAACAAACGUUUCAAAUGUGUUAUUAUAGGGGAAUAACACAUCACCUUCGCGGAAACUCUCUUCUUGGAGGUUGCCUCUCGACAUCACCAGUAUCAUCUCGCCUGAUCUUAUACCGUAGCGCUCCGCACACAGCACAAGCAUCCAAUUUCUCGUAUUCAUCACCACGAUAGAGGAUAUGAUCAUUAGAGCAUGCGUGUAUUUUCUAAACCUCCAAUCCCAGAGGGCAAACAACCUGUUUAGCUUCAUAUGUUGUGGACGGAAAUUCAUUAUUCUUAGGAAGAAUGUUCUUUACAAUUUUCAAUAUCCCCUGAAAUACCAUAUCGGACACACUAUUUUUUUGCCUUCUAUUAUAGCAUUUCCACCGUGGUACCCAUUUUUUAUGCCUCUGCUUGCAAUCUAGGUACAACAAUUUUUUGUGAUCAUCUAUCAUGCGCUGCAACUUUUCCGAUUUCUUCUCAGUUUUGCAGUCUCUCUGUGCAUCCCGUAGCACCUGACCAAGAUCAUCAAUAGGGCCAUCUUCUACAAACUCUUCUUCAUCAACCUCAUCCAUUGUAGUAUUUGCAAAAGCUUGGCCUGCAGCCCAGUUUAGAAUAUUGUUAGCAUCCUCCUCUUCUUCGCCAUCUUCCAUUCUAACCCCUUUUUCGCCGCGAUUGGUUCAAACCAAAUAGUUAGGUAUGAAACCGUAUCUAAAUAAGUAGCUGUGAACAGUCCUUCAGGAAGAGUAGUCUUUCUUGUUAGUAUAUUAGAAGCAUGGACAACAUAUGAAUUCCUUCUCUGGUUUGCUGGCUUUAGCCACUUCAAGAAAAUAAUGCAAGCCAUCAACAAACUCCUUGGUCUGUCUAUUCACGUUAUACAUCCAUUGCCGAUCCAUCUGCAUCAUGUUACGUGAUAAAUGGAUAUAGGUCUUCAUAUUAGAUAAAAAACUUGAUCAAUAUUGAUAAUUUACACCAAUCAACAUUCAUAAAUUUAAAAAUAAUUCACAUGAAAAUUACACCAAUCAACAUUCAUAGCAUUCACUAGGUCGACAAAAAGAAAAAUGCUAGAAUUCUAGAACAGGACAAUAAAGAUACAUAUACACUAAAGAUUAUAGACACUCCAUAAUAGACUUCAUGUAGUCAAUUAUCCUCGAAUAAUGGUACAACAUAGCAGAAUGUUCACCCUCCAAGCUAUCUCUGCACAUGACUCAAUCUUCUAUGCAGUCUAUGGAGAGUCAUCUCCGCUCCUUCAGUACCAGAAAAUAAUGGUACAAUAGAGGAUCUUUGAAUCCACAUACUCAGGCUGUACAAAGGAAUCUUUAAAUAAUUGUCCAAAUGUUUUUUUGAGUAAGUGCCACAUUCUCAUAAUAGAAGUAUGGUGGCACACAAUAGCCCAUCCAGGCAAAAGAUCUACUCACUGAGCAUGGCCCUUUUUGGCAAGCUUAAAACAACCAAAAGUUGAUGGGUCAAGGUCGUGAACAGAUCUCUGCCUGAACAUGUUAUUGGGCCACCGUAUUUCUAUUAUGAGAAUGUGACUUUAAGAGUGCCUUUGGUUGGGCUUUCCAACCUGCUUUUGCUGUUGCAAAAGCCAAAAGCCAACCAAAGGGCCUAAAAGCUCUACGUGCUUUUGCCCAAAAGCUACUUUUGCUCUAGUACAAAAUCAAAAGCACCUCCCCCUGCUUUCAACUGCUUUUGGAGUAAAAAAUUACCCACCUGCCACUGAUUAUGAAGGUAAAGAUUCAUUUUUUGCCCCGAUCUUUUCUCCCGUCGCCGCACCCCGCCGCCUGUCGCCACCGGACGCCGUCCGCCGGCCCGCCAUCUGCCGCCCCCGGUCGCCGGUCUGCUUCCCGCCGACCCGGCGCCCCCGGCCGCCCGCCACACCCCCGCCCUCGGACGGCCGCCGCCCAACGACCCCGACCACCGCCGCCUGACGCCCGUCGCCCCAGGUCGCCGGCUGCUGGCCAGCCAUCCGCCAUCCGCCGGCCCGCCGUCCGCUACCCUCGGUCGCCGGCCCGCCUCCCAGCGCCCCCGGCCGCCUGCCACAUCCCGCCCCCUGGACGGCCGCCGGCCCGGCGCCCCCGGCCGCCCGCCACACCCUGCCCCCCGGACGGCCGCUGCCCGACGACCCCGGCCGCCGCCCGUCGCCCCCGGUUGCCGGCCGCCGGCCAGCCGUCCGCCGCUCCCUGCUCAUCCAUGUUGAAGGAUGGCAUCCUUAUAUAGAACUUUUGAUGGAUAUAAUUCUAUUUAUGUGGACCAAUCACUUUAAUGGAUGAAAAAUAUAUAAAAUUUAUUUUGUUACGAGUAAUUUGCAUAUAAACACACUCAUGGACCUUUAGGAGCAUUACAGAUAUUUCUUACACAGCCUACAGUUUCACAGCUCCUCGAACCAAACGGUCUUCUGCUUUUCCCACAGCUACUUUCUCACAGCUGAUUUUCCACAGCCAACAGCUCACAACAGCUUUUCCAAAAGCCACAGCCCAACCAAACACACCCUAAAAGGUGUUUGGAAAACUAUUUCAAGAUCAUUUUAUGAUAUUCAACCCGAGUUCAUGGAUUCGAAGUUCUUCCAUUCUACCAUUAUUUUUGGAUUCUUGACUCCGUGAAGUCCACUUUGGAGCGUCUGUAGUCUUUAUUAGUGUAUCUUUGUUGUCCUGUUCCACAAUUGUAGCAUUAAGUUGAUCGGUGUAAUUUUUAUGUCACUCUAAUUUAACAUGCAAACUUUCCAAAAAAUUGUAGCAAUGACCGAAUUCUAUUUCUUACACCUACAAUAUAUUUAUAAACUAAUCAUACAAACUAAAAUAAUGGUACAAUACAGCAGAAUGUUCACCAUCCAAGCCAUCUCUGCAUAUGACUCAAUCUUCUACGAGAGCCACCUCUGCUCCUCCAGUACCAUAGAAUGGAGAGCCACCUCUUCUCCUCCAAUACCAUAGAAUAGUGUAAGCACAUUCAUGCCAUGUGCAGACACUGUUCUCUGGGAUUGGAGGAGCCGAGGUAGUACAUCCAUUGCCGGUCCAUCUGGAUCGUAUUACGUGAAAAAUGAACAUAGGACUUCGUAUUAGAUAAAGAACUUGAUCAAUAUUAGGUAGGGAAAAAAUAGAUAGAGAAAAAAUAGAGUAAAUGUAUUUAUAACCAAACGUAGGACGACAGGGUCCGACCCAUUCCGAGCUCUUCCGACCCAGUAACCAAACACAUCGUGUGUCAAACAAAAAAUUUUCUCUGUGAAUUUAGCGCUUAAUAAAGUUUAUGCUCGAGCUAGGCUUCCUCAUCUCGAGCAUCCGUUCCGUUAUUCACCGACAUUUUUUCGCAACAGGACCAAUCGCCCAAUCCGCACAUCAUGCAGACGUAGUCGGGGAGGCCGGAGCAGAGUUCGAAUUGAUACUAUUUGGGGAUGAAUGGGUCGGAUCGGAUAUGGCCCAUAUGAAUAUUCCUACCGUCUGGCGCUCUCUUAAGCCCGGUACAUCCAUCCAAGUUCUGAAGUUCUCUCUUUGUGAAUCGUUAUCCCUCAAAAAGCUGCAAACUUUGAGGCUAGGCGGCGAUAGGGUGGGAGGCCAGGAGCGGCAGGCUAGUAGCGGGGCGCAGGACCGCUGGCAAAAGCUGGGUGAAUGAAGAUGCAUUUCAUGAUAAAUAUAAUAAUAUUUACUUGAUAUCAUAAAUAUUGAUACCUUUUAUUCCGAAAUUCUAUUUUUUUAAGCAAUUUGCCUACUCUCUCUGUAGUGUUGUCACACAAGAUAAGCACGCCGCCCGCCUGCUGGCCGGGCGAAUCGAAGUUAUCUUCCGGAAUUCAGUGAAUAGAAUAGGCCUCCAUACUUGCCCAACAUGCACGUUAGAGAAGUGCCUCUACUUAUUUAUUUUUAUUUUAUUUUCUAAAGGAGUGGAGCUCGUAUUAUACACCUUGACCCCACCUUUUUUUAAUCCUUCUAGACAUUUGUUGUUAGAUAAGAUAAGUCCCAUGUUUCUUGGAUUAUUUACAAGCGGUGUUCAAGCUCUUAUUUUUGCUUCUAGGCAAACCUCCUGGCCGUCUUUGCACCCCCACCUCCUUUAUCACCUGUCUGGUCCGAUCGUUUAGCGGCUCUUUCUAAGAGACGAACUUAAAAUAAAUUAUUGUAAUUUUUUACCAAGUGUUGUGAUUGGCUUUGGCUGCAUUUGCUUCAACUCAAUUGGCUAGGUUGCCUCCGAGGAGCCGUUGAUUGCCGUUACCGAGGAUAUCCUCUUGCUAUCUAUGGUUGAGAAAUAGAACCAUCUGAUUUGAUUCGUUCCCAAUAGUCACGAGAUGAUCAUCUAUUUUAUAAAAACAAGAAAAGAGCAAGGAAUUGAGCAAACUUAAGAUGGUUUGAUUUAGGUAAAAAUUAGAAUGAGUUGUUUUUUUUUGAAAAAAAAGGAAGGGAGUACACCUCCCAGUAGAAGUGGAAGAUACCUUCUAGCCACAAACUGUUUUGAAUGUCAACCUGCGUAACACAAGUACACAACCACGCAGUGCUCAUAUUCGAUCGCACACGACAAACGUCGUCAGGCAAACGGAGUCCGAGUGUUUCAUGAAAAAAAAAAGAACCCGGAGUCCGCGGUCGAAGAGGGAGACUCGGAACUGAAAACACAAGCGAUCUACACGGAUGGAUCGGAAGCAUCAGCCCGUAAUAAAUAUGACUGCCGGCUGCCGCUCUCUGUCAUUGAUCCAAGCUCUCAAUUCGUUGUCCCUCAGCGAACCGCAGACUUCGAGGCGAGGCGACGGCGGGGUGCAGAAGCUAGCCGGGAGGCCAGAGGAGGGGCGGGCGGCGCGCAUGGCCAGGCAGGCCAUCAAGAUGACGGUGUCGGCGGGGGAGCCCGCGGUCGCAGCGCCACCACCCGUGCCUGUCGCUGCUGGCGGCGACGUUCUUGCUAGCGGCGGCGGCGUUGCGAUCGGUCCGCCGCCAUCAGAACACGAAAGGGAAGAGGAAGACACGGUUGUCGGCGCGGAUGACGGUCUCACAGACGUGGACUUCAGCGACGAAGAGGACGACGACCACGAUGACACCGACGACGAGGACGUCGACAGCGACAGCGAGUUCGAAGACGAGGAAGGCGAAGCGGCGGCCCCGGGAGUCGUCUUGCUGGCGACUUCAGUGUUCCUUGGGCGGCUGACGCCGUCGGCCUCCGUCCAGAACACGACUGGCUUCAUGCGUCUCGCCGCCGCGGAGGCCGCGCCGGGCGAGAACGGCGGCGGCGGCGGCGAGAUCCUCGUGCACUACCGCUACACCCGCUUCUCGAGGGCGCAGAGCGGGGGCGACGGCGUCGACAUGCACUUCCUGGGCCCGAAGCUGGCCCGCGUGCGCUUCCACCUCCCCUCCCACCACCCCGCCGCCACCGGCCCGGUGAGCACGCUGUUGUCGCUGCGUCUCGCCGGCGCCACUCUGGCGGCCCCACUCUACCCGGCCCGCUUCAGCGCGCAGCUCCGGGGCCUGUGGACCGGCCUGAUCGCCAAGGCGCGCGUCCCGCCGGAGGCCGCGCGCCUGGUGGUCGCCGUCGACGUGGGCAUCCUCCGGCCCGGGGACCGCACGCCGGAGCGCAUGAGGAGCAUGCGCGCGGCGCUGGAGUCCGUGGCGCGGGAGCGCGACGGCGCGCAUCCCGCGGUCUUCGACGUCGGGACGGAGCUCCGCCUGCCGGCUCCACUGGUGUCGGAGGACGACGUGCGGCCGGCGAAGCGGAGGAAGGUCACUGGAGAACACUGCCCGAUCUGCUGCGAGGUGCUGGAGAAGGGCCUGGCGGCGUGGCCACGGUGCUCGCACAUCUUCCAUGGCAGGUGCUUGGAGGAGCACCUUUUCAGGGGGUCUCAGGAAUGCCCGAUGUGCAGGAGUAGACUGCAAGUCGAUGGCCAGAACAGAUGAGUGAACACUAUGUAGGAUCAGGCACGUCGCGCUGCAAAUUGUGAAUAAGUUGCAGUUGUUUGUCCUUGCAAUGUAACAAUUUUUGUAAGAAGUUAUGGAUGCAUGUUUGUUUAGGGGAAAGGCUAUAUGACACCUGAGCAUUUUCCAUCUCCUCCACGCUCGAAUUUUUCUCUCACACAACUUUCCCCUUCUUCAAAUCCGGCAAGCAUUUUAGGGUUUGGGGUUUUAGGGUGUACCUGUGUCCGGCAGACCUAGAGGAAGCUCCGGGCGCUAGGAUAACGGGCGGUGGUCGCGGCCAAGAUGGCAGCGAGGCAGGGUGGUGGGGGCACCGCCCGCCGGGGCGGUGGUGGAUCUUUGGUUGGGUUGUGGAGUUGGCGGGGGCGUCGAGCUUCAAUCUGUUAGUGUCAGCAGCAGUGGACGGCAACGGCGGAGGCACCGUUGGAGCCGGGGGGAGGGGGGGGGGGAGGGGGGAGGGGCUGCAGCGGCGAGCGAGCUCUCGCGAUUUCUUGAGCGGCGGUGGCAGUCGUGACUCACGACAAGAUAAGGAGCCAGGAGUAGUGCGUGGGAAGGAGACGAGGACAGAGAAAGUCCAUCACAGUCGUUCUUUUUUGAUCUGAUGGCCACAAAAUUCGAGUGCUGGAAGGCCCCUUCAAUACUCGAGUAUUACAAGCCUUUUUUAAAGGCCAAAGCAUAUGGACGAGAACAGAGCAAUCUGAUCAUACUCAUUUUAAGUGCCUAUCUGGCACGGCUCAUCCAACAGCUUCUCCAAUGGAUUUUGAUGAAGCCGUCCCAAACGCCAACCUCAAAAUGGCUCACGAACAAAAGCUGGGCAGAAGCCCCAGGAAACUCGAUCUCUGCGUUCCUCUUCAUGCGAGAAGCUAAAAAUAGUGGCUUAUACCGGCUCAUUUCCCACCCAAAAUGCUAAAAGACGCAUGUGUCUCUGCUAUUUCUUGCAAAUUACCUGACCUGCCACUUGUCCAAGGCGAGCUCGGUAGGCGUGUGGAGGUGGUGGUCGGGUGCUCGGGGUGGCCCGGCAGAGCUCCAUGAGCGCGUGCAUAGUGGUGACAGUCAGGACGGAGGUUGGCGAUAGGGGUGGAGGCAUAGAGCUGGGCAGGCGCGUGGAGGCAGCGAGCGAGGUGGAGCUCGGCGGGCAAGCGGAGAUGGUGGCCUAGGCGAAGGUCAAUGGGUCGGUGUGUGGAGCUAGAGGCGGGCCCGGGUGGGGCGCGACGGUGCAUGAGGAGUAGGGCACCGAUGUGAGGCACUGCCGCGCUGGAGUUGGAUGAUGGAGAGAAUAGUGGGCGGCGGAGAAAGAGAAGACGGAUAGGGAGGAAAGGAAAUAAAGAAAUGAAGAAAGAGUAAGGUAGGAGAAGCCGUUUUACCGAACAUUUUUCCAACAAGACAAGUUGUUGACGCUAAAAAUCGGCCGAUGACCUUUAGCGUUGGACACACGACCUGGGAGAAUCUGCUUAGCUCUUGUUCGUGUAAUCGCCUUGGUGCGGUUCGCGCGGCGUGCCAGUCAAUCUGACAUGUUGAUUGACAACGAAAGAAAUGUAUUAAAUCCUAGGGGUUUCGAUCGGCUAAAAUUCUGAUCUGUCUCGAAAAGCAUAUCAGCGAAUCGGCCGAUUUGCUAUGAAGAUGACCGGCUAUAGAACAGCCGACAAUCACACAACGAUUGUAAAGAAUCUACCAAAGCAUACUAGACAACGCUACAAAGCAACACUUGAAACAGAUCUAAUCGACUGUAUAAUGAUAAAUAAAAAUAAUAGUAAUAAAGCUGACAGUUCAAAUCUCAAGCUGGAUAACUGGUGAUAAAACUAGAACGAUAGGUAAAACCUAUAAUUCUAGUAAAUAUCGAUAACUGGUGAAUAAAUCUAAACGAAAUGAUAGCGAUGCACCUGAAGUUAAAGCUUAGAUAUUACUCGAUAAACGGAACUUACAGAAUCGGUCGGAGAUCGUAUCGAUGCAGCCCUGCCAACCCGUACGAACUCGUGAAGGAAAAAGAAGUAUUGGUGAAGUCGCCGACUUGAAAGUAAAGUAUGAUGAAAAAGUAGAUUGUUUGUAUUGAUUGAUGUGUUUUUUACAAAUCUCUAAAGAUGGCUAUUUAUAGCGUGUUACAACUGAUUUCCUAACCGACCAGGAUCUAUCUCUAAUUUUAAACGAAAACGAAUAUCUACAAACACAACUUGUAUCGGAGUUGGUUAUCAUACUCCUACGAGCCAAUCUUUCUUUAUCUUCCCUUUCUAGCCCACCUUAAGUCCAUAUUGGCCCAAUCGCUCCAGCCUUCCAAUCGGCCAACCCCCACCAAUCCCAUUCGCCAAUCGCUCGAAACACUGUAGCGCCAAUCAGCCGAUUCCCAAUCGUAACCUUUUAAUCCGCCGCAUCGGCCAAUCCUUUCCUCUCUUGACGCCGAUCCAAAACGUGUCAAAAUCUGGCGUCAACACAUGUCCUCCAGUUUCGGAGUAAAACAUGACUUUUACUUCAAAAUUCUUUUUUAACCUCUCCUCCGAAAUAAACACGGCAAAAAUCUCCUUUUGUUUCGCAGUCUUCUACCUCAUGAUUUUAAUCUUUUCGAAUUGGGUGCCUGAGACAACCGCUCCUCCGAAAUUCGUGUAGACGGCGUGGUAAAAAUCCUGCCUUCACCCCUUCUCUCGGACCGUCUUUAAAUACUGGCAUUCCCUGCCGCUUCUUCUCCACGAGCUCAGUAACUUUCUCUCCGGCGAAUCACUUUCCAUCUUCUCCCAGCGCCCUUUUGGCUUCCAAUCGCAUUCUCUGGUGAUUCCUCUUUUGUUUACAUCUCGCUCCAUUAUCCCUCAAUGGCGGCACCAUCAACAACUCCACCAGCAACGGAGGUUCCGCCGGCAGCUCCAUCAACGACGGCAGUUCCAUCGGUGACCCCAUCAACAACGAUGAGUUUCAUUCCAGAGGUAAACACCCGAAGCCUUUCUUCUUUACUUUUCACCGCCCAUGCACCCUUUAGAUCUAUUCUUAGUUUUUCCUUUUUAUCUUUUUUAGGCGGUCAUAUAGCAAAUCACAAUCCACCUUUCCGACGCACCUGGCCUUAUCUGCCUAGGCCCUAUGGGGAACCCAGACCCAACUGAUCUGAUCAAUUUAGAAACCCAUAGGAUCCCCUUCAAGCAAUCACCCAUGGAUUUGAGCCAGUGGUCAGACACUUUUAGAUCUUAGCCGAAUGAAACCCUCGGUUGGAAAGAGUGGUAUCAAAGAAUGACCAACUCCAAGAGAGUUCAAUGGGAUGAACUGAAAAUCGGCCAGUGCAUCAACCUAUCUUUGUCCCAGAUGGAGAAGAAUGAACCUUUGGUAAUAGCAGCUUCUUACUUCUAGUUUGACGCACUCAAUGCGUUUCUUUUUGGGCACGAACCCAUGACCCCAACUCUGGCUGAUGUUCUGUUGCUGACCGGCCUUGAUAUUUCCUCCCCCGAUACACCCUUUAAUUAUCUGAUCAAACUGACCCAUCAGCUGGAAACGAAAGGAAUCGGUGGGUGGAAGGGGUAUAUUAAUAAAAACCUGAGGAUCAGGACGAUUUUAGAGAGAGAAUAUGCAACCUUCUUGAUGAUGUGGGUGGAGAAGCACCUUUUCUGUGGUAGAGCAGUCGGCCCUUCCUCCAACACACAAGCUCUGGCCGAAGCCCUGUCAAGAGGAGCCGCCAUCCCUCUCGGGAAGCAUUUACUAGGAUCGGCCUACCACAUGAUGCACCAGAUUGGUGUCAAGCUGUCAAAGGGAGAGCCGAUUGGUAAUCCUGGUGGUCCCUGGUGGUUUAUCACCCUCUGGCUCAACUUGUACAUGAGCAAGGUCUUCCAGCAGCAGAUAGAGACCAAGACAUUCCCCAAUAUCGAGUCAGAGGAAAACCCCACAGUACGACGACGGUGCACCUCUUUCGGCGAAGCGGCAUCGGCUUUUCCUGGUUGCCAGUUCACCGGCACCCAGACAGCCAAGUAUUUCAGGAAACUACCAGCUGGUACCCGUACCAGAGAACAAAGCCGCUUUUUGAGCUUCCCUUCUGCUAUGACUCAACGUCCAACUCUUUUGACAAUGAUCUUAUGGACGCUUUGAUCAAACCAGGGAUCUUACCAGCGAACUUCUUCUCUAGGAAAGAUUCCCCUUCUUAUGAGUUCUAUAAUCCAUCAGUUGCAGCACGGCAGUUUGGCCUCGAUCAGUUGCCGAUUCGGAUUUAUUUGCCGGCCGCGUAAAAUUUCGAGAUGCGCUUACUAAGGGACUUGACUAUAAUCGGCUGCGCGACUUAGUGCCCAAUUCCAGCACCAUUGAUCUGAACAAUUGGUUAGUAGCUCCUUUUGCUGUUCAACAAUUCAAAUUAUGGUGCACAGAAUGGAAGCAGCAUCUCUUUUGUGUAUCCCCUGCAACAUAUUGCAAUGAUCUGGAUCUUGACAACAUCGACACAAACGCAGCGGUACUGCUAUUUCCUUAGUCGAUUUCGACGUCAUUUCCUUUUAUGCUACAAAUUUGCCGCUAACUCUUAUUUCCUUUUACAGUCCGAAAGUCGACUCCCUCCAAUGCGCAGCUGGAAUGGUAUGCCGAUAGAUAAUCGCUACCCAUACACACCAUUCCCACUCAUCAGCUAUCAUGCCCCAACCAUCGAAGACAUCACCACUAGCUGAUCGAAACAAACGCCGAAGAAAUCCUCUUUAAAGAAGACGAGCCGCCAAGUGCGUGCCUGUAUAGAAUCGGUCAAUCAGUCGGCGACGGCAUCGGCUGAAUCCUUAGCUGCGCCGACCCUGCCGAUUAUCGAGGAAGUCGAUUCCCAGGCUCCUACAGAAGCUGGAGCGGUUGCUACAUCAUUGUUGGUAGAAGCUGUUCAGGUAACUUCGUAUACUCCGCAUUCUUCUAAAUAGCCUGCCAAUAUUAAUUUCUUCCUUCUGUUAGGCCGCGCAAAUCGCUCCAGUACAGUCCCCGCAGCGAUCAGCCAUGGUCCAGGCAGAGACCAGGACGCCAGCAAUUCCUCCCACCAAGGUAGAGAGUCUUUCAACUCAAAUUUUUAAUACUUAACCAAAAGCUAACCGAUUUUGACGCAGGUUACCCUGGGCACAUCGAUUGUACCUUUCCAACAACUAUCGGCCGGGCGACUCACAGAGGUAUGGCAGUCAUUAUAUAUCAUCAGACUUAAUCAUUUGCAUCAUACUUAUAAAAAUCCGCUUCCUGUACCUUUCCAGGAGGCUGGCCCGAGCAGAGAACCAAUAAUCAUCGAAUCUUCUUCCUCUAAUGAACCAAUCGCGCCAGUUCCCGAGAUGAGGGUAGCACUCCCAUCAGCGCAAGUAGAAGAAAUCCGCCUUAAAGAGGUAACAAACUUGUUACCCAAAUUGGCCGAUUUCUCUUACCGUUGGCUAAUUUGUAUUUUUAUUUUUUAUUCUUUUGCAGGAGCAGGACACUCCCAACAACAGUCUUUUUUCCUUUGCGGUUGCACUUUCUGAUGAUGAAGAGGUUGCCUCACGCCAAAUUACACUGAGCUCGAUCUCUAAUGACAUCCGUGCCAAACUUGAGAGCAUACGGACCCUCCUCCAAGACGACAUCGGCCGAGUAGUGGAAGACGCCUCGCCGAUUCGGCAAAUUCUCAGCGAAAUUAGAGGCCGAGUUCCAGAAGAGGCGGAAGAGGCUCUGGCACCCGCCGCAUACAUCGAAUCGAUGUGGAUUCUAGUGUUCAGGGCCUUGCACCACAUGGCCGAUCGUGCCAAACUAGCGAAAGCCCGCGAGGAGGAAAACUCCUACAAACAUCGAGCUCAAGAGGUACAUCAACGAAUCAACUUCCUCGAAAGCUCUCACCCAGAUAUCGUUGGUGCCAUAGACCGCCUCAAACGGCGAAGGGCAGAGCUAGCCAAGGAGAUGGAGCAGGUGACUAAGGCCAUAGCUGCUGAAGAGAAAAGACUCCAAGACCUCCCAUCCGUCAUCGCCGAGCUGAAGCAGGAGAGGCAGAACCUGGCCCACGAAGAAAUAAAAAUCCGUCGUCAUAUGCCAGAAGUCCCUGGAUCGGCUGAUGACGACCAGAGGACCUUAGACUCGGUCGAUCAAGUUAGGCAGCGAGCGAUCGCAGCUGUUAAUGCCCUCCUUGGGUGAACUGUAAAAGCACUGAAUGCUCUGUAAAAACAUUUAAUGCCCUCCUGCCAUUGACGUGCGGAUUCGAACUUGGACUGUCCUCUAUGGCAGCUUCUUCAUUCAAUGACCUUUUACUCCGAUGGGACGCGUCUUACCAACCCUUCAUCUUUUCUUUCUAUAAGUAUGGGACUUUCGUAUUGCUUUCCAAAGGCAUUCACACCUCACCCAUCCUUUUGACUCCCACACUCUUAGACUAAAUGCUGAGAUGUCUUCUCCUUCUUCUUCCUUCUCCGUCGACCAAGUACGAAAUCCCCCUUUGUUCCCUUGCCUGUCGUUUAAAUCAAUCUAACGAUGGGUAGUUUUUGUUUUGCUAUUUUUCAGCCGAGACGCCUUAGUCCUGGCCUAGAACGAGCCAUCGAGGUUAUGCACUCAGACGAACCGCUGACGCAAACGGACAAAGAUCUGAUCAGGGCUCAUCACGAAGAACUCAAGGAUCAUAUCCCUGCUCAUGUCCAGAAGAUCAUGGACCAUAUGGACGCCAACUGCUCUGGACGACCGAUGAGUGAAAGGAGUCAUCCGCUUCCUCGUCAGAUCACCCUCGAGGAUACCAUGGUAGGGACAUCUCGGCAGCCUGUCGACAGAAGCCACCAACCUCCUCAUCAAAUUGAGGUUGAAGCCGCCAUGGAGGAUCUGAAGGAAAAGAGCAUCCGCCUCUUAAUAGAACUAGGCCGGAUCGAGAGGGAGAUUAAGAAAAAACGUGGUCAAUGAAUGUAUUGGUACUUUUUAAUCUAAGGGCGACUCGUACUAUGUCGGCCAUGUAUCCUAUUAUUGUACCGAAUGAUAAAUCGGCCAUACUGGUCAAAGAUCCCAUCCUUGAGGCGAUGUCUUUUUGCAUCGGCUAUUUGAACACGAGUCAAUAGGAAUAGGCCAUAACAUCUUGCCACUCCAUAUCGUCUGUUACGCAUCUACCCAAAUGCUAGGGUAAUACCUCUUUAGAUAUCUCCCAUUUAAAGCCCUUGUGAAUUCCUCUCCUUCGAUAGUUUCUAGUAUGUAUGCAUUUCCCGGAGCGCAUCGGCCAAUUUUAUAUAGCCCUUCCCAAGUGGGUGACCAUUUACCGAAUUUGGGAUCCUUAGACCCUAUCAGCAGCACCAACUUCCAUACCAAAUCUCCUUGAGAGAACUGUUUGACCUUGACCUUCUUGUCGUACCACAUGUCCACCCUUUUCUUGUUUUCUUCAAUGCUGAUCAGGGCCCUUAAUUGCUGACCUGCUAAAUCGUUGAGCUCCCCCUUCAUAAGGAGGGAAUAGUCAUCGACCGUCAACUGAUCUUGAAGCGAUGUGCGCCUUGACCUUGUCCUUAAUUUCCAAGGCAAUACUGCCUCGUGACCAUAUACCAACUAAUAAGGAGAUAUCUUAGUGGCCCCAUGGCAGGCCAUCUUGUAAGCCCAUAAAGACUCAGUUAAAGACAUGUGCCUCUUCUUAGGUUGUUCUUCUAUCUUCCUCUUGAUCAACUUGAUUAUCCCCUUAUUGGACGAUUCGUCCUGACCGUUGGCUUGAGCAUAAUACGGAGAAGAAUUUAACAAUUUAAUUCCCAUAUCGGCGGUGAACUCUUCGAACUCUCCUGAAGUGAACAUCAUCCCUUGAUCAGUUGUGAUGGUUUGAGGGAUACCGAACUGAUAAACAAUAUGGUCUCUCAUGAAAUCGAUCAUAGCGGCCGAUGUCAUGGCCUUUAACGGAACUGCCUCCACCCACUUAGUAAAAUAGUCAGUGGCUACUAAUAUAAAUUUGUGCCCCUUGCUUGAUGGAGGAUAAAUCUAUCCGAUGAGGUUUAUUCCCCAACCUCUAAAUGGCUAUGGCUUGAUUAUUGGAUUCAUAGCUGAGGCUGGUGCACGUUGCACGUUUCCAAACUCCUGACAAUCUUGACAACCUUUAUAAUAUUUAAAGCAAUCUUCGAGUAUCGUCUGCCAAUAAUACUUAUUGUUUCUAAUCAUCCACUUGAUUUUGUGAGCCGAUUGGUGAGCUCCGCACACGCCCUCGUGAAUUUCUCCCAUCAGGACCUUUGCUUCUUCCAUUCCUAGGCAUUUGAGCAGAACUCCAUCAAUCGUCCGGUAAAACAAAUCAUCUCCGAGCAAUACAUAUUUCGUGGCCUGAAAAUGCACUCUCCGAUCCACUUUCUUGGACGGAUCUUUCAAGUAAUCGGCGAUCUCUUUUCGCCAAUCGUCAGCUGCAAGUUCCAAAGUCAUGGCACCUUGAUUCAGCCGAUAUCCAGACGCGUGUUGGGCAAGCCUAUUAGCCUCUUCAUUGUAAUUUCUGGGAAUAUGCUCAAUAACCGCGGACUUGAAUUCUUUCAAAAGUUGGAGGCAAUCUUCGUAAUAAAUCCUCAAGACAUCAUCUUUGCAUUCAGAUCUCCUCGUUAAUUGAUCCACAAUGAGCAUGGAAUCCCUAAAAAUUUCCACCGCAUCAGCUUUGAUCUCUCUCAACAAUUGAAUACCUUUUAGGACGGCUCGAUAUUCCGCCUGAUUAUUGGUCGUGGAUGCCUCUAUCGGCAGAGAGAAAUCAUAACUUGCCCCCCGAGGCGAUAUGAGGACGAUGCCGAUUCCUGAUCUGGCCCCACACGAAGAACCAUCAAAGUACAGAGUCCAUGGGACUGGUUCAAUGAUAGUGAUUUCCGGUCCGCAAUGCUGAGCCACGAAAUCGGCCAUGACUUGGCCCUUGACGGCUUAUGCCGAUUCGUACCUUAGGUCAAACUCUGACAGAGCUAGGAUCCACUUUCCAAUUCAUCCUUUCAAAAUUGGUAAUGAUAUCAUGUACUUUACUACGUCAUCCUUGCAUACGACUAUGCACUCUGCCGAUAACAGGUAGUGUCUGAGCUUGGUACAUGAGAAAUACAGACACAGGCACAACCGCUAUACUGGGGAAUAUCUUGUUUCGGCAUCCAGAAGUCUUCUGCUAACAUAAUAUAUUACCCGCUCCUUUACUUCGAACUCCUGUACUAGCGCUGAUUCGAUCGCCCGUUCAUCGGCCGAUAGGUAUAGUCUGAAUGGCUUGUCAGCUUGCGGCGGAACUAACACAGGUGGCGAAAUCAGAUAUUGCUUGAUGUCUUCCAAUGCUUUUCGCUGUUAUUCUCCCCAUACGAAUUCCUGGUCGGGUUUCAACUUCAAUAACGGCGUGAAGGCUUGGAUACGCUCGGAUAAGUUGGAUAUGAAUCUUCUGAUAAAGUUGACCUUGCCGAUUAGGGACUGCAACUCAAUUUUAUUCUGCAGGGCCACAACCUUAUUUAUGGCCGCUAUGAUCUUCCGGUUGACUUCUAUCCCGCGCUCAUGAACCAUGAAUCCUAGAAAUUGACCGGCCGAUACACCGAAUGCACACUUGUUCGGGUUCAUUUUCAACCCAUGCUUCCUCGUUCACGCCAACACUUCUUGCAGAUCGGCCAGAUGCUCGAUGUAGAUUUCCACUAGGAUGCCAAUGAGCUUGUGGAAGAUGUAAUUCAUAGCCCAUUGAUAUGUAGCCCCAGCUUUUUUAGGCCGAAAGUCAUCAUCACCCACUCGAAUAAACCGAGGUGGCCCGGACACCUGAAGGCCAUUUUCGAAAUAUCCUCUUCAGCCAUUAAUAUUUGAUUGUACCCGGCAUUACUGUCCAUAAAAAUGAUGACUUUAUGGCCUACGGCGGCAUCUAUCAAAACAUCAGCUGUCGGCAUCAGAUAUCCAUCCAUUUGCGUAGCCUGAUUAAGGUUUCUGAAAUCAAUGCACAUGCGCAGUUUUCCAUUUUUCUUGUAUACGGGCACAAUAUUAGAAAUCCACUCGGCGUAACAGCACUACUCAAUAAAUCUCGCUUCAAUCAAUCUUGUAAUCUCGGCCUUUAUGUCAGGUAGAAUUUUAGGGUUGCAUCGUCGUGCAGGCUGCUGAUACGGCCGAUAUCCUUGUUUUAUAGGCAACCGAUGUUCAACAAUGGACCGGUCUAGACAAGGCAUCUCAUGGUACUCCCAAGCAAAACAAUCUUUAAAUUCUUUCAAUGAACUUGGUUUGCUGCCAUCGCCUAAGUCCACCAUCUCCAAUGAAUCAGCCGACGUAAACCCAUGCCCAAGCUUCCCGUCUUCUCGGACGAACUAAUCCAUCUAAUCUAAAUCUUCAGAGCCGACUGCUCGGAUCGGCUGUAGGCCAAAAUCGGACACUUUUAGGAAAUCGGUGUCCCAAGUUCUACCGGAUAUGCACUUGACGUGUUCGCAGCUCCACUGUUGCACGUCGGCCGCAGCAACACUAUAGGCGGAAUCAGCGGUGACGAUCUUGAUGUUGUCGCCGACCCACUGUACGAGGCAUUGGUGCAUUGUAGACGGGACGCAGCAAUUUGCGUGUAUCCAAUCGCUACCGAGCAACAUGUGUUAGGACCCUUUGCCAUUAAUAAUAAAGAAAGUAGUGGGUAGGGUCUUACUGCCAAUGGUGAUGUCGACGCAGAGUGCUCCGUGGGCGGGGGACAUAUUGCCUUGAGCAUCAUGUUCGUCUUGGUCAGAUCUUCAUUACUUUUGCCCAACUUCCGAAACAUGGCAUAUGGCAUGAUGUUGACUGCAGCGCCUCCAUCUACUAGUAGCCUGGUGACAGGUCAUCUGUUGACAUGUCCUUUGAGGAAUAGGGCUUUGAGGUGUUGCCGUUUUUCGUCCUCGAGUUUCUCAAAAGUGGUUGUCAUUGGCUCCAAAACCAACUGUGCCAUCUGCUCCUCCAUCCUUGUCGUGUUGUCUCGAUCGAUGGUGUGGCGGAUCCACCUUGGAUUAGCCUAAUUAAGUCACGGUUAAGUCACCUAACAUGCGACACUCGACCUUAAUCGUGCUAACUCGAGAUGCCAUCGGAUUUCCUCCAAUUUAACCACUUUGAUAGGACCGAGUUUAGCAAAACCCACACGAAGGUGAGUGGUUCCAGAUAAUACAAUAGGUCCAACAGUAGAUUACAAGUUGUUACACACUUGGUAAAAAUCAGAGUUUGACAAGUUCUGAAGAAAAACAAUAGAAGGUAAAAUAAGCGGAAGCUAAACGUAGGGGUCGGACGUCCUUGGUGAGGCUAGCCAAGACGUCACUAAUCCCUUUCCUUGCUGUCCGAGGAGGGAUCCCACUUGACCGUCCAACCCGGAGGGAGUUGGGGCGGCCAAGUGCCAACAGGAGAAGACUCCGGAGCUGUGGCUUCACCUGAAAAAGAAAAGCCACAACAAGGCUGAGCUACUAAGCUCAACAAGACUUAACCGACCAGGAGUAGACUACUUCUCCACUUCUAGACAUGCAAGGCUCUUUGGCUGAGGGGUUUGUUUGCCAAAAGCACUAAGUAGAUCCUUAUUUUCAAAGUUUUAGCUCAGAUUCUAGGUUCAUUGACAGGUCUAAGUUGGCAACUUACUCUAAGCAAACAUAGAUCCAACCAAAGGAUAUAUAAAAACAUCAUCAAGACCAUGUCAUCAUCAGAUUCCUUUCUUACUCAGGGUAGAAUAGCGAUCAAGUAGUCUCAAAAUGUGAGAGGCAGACGAAUCGAUUCGAGUUCUUUAACCAUGCAUGGUGAACCUAACCUCACGACAUCCGCGCACCACCGAGGUCACUUCCUGUGUCGGCCUUCCCCAUCAAUUCCCUAACCUGUGUCGGGCCUAUUUCCUUUGGUGCAAGGUUCCACAGACUCGGCCUCUGCCAUUCUGUGACCACACUUGCCACCACGUGCGGCCGCAGGGGAAACUCCGUUCGAAGGACAAUGGGGCGACCGCUCACGUCUAGGUUCAAUCCAGUACUAGGCUUCCUUAUCCCAUAAUGAGUAUGAGGUUAGUACUUUCAAACACUUGAUCACGAACACCACCACUGUCGGGCCUUAACAGAUUUCAUAGACAGACGAGGCGAUCAGCCGACCACCAAAAGUUAACCAGAACCCUGCCCCAUCCAUCGUCCUUAUAGUGGUGACAGAAGGAGAACAAUCAACUCCUACAACUCGCGAGUGACAGGAAAUCACUCGACUUUUACCGCUUCCUAUUUAAGCAUAGCAACUACCCGGUCCAACAACUAGUGUUCAGAUCAAGGGACUAUGCCAUGCAUCUACGGUUUCAAACAACUCCUAUACGUAAAUGCACAAACAUGAUGAAGAAGGCAUGCGCAAGUUUGGGAAACUGGGAUUCAUGCUCCGAGGCUUGCCUUCAAGCGAGAAGGAAGGGAACUGAUCUUCUGCUGGGGCGGCUUCGGCUUCUGGAAAGUGGGAGCUCGGCUACAACUCCGUCUUCUGGCGCCGGGUACAGCUCGUAGAUGCAACUCUACACGAAUGCAAAUGCAGUGGGUUAGCACUUAGACGGUUAUUUCAACAGCAACACUUACAAGUUAAAGCGCGGACACUGGUAGCAAAGCUACAGAAAAGAUGGGAAAGUGUACUUGAGUUGGUGGAGAGUAAGAUAAAAGGGUCGGAUGGGAAGAAACUUAUGAUCUGACUCUUAGACUAGAGGAAUAGUUGUGCUGGGGGUCCUCAGACUUAAUGCAGAGAAGUCCCCGAUUUUUACACCUAUACCCUCGAGUCAAGGAAAAGGAUACAGCCGAGACCUCGGGCGAGGCGGAGAAGGGUCAGCGAAACAGACAGGGUCGGGCGAGACGGAGAAAGGGGUCGGACGAACAGACAGGGUCGGGCGAGGCGGAAAAGGGGUCGGACGAACAGACAGGGUCGGGCGAGGCGGAAAAGGGGUCGGACGAACAGAUAGGGUCGGACGAGGUGGAAAAGGGGUCGGACGAACACACAGGGUCGGGCGAGGCGGAAAAGGGGUCGGUAACUUACCUUUGAUUUAAGGGUGAAGCUCGGGGUCGGGAAGAAGCAGACUUGGGCGGAAGGAUGGAAGCACUAAGGCUUGGGCAGCGGCGAUGUCCGGCGGUGCUCCGACGGCGGCGGUGCUUCUUGUGGACAACAAGCAAGCUCUUGCGCAGCGCGGAGGAGCAAGCAGCUGGGUGGAUUGGGAAGGGUGGGUGUUGAGCGGAGAGGAGAGUUCCUUAGGAACUUGGGUGGCAGCGCUUGAGCACGAAAUAGAGGAACAACAGUAAGGCAGUGAUGGCGAAGGGAACUCCGGUGGGACUCUGGCAUUCCCUUUUAUAGCUGCGCGGGAAGAGAGAGAGCUGGAGCAGCACAAAGACCGGGAAGAAGUGAUGGAGUGCGCUACCAUGGCGGCGAUUGAGCAACGGAGCGGCGGAGCAGGACUUCGGGGGUGACACCUUUGGCCAUUGGGCACCAGAGACAGGGCAGCGCAGGCGCGGUUUUGCCGGUGGUUGAGAUUUAGCGGAGGUGGGCAUCGUCGUGCGGCGGAUUUGAUGGGUGUGACAGGGGAAACGGCGCUAGAAGCGAGGGCGCACAGGUGAGAAGACAGGCGGGCUGCGGCUGUGCGGGCGAGCGUGAAGCAGCGGUCUAUUGGGGCGCAGCUCUGACAAGGCGGGAAAGGAACUGUCGCGGCCGGGGUCGGGAUUGGCAAUGGAGGAAUCAUCGCGUAGCGCAGUCCGGGGCGGCGCGACUGUGGAGGGGCGGCGGAAAAGCCGGGCCUUGCAGCCGGGGGUCCGGCGAGGUGAUGAUGGGCGCGAGCCGCGAGGCGCUGCAGAAAGGGUUGCAGAGGGGCUUCCGCUGUGAUUGGGGAAGAGGGCGCGGGAAUCCAUCCGGUCGCGGCCGGCGACAGGGCGGAGCGGCGGGGGUCGGAGAUGUUGAGCGACGCGGCGGAGAAGCUCUGAAGUGGUCAUGCCACUCUAGUGCGUCUGCACCAGGAGAUCGGGGAAAAGAUUUUGCGGGUCCACCGGUUAGUCUCGGUUGGUCCUCUUCUCAGAUUGAAGGGAGACACUGUGGAGAGACUUCGAAAGAUUCGGCAGUAUGGGUUGGGGGUCGGCAUGGGUCGGAGCUGGGAAAUGGCGGAGAGGGGUCGGGUUCUCAGGGGUCGGGACCGGGGCUGGAGGUUGAGCACUCAACUCGGGGAAGCUGAGAUAGGCGAUCAGGGACUCGGAUUUGAUUAACUCGAAAGAUUUAGGGUCGGGCGUCACAGACGGGAGCCAUGAACUCCGUCGGCAAGAUAAACACCAUGCUGACAUCAGCUGCCGAUUCCUGAUUGUCGUCUUCUUCAUUGUUGUUUCUUUUGGGGUGCCAGACUUGAGACCUGUCAUCCUUCUUAUCCACCACCUUCCUCUGCUCUUCUUCUUGUUGUUCCCAUUGGCGCAGACGUUGGAUCCUUCAUUUUUGGGAUUUGGUCAAUCCAUUAGGGCACCACCUGGAGUUCACCGGUUUGGCCGGCGGUUUGGCGCGCUCCCAGUCUGGUUCUCACCCUAGGGGGUUUUCAUCUAACACCUUAGCGUCGGCCAUCUCUUCUAGCCGAUCGUGUGCGCUGACUCUGCCCCCCCAGUCGCUUGCGCUGGUAAAUCCUACCCCCCGGCCUAUCAUACUGUUCAGGUCUACCCCUUGCCUGAUCAUACUGGUCAACUCUGCCCCCCAGCCGAUCAUGCACUGAAAGGCGCCGAUCCUCUUGUUCGCACCAAUUUCUACUGAUCGGCUCUGAUCCUCUGUCUCUAGAGCAUGACCUCUUGAACGGGCGGUUGUCGCGAUAUAGACCACUGCAUUCAGGGCAAUUAUUGGCUUAUGGUAACCUGAGGUUAUUUUCCCAGCAGUGAAUGAAGAACGAGCAUCGCCAAUGAUCUUUGUGUCAACACAUCAUCUCUUCGCGGUGUCUCAAACUUUCUUGCUAUCGUUGAUAUUUGUGGAGCAAGAAUUGGGAGGUGAUAGGUCUAUGUGUUCUCUUUGAUCCUUCGCCCUCGUCCUCGACCCAUCUUUUCCCUUUGACAUCUUCAACCGUGGCCUAAUUUCUGGGGUCCACGACGCCGCUUCUCUUAGCCGAUUCCGACGUUAGCACCUUGGUUUGAAGCGCGUUUCUUCCCGUAUCAACCAUGUUAGUAGGGAAAGGAUGCUGGUCAAUCUUCAUCGGCUUUACUAGCUUCGCCGGGACUUCGAAUUUGAGUCUGCCUUUCUCAAUGGCCGACUGUAUCUGCUGACAGAAGAUUUUGCAUUCAUUUGUGUCGUGAGACGUGGCAUUGUGCCACUUGAAAUAUUUCAUCUUUUUGAGCUGCUUGGCCGAUGGAAUGGUGUGGUAAGGUGAGAGCUUGAUCUGCCCCUCUUGGAGAAGUAAAUCGAAGAUCUUGUCGGCCUUUGACAUGUCAAAACCGAAAGCUUCUGGUUCUUUCUUCCCGAACGGGCAUGAUAUCAGCUUUUUCCCUUUUACCCAUUCUGCUAGGCCAAUUUUCGCUUCCUCUUCAGACUCAGAUCCUUCCAACUAUGCCACCUUCUUCUGAAAAUUCCUCCGCUGGUCGAAAGGGCGUACUUCUUGACCGGCCAAUCGGUGGACGAUUUGACUUAAGCUGUCAAACUCCUGGGAGGCGUACUUCUCUUUGAUGUGUGGCAGGAGACCUUGGAAGGCGAUAUCGGCCAGCUGAGCGUCGGUCAGAACUAGGGUGUAGCAUUUAUUUCUGACUUCUCUGAACCUCUGCUUAUAAUUGGUCAUUGGUUUGUCGCUCCUUUGCAUGAGGUUGGUCAAAUAUGAAAGCUUCAUCUCGUGGACACCCAUGUAGAAGUACUUGUGGAAUUGCUUCUCCAGAUCGGCCUAGGUGACGAUGGAAUCGGGUGGCAGCGUAGUGAACCACUAGAAGGCCGACCCAGAUAGGGAUGACGAGAAUAAACGUACACGCAGAGCGUCUUGUGUGGCUGCUUCCCCGCACUAGAUGUUGAAUCUAUUUACAUGCUCCACAGUUGAGGUGUCAUCCAGCCCUGAAAACUUGGUGAAGUCAGGAACUUUGUACCGAUGGGGAAACGGCAGCAAGUCGUAAGUGGGUGGGUAUGGCGUUUUGUACGUAUAGGUCCGUACCUUUGGCUUCAACCCGAAUUGAUCUUGAAUCACCUCUGCUAUCCUUGCUGUCCAAUCCACUUGCUGCUGAUGAACGACUGGUUGAGGGAUCGGCACAUGUUGAUGGAUCGGCGGUGGGACGGCCAGAUGAUGGAUCAAAGCAUGCGGCGGAUUUUGCGGCAGCGUGGCCGGCUGAGCAGUUGACAGUUGGUGGCAUAGCGAAUCUGCCAUCCCAUCGUACAGCAUCAUCAAUGCCGCACUUCUGAGUGUUUCUGCAGUGUCUGCCCCCCUACCGAUUUCUGAUGAGACCGGUUGGUAUUGUGGGACAGUCGGCCGGAUAGCCGAUUGGAAUGAUGCUUGUAUCGGAGAGCUUUCGUAACCAGUUGAUUGGUCCAAACCAGCCGCCGUCGUUGGUGCCCCCCCACGGUACUGAGUUUGAGGGCAGUGAUUGCAUGGGGGAAACCUGGGUAGGUUGAGGCGGCGCUUGCGACUGAAAGCAUGGCGCGCCGUUGUAUCCUGGAGGCAUUGAAGUGUUGUAUCCUCCAUGUUGCGUUGGUAUCGGCUGAGGAGCCGAGUGAGAUGUGCCUGGUAAGCUUCUGACUGGAGCUAUAAUGGGUGGGGUGUACGCUGGCCCCUGAUACCCCUGAGCUACUCCGUUGAUCAGGGAACUGAUGACGGCAUUGUAUACCGUGUUGGUCAUCACUGAAGAUUGGUCGAUGAAAGCCUGGUAGAUGGACUGCUGAAUCAUAUCGGACAUCUUGCCCGAGUCCUCAGCGACGGUGAUUUGGCGGGGAGUUGGAAGAGGAGCUUUCUUGACGGUUUCCCCGCUUCUGGUACGACUGAAAGAUUGCAAGCAUGUCUUCCUGUAUUCUUCUAGGUGUCUUGCCAAUUCUUCUUUCUGGUCAUCCUUGAGAUCUGCUUCCGUAACCUCGAUGAUGUUGUCUUCAGAGAUUUCGGUGGCUUUUGACAUGUUGGAUGUCAUGUUGGUCCCACCGAGCGUGCCAAAAGUGUGUUGACGCUAAAAAUUGGCCGAUGACCUUCAACGUCGGACACACGACCCGGGAGAAUCUGCUUAGCUCCUAUUCGGGUAAUCGCCCUGGUGCGGUUCGCGCGGCGUGCUAGUCAAUCUGACCUGUUGAUUGACAAAGAAAGAAACGUAUUAAAUCCCAGGGGUUUCGAUCGGCUAAAGUUCCGAUCUGUCUCAAAAAACGUAUCAGCGAAUCGACCAAUUUGCUAUAAGAUGACCGGCUAUAGAACAGCCGACAAUCACGCAACGAUUGUAAAGAAUCUACCAAAGCAGACUAGAUAAUGCUACGAAGCAACACUUGAAACAAAUCUAAUCGAUUGUAUAAUGAUAAAUAAAAAUAAUAGUAAUAAAGCCGACAGUUCAAAUCUCAAGCUGGAUAACUAGUGAUAAAACUAGAACGAUAGGUAAAACCUAUAAUUCUAGUAAAUAUCGAUAACUGGUGAAUAAAUCUAAACGAAAUGACAACGAUGCGCCCAAAGUUAAAGCUUAGAUAUUACUCAAUAAACGGAACUUACAGAAUCGGCCGGAGAUCGUAUCGAUGCAGCCCUGCCAACCCGUACGAACUCGUGAAGGAAAAAGAAGUAUUGGCGAAGUCGCCGACUUGAAAGUAAAGUAUCAUGAAAAAGUAGAUUGUUUGUAUUGAUUGGUGUGUUUUUUUACAAAUCUCUAAAGAUGGCUAUUUAUAGCAUGUUACAACUGAUUUCCUAACCGACUAAGAUGUAUCUCUAAUUUUAAAUGAAAAUGAAUAUCUACAAACACAACUCGUAUCGGAGUUGGUUAUCAUACUCCUACGGGCCAAUCUUUCUCUAUAUUCCUUUUUUGGCCCACCUUAAGCCCAUAUUGGUCCAAUCGCUCCAGCCUUCCAAUCGGCCGACCCCCACCAAUCCCAUUCGCCAAUCGCUCGAAACACUGUAGCGCCAAUCGGCCGAUUCCCAACUGUAGCACCAAUCGGCCGAUUUCCAAUCGUAACCUUUUAAUCCGCCGCAUCGGUCAAUCCUUUCCUCUCUUGACGCCGAUCCAAAACGUGUCAAAAUCUGGCGUCAACACAAGUCAAAGUAAAAAAAAAAAACUACUUCAACAGAGCCGAAGCCAUUUUUCGAGGAGGCUGCCAAAGGGGCCCUAAGUCGGUUCUAGGCUGGCGUGUCUCUGUUCUCUACUCUGACAUAAUGAGUAAUGCUGAUUCCAUAUAAAAUGGACCAGAGGAUUCGUCUGCUGAAAUAGCUAGAGCACGCAUCUGCUCAACCGUCUGCCUUUUGAUCACAUGUACUCCCUUCGCGACACUACAAGAUGCGCUCCUGGAGAUGAUGCUAUCCCAGACAUGUACUCGAUUGCCUAACAUUGGGCCACAAAAAGUUAACACACUCCCAACUAAUUGCUCCAGGAACAAAAAUUACCAUCACCCUUCCAUCAAACCCCAAACUAAGGGGGUGUUUGGAUGUGAGAUAACUUUAGGAGGGUCACAUCGGAUAUUCGGAUGCUAAUUAGGAGAACUAAACAUGAGUUAAUUGCAGAACUCCUAUACUAAUUCGCGAGACGAAUCUAUUAAGCCUAAUUAAUCCAUCAUUAGCAAAUGGUUACUGUAGCACCACAUUGUCAAAUCAUGGACUAAUUAGACUUAAUAGAUUCGUCUCGCAAAUUAGACUCCAUCUGUGCAAUUAGUUUUAUAAUUAGACUAUAUUUAAUACUCCUAAUUAGUAUCAAACAUCUGAUGUGACAGGUACUAAAGUUUAGGGGGUGUAUCCAAACACCCCCAAAUUUAAUCAUCAGUAGACAUCUCUAACAACCAGUGCAGUCAAUUCUAAACAUGUUAUAUAUUUGUUUUCCUUCAGCACAUAUAAUGUCAAUUAUACGUGUGUCCAGUUAUAUAAGACUAGACAGACAUUCCAUAGUUGACGAGAAGCCACCUCCAACGAACAAAUCAUCAAUAGAAGAUGCUGCUGCUGCGGAGGUAGUUCAAACCAACGAACCACCUCAGCAGACACUGCACAUUAAAGACGUUUUAAACUUUCCAGCACUCAAAACACACGUUUCAUCGAGGAAAUUGCACUCAAAACACACGUUUCAUCGAGGAAAUUGCACUCAAAGCACACAUUUCUUCGAGGAAAUUGCAGACUGAGUAGGAGUAUUAUUAGACAGCAGCCAUCAAGUAGAUACGAACCAAACAUGGAAGAAAACUAACACAACAGACAAAUAUUUCCUAUACAUGUUAAGUCUGAUUUCUACACGAGACCACUAAGGGGGAUCCCUAGAAUUAAAACCCAUUCCUUGAAUCAGAUUCUAGCAAUUAGCAAUAGGAAAUGAAUUAGCUAGAAUACAAGCAAACUGCCAACAAGAUGCAGGAAAAAAUCGCAGCACGCCGCACCUCUAAAUCAAAAAAAAAUGAAAAUUCUCUUUUGGAACGUGAGAGGAAUAGGAGGAAGUAGCACAAGGAAACAACUUAGAGAGUUGAGGCAUGAAAAUAGAGUAGAUGUAAUUUGUUUGCAGGAAACAAUAAAAGCAGAUUUUUCGGUCUGGGAACUCGCAGUUUUGAGUGAGGGUAGUAAGUUUGCUUGGAACUGGACGGGGCAGCACAAGGGCAUUCGGGAGGAACUAUGAUUGGGAUAAAACUGGGAGAUAUAGAAGCUAUUGAGAUGGAUAGAGGAGAUUUUUUUUUUCUAGUAUAAAGAUUCAAAAUAGGAAAGAUAAACUACAACGUUUUAUGGCCCAGUACAGUUGGAAAGGAAGGCUGGCUUUCUGCAGGAACUCAAUCAGGCCAUUUAUCCGCCCGGGGGGGGGGGGGGGGGGGGGGGGCAUGGCGGGGGAUUGCAACAUGAUCAGGUUUGCUUGGGAGAAAUCUUCUGACAACCUAUAUCAAGGAUGGAUGGACACGUUCAAUAAGUUUAUGAUCGAUGGGAUCAGGUUUGCUUGGGAGAAAUCUUCUGACAACCUAUAUCAAGGAUGGAUGGACACGUUCAAUAAGUUUAUGAUGGGUAAUGGUAUCAAAGAAAUGCUGAGGAAAGGGAGUAAGUUCACAUUCACAUGGACCAAUAAACAAAUUAAUCCUGUGAUGAGUGUUCUUGAUAGAGUUUUUGUCAGCCCAGAUUGGGAUUCACAUCACCAGCUAGCUACUUGUGAAACAUUAACUAGAGUGGGAUUUGAUCAUAGCCCAAUUAUAGUCAAUACGGAAGAUGUAAGAGUUCAGCAACAAUACACCUUCAGAUUUGAGAUGGCAUGGCUGACUCAAGAUGGAUUCAGACAGAGUAUAUGUUAUGGUCGGCAUACCAUAUAGGAGGCCCCGGCAGCAGCCCUAGGAACCCCAGGGAAGUAGGCCAGUUAGUUAGAGUCUUCUUCAGAUAAGAUAGACACUACUAGAAAUCCUUUCAUCUAUGACGAUUUGUGAAUGACAAUUCUGAUUUUGGUCACUAAAUAAGGUUAAGUAAUGAUGAUUUUACCUAUAUCGUCAUGGAUGUUGGGUGUGGGUGUCAACCCUAUCGUACAACUGUGACGAAUCGGAAAUAAUUGUCAUGUAAAUAUACUGAGGUUUGUCAUAGAAGUGAAACUAUACAGUUUCACCAUUCGGGCCCACCUGUCAGAUAAUUCUUUUCAACACAGGUGGCUUACCAUCGGAAUACUAGUUUGGACAUGUUAAGAGUUGCGAACAUUAUUGUCUUAUUGGAAUUUUUGAUCAUUCAUAUGACCCUUUCACCGUGCCUGUGUGCUGCCACCUAGAUCCAAUCUUGAGUUCGUGCAGGGGCUGGGAGCUGCGGUGGACCGCUCUGGCGCGCGGGCAGCUGCAGCGGACCACUCCGGCGGGUAGCUGCUCCGGCUACAACUCGGUGCUUCUGCGGGCAGCUGCUGCGGCUUCGCUACUCCGGCGGGGAGCUGCUGCGGCGCGCCCCUACUGCAGCAUAGGUGCUUCGGCGGGCAGCUGCUGCGGCUACGCUACUCCGGCGGGCAGCUAUUGCGGUAUGCUUCGGCGGACAUCUGCUGCUGCCGGCUCCGGCUGCCAGCUCCGUCAGCUGCGGGUGCUUGCACUGCAGCUACUUAGAGGUAUUGUCCUCUCCCAUUGCCUGCAAUGCAUAGCUUUUCAUAGCUGUGUAGACAUGACUAAUUAGAGGUAAUUGUUGUUGUAUUCGGUAGAUGGACAGAACAUGGAUUCAUGCUACUCGGUUCAGCGAUGCCUUCACCAAUGGUGUUGAUCAGUUUAUGUCUUUUGUUCGAGAUAGAUUCCAUGAGGACGAUGCUAUACUUUGCCCAUGUUGCAAUUGUCUGAAUCAGUCUUCAUGGAGUCAGAAUGAUGUGCAUGAUCAUAUCUAGCUCUUUGGGAUGUCAGCUACAUAUACUCGGUGGGUACACCAUGGAGAAGGUGUUGAUGUUGAGAUUGUGGAAUAUGUAGAGGAUGCAAAUGAACCUGAUCAUCUAGGUGAUGUGUUGGAUAUGGAUGAGCCCAACAAUGAAGAUGAGGGUACGACAGAGAUGCUUGCAGACCUAUAUACAGCUACAGAAGAAGAUGGACAACAACCUAUGUUUGUAAAAGUUCUUGAAGAUGCAAAACAUGCUCUUUGCCCGGGUUCUAUUCAGUCUAGGUUCUGUUUUCUAGUCAGAUUGCUACAUAUCAAGUCAUUCUAUAGGAUCAGCAACACAGCAUUCAGUGCAAUAUUGAGGCCCCAUUUGGUUCCGCUGACUUAUUUUUAGCAUUCGUCACAUCGAAUGUUUAGAUACUAAUUAGGAGUAUUAAACGUAGACUAUUUACAAAACCCAUUACAUAAGUGGAGGCUAAACGGCGAGACGAAUCUAUUAAGCCUAAUUAGUCCAUGGUUUGACAAUGUGUUGCUACACUAAACAUUUGCUAAUGAUGGAUUAAUUAGGCUUAAUAGAUUUGUCUCGCCGUUUAGCCUCCACUUAUGUAAUGGGUUUUGUAAAUAGUCUACGUUUAAUACUCCUAAUUAGUAUCUAAACAUUCGAUGUGACACGUGCUUAAAAAUAAGCAAAGGGAACCAAAUGCCCCCUGAAGUUAUUGUCAGGGUCAUUCCCUAAUUGUGAUCUUCCAGAUUCAUAUGACAAAGCAAAGAAGUAUCUCAAGGAAUUGGGCCUUGGAUAUGAGUUAAUCCAUGUUUGUGACAAUAAUUGUGUAUUGUUUCGGAAGGAUCUAUCCAAUCUGGACAAGUGCCCAAAAUGUAAGGAAUCUAGGUGGGUGGAUGCAGACGGUGCCAAAUAGCUUCCUAAAAAGGUUUUGAGAUAUUUUCCUCUUAUACCCAGGCUGAAGAAGAUGUUUGCAAACAAAGCAACAUCUGAGGAGACCCGAUGGCACAAGGAUAAGAGGGUUCCUAUGGACAAUGAAAUGAGCCAUCCAGCCGAUGGCGACACCUGAAAAGACUUUGAUAAUGUGUAUCCAAGCUUCGCUGAAGAUGCAAGAAACCUAAGGAUUGGUUUAGCUACAGAUGGGUUCAAUCCAUUCGGGGCAUGAACACAACUUAUAGCAUGUGGCCUGUAGUUGUAAAGGUAUACAAUCUACCUCCAUGGUCAUGUACUGAUGCAUCCAACACUAUCAUGGCAUUGCUCAUUCCAGGACCAAAGUCUCCAGGCAAGGACUUUGACAUAUUCUUAGAACCUCUUAUUGAGGAUUUGUUAAAACUCUAGGAGGGUGUCAGAACUUAUGAUGCAUUCACUAGUUCAAAGUUUGACCUUCGCGCUGCAGUACUAUGGUGCAUCCAUGAUUAUCUAGCUUUGGGUAUAUUGUCAGGGCGAAUUACUAAAGGUUACUAUGCAUGUAUUUAUUGCAACAAAGAUCCAUUGUCAAGGAGUCUUAGGUAAAAGAUAUGUUACAUUGGACACCGUCGCUACCUUCCAAAAACUCACAAGUGGCUAAGAAGCUUGGCCUUUGAUGGACACCGUGAAAACCGGGUUGAGCCAUGAAAGUUGAGUAUGGAGGAGACAUUGGAGUGUCUGGAGAGGGUAAAAGAUGUGAGCCCUGGUAAGGCUAAAGGUAGCAAGAAAAGGAAGCAUGGACAGAAGGACGAUGAGCCAAAAUUGUUUCGCCGCAAGUCUGCUCUGUGGAAACUACCUUAUUGGAAACACUUGAAGCUACCACAUAAUCUUGAUGUGAUGCAUAUAGAGAAGAAUAUAUGUGAUGCCCUUCUAGGCAUAAUACUUUGUCUUGAGGGCAAGAAUAAGGAUACAGUUAAUUGGAGACUUGAUUUGCAGGAUAUGGGCAUACGACUUGAAUUACAUUUAGAACAAGAUGAUGGCAAUUCAGUUUCUAUGCCAGCAGCAUGGUAUGCCUUGAAGAAAGAAGAAAGGGUUGCAUUUUGUGGAUUUCUGAAAAGUAUUCGGUUUCCAUAUGGAUACGCUUCCAACCUGACAAGAUGCAUUAGUGCAUAUGGUUCCGAGGUGCAGGGCCUCAAAACCCAUGAUUGCCACAUCCUGCUUCAAAGAAUUUUACCUAUCGGUCUCCGGGGACUAGUGCACAAGGACAUAUAUGAAGCAGUUGCAGAGUUGGGUAAAUUUUUCAGGGAGAUUUGCUGUAGGAAGCUAAAGGUUGAUGUAAUCAAACAUCUGAAAGCAGAAAUUCCUGUGGUCCUAUGCAAGCUGGAGAAAAUAUUUCCUCCUGCAUUUUUUGAUGUGAUGGUCCACUUGGCUGUCCAUCUACCUGAUGAAGCACUCCUAAGAGGUCCUGUGCAAUAUGGAUGGAUGUACCCGAUCGAACGUCAAAUGGGCACUUUCAAGGGGUAUGUGAGGAAUAGGGCCAGACCUGAAGGAUCCAUAGAUGAGGCGUACAUAGCUAAUGAGGCCCUGACCUUUUGUUCAAGGUACAUGGAAGAUGUUGUCACUAGAUUCAAUCGGGAUGAUGACAAAGGGGUGAGAGCAUCACAUGAUGACCUCUCUAUUUUUCAGCAUGGUGUUAAACUCUUGGGAGCGAACAGGUAGACAUAUCUUGAGGACAAAGAAUUUGACAAGCUUUGUUGGUAUGUGCUAAACAACUGUGAUGAGACAGAGCCAUAUUUGGGGUGAGUAUUUUUUGUAUAACAUGCAUGACCAAUACUAGCAUUGUUUUUUGUUCAACAUGCCUGACCAAUACAUAUUUUGUACUGUGUGUGCAGCAUGUUUAGAGAAGAGUUACAGAAAGAAGGUGCCCAUGAUGUUGAGAAAAGGUUGGAAAAUAAAUUUCCUGCUUGGUUUAGGAGUCAUGUAAGUUGUUCCAGAUGUAUUUUUAAAUUUUCAUAUAUUUCAAAUUUUCACUAUUUUGCUAUUUUAGAUCAAGAUGAUGUGGAAGAAUAAUCGUGAAGAGGUUAGUGAAGGGCUAUAUGCAUUAUCAUGUUGUCCUGACCUUAGAGUGAAAUUAUGGGCAUCAUGCAGUGUCAGUGGUGUUCGGUACAACACCAUCAACCGUGAGAGACAAAGGCAUACACAAAAUAGUGGUGUGCUGGUGGAUGGAUCACAUAAUGGGGUGUUCACUAAAUUUUAUGGUCAGCUCACAGAGAUAAUUGAGUUGAACUACAACUCCAAUUUGGAAUUCCAUCGAACGGUGGUACUUUUUCGGUGUGAAUGGUUCAGUCAAGAUGGCAAAGCUAGAGCCAUUAGAGAUGAUGGCCAUUUUAGAACCAUCAAUAUUGACAGGUUUUGGUACAAGUCAGAUCCAUUUAUAUUAGCAACUCAAUCAAGAAAGGUCUUCUACGUGGAGGACAAUCUGCUUGGUCAAAAUUGGCGUGUUGUGCAAAAAUUUGAACAUAGGAGCAUGUACGAUGUCAAUGAAACAGAAUUGACCAAUGUGCACCAAGAUGAGACUGGUUCUGAUAAUGAACUUGGGGAACCAAUGUAACACCUCGUGUUAAUGACAGCCUAAAGAUGUCAAUGAGAAGUUAAUGACGACUUUUGGAGCAAAAAGAGGGUAAUUGACUCAAAGUCAAAUUCAAGCCGAAUUUGACCAAAAUUGCAAUUUGAAAUUUUAAAUUCGGAAAAAUUUAGCAAAAAUAUGAAGUUGAGGCUGAGGAUGUUUAGAACUCAAAGGAAUGAAGUUUGAGACUAAAUCAAGUCUUAAACUCCUCAAGAAUGCAGCUGAAAAAGGAAAUCAAUCAAGUUACUAUUCCCCGUCCGAAAAUAUGUAAUUCAGAAAAACAUAACAAGUACCGGACUUUGGAAUUGAUUUCUGCCUGAUUUUCCAAGUAAGUGGGCAAAGGUGUCUGAUUAGUAAUGAAGUAUGACCUUUAGACAAGCCUAGUAGGAUGUUGUUGACCAUAGAAAGUUGAGGGAUCAAAUUUAAAAUAGGACUCAAAGUCAGCACUCUAGCAGUUUUCAGCCUAGUUACUGAAACUGAAUUUUUCCUAAGUCUGAAACAGCAGUGAUUGACUAUGUUUGGAGCAAAUUUCAGAGAAAUGUAGUGCAAAAGGUAUAUGAGUUCAUGUGCAAAAUGGAAUCCUUGUUAGUUGUACAGCAUGAAUGGUUGAUGGUUGAACUACAUGGAAUAAGAUUAAGCUACUCAAAUCGAGUCAAAAGAAGGGUAAAUGACCCUGAACAGUGAACUGUCGAACUGAAUCAAGGGAUUCAGAGCAAUUCAGUUCUGCCCGAGAUGGAGACUCAAAAAUUUCGGCUCUAGGAUGUUUAUCUCGGGUAAAGGUUAAUAUAUCAAUUGAAGUACUCGAGUUUAUCUACAAGUUUGCUUAAAGGACUCUCGGACCGUAAGAUUCAAAAUCAACCGUUUUGAAGGUCUGAAUUUUUGGAGUAAAAGAAGGGGAGGGGAAAACAACAGAGGCAGAGACAUGUCGCCGCCGGUGCUUUCGCCCGUCAUCCAGCGUGAUGCAUAGGGCCACCUCCUCACCCACGCAAGCCUACAGCUAGGCCACGGUGGCACUCAUGCAAGCAGUGAAAAAUUUGUAUAAUUAUUGCGCCCGCCGUCGCUCCUAUCCGUUUACCGUGUUGCUUAUUUACCGCCGCAAGCAGAGCACAGCCAAGCCCCUGCCGUCGGUCGAUUUCCACCAUUUCACCGCCUCCCACUACAAUUCCUUCCACCCAAAUCCCCACCAACACCUCGCCAACAACUGUGCCUACUCGUUUUCCAACUUCCCCGCCGGCGAGCUCUUAGCCGCCGCUGUUUCCGUCCGCCGCCGCCAAACUUCCUGCACACGGUGAGCUCCUCCUUGCCGCCUCUCUCUCAUCGUGUGAUAGGUCCUAGGUAGGUCUGUAGGUCACUAGGGAACCUUAGGAGGAGUCAAACGUCGUGUUGGUGGUGUUGCCGUGCUGGUCCACAGCCGGCCGCAAGUCAAGCCGCCCGCCGCCAUGGAGAGGCUAGCUCCGGCCGUCUCCCAAGGGGCCGCUGCCGCCCACGGGUGCGCCGUGGCCUAGGGAUGCCUCUCCGGCCUGACCCCAUCGCCGGCGGGGUGCCGGCCAUCGAGCCGCGCCGCCCCCUGUUGCGCCCUGCUUUUGGCGCGGGGAAGAAGAAGACCUCGUGCUUGGGGCCCAUGCGCUAGGGAGAAAGGAGGGGAAGAGAAGGUCGGCCGGCGGGUAGAAUAGGAAGGGGGGAGUAGAGUCGGUUCACUAGGGCCCAGCACGAGAGAGAGGGUAGAGAGGAUUAGAGUGAAAAAAGUUGGGCCGGGGGUAUUUGGAUAAUCUUAGGUUUUUCCUUUUAUAGAUAAAUAGUGUAAAUUUGGUUUUCACCAUUUAAAUCACAGGAAAUUAUAGAAGUGUCCAAAAUUAGUGAAACCAAUUUUGUUAGGAUUUUUUUAUUUUCCUUUAUGCAUUAAAAUUCUUACACCUUAGGAAAAAAUAAUAAAAUUUAGGUAUUUAUUUGAUGCCUUUUCAUUAAGAUAUUUAAAUAAAUACUUAACCUUUAUUAAGUGCAUAAAAUAUUGAAUAAUAUUUUCAUAUUCACAAAUUCUUAUUAACCCAUAGGAAUUAAGUUUUUAGAUUAGAAAAUAAUUAUAAUGCCUUCUAAAAAUAAAAGAAAAGGCCUAAGGUAGGAUUAGUAAAGAAAAUAAAAAUGGAUGGUUAAUCUUUAUGGGUAGUUAGUGUUGGCUUGCAACUUUAUCAUGAUAAGUUGUAUAGUCACUUGUUGGCUUGCAACUUUAUCAUGAAGGAAAGUUGUAUAGUCUUGAAUUCAAAAAUUUGCAUCACUAACCUCUGCAUUUACUAAAUCGUAGACAACGGAGCUCCAGAAGGGGAAUUCUUGGAAUUAUCUGAAGGACCUUCAGAGUUUGAGGAGAUUGUUGAAUUGAUCCCCUGUGAAGCCGGUCCAUCGGGCAACGCUAACAUUUUUACAGAUCAAGGCAAGCCCCGGUGCAUCUAUACCUAUCUACUUUGAAGUUAUUAUUUCACGUGUCCAAUUAUUGGUUAUUUUUCAUAUGAAUGCAUUAAGUCUAGGAGUUGGUUGAAACCUAUUCUUGUCCAUGAUCCUACCUUGUUUAGAGGACAUCUUUGCCACUUGUUCACUAAUUAGUAAUGAACUUAUGCUUAGCAAUGCUUAGAUACUUCAAGCAACUUGAUUGCUUAGCUCUAAGGUAAAUUGUUGGGUCAUACAUAUUAGUUAAGGAAGGUUAGCUUGGAAAUUUGAAAAGCCGACAGAAGCUAGAGAUAUUAGUUCUAUCUGCAAGGUUAAAUUGGUUAAGGCCUGGUCGUUGUCUUAACCUUUGAUCAAGUGAAUAUCACCUGGUUGCUUACUGGGUAUGGGAUCAGUAAAGCCCGGUAGGUUAGUUAACUCUCUGAUCGGGAAUAUGUCGUACCCGUGCUUGACGUGCUGGAGAAUGGCAGGGGCGUAGCCUGAAACUCACAUGAAGAUCGGGCUAGACGUGGGGUCCCAUGUGGGGGUGCGUCCCUGGGUUCAGGUAGUCUUAUUCCCAAUCUUUAGGUACGCUAAUCGAAGGGUCGUUAUGUACAACCUGGACAGUUGUACAUAGCUAGUGGUCAGGGUGCUCUUCUGCAGGAUGUAAAUUGAUCCGGAUCGCCGUAAUUGUCGAUUAUGAAUGAACUUGAUCACCAUUAAGCAUCGUAGUGUAAUCUAGUGAAUGUAAUGUUUUUCUUCCGAAAUUAAUAUGUUGUAUGACUUAAUUCCUACUGAUUGCAAAAGUAUUUCUUUUCCAUCAUCUAGACUGGACAGGUAACAACUCAAUCUGAAAUAAAGAUAAAGUUAAGGUUUCACUUAUAGUAAGCUCUUUUAGCAAAAUGUGAGUCAGCUAGUAAACUAAACAACUAUCAUUCAGUUUUGGAAAGACUAUUAUAUUGGUUAGUCGGGUUAGUCUUGCUGAGUACCCCGUACUCAGGGGAAUCCUUCAUUGCUAUUUCAGAGCCACAGCAGGAGUCCGCCGAGGAGGAAGCCCCAAAGAGCUAGGGUAUUUUUACGAGUCUCACAAUACCCUAGAAAUAAAACUCAGAUGUUUAUCUUUCACCUGGACUGGUUUAUGUUUUAAAACUCUUAGAACUGCUCUGACCUGCAUUAUUAAGUUUGUUUCAAACUAUGGUCUGUAAUAAUUCGCAUCUCGGUAUGUGUGUUAAAAUGUAAUAUUUGUUGAUACCUUCCCAUCGUGGAAGCGAUUCUAAUGUAUGGCUAUGGGACACAUCGUGGAUAUUUCGAGGAGUCCUAGGGACACUCGACGGACUACCAGACUUAUACUAUUUUAAGUGCGUUUCGGAUAAUUGUUGUUCCGACAGCGAUUAGGCGCACUUAAACCAGUUUAAGUUGGGCGGUUCUGCCACAGCUGGUAUCAAAGCCAUAGGUUGGGAUAAUCAACAGAUAUUACUGUUUAAAAAUUGAAACUCUAUUUUAAAUAAAGAAAAUGUGUCUUAGGUGGCAAUAGCAUUAAUUGGUUGAUUGUUUUGCAGAUGCUAACUGUUUGUUGCGUGUCGCUAGUAUUCGAUAGCAUAUUAUUAGGGAGAGAUUACGAUGCCACCAAUUUUCCUACGAGUGUGUAUAUGAGUCUGAAAGUACGUAGGAAUCAUUGCAUCAUAUUGCAUAGCAUGUUUUAAAAAAUUUUGGGUUUGGUGAGUGCCGUUAGACCUAACCCUACUUCUUUUAUCAGAUGUUCCAAGAGGGGUAUACUGAUCAAGAUGGGUGGACCUGGAAGCACUAUCUGGACAAACCUGGAUUUACACAAGUGUUGUGGAAGACACUUCAGGAGUUGGGAUUUCAUAAUCCUCCUGAAUAUUACUGGAGGAAGGAGGACACAUGCCAUAAGCAGUAUUGCACUGUGUACGUCCAUAUUCCCGAUGAAGAUACAAAUCCUAACUAGCAUUUGGAGGAAGUCAUGGAGCAGGGCAUUGAAUUCAAGGACACUAUUGAGAGGGCAGCCAUGACUGCCCUCACAGAGUUAUGUGAAAAGCAUAAGGUGGAAAUAGGGUCGAGUUCUGCUCGAUUCUAUCCCAUAAAACAUCAAGAUGAUGGUAUUUGGAGAAGAAGGAUUAAGGCAUUAAAGAAUUCAUCCCGUGUGGAGCACGAUGUCCUGGUUGCAACCGCCUCGGAUUAUAUGACGGCUAUGUAUAAUCUUCAUCAAUCAUGUAUAAGGGAGUAUUAUAAUCAAAGGAAGAAGAAUGAAGACGCCAAGAUGGAGGUAUGUGGUGCCAAACAUGACAAAGAAUUGUGUAAGAAGGCGGCACUAGACCGGGAACAUGAUAUGGAAAGGAUCAUGAGGGAGCAGUCUAAAAGAAUAGAUGAGUACGAAGAGAAGCUAAGAACAAUGCAGGAGUAUAUGGACGCUAGCAGGAACACGUCGGAGAGAGCACGAGAGGCAGCUGAAUCAAAUGUUAAUAGACUUGAGGCAGAAAGGUUUCAGCAGCUAGAUGAGAUAUUAUCCCUCCGUCUGGCAUUAGAGGAGAUGCAGGCUCAGGUACCUGCUCAAAAUAUGGUAAAUGUUCCACCGCCUCCACCCCCAGAAGAGCCACAACCACCAGCCCUGGAUGAGGGAGAUCAGUUUGUGGAUGUUGUAGGUGUCGAGGCUGACGUAGCUCCACUUGCAGCUCCCAAAAUUGACCUUUAUGCCCAUGAGAAUCUGGAAGGAUUUGAUGUUGAAAUGGAGGAUAAUCUAGGAGAAGCUCCAAUGGAAAAUCAUCAAUUUGCUUGGGCUAAUGCAAAUGCUGACGGAUUUGACCCACAAGGUCAUGGUCCUAUAGAACAAUGGGAAGAAGCCGAGCAUGAGGGCGAGGGAGAAGAAGAAGAAGAGGAACCGGAAGAGUUUGAAGGGAAUUAUGGUGUCAGUACAUCCUCAUCAUAUUCUUCAUAUACGUCAAGUGACCCAGGACCAGAAUCGGGAAGUGAGAACUCGGUCAAUCAACCCCCAUCUGUUGCUCCUCCAGGACAGACCCUAAUGACAGUGGAUCAGGACAUACUACAGGCUGCUAUGGCAAGGCUGGGGAUAAAUGUUGCGGAACUGGGCAUUUAUUCAUAUGGUGGCUGAAGGGUGACCAUGAUAAGAGGAUGUUGCUUAAGUUCAUGUAAUAUAAAUAAUGAUGUACUUAAGUAUGGUUUGUAUGUGACUACAAUAGUUGUGUUGAUAGAUGUGAAAAGCAAGCAUAUUUAUGAAGCUGGUGGCAAAUUGUUGCUUAGAUAUUAAUAUUCUGAUCGAUUUUUGGCAGAAUGACGGAUCCAAGAGGUCCUCGUGCUUCGAGGUCAGGGAGCCAUGAGGAGAGUCUACCUAGGGCCCCGACACUGGCUGAUGCUAUAGCCAGUCUCAUGAACUCGGGAGCCGAGCAAGCCCGGCUGCUCCAAAUGAUUGUACAGAAUACCGGGAAUGGUGGGGGUAGACGGGAUUCAGAACGUGGUGUAACCUACACCCAGUUUCUGGAGACCCAUCCUCCGGUUUUUCUGAAGGCCGAGCACCCGUUGGAGGCAAACGAGUGGCUUCAGACUAUGGAACAGAAGUUUCGAGUGAUUCCGCUUUGCACCACCACUCAGAAAGCAGAAUUUGCCGGACUCCAACUCCAGGGUCUCGCCGGAACCUGGUGGACUAGUUACCUAGCAAGACAACCUGUUGGGAAGGAAAUCACCUAGGAACAUUUUAAGGAAGCAUUUCGUACAUAGUUCGUACCGGAGGGAAUUCUACGAAUGAAGCUGGAGCAAUUUCUGAGACUUCAGAAGGGGAGUCGCAGUAUUCUAGAAUAUACAAAUGAAUUUGAUCACUUAGCUCAGUAUGCUCCAGAACAUGUUAACACAAAGUCCAAGAAGAGGGACUGUUACCUCCGGGGACUCAACGCAAGGAUGCAGGAGAAACUGUCUACCUGCACCUUUGCUGACUAUAGUUUUGCGGUAAGUGUGGCCAUUACCGCGGAAGAGAAGAUGAGAAUUCUAGAUGAAACCUUGAAGAAAGAAGAGUCUUUAAAAAGGAAGAAUAUUUCCUUUGGGACAUUUGGGAAUGCCCCGCAAAGAAUGAAGGUUGUAUAUUGAGGUCCUCCUCGACCUGCAUAUCGACCUUCUUUCCAACAGAGACCAUUUCAAUCUUGUAGUGCCAGAAAUCCUACCAAUAAUCCUGACCCUAUAAGUGCGCCACCCUUCGAAUUUCGCAGUCCUACUCCCCUAGGGAACCCGUAGGUUUGUUUUAACUAUGGGAAGCUGGGUCAUUUUGCUCGGGAUUGCCAUUUUCCCAAGGUUGGAGGAAACGUGAAUAUGAAAGCUCAAACCUCUGGCCAAGGCAUUGGUCAAAAAUUGGUUCGGCGAAAGUUUCUGAAUGCCAAGACUGGGCAAGCACAUUACAUGAAUGUGGAAGAGAUUCCAGAGGGCGAGCCUAUUCUGGCAGGUACGUUCCUCAUCAAUGACUACCCUGCCAUGGUUCUAUUUGAUUCAGGUGCAUCACAUACUUUCAUAAGUAGAGAUUUUGUUAAGAGGCACCAACUAGAAGUACACACCUUAAACACCAAAUAUGCUAUCCAAGCCACUGGAGCUACCCAAAAUACGAACCAAGUAGCUCGCAAUGUGAUUCUGAAUUUAGAAGGUAAUAAGGUGGGUGCUUUUCCUUUAAUUUUGGAAGAUCAAGGAAUAGAUAUCAUUUUGGGGGUAAAUUGGAUGAAAGAACAUAAAGUUCAAAUUGAUGUCGAUAACCGGAUCGUUAGUUUGAGGGAUACACGAGGACACCCCUUCAAACUCCAAUUACCCGCUCGUUCCUGUUUGGACUAGAUGGUUAAAAAGACUAGAGAAGUAACUCUAGAAUCUAUUCCCGUGGUCAAUGAGUUUGUAGAUGUGUUUCCUGAAGAUCUUCCUGGUUUACCGCCAGAUAGAGUGGUAGAGUUUACUAUUGAGCUACAACCUGGCACUGCCCCCAUUUCAAGAAGACCAUACAGAAUGCCACCUAGGAGUUAGCAGAAUUGCAAGUUCAACUCCAAGAAUUACUAGAUAAAGGUUUUGUUGGGCCUAGUACUUCACCGUGGGGCUGCCCAGCACUUUUUGUUAAAAAGAAAGACGACACCUUGAGGCUGUUUGUGGAUUACCACCCCUUGAAUGCGGUAACCGUUAAGAACAAGUAUCCAUUACCACGGAUUGACUUGUUAUUUGACCAGUUAGCUGGAGCCAAGGUCUUUUCCAAAAUUGACCUUCGGUCAGGAUAUCAUUAGAUUAAAAUAAAGCCCGAAGACAUACCUAAGACAACAUUCUCAACCAGAUAUGGGUUAUAUGAAUAUUUGCUCAUGUCCUUUGGGUUGACAAAUGCCCCAGCGCAUUUUAUGUACCUCAUGAACUCGGUAUUUAUGCUAGAGUUAGACAAAUUUGUGGUAGUUUUUAUUGAUGAUAUCCUAGUCUUCUCUAAGAAUGAGGAGGAACAUGCGCAGCAUCUGCGUAUUAUUCUAAAUAGGCUUCGGGAACACCAGUUAUAUACCAAGUUUAGUAAAUGUGAAUUUUGGUUGAAGAAAGUUCCAUUCCUUGGGCAUGUUUUGUCCAAAAAAGGAAUUGAAGUGGAUCCCGGAAAGGUCAAGGACAUAUUAGAUUGGAAGCCACCAACAUCUGUCCAUGAAGUGAGAAGUUUCCUAGGGAUGCCCGGAUAUUACCGUAGGUUCAUUCCUAACUUCUCAAAAAUUUCCAAGCCAAUCAAGGAAUUAUUAAAGAAGGAAGUGAGAUUUGAAUGGAGCUCCGAAUGCGAAGAAUGAUUCCAAAUGUUGAAGAAACUAUUAACUACAACACCAGUAUUGGCUCAACCUGACUUGGAGAAAUCUUUUGAUGUUUACUGUGAUGCUUCAGGAACAGGGAUAGGAUGUGUUCUUAUGCAAGAAGGUAGGGUUAUUGCUUACGCUUCUCGACAGUUGAAGCGACAUGAAGAGCAUUACCCUACCCAUGAUUUGGAGCUUGCUGUUGUGGUUCAUGCAUUAAAGAUAUGGCGGCACUACCUUCUAGGUAGUGACUGUCGUAUUUUUAUAGACCACAAGAGCUUAAAGUAUAUUUUCACUCAAAUGGACUUAAAUAUGAGGCAGAGACAGUGGUUGGAGGUAAUUAAAGAUUAUAAGUUAGAAAUUCAUUACCAUUCGGGUAAGGCUAAUGUGGUGGCUGAUGCUUUGAGCAGGAAGGCUCAAUGCCACUGCACCAAUAUUCAAUCUAGCCUUAAGACCUUGUGCGAAGAGCUAGAAGACUUAAGUUUGGAAAUAGUAACAUAAGGAACUCUCCAGAACAUUAUCUUGCAAGACACCUUGAAAGAAAGAAUUAUAACAGCCCAGAAAGAGGAUCUAUGGGUAAAGAUGCUUCAUAAACAGAAAGUGGAGGGCAAAAUUUCUGAGUUCACUCAACACAAGGAUGGAGGAUUGUAUUUCAAGAAUAGGAUUGUAGUGCCCAAGGAUGUGAAAUUGAGAAAGAUGAUUUUGGAUGAAGCACACCUGUCUAAGUUCGCCAUUCACCCCGGAAGUAACAAAAUGUAUCAAGAUUUGAAGCAUAGAUUCUGGUGGGCCAUGAUGAAACCAGAAAUUGCAAGAUAUGUGGCCGAAUGCGAUACCUGUCGAAGAAUUAAACCGAUCCUUCAAAAAUAUGCUGGUUUGCUUCAGCCUUUGGCAAUUCCUGUUUGGAAAUGGGAAGACAUUUCCAUAGACUUCAUAGUCGGGUUGCCUACUACUUCAAAAGGGCAUGAUUCCAUAUGGGUUAUUGUUGAUCGACUUACUAAGUCACCCCAUUUUAUUCCCGUCAAAACCACAUAUCCCGUAUCAACCUAUGCAAAGAUAUAUAUGACCCGGAUUGUAUCCCUGCAUGGGGUACCUAAGACAAUUAUUUCUGAUCGAGGCUCUCAAUUUGUUUCCAGGUUCUGGGAACAACUGCAUAAAGUUAUGGGAACUACUUUGAUUAGAAGCUCGGCCUAUCAUCCUCAAACAGGGGGACAAAUAGAAAGAGUCAACCAAAUCUUGGAAGACAUGCUAAGAGCUUGUGUCCUUACCUUCUCAAAGCUAUGGGACGAAUGCUUGCCCCUAGCUGAGUUCUCCUAUAAUAAUAGCUACCAAGCUAGUAUUAAGAUGGCACCUUUUGAAGCUUUGUAUGGUCGAAGGUGCCGAACACCUUUGAAUUGGUCAAAAGAAGGAGAGAUGACACAUUUGGGGUCGGAUUUGGUUAUGAAAACUGAAGAAAAGGUCCGAAAAAUUCGUAAACAUCUUGAAAUAGCCCAGUCCCGACAAAAGAGUUACUCGGAUAAAAGGAGACGAUCUUUAGAAUUUCAUGUUGGGGACUUCGUGUAUCUGAAGGUAUCUUCGAUGAAGGGAGUGCAACGUUUUGGAGUAGAAGGUAAAUUAGCUCCAAGAUAUAUUAGUCCUUACAAGAUUCUAGAACGAAAAGGUCCAGUGGCAUACAAGCUUUCACUGCCAGACCAACUUGCCCUAUACAUGAUGUAUUUCAUGUAUCCUAGCUUAAGAAAUGCCUGAGAGUUCCAAAAGAAAUUUUAGAAGAUCCGGAAGUUGAGUUAGAACCAGACCUAACUUAUGAGGAGAAACCUAUUAAAAUUCUAGAUCAAAAGACAAGAGAUACGCGAACCAAAAGUAUCAAGUUUUACACGGUACAAUGGAAAAAUCAUACUCUAGAUGAGGCUACUUGGGAACAGGCCGAAGAAUUAGAAUCCAAGUAUCCCAAGUUGUUUGAAACCAUUGAAAUCAGAUAAAUAGUCAUUACUGAACAACCACCCCACUUUCUUUAUGCAGAAUAAAGAAAGAUGUUUUACCUGACGCGGUUUCCUUUCCAUUCUCCAAACUGAGGGUUUAACGUUUGGAAUCUCGGGACGAGAUUCUAUUAAGGGGGAGAGGCUGUAACACCUCAUGUUAAGGACAGCCUAAAGGUGUCAAUGAGAAGUUAAUGAUGACUUUUGGAGCAAAAAGAGGGUAAUUGACUCAAAGUCAAAUUCAAGCCGAAUUUGACCAAAAUUGCAAUUUGAAAUUUUAAAUUCCGAAAAAUUUAGCAAAAAUAUGAAGUUGAGGCUGAGGAUGUUUAGAACUCAAAGGAAUGAAGUUGGAGACUAAAUCAAGUCUUAAACUCCUCAAGAAUGCAGCUUAAAAAGGAAAUCAAUCAAGUUACUAUUCCCCAUCCGAAAAUAUGCAAUUCAGAAAAACAUAACAAGUACCCGACUUUGGAAUUGAUUUCUGCCUGAUUUUCCAAGUAAGUGGGCAAAGGUGUCUGAUUAGUAAUGAAGUAUGACAUUUAAUUAAGCCUAGUAGGAUGUUGUUGACCAUAGAAAGUGGAGGGAUCAAAUUUAAAAUAGGACUCAAAGUCAGCACUCUGGCAGUUUUCAGCCUAGUUACUGAAACUGAAUUUUUCCUAAGUCUGAAACAGCAGUGAUUGACUAUGUUUGGAGCAAAUUUUAGAGAAAUGUAGUGCAAAAGGUAUAUGAGUUCAUGUGCAAAAUGGAAUCCUUGUUAGUUGUACAGCAUGAAUGGUUGAUGGUUGAACUAUAUGGAGUAAUAUUAAGCUACUCAAAUCGAGUCAAAAGAAGGGUAAAUGACCCUGAACAGUGAACUGUCGAACUGAAUCAAGGGAUUCAGAACAAUUCAGUUCUGCCCGAGAUGGAGACUCAAAAAUUGCGGCUCUAGGAUGUUUAUCUCGGGUAAAGGUUAAUAUAUCAAUUGAAGUACUCGAGUUUAUCUACAAGUUUGCUUAUAGGACUCCCGGACCGUAAGAUUCAAAAUCAACCGUUUUGAAGGUCUGAAUUUUCGGAGUAAAAGAAGGGGAGGGGAAAACAGCAAAGGCAGAGAUGUGUCCCUGCCGGUGCUUUCGCCGGUCGUCUGGUGCGAUGCAUAGGGACACCUCCUCACCCACGCAAGCCUACAGCUAGGCCAUGGUGGCACUCAUGCAAGCAGUGAAAAAUUCAUAUAAUUAUUGUGCCCGCCGUCGCUCCUAUACGUUUACCGCGUUGCUUAUUUACCGCCGCAAGAAGAGCAUGGCCGAGCCCCUGCCGCCGGCCGAUUUCCACCAUUUCACUGCCUCCCACUUCAAUUCCUUCCACCCAAAUCCCCACCAACACCUCGCCAACAACUGUGCCUACUCGUUUUCCAACUUCCCCGCCGGCGAGCUCUUAGCUGCCGCUAUUUCCGUCCACCGCCGCCAAACUUCUUGCUCACGAUGAGCACUUCCUUGCCACCUCUCUCUCUUCGUGUGAUAGGUCCUAGGUAGGUCUGUAGGUCCCUAGGGAACCUUAGGAGGAGUCAAGCGUCGUGUUGGUGGUGUUGUCGUGCUGGUCCACGGGCGGCUUCUGGUCAAGCCGCCCGCCGCCAUGGAGAGGCCAGCUCCGGCCGUCUCCCAGGGGGCCGCCGCCGCCCACGGGUGCGCCGUGGCCUGGGGAUGCCUCCCCGGCCCGACCCCGUUGCUGGCGGGACGCCGGCCGUCGAGCCGCGCCGCCCCCUUUUGCGCCCUGCUUUUGGCGCGGGGAAGAAGAAGUCCUCGCGCUUGGGGCCCAUGUGCUAGGGAGAGAGGAGGGGAAGAGAAGGUGGGCCGGCGGGUAGAAUAGGAAGGGGGAGUAGAGUCGGUCCAGUAGGGCCCAGCGCGAGAGAGAGAGGGUAGAGAGGAUUAGAGUGAGAAAAGUUGGGCCGGGGGUAUUUGGAUAAUCUUAGGUUUUUCCUUUUAUAGAUAAAUAGUGUAAAUUUGGUUUUCACCAUUUAAAUCACAUGAAAUUAUAGAAGUGUCCAAAAUUAGUGAAACCAAUUUUGUUAGGAUUGUUUUAUUUUCCUUUAUGCAUUAAAAUUCUUACACCUUAGGAAAAAUAAUAAAAUUUAGGUAUUUAUUUGAUGCCUUUUCAUUAAGGUAUUUAAAUAAAUACUUAACCUUUAUUAAAUGCAUAAAAUAUUGAAUAAUGUUUUCAUAUUCACAAAUUAUUAUUAACCCAUAGGAAUUAAGUUUUUAGAUUAGAAAAUAAUUAUAAUGCCUCCUAAAAAUAAAAUAAAAGGCCUAAGGUAGGAUUAGUAAAGAAAAUAAAAAUGGUGGGUUAAUCUUUAUGGGUAGUUAGUGUUGGCUUGCAACUUUAUCAUGAUAAGUUGUAUAGUCACUUGUUGGCUUGCAACUUUAUCAUGAAGGAAAGUUGUAUAGUCUUGUAUUUAAAAAUUUGCAUCACUAACCUCUGCAUUUACUAAAUCGUAGACAACGGAGCUCCAGAAGGGGAAUUCUUGGAAUUAUCUGAAGGACCUUCAGAGUUUGAGGAGAUUGUUGAACUGAUCCCCUGUGAAGCCAGUCCGUCGGGCAACGCUAACAUUUUUACAUAUCAAGGCAAACCCCGGUGCAUCUAUACCUAUCUACUUUGAAGUUAUUAUUUCAUCUGUCCAAUUAUUGUUUAUUUUUUAUAUGAAUGCAUUAAGUCUAGGAGUUGGUUGAAACCUAUUCUUGUGCAUAAUCCUACCUUGUUUAGAGGACAUCUUUGCCACUUGUUCACUAAUUAGUAAUUAACUUAUGCUUAGCAAUGCUUAGAUACUUCAAGCAACUUGAUUGCUUAGCUCUAAGGUAAAUCGUUGGGUCAUACAUAUUAGUUAAGGAAGGUUAGCUUGGAAAUUUGAAAAGCCGACAGAAGCUAGAGAUAUUAGUUCUGUCUGCAAGGUUAAAUUGGUUAAGGCCUGAUUGUUGUCUUAACCUUUGAUCAAGUGAAUAUCACCUGGUUGCUUACUGGGUAUGGGACCAGUAAAGCCCGGUAGGUUAGUUGACUCUCUGAUCGGGAAUAUGUCGUACCCGUGCUUGACGUGCUGGAGAAUGGCAGGGGCGUAGCCUGAAACUCACAUGGAGAUCGAGCCAGACGUGGGGUCCCAUGUAGGGGUGCGUCCCUGGGUUCAGGUAGUCUUAUUCCCAAUCUUUGGGUACACUAAUCGAAGGGUCGUUAUGUACAACCUGGACAGUUGUACAUAGCUAGUGGUCAGGGUGUUCUUCUGCAGGAUGUAAAUUGAUUCGGAUCGCUGCAAUUCUCAGUUAUGAAUAAACUUGAUCACCGUUAAGCAUCGUAGUGUAAUCUAGUGAAUGUAAUGUUUUUUCCGAAAUUAAUAUGUUGUAUGACUUAAUUCCUACUGAUUGCAAAAGUAUUUCUUUUCCAUCAUCUAGACUGGACAGGUAACAACUCAAUCUGAAAUAAAAGAUAAAGUUAAGGUUUCACUUAUAGUAAGCUCUUUUAGCAAAAGGUGAGUCAGCCAGUAAACUAAACAGCUAUCAUUCAGUUUUGGAAAGACUAUUAUAUUGGUUAGUCGGGUUAGUCUUGCUGAGUACCCUGUACUCAGGGGAAUCCUUCAUUGCUAUUUCAGAGCCACAGCAGGAGUCCGCCGAGGAGGAAGCCCUAAAGAGCUAGGGUAUUUUUACGAGUCUCACAAUACCCUAGAAAUAAAACUUAGAUGUUUAUCUUUCACCUGGACUGGUUUAUGUUUUAAAACUCUUAGAACUGCUCUGACCUGUAUUAUUAAGUUUGUUUCAAACUAUGGUCUGUAAUAAUUCGCACCUCAGUAUGUGUGUAAAAAUGUAAUAUUUGUUGAUACCUUCCCAUCGUGGAAGCGAUCCUGAUGUAUGGCUAUGGGACACAUCGUGGAUAUUUCGAGGAGCCCUAGGGACACUCGACGGACUACCAGACUUAUACUGUUUUAAGUGUGUUUCGGAUAAUUGCUGUUCUGACGGCGAUUAGGUGCACUUAAACCAGUUUAAGUUGGGCGGUUCCGCCACAACCAAUUGAUUAUGAUGGCUUAGAUGAGCCUACACCAGUCUACCAGCGUGUAGAUGGAGAAAUAGCAAGUGUUGCUGGUAACUUACAAGUUCUUAUCAAUAGAAGGGAAGAAGACAUUGCUGAAGCCAGUGACGAUGAAGAUGGUGAAGAUGACACUGUCUUAGAGUAUUUUAGUGAGAAUGAUAGAGAUCCCAUGGAAUGUAAUGAUGGUGAUUAGGUUAAAUCUAUCAUUGAAUUUGUAACUAUCUUUAAUUGGCUUUUGAUGUUAUGGAGAUGUAAUAUAAAAAUUCACCAUUCUAUAAAAAUUCAUACAUUCAUACAUUAUGGCAAGUCUAUGAUGUUGCUCACACAUUAUGUCAAGUCUGUGAUCUUGCCAACACCUUUGAUACAUUCAGAGAACUAAGCUCAUUUUCAGAAAUAAGCCAACCAAUUCAUACAUUCAUACCACUAAGCUAAUUCAGUCAAAUUAACAACCAGGAGUGGCAACUAAGCUGAAUCACUGCAGCUGUGGUUGCAGCUUCAGUGGCUCAGCACCUGAACCGAACUUAGCCACCAGGAAUGCCAAAAACAAAGCAACAAGGAUCAUUGAUCCACAACACUUAGUAACUCUGACUGCAGCUUGAACUUGCUUGGCCUCCUCCUUGGCUGCUACCUUGGCCUCAACUUGCUUGGCUGCUGCUCUGGCCUCCUCCUUCUCCUUCAUCAUUUUAGCAUGCUUCACCUCUGCUUCAUGCAGCAAAAGCUUUCAGUUCAUUCUUCUCCAUCUCUAGACCAUGGUUCUUUCUACGUAGAGACUGCACUGCAUCUCACAAAUCAACAAGGAUCUCAAUCUGAUGAUCUGUUGGCUUUGGAUCCAACCACACCCAAAACCUGCAUCCACCCUCCUUGCAACCACAAUAAAAUAGCAAAUUGUCAGACAGACUACAAAUCUGACCACAACAAAAGAGCAAUUUAUCGCAAAUCAACUCACCCGGUAUCUGUAGCAUGAAUGGUACCUCCUUCCGAGAUUCUCAUCACUCCAUGAGAUCCACCUAGGAGCCUUCCACCCGCAGUAGCAAUUGAUAGCUGGUGUGUAAGCAAAGGGGGGCACACGAUAGGAAAUUGGAGAGGAGUUCCGGGGACGCUCCAGAUCCAUGGAGGUAUGUGAUGAGCUUGAGCCAACAGUUGUUGCCAUGGAGCUCUAACCCUAAUCGGGUGGUGGCCAGUGGCGCGGUGGGUGGUUUUCGAUGGUGUGGGUACACGGCGGGGGCGGGUGCUGACCGGUGCCACGGUGGGUGGUUUCCGGUGGAAUGAGGGCACAGCUGCAGCGCAGCGGUUGGUGGAGUGGGUGCACAGCUAUGGCGCUGGCCGGUGGAGUGGGUACACGGCAGGGGCGGGUGCUGACCAGUGGCGCAGCGGGUGGUGGCCGGCGGGGGUGGGUGCUGACCGGGGGCACGACUGCAGCGCACAGUGGGGGAUUUGGGGGGAUUGGGGGGAUUUGGAGUAGAGGCUGACAGGGUAGGUCCACCCCAUCAGCUCUUCAAAUGGCUGGACUCGGUCCAGCAUGGUGUGAGGCUGACUGGUGGGUCGAUGAUGCUCAAAAUUUGGUCAAAUCCAUGAUUUCAGCUCAUUUCAAAUCUAAUCUGAAUCGAAUUUUCAAAGCAAUGUUGAAGUUCUACAUUAAAGUACAAUAAUUGUAAAACUCGCACUCUAAUGGUCAUCAUAUGGUCCAUAUCAAGUGUAUAAGUAUACCAAGCAUGUAUAUGAAUCGAAGGGCAUACGAUCUUACACAUCAUAUAGCUAUGUGUGUUGAUAUAACCAAGCAUCUAUAUGAUCUUAUGAAUUGAAGUGCAUAACUAUGUGGUUGUAACCAAUCAUGCAUUGUAUGUGAUAUUAAGAAGUGCUAAUCAACUUAUUAAGUGUUUAAAUUCAUUCAUGCACACACAUUAUAUUUAGGUACAAUGUGUAUGUGUAUAGCAACAAAUAAGAGAUCAUGUAUCUCUCCCUAUAAUUUGAGAGCUCAAAUAUUAUCAUCUUGCACAUUUUAUGUCUACAUCAGAGAAGGUUUUCAUCUUUCACAUCUAAUGAGUCUACAAUUUGUCCUUGAUAUAUGAAAGGAGGUUACACUAUAAAAAACAUCAUUGUAAACCAGUAUACUACCAUAAAAAUAUCGUUAUAUAGAAAAAAUACUUUGUAUCCCAAACACAUAGAAAUUGAUGUCAAAUUCGUGUACAAACAAAUAUCAUUUUACAUUUCAAUAGUACAACAAAAUAAUAGAAAUAAACCAUUUAGGUUUAUUCUGAGAAAAAAAAAGAAAAUAGUUUUCCAGCUCCCGCCUAAGGCUUCUGCUGCGCUCCGCAUCCCCCGCCCAAAUUUUGGUGGCUGCGAAAACCCCCUAUUGCCCUCCAGCUUGACGGCUCCUAAAACAUUAGACCAGGGACAAAAUUGUAACUUCAUCGAGGACUACAUAUUUUUGAAACCCCUCUGAUCUGGUUGAGACUAGCCGCAGCCACCUCAUUUCGUUUCCGCCCACCCUAGAUCCACUCUGUCGCUGCCCUCCUGCAUCCCCUCCGCCGCCGCCCUCCUAGACCCACUCCGCCACCGCCACCCUCGCAUACAACCACUACGCUGCCGCCCAAAUCCACUCCUCCGCCGCCUAGAUCCAGUCAGCCGCAACCCAAAAAUGCAACAUUCGAUGGAGAUGGAGGAGCCGUGACCUGCGACGUCCACCCCACCGGAGAUGGAGAUGUAGGAGCCACACCACUACGUCGAGCUGCACCGGAGACACGACGACGACCACGACGCCCACCCCACCGGAGGCACCCGUCAACGAUGCCUAAAUGGCUGGCAGCAUGACUUUCGCCCCCGAGCCCAGGUUCUCCUGAUUGCUUCUCCAUUUAGGGUUUAGGAUUUUGUUCUUCAGAUUUGCUUCCCUUGUGUAGCACUAAAACGUCUUGUAGUUCUCUAGGUAGGCCUUCUACUAGAUACGGUUUAGGUUUAGGUUUUAGUGAUCAAUUGGACUAAAAUUUGUUUACAAAUAGGGUACUAUGAAAGGCUACGGGCCUUGCAAAUCGCGAACAACAACAGGAAGAUGGAAGCCCUCGGUAUCCGUACCUUGGCCUCUUCUCUUCGUAAUGCAAGUUCUCAAAAUUUGAACAAGCAAACAGACAAGAAUGUUUCUGGUGAGGGGUCAGAUUCAUCCGAAUAUCUUCCUGGAUCUGAAGAGGGCCAGGAAGACGAUGAUGGAUGUGUUAAUACUAACUUAGAAAAGGUCUCUUCUCAAUCUUGGUUGGGGUUUUUUACAUCACGCUAUCCGAUAUAUAUUCUAAUGCUUAUUUUCAUUCAAGUUCUAAUAACAGAUUGCCCCUUGUGUGUUAGGAAACUGAGAACAAUAACAAGCAGGGUAGACCAACCAAAAAGAAGACCAAGAUGCCUCCAGGUGGAACGAAAAGGGUGAGGGCAACUCCAGGAAGCUAUACAGUUCCUGGAGUUUCAACAAGGUCUGGAAAAAAGUACAGCACCAACUUCCAACAAGACAGUGGUGAGGAUCAGUUAAAUCCAUAACCUUGAGAACAAUGGCAUAGCCACUGUGGUGCAAGGCAAAGAAGAACAUCAUCCCGCAAGUCCUGUUCUGGACUGGUCUGUUUUUGACGAGCAAACUAGUGCAGAUGAACAUGCGGUCUCUGAAGGCAAGUAACAGAUCAUGCAUUCUCACAUUCUUUGAUUUAACUGUGGACUACUAUAACACUCUCAGUGCAAACUUUGUAGGUCCACCACAUGCUCGAAGAAAACCAAGACCGCCAACAAAGGGCAAAUUGCUAGACAAUAUGACAAAAGCUAUGGGAAGAAGGUUGCCGAUUGAAAUUGCUCCAGGGAAGAAAAGGCCUGAGAAGCCUGUACAAGCUGCUAAGCUAGCUUCAGAGGCUGGACUUGUCAUUAGGUCCAGCAUGCCUAUUCUAACUCAUUGGAAAGAAUACAAGAAGGAUGAAGAAGCCCAUUUGAAAGAAUUCAUGGGCCGUUUAUCUGUAAGUAAAUUGAUACCUGCCAUAUCUAUUUGGCACCUUCCAUAAGUCAUUGUAUCAAAUGCUAAGAGCUAAAUCUCAUGGCUGAUUGACUUUUACAGACAAGGUUGGCAGUUGAUGAAAAAGAUGAGCCAACAAGGAAAGCAUGCACCAAUCUACUCCAAUCUGGGGUACGCCAGAGUAGAUAUUUGUUGAAGAAGAACUACUUCAUCGGUGUACCGGCUAAUCAAGUCAGAACAACUUCCCCUGUUUCGAGUCUGACUGAUGAGCAGUGGCUUGAACUCGUGGAUAAGUGGUCUAGUGCAAAAGGGAAGGUAUGAUGUGCUAGAAGACAACAACUUUUCUGUUCUAUCUAUUUUAUCUGCAACUUACAUGUUUGCCUUUCAGGAAGUAGCUGAGAAGCACAAGCGCAACCGUACUAAGGUCAAACACCAUCAAGCGAUGGGAUCUUGCAGCUACAUCUCACACUUGUACACAUAUGUAAGUGCUAACAAUCUGGUACAAUACAUUUUCUGUUUUUGUGUAGAUACAAAAGCUAAAUUUUUUCACAUUUCUUGCUCAAACUAAAUACAGAGGGAGAGAAACAAGGAACGAGAGGUCAGUGCAGUGGAGAUGUUCAAGGAAUGUCAUACCAGCAAGAAGAAGGGUAUGACCGAUGAAGUCAAAGAGACAGUUGUAAGUCCCUACACAUGCUUGCUGGAUGGUUUGAGUACAUACAUCUUUUCUAUGUUCAUAAAUGAUUGCUGGAUGGGAUUAGCACAUGGAAAGGAUGCUCAUAUGGCUGCACGAUGUGUGGAUGGUCCUAUCUGUGCUUGUGAAAUGGAAAGAUGUUCCUAUAUGCUUGCUGGGUGGGAUUAGUACAUAGAAAAUAUGUUCAUAUAUGCUUACACCUAUAUUUGUGCUUGGAUAGGAUGUUCAUAUCUGUAAUGUGUCAUGGCAAGUUAAUGUCUUUGCUUGAAACAUGAAUUAUGUAUAAUUAACUUAUCAUUUUUGCAUGUUUAUGGUGUAGAGCAGGGGCGGAUUUGGGCCCCGGGCUGCCCGGGCUGCAGCCCGGGGUGAGGCCCAUGAACAGUGGAAAAUUGCUUCAUAAAAAUGGCAUAAAAAGGCCUAUCAGCCUAUUAGCCCACCCCGAGAAGGAGAAAGCCCAGUAGGCUGCCAGCAGGCCGUUGCCCGUCGCGGGCCUCGCGGAGUCGCUCUAGCUGGCUAGCAGGCCGUCGCCCGUCGCGGGCCUCGCGGAGUCGCUCUAGCUGGCUCUGGCUUGUACUGGUUCGCGAACUCACCUGGCCCGUCGCCCUGUGCCCCUACCUCCUUGACCGCCUCCCUCCCGACUCACUCCGCCAGUCCGCUGCGCCACCACCCGCGCGGCCACACCGCUAGCCCUGCGCGCCGCCACCCGCCGCCGUCCCCAGCUCCCCGCGCGCAGGAGGUAGGAGCCCACAUCCACCCGACGCCCGCGAGGCCGCGAUGACCGACGAGUCCCGGCCCUAGGCUCCGGAGUCCGGCCGGAGGCAGCGCCGCGCCUGGCCGCGCCUCCGCCGGCCGCGUGCGCCGCCACCUGACCCCAGCGCCCGACAGCCCCGGCGCCCCGCCUGGCCGCGCCUCCGCCGGCCGCGUGCACCGCCACCUGCCCUCGGUGCCCGGCGGCCCCGGUGCCCCACCGUCCACCGUCCCCGGCUCGACGGCUCCCUACGCGCCAGCCGCCAGGGCCCAAAUCCGCCCGGGCGCCCGGCGCUCCUCCGACCUCCGGUGAUCCGGUCUGCCCCUGGCCGUCACGCGGCGGCGCAGCCGGCCGCGCCCGGCACCCCCGCUGGCUGCCUGGCCCCUGCCUGGCUGCCCCCUGCGGCCGGCCAAUGCCCUGCGCGGGCAGCGCGGUGCCCCUGCCCGGCUACCCCCUGGCCCCUGGUGUCUGGGCACCUGGCCCCUGCGGCCGGCCAGUGCCCUACGCGGGCAGCGCGGCGCCCCUACCCGGCUGCCCCCUGGCCCCUGGCGCCUGGGCGCCUGGCCCCUGCGGCCGGCCAGUGCCCUGCCCCCAGGCCUGCUGUCUGCUGAACUGCAAUCUGCAAGUGUUGAGGUUUUUUUUUUUUGAAAAUUGCUCUAUGAUUGCUACUGCCUACUAGCAAAAAUGCAAAAUCAUAAAUAUUUCAUUUCAUUGACUGAUUGAGCAGGACUGGUAUUUGAGUGAUUGAGUCUUACUUUGCAAUUGCAACAUUUCAUAUCUUAGAAGUUAGAAUGGAGAAAUACUAUGCUAAAAAAGAUGCAACAAAGAGCGGUGGUAGUGCCAAAACUAUAGAGAGCCGGGUUGAGCAAAAAAGACCACAGAUUGAACUUGAUAUGAGAGAUAUAGUUGCUGAUCUAGGACAAAGGAAGCCAAUUGAUGAUUUUCAUCAUGACAUUAGGGAUGAGGAAAGAAGAGCAUAUCUACAAAUAGGUCCAUAUAGGCCAGCUGGUCAUAAGUUUCCAAAAACGAAAAAAGAUGGUAAAGGUCAAUCAAGAGGAUUUGUUGGAUCAUGGUUUGAUCAAUUUGAUUGGUUAGAGUACAGUGUAGCCAAGGAUGCAGCUUAUUGCUUUUAUUGCUAUCUCUUUAAGCCACAACAAGUUGGGUUUCAUUCUAAUGAUACAUUUACCAAAGUUGGGUUUAGAAAUUGGAAGAAUGCAAAAAAUUGUUUCAAGGAGAAUGCUCAAUCAAUUGAUGGCUUUCAUAAUAAUGCAAGAAAGCGUGCACUUGAUUUCAAAAAUCAGAGGUAAAGUGUUGAACAUGUGUGGACUGUUACAAUUGCAGCAGAAGAGGAGGCAUAUAAAGCUCGUUUAAGUAUCAUGUUAGGCAUUGCUAGAUUUCUCCUUUUGCAAGCUCUAGCCUUUCGUGGACACGAUGAGUCUAAAACAUCAAGAAAUAAAGGGAACUUUAUGGAGAUGCUCGAAUGGUACAGAAAGAAGGAUCCUAAGGCUGCACUUGUGACUGGUGAAAAUGCUCCAGGGAAUAAUCAAAUGAGUAGUCCAAUGGUUCAGAAAGAUUUGGCUAGGGCUUGUGCAGAGGAGACAAGUGAGUUAAUUAAAAGUGAAAUAGGAGAUCGUUGUUUUGCGGUUCUUGUUGACGAGGCUCGUGAUGCAUCUAUUAAGGAACAGAUGGCUGUGGUUGUGAGGUAUAUACCUUCUCUCUAUUUGGUUAUUUUAUUGGUUUUGUUUUGUUGCGUUCAAGUAACACUAUUUUCUCUUUUCUCUUGUAGGUUUGUCAAUGAUAAAGGAAGUGUGAUUGAGAGGUUUCUUGGCAUUGAACAUGUUUCUGACACCACAUCAACUUCACUAAAAGAAGCAUUGGAUACUAUGCUUAGAAGAUAUGGUCUAUCUAUUUCCAAGAUUAGAGGGCAAGGAUAUGAUGGAGCUUCAAAUAUGAGAGGACAAUUUCAUGGGUUACAAAGACUAGUAUUGAACGAAAACCCAUAUGCCUUUUACAUCCAUUGUUUUGCUCAUCAAUUGCAGCUUGUGGUAGUUUCUGUAGCUAAGUGUUGUGGCUCAACUUUUGAUUUUUUUCAAUUAUGUCACUUCAAUCGUCAAUGUUGUUAGUGCUUCUUGCAAGAGGAAAGAUCAACUCCUUCAAAGUCAUCAUGAUAAGCUUGUUGAGCAGUUAGAUAGUAGUGCUAUUUUUUCUGGGAGAGGGAAAAACCAAGAAACUAGUCUUGCUAGGCCUGGUGAUACACGGUGGGGUACACAUCACAAAACAUUGGCACAUCUUAUGAUCAUGUGGUCCUCUGUACUGGAGGUGUUGGAGAAUAUUAGUGAAGAUGGAACUGAUGGGGAAAAAAAACUACAGCCUCUGGAUUGAUUCAAAGAAUGGAGUCAUUUGAAUUUGUGUUCAUAUUACAUCUUAUGAUUAGAGUAUUGGGGAUGACUCAAGACUUGUCACAAUGUUUGCAAAAGAAAAAUCAAAACAUUGUUCGUGCAAUAGGAUUAAUUGGCUCUGUGAUGAGAAAUAUGAAUGAAAUGAGGGAAAAUGGUUGGGAUGCUCUUUUUGAAGAAGUAAAGGAGUUUUGCCUCCUCAACAACAUAGAAAUUCCUAAUAUGGAAGAUAUGAUACCAGUUAGAGGUCGUUCGAGAUGUCGUGGUGCUAAACUAGUGAGUUACUACCAUCAUUUUCAUCAUGGAAUUUUCAAUAUUGUGAUUGAUAAAGUUUAUUGUGAGUUAAACAAUCGAUUUCCAGAAAGAUCAACUCAACUCUUGAGAUGCGUUGCUUGUCUUGAUCCGAGGGAUUCUUUUGCCAACUUUAAAGUACAGAAGUUAGUUGAGCUUGCUAAGAUUUAUAAAGAUGACUUCUGUGAUUAUGACUGCAUAAAGCUUGCGGGUGACCUUCCUAUAUUCAUUGAUGAAGUCAGAAAUGAUGAUAAUUUUGACACUUGUAUUGAUCUUGGGAACCUUGCUGAGAAGAUGGUUCAGACUGGAAGAGAUACAGUUUUUCCUUUGGUGUAUCGUCUCAUUGAACUUGCAUUGAUUUUGCCGGUGGCAACAGCAACAGUUGAAAGAGCCUUCUCUGCUAUGAAUAUUAUCAAGACUGAACAAAGAAAUAAAAUGAAUGAUGAUUGGUUGAAUAAUAGCAUGAUGUGCUAUAUUGAGAGAGAUUUGUUUGCAUCGAUUGAAGAUGAAAAAAUUCUAAAGUGCUUUCAAGGCUUAAGAAACCGUAAGAUGAAUUUGCCAAACGAGUGCUCAAGGUGCAUGUUGUUUACUUGUAUUAGUCUAUUUCAAUACAUAAUGUUAUCUUGCUUUAUAUAGGGCUGAUAUGUUGAAAAUUUUAAUGUAGAAUUGAGGACGUCGGAACAAGUGGAAGUGGUGUUAAUUCAUGAAUACAUGUAUGGUUCUUUUUUUAUCAUGGAAGACUCUUAAUUUGGUACUUUUCUACCUUCAAUAUUUUAUGUAUUGUUUGAGUCUAUUGGUUGAAUUGUGCUCUUUGAAAAAUAUAUUAUAUCUAAUAGUGUAUGGCUAGUAAGAUUUUAAGCCUUAUAUUAGUUAGCCCGGGGCGGAGCCCGUUUCUGGAUCGGCCACUGGUGUAGAGUGCCAUGGAAAGUAUGUUGGCCCAGCCUUCUAAAGGUUUAGAGACACCAAGAUCUAGUACUGAAAUUGUUUCCAAGGUUCUGUCACAAACCAGUGCUGCUUCUACAUUCCUCAAGAAUGCUGGUCUUGAAACACCAAGAAGCAAAUCUCCAGCAUCAGAAGCACAACUUCGGGAACAGCUACAUGCAGAGAAGCAACGAGCUGAUCUACUUCAACAAGAACUCGACACCCUGAGGAAGAAAGCUGAAGAUACAGAAGAAUCAAUGGCCAAGACCCAAGAAGUUGUGCUCAGGACCCAGCAACAGAUGGAGGAGUUCAAGAAGAAACAGGAAGCGAAUGAUCUGAUCCUUCAGCGCAUCUUGAACCUCAACUCAGGUAAUAGAGCUACUUAGCUUGUUUGUUUCUCUGCAGUGCCAUGGAGGUGUGCUUAGCAGUGCUUGGGAACUGAUGUGUUUGUGAAAUGGUGUUUGCUAUGAUGUGAACUUGUGUGAACUUGUGGUUCCCCUGUGUUUGGGAACUUUGGCUGUAUGAAAAUUAAGUUUGUGAUGUAUGAACCUACGUUUGUGCAAGAUGUAUGAACUUGUGCUAGAUGUGUGAAAAUAAGUUCCAUUUCUAGAAUGAGUGCAAAUGGUAUGGCCUGUGCAUAUAUCAAAUUCGUCAAAUUUUUAUGACGAAAAACAAUGUUACGUAACUGUUGCCACAUCAUCGCUCGCAUGCUGCCACGUAAAUGCACACGAGAACGCCACAUGUCAACCAUGAAAUCGUACACGUGUCAACCUCCCCAUCAUACACGUGUCGACCUCGUCAUCAUACAUGUGUCGACUUGUCCAUCAUACACGUGUCCACUAGAACGCCGGUUGAAUCAGUUCAGUGACGGGAGCAAAAUCGUCAUGUUUAUAACUAUAUCUAUGAUGAAAUACACCAAAUCGUCACUAUGCAACAGCUAUGACGCUACAUAGGUGACAAACAGAAUUUCAUCAUAGCUUCGUCACAGAUAUGUUUCCAUGACAUUAUUGGCCUUUACUAUGACAAAAAUGAAUCGUCUUAGAACUUGACUUUUUUAGUAGUGAGAGUUGGGUUAGGCCUUUCUUUGGCCAAAGAGUAAUUGGUUAGGAUUCUCCUUUAUAGUAUGGGUGAUAUAUACAAACUCAAUUGUACUAGGGAAUUAAUCAAGCAAUAAUAUCAGAGGAUAUUGUUGCCCAGCUCUCCCACGUUCCCCUCGCCACCACAGCUCGACGUCGUGCGACCAGUACGGCGCCUCCCCAUCGCCACCGCUUCAAGCCCUCUCCUAGGCCUGCCCAUAGCUACUUCCUACGCAGCAAGGCGUGUUUUACCAAUCUCGUAUCAGAGAUGCCGAGUGCUGAUUCAUCUAAGGCGGACAGUGCCGUCGCUUCCGCCAGUACACAGCCAGAUGGCGGUGAGUCCAUCCUGCUCACCAUUCAACGUCAAUUGGUGGACCUCUCCAAAAACUCAUCGCCCAACACCUUUGCAUCGCUGAGGUGGAGAACCGCCCCACCGAUUCUGCUGCUCUUCAGCUUGCUCGUCCGUUUGGAAUGCCCAACGAUGGCAGUCUGUCGCCCGCUUCCACCGCCGCCACUUCCGCUGUCGCCCCCACAAGUUAUGUUCCUCCACCUGCGCCUUCCUAGCACGCCUCCAUCUUGAAUGUCCAUUUUCCCCCCUCUCGAUCACAUGUGCCACACUUGCCACCGCUACCACUGCCUACCGCCACCACUAACCUUCCUAUCCCAGGUCCGUUGGUCGCCAGGUCGGCCGUUCCUCACUUCCACAAGCUUGAGUUUCCCACCUUCGAUGGCAAGGAAGAUCCCUUCGGCUGGCUCAAUUGCUGCGAGCAGUUUUUUCGCGGCCAACGCACCUUGGAGGAGGAUAAAGUUUGGCUGGCAUCGUAUCACAUGAUGGGGAUAGCCCAGACUUGGUACUUCAUGCUGGAACGUGACUCUAGGCCUCCGUCGUGGUCUGAUUUCAAGGAGUUGUGCAAUCAGUGCUUCGAUCCACCUCUCCGGAGCAAUCCCGUGGGCGAGCUGGUGUGGCUACAGUUCCGCUCCAUGGUGGCCGAGUACCAGGAGCACUUCCUCGCCCUUUUGUGCCAUGCUGAUCGUCUAGUGCCGCGUCAACAGGUGCAGCUCUUCACGACUGGCCUCCCGGAGCGGAUUUGCGUUGAUGUUGAGCUCCAGAACCCCGGGGACCUACAAAUGGACAUGUUGUUGGCAUGGGCUUAUGAGCGCCGUUCCCAGGCACCGAAGGAUUCCACACCAAGCUGGCCACCUCGCUCGUUAGCCCGGCCUUUCUUCCCUACCCCAGCGACUUCGCACGGCACUACCCCGAUGUCUACACCAGCAGCGCUGUCUCCUACACCGCAGGGUGCUUCCGCCCCACCGCGCCCGUUUCGCCGGUUGUCCCCGGCCGAGCUCCUGGAACGCUGCAAGCAGGGCCUCUGCUAUAACUGUGAUGAGCAGUAUGUCCGCAGCCACCGCUGCCAGCGCCUCUUCUACAUCGAGGUCGCGAACUACAAUGACGAUGGAGGGACAGAGUUCCCUGAUCAAGACACGGAUGAAGCCAUGCCGACUAUCUCCCUCCAUGCAUUCACGGGCAUCCGGACCAAGGAUACAAUGCAGCUCCACAUCCAGUACAAGGGCAAGUUCUUGCACGCCCUUCCCUUCUAGACUUCGGCUCCACCCCCAACUUUGUCAACAGUGCCAUCGCCUGUCACCUGGGCAUCCCAUCCGUCCGUGUACGGGUCUGCACGUUGGCGUUGCUAACGGCAACAAGAUUGCUUGUGAAGGCUGCACCCUGGAUGUCCCUAUAACCAUCGGCAUGGAAGCUUUCUGCAUCAACUGCUACGCCAUUCCAUUGGGCUCCUUUGAUGUGAUUGUGGGGGUGGAAUAUCUCUGCACUUGUGGCCCAAUCUUGUCGGACUUCAAUGAUCUAUGUAUAGCUUUCUGGCGUGGUGACCGCUGGGUGUUUUGGAAAGGGAUUGGAUCAGCCAGCGCUGACAUUCAGGAGCCUACGAUGCAUGUCAUCAGUGGCACUGGUUCUAAUUUGAUGGAUCACCUACUGCUGGAGUUUGGCACCGUGUUUGAUGAGCCGUCGGGAUUGCCUCCGGCACGCGCCUAUGAUCACCACAUCCAUUUGUUGCCUAGCACAGCUCCGGUGGUAGUCCAGCCUUACAGAUACCUAGAGCUUUAGAAGGAUGAGUUAGAGAAGUAGUGUCAGAUGAUGUUAGAACAAGUCAUUAUCCGCCUAAGCACCUCAGCAUUUUUAGUGCCUGUAUUGUUUGUGAAGAAGCCAGACGGCACAUGACGCUUCUGCGUGGAUUAUCGGGUACUCAACUCAGUGACUGUCAAGGACAAGUUCCCUAUUCCGAUGAUGGAUGAGUUACUGGAUGAGCUGUGCGGUGCCUGUUUGUUCACCAAGCUGGAACUCCGUUCGAGCUAUCAUCAAGUUUGUGUCCACUCGGAUGACAUUGAGAAGAUGGCGUUCCGUACACACCAUGGUCACUUCGAGUUUUUGUUGAUGCCGUUCAGUUUGACCAACGCACCGGCAACUUUCCAGAGUCUCAUGAAUGAGGUGCUUCACUCGUUCCUCCACCGCUUUGUCCUUGUAUUCUUUGACGACAUCUUAAUCUACAGUGCUACUUGGGCGGAGCAUUUGCAACAUGUUCGUGUCGUCCUCACCACGCUCUGCGCCAACUCCCUCUUUGCCAAGCGCUCAAAGUGUUCGUUUGGGGCUAUGUCCGUUGCCUACCUUGGCCAUGUCAUCUCGGGGUACGGUGUGGCCAUGGAUGUAGACAAGGUGGCAGCCGUGAUGACUUGGCCAACCCCAUGGUCAGCCCGUGGCCUCCACAGUUUCCUCAGACUCAUGGGGUACUAUCGCAAGUUCAUCAAAGAGUUUGGGAUCAUCGCUGAGCCAUUGACUAAGUUGCUGUGCAAGGAGGGUUUCCUAUGGUCCACUAAGGCCGAAACCGCCAUGUCCGCGUUGAAGAAGGCGCUGUCCACAGCUCCUGUUCUACAGCUGCCCGCGUUUGACAAAGAGUUCUUGGUGGAUUGUGAUGCUUCGGGGUUCGGGUUUGGCGCCGUUUUGCACCAAGGGGCUGGGCCUAUAGCGUUCUUCAAUAGGCUGUUUGCUACUCGCCACUUGAAGAUUGCAGCAUAUGAGCGAGAACUAAUUGGAUUGGUCCAAGCUGUGCACCAUUGGCGACUAUAUCUUUGGGGCCACCGCUUCAUCAUCCGCACUGACCACUACAGUCUCAAAUAUAUGCUGGACCAGCGUCUCUCUACUAUCCCUCAACACCAAUGGAUUAGCAAGCUGUUUGGUUACGAUUUCGCAGUCGAGUACCGCCCAGGCCACCUGAACACAGUGGCUGAUGCCUUAUCACGCCGUGAUGCCCCAGAGAUAGCAGUGCAGGUGAUUUUUGGACCUUAUUUUCAGUUAUUAGCUGACAUCAAGAGCGACACCGAGACAAUAGACGAGUUGCGCGGCGCCCGUGAUGACAUACUUGCUGGCCGGUUGGGAGAUCCUUGGAGUGUACAGGAUGGGCUGGUUCUCUAUGGCAGGCGCAUUUUUCUUCCUGAGGGUUCCGAGCAUGCCCACACGGUGCUCCAUAUGGCGCACACGGUCAGUCAUGAGGGGGUUCAGAAGACCCUCCAACGGCUGCGUACUGACUUCCAUAUUCUCCAUGACUGACACCUGGUCCAUGAGUUUGUUUGGUCUUGUUUCACAUAUCAGCGCAACAAGAUGGAAACACUACCACUGAAGGUCCCAUCACGUGUUUGGAUGGACAUCACCAUGGAUUUACUUAAGGGGCUGCCCAAGGUUCAUGGGAAGUCUAUCAUCCUCACCGUUGUGGACAGAUUCUCCAAAUUUGCGCAUUUCAUCACCCUCAGUCAUCCAUAUACUGCUGCUUCCGUGGCCAAGGCAUUUUUUGAGGGUGUCCGGCUGCAUGGAUUUCUGGAGUCCAUCGUCAGUGAUCAUGAUCUAGUUUUCACAAGCACUACGUGGCGGGAGUUGUUUAGACUUGUCGGUGUGCAAUUGAAGAUGAGCAUGGCGUUUCAUCCACAAACAGAUGGUCAGUCCGAGGUGGUCAACAAGACGAUUGCCAUCCCCGCGCCCGAGCUAGUUGAAGCCGCUCGCGCAAUCCCCGUGGCCGAACUGAUCAAAGCCACCAACGAGAUCGUCGUGCCGCCUGUCGACGCCAUCGUGCAGCUCGACAUUUCUGUCAUCGCCCCGCGGUUCCCAAGCUCGACGUGGCCCUUGAUGUCAUUCGUCCUGAGCUCAAGCAGUAGGUCCUACUGCCUCCGCUACCACCGUCGGCAAGCAUGACAGCAGCCCCAUCUACAGUGAGCUAGACGAGGUCUUCCUCCAUGAGGUUGGGCACCUCCACAUCCUCCCCACCAAAGCCAAGGGCCCUCGCCACCCUUGCGAUCAGCUACACCUCAAUGGUGAUUUCGUAGAGGAUUUUGAAGACGGUGGAGGAGUGGCCGAGUGGGCAGUGGUGACGAUGUCAUUGGAGGUGGCACACACCCCGGUGAAGCACACGACCCUCAUCUGGACCCCAUCCUUAGGUCCAGCUCCAUCAAGUCCACACGGAGAUCUGGAGCAGGUCCAGCUCAUCGUAGUGCUUGUCGCCCGGAGAAGGCCCUCCAAGGAAUGCAGAUCGACCUCCCAAAGGUUGCGGCUGGCGUCCACCUGGAUCGGGAGGCGGCGGUAGAUCGCGGCCGCUUGGAAGAGAUCACCUGCCCCGACGAACACCGCGGAGACCCCUAGGCCAGAAGAGCUUUGUGCUGGGAGCUAGAAUGGAUUUGUGCUGGCAGGGCACGCACCUGCCAGUAACAUUGAGCCAGCAAAAAUGCUAUUUGCACUAGCGGGUGCUUGCCCACCAGCACAGACCGCUCUUUGCUGGCGGGCGACGUUAGCCACCUGCUAGCACAGAUGCUUUCUAUGCUAGCAGUGUGGUUACAUCACCGGCUAGCACAGAUGGUUUCAAUGCUAGCUGGUGCUUAUGCCGCUCGCCAGAAAAUGUAUUUUUCCCAUUCAAUAUAUUAUUUUUCAUGAAUUAUUAAUUAUUUCUAUUUCACGCUAGUUUUUAGCUGCCAAAUUGAAAUAUACAUCUCCAACCACAUAACAACAAACUUGAAUAAUAAAUAAUUCAUAUUAUUAAAAACUGCAUCAUAUUGUACAUAAUAUAUAAUUCACAUUAUUAAAAAUCCAACAUUUGGAAUAGAGUUGUUCUUUGCCACGCUAAUAUUAAAACUACUACGCCCAUCUACGAAGAGUUGUGCACUCAUCCGUCAUCAACACGCCAUCUUUAUCAAAGAAUACUCCAUCCUCAUGACAAAUCUCACGUAGGAUGAACCUUGCCAUGUCCGUACAAAUGUAGUCAAUUUGUUUAUCUUCGAUCUUGGUGUAGUUACUGUUGAUGGUAGGCAUCUGCAGUUAAACAAUAAAUGAAGAUUACGAUGUAUUACCAUUAGGAAGUUAGAACAUGGCAGUGUAAGAGACUUACAUCUUCAAGGUUAUUCCGGUAUAUCCUAUUGUUUUCGAUGAACUCGCACACGUAAUAUCCGCAUAGCACACAGCCAGGAGGUUACCUGUGGCACUGCAAAAAAAUAGAAAAAUGAUACAAUGAUGAGUUGUUAUUAAUGACAAGUCUACAAUAUAUGAAAAAAGCAAGUUUUUAUGUUCUUACAUAUUUAUGAUAUAUUAUUUUCAUAGAUUUCAUCCUUUUUGGACUAUGGGGCCCACCUUUUAGUAUGUUAAGCUUGUACGCUCUUUGAUGAUAUAAAGAUAAGAGUUAGUAAUACAACUUAGGUGCAUAGAAUGUCAACAUGCAUAUAAGUACUACCAAGGAAUGUCUUACUUUUGUAUAAUAUCUAUGAAAUCCUUAUACCUAUCUCUAUCAUAGCUGGCUGAGUCAAGGACCACUGCUUCUCCUCGCUUGGGUAAAAUAAUGAUGCAAAUCCAAUGGUUUCUGCAUUAUAUUAAAAUAAUUAAUAUUAUAGAUGGCAUUAAAUAGCACCUAGUAUAUAUAUAGUAAUUAAAACUAGCUUACUCAAAACUGUAAAGAGCUAUGAUAUAAUCCUUGUCAGCCCUUUGCCGCAUCACUUUAGAAAUGUAUACGGACACUUUGUGCAUCUCUUCUCUAUGGGCUUUAUUUCUGAUAGCAUCUUUCUCCGCUUGUGUCUCUGCUGCAUCUAUUUGUGCUUUGAUCAUUUCCGUCAUUUUGAGCUUGUGCUCUGGCUCUCUUAUUCUUGCUGGGUCAAGGUACACUACCUUGAACCUGCCUCCCAUCAAUUGUUCCUCCCUCCAUUGCAUCCUGCAUAAUAGGUUGCUCAGGUACUUGACAUAAAAUACGUAUGUAUUUAAAACUCGUGUAUGUGAUACAUGUGGACUUACACGCACCAUAUGGAAAUGAGAUUCAUGUCAAGAUGUUGUCAACGGUAAAGGCUGUGCAAAUCCUCAAAAUUGAUCACAAUUUGGUAUGGGAGAACGCCAAAGAAAACACUAGUUGAGACAUGCGCGGUGAUUGCUCGAAUGCCUUGUUUCAAUGCAUUCAUGAUCCAUCCAUGUAGCUUAUUCAGUUCCCAUGGGCUCUCCAGCAGAUCCCACUUAUACAAGAAUGGUCUGCCAUGCUCAUAUUCCAUUGGGACCUCAUUUGACGCAAAGAAAUUGAGGUUUUGAUCCUUUUCCUUUUGCCGAGAGGUGCUGCGACUUACAGAUUUUUCAUUGGAUUAUGAAGCCUUCUUCUUCAAUACGUUUAAAAACUUGUCGAUGUCUGCUAAUGGAGCCUUUUCAUAUGUGCUAACCAUACAAGGUACCGCUCUCUUGGGAGGUGGAGAUGCCGGUGAAGGUGAUGUUGGAUCAUUAACUUCUAAAUCAUCUACCUGUUCACUACCUUCUAGUGCUGUUGUCCCAUCAUCCUCAUUGAGAGCUUCUAGGACAGGUGAUAGCUUUGGCUGCUCGUCCUCAUUGUUAGCUCCCUGCACAUGUGAUAGAGUCGGCUGUUUCAUGUCAACAUUUGAAUCUGGAAGGGGUAGUUCUUGGCUUGACUGUCAGGUUUUCGGCGAUGCAUUCAGAAUGAUAUCUCGGUGAUGCCACAAUAUGUUCUGGUUCAUCGCAUCACCGAGAACCCCAAUCCCCUCAUCAGUAGGGAUGUCUAUCUUGCACAACUCAUCAAACACCGUAACAACUUGCACCCAGGCAUAUUCUAGCGGGGGUACCUUUUGGAACACAUGACCCGUUACUGCCAUGCCAGUUGAGACCUCUCGAAACUUAUUUUAUUUCCUUCUAUAAGGUAUAACCAACCUACAUGGUAUAUCUACUUGUAUGUCAUCAAUGGGAUACCUCACGUUUGCAAUGGAGCCAGCACUACUCGGAGCAAUGAAUCCUGUCUGGGCAAGUAGCAUGGUUGGUUGUGCCUAUUGUUGACCAUCGGAUACUGUCAGGUCAGCCACUGUUGCUAUGUGCGGGUUGGCCACAAACUCUAAGAACUCCUGCCUGGCAAUUUCUCUCAUCUUUUCUUCAAGGUUUUUCUUAUAAUGGUCGCGCUUCCUGUAGCUAUCUUGAUCGUUGGGGAAUGCUUUACCCCAGGCCAAUGUUGAUGACAUCCCUCGAACACGCCCAGAGUGCUCUAUAGUUCUGAUUGCAGCAGUUAGCUGAUCUUUCUCCCUGAGGAGCUAAAAAAUGUGGCGGAACCGCCCAGAUUAACCCAGCUAAAGUGUAUUCAAUGUCACCUCAUAUGCGAACUGACACUUUAAUCAAGUUAAAAUGGCAGUCCGUUGGGUUUCACCCGAUAAAACCACUUGUCUCGGAUCGAAACAAAGUAUACUCACACGAAGGCAAGUCCAGAGAUUACAACAUUUCAGUAGUUUAAUACAUAGGUCCUACUUUAUUUAUUACAUCACAGUAGUUCAAAAGUGCAUAAAGUAAAGUUUCUCAGAGUUUAAGCAGCGGAAAGGACACGAUGCAACUAACGUCGAUACAAAAUACCAUGACAAAGCUGACCACGAUAUCAAUCACCACGCUCCUCAGCAUCCGAGGAUGGGUUCCACUCGACCAUCCAACCCGGAGGGAGUUGGGUCAGCCAAGUCAAACUGGCAACCAUUUCCUCAAAAUCAACACUACCUGAAAACAUAGCCACAAGCACUGAGUAUACUAAUACUCAACAAGACUUACCCGUCAGGUGGUAACUACUCCACCGACUUCUAGUGCAGAAGUGGGUCAAGUAGUCUCAAACUGUGAGAGGCAGAUGAUUCGAAUCGAGUUUCUUAACCUUGCAAGGUGAACAUAAUCCCACGACAUUGUGUACCACGACGGGUCCACACAUGUCAAUCAUCCCCAUCAAUCCACAGGCACGUGGUCGAGCCCACUUCCCUUGGAUACAAUGCCCCACGGUCCCGGAACAUCACCGUACCGUGACUGCACUUGUACCCACAUGAUGCACCAGGCGAACCGAGUUCCAGAUAUAGUGAGGUGGUACGCCCACGUCCCGGUUCGAUCAGCUACUAGGCUUCCCUAUCCCAUACUAGGUAUGAGAUUAGUACUUUCAAACACUUGACCACAGCUCUAAACACAUUUCGACCUUAGCAUCCUUUCCUAGACAGACGGGGCAAAUUCCACCGAAUCGGAACCAAAGCCCGACCCCGUCCGUCAUCCUUAUGGUUGCAGCAUAGGUAAUCAAGCAACUCCUAUAACUUGCGAGUGAUAGGAAAUCACUCGACUUUUACCGAGUUCCUAUUUAGCAUAGCAACUACUCAGCCUAUCAUGCUAGUAUUCAACCUUAGGGUCCUGAGAUCAUGCAAUUAAGUUUUCAAUCAACUCCUAUGAACUUAAAUGCGCAAACAUAAGUAACAUAGAGAUUGCAUGAAUGUUUAAACACAGGGUUAUGCUCCGGGGCUUCCUUCCUAUUCUAUGUUAGUGGGGAGCUUGCUUGAAGCUGGAUUGGGCUCUUGCUUGGCCUCGACGUGAUGCAGCUCGACAGGUACUUCCUCAGUUGUCGAGAGCAGUUCUUACGUUCCAUCUACGAGAUUCGCUUCUACACAAGAUGCAUAUACAAUAGUUCAAGAUUCCAUGCUUUCACAUGCAGGAUGCAAUUCAUGAAUUACUGCAGAAGUGUAAAUUACAUUUUGACCACAUUCACCUAGACAAGAUUCCAAACUUUCAUUAUCUUCAUGAAGUAAGGUGUGUUGUGAUUUAAAACCCAGGGUUGACUUUGAUGGUGAUUGUGCACACAUAUAGGGUUUUAACACUUAGACUUCACAAAAGAAAGGUGGGGUCACUCUAGGGUUGCUCAAGGUUCAUUUGCAAAGUUAUCUUGUUUCUGAAUUUCUGAACAACCUAGUUGUACAUUUCCCAUAUUACCCUUCUCAUUCAUUAAUUGUUUUGAUUCCAUUUAACUAGAUAUAACUUCAAAAACUGUUUCUGGUUGCAUCAAGCGUGAUCUAGUGUUGAAAAUUUUACAGAAGCUCCCUAAUAUCAUUAGUGGGCUACUGUAAAAUUUUAGAACUCAUCUGAUUUCUACAAAAAUCAUCAAAAAUAAAACAACACCCGAUGGCAGAUUUCAUAUAACUAUUUUUAACUCAAGUUUCACUGGUGCUUUGGCUCUGAAAUUUCUACAGUGGGUUCUCUAUGUUCAAUCAGAGGUUACUGCAAUUUUCCCAUGAUUUAAUGAGAAGGACAUCUAUUUUCCAUAUUUUACUUUUGUUAAACCAUGUGCACAAGUUAAGCAAGAUCAAUCAUGUUUCAAACAGAGGCUAAUACUUUUCUUAGGGAAGUACUUGUAUCAGCAACUAAACAAAAGUGGUUUCACAUUUUUAUGUAUUUUCUUACAUUUAUAAAGAAAAAAGCAAGGUCAAACCUAGGAUUUCAAUGUGUGACUCAAAUCAGUGUGUUUAUUAUCUAGACUAGUGCCACAAAAUUCAUAUCUAGAACAAGGAUGACACAAGUAAACUAACAGAGGUGGAUUCAUAUUUUUACCAUUUUUGUGUGGUUUAUAGGGCAUUUGAAGGCUUAAAUACAAAAUAAAAACUAGAGAAAAACCUACAACAGUAAUAUGUCCAAAACUAUUUUUUCAAUGAAACUAUUCAACACCAGGAGUCUAACACGGUUGGAUUUGUAUUUUUAGCAUUUUUCUACCAUUUUAUGCAUUUUCAAAGUUCGGCAAAUUUAAAACAAAACUAAAAACAAAAAAGGUUAAAGCAGUCUACAGAGAGACCCUUAAAACCUUUAAACAUUUGCAACGAGGCCCUCACAUCUUACACCUAAGACCCUAGAAAAAGUUUUGGCUUUGCAAUGUCACCCUUGGAGGCUCAGCCAGCAGCGCUCCGGUGAAAUCCAGCGAGCUUCGGUGAGGAUAGGGUCGGGAAAGGGGUCGAGCGAGGUCAGGGGCUCACCAUGAAGAUAUGCGCCGCAAGGAGCACGAGUGGAGGAGGUCCGAAGGUGGUGGCUAACAGCGAGGGGGAAAGCGGCGGCUGUGAAGCUCUGGUCCGGCGCCGGCGGUGGCGGCGCUAGUCGGGAGCUGGCUCGGGGAGCUCAAGUGGGGUGUGCGUGGUGCACUGGAGGGCUCAGCGGGCGGCAGUGACCACCAAAGGGUGGAGCUCCAUAGUGAGGUGGCACGGCGGCAGAGGGGCAGCACUUCCGCGGGGUGGUUUGUGGCGAUGAAGCGUCGGCGAGCUUGGUGUAAUGGCUUUUAUAGCCAGGAGGUGUGAGGAUAAGCUUGGGCUGCGGUUAGGGGAUAGAAGGAGGGUAGUGCGCCACUGGCGGAGCAGAGGAGCGAGCGCGCUCAUUGGCUGGUGGUGGCGCGGCGCGCGUCGGUGAGCUGCUGCAGUUGGCGGAGGGGGAUCCUUGGUGGGCAUGAUCGUUUUGCCGCGCGAGGGAAUUGGCCAGCCGUGCUGUCUUGUCUCAGUGGCGAGUGGCAAAGCGACCUGGCCAGUGGUGUGGCUUGACGUGGCGGUGGCGCGUGCGGCGAGCGGCAGGGGUGCGCGUGGGCGUCGGGUAGCCAUUGGCCGGUGAAGAUGCACGGCAGAAGGGUAGGGAUGUGCGCGCAAGGUAACUGGAUGAGCGGCCGGGGCGAGGGGUCGUGUCGCCGGUGAGGAUUGGCAGCAGUGUUGCACUGGUCAAGGGGCACCACGCGGCGCGCAGGGACGCGCCGUGCGCGAUCACCAGAUCGUGACGCACAUGGGCGCGCGCGCGGUGUGCAGGGACAGAGGAUUUGGAGGGAUGUUGUGGAAAAAUUUCAAACUGCACUUGAAAAAUUUCAAAACUAGAAGUUGUAGGCCUAAGUUCAAACUACAACUCUUAGAAAGGCAUCACAUUCAAAACUGGUUUAUAUUUGAAGAUACAAACAGGCAAAGUUUGGAGGAACGCUGGUUUACAGGACUUAGGGAAAUUUUGAACUGAGUUUUGAAUGCCACUGAACUUCAACCCAAAUUUUGAACUUAUUCCCCUUCAAAUCAGGAAAAACUCAAAUAAUAAAAGUUGUUUAUUUUGAAAAUUUUUACAACUUUUAUAUUGGCAAAAGUUUUAGUUGUUAUAUAAAAUUUGGAAUUAUAAACUGCUCCCAAAAAGUGCCUUUUUAGGAAAUUUUGGCAAUUUCAGUGUUUGAGUUUCAAUUUCAAAUUUACUCUUUGGGAUUUUUGGUAUGUUUGCUACAAUUAAAACCUAUUUUGAGUGUUUUUCAAACGUACCCUUUUGUUUGACUUAGUUUGGUUCAAAUUAGCCCCUAUUUGUGAUAUUUCAUGUGUUUAAGUGAAAUUGCAUUUCAAACAAAAGCAAGUUUAAAAGAUUAGGUGCUAGUUUUGAGUCCUUACACUUUAAUUAGCCUUUCAAGAAUCUACCAAACUUAGGGAUGUUACAAAAAAGAACCUUCUUUUGCACCUCGAUGAGCUGUGCCAACCUAUUGUAAAUUAGCUAUGUUGAGGUUUUCUUGAAUUUAACCUUGCUGUCGGGUGUUACAUUCGGAGUUCAAGCUAGUACCCAAUUCCUGCUGCGCUCAUCCAAGCCUGCAAACAUAUUUGGUAAACAAGCUCUCCUCCGUUCUACUUCCUCUCUCCUCCAUUUAGCGAUCUUGGCAACAUACCCACCCGCACCCAAGUGAUGGGGGUUCUCAGCGGCUUUCAUAGCCUUAGCAGUGUUUUCUUCGCUCAGGGCUUUUGCUUCCAACAUGUUCUUCUGUUGUUUAAACUCUUCCCACAUGUCUAUAGGAAUCUUAACGAAGUCAUCCCUAGCAUACUUGCCUUUCUGUACAUAUUCUUUAUUAAGAGUAGACCUCCAAUUCCUAAAAUAUCUCCCAAGUAGGCCCUCAGCAAAGUGUCUUAUGAAUUUCUCUUGACCUUCAGGAAAAUUGAACCUUUCUUUCACUGUGUCCCACAAUACAUCCUUUGUAGUGGUAGGCACCUUCUUCCAAUUACUAGUAGUGAUCCAGUUCUACAAUUUCUCCCUGAUAAUAACUCCACAUAUGUUCUGAAACCUAGCAGAUAUCACCUCAGGUAAUAUGGGCUCACCUUUGGCGUCAAGCUCUUCUAUUACGAGAGUACCUUUAUCAGGGAUCUGAUUUCGGCUUCGUUUCCCAUGUUUCCUUUUCGGGUUACUACAAGAAGCAGUAGUAGCUGAAGGAUGUGGUGCAAAGGUAGCUACCUCCUCUUCAUGCAGAGUAGAUGUUCUACGAUGUCGCAGCAGGGAAUGCACUAGGGAUUGAUCAUCAUUCUAUAGAGAAAACAAUAGUUGAAGUUUAGAUCUUCAUGUGACCAACAUACAUAUCAUGUGGAUAUGUAUGUGCAUGCGAUAUAUACAUGAUGAUCCGCGAUUGGAUCAUAUUCAGGGUCAUCUUCUUCUAGACACCUGCGAGACCUUGGUGGGCUUGGUUUGUACUCAGGUGGAGUAGAAUACGAUUCACAAUCGUCGUCAGAAUUGUCGUCCUCCUCCUCCUUCGAGGAUUCAACAUCCGGUCUUGGUUGUUGUUCUCCCCCAUCUUACAAUGUAGGGUUGACUAAUUUGGUGGCAUAUGGUUCCGUGACAUUGUUCUCAUUGUUGGUCCCAUUGUUCUUGUUGUUGUCCAUGACUUUUAAUAUGCAAAAUUGUAAUACUUACAAUUAAAAAUUAUUUCUAUCGCAAUUUGUAUACAUAAAAAUUAUUUCUAACACAAUUUGUAUCCUACAUACAUACAUAAAAAAGUCUAUCACAAUUUGUAUCCUGUAUCCAAAUUGUUUCCUAUCACAAUUUGUAACCGCUGACGCAAAAAUCGGAUGGUCACCUUCACGUACUAACACACGAAAGGCCUGGGAGAUUUGCUUCACUCCGGUGCAGGUCCUGUAGAUCGGCGUGCGUGGUGUGCGCGGGCAUGCCAGUUAGUUUGACCAUUCAACUGACAAGGUGGAGAUAAUCCUUUCAAAGUUCGAGGCAAUCGGCCGAUCAGGUCGAUACGAUCCUAACACCAGUAGUAAUAAUGUUGUAGCAAAAUAAAGCAUGGUGAAUAAAUAUAUCGGCCGUGAAGCCGAUUCCAAUAUCUUGAUGAGUGUGAGUAGUUCACCGGCAAUCCAGCCAAUUCAACAUAAUUUAGCAAUAACCAUCGGCUAGAAAGCCAAUAGGAAAUGGAGCGUUGCCGAGCUCUUACCCCACCAUAGCUAGAGCCACAAGCUAAUGAGAUUCAAACUAACGUUGCUACCAAUAUUUCUAGGUGAAACCACACUGAUGCGUCCGGUAGUUGCAGCCUAGAAACACUUAGCAGGAUAUCAAUUUAAACCCCCCCAGCUGAUGAAUCCAAUCACAAUGGAACUCAAUUCCAAUAACACUCGAGGGAUAGCCAAGAUUAAGAUGCAACAGGCUAUUAAGUAAUCGAUCCUCUAUGAUGAUACAAUCUAGAGCUAAUUAAAGCAAACCAGACGACAAGACGAUAGAAUAAAUAGAUAUCAGCCGAUGCAAGCUUAAUCAAGGUAGGAUAACUGUGAUUCUACCACAUCUAGCAAGAGAUCGAACCAUGCAGCCUUACAAGAUACAAUAAAACCAAUAACUGGUGAAUACCGUGGAUCGAGACAGAAGCGAUGCGCCGUAAGUCGAAGAUCCAAGAGUACUUGAUAACUUGUAUGUAAGAACUAGAUCCAACGACAGCGAUGCGCCCGGAAGUUGAAGUCUAGUACACCUGAUGACGGGAACUUGCAGCUUGCCGGAGAUCAAGGUUGAUGCAGCCCAGCUUGCUAGAAGGAACUUGUCGAGAAGCUACAUUACUUCUACUCCUAGGGCAAUGGCGUGAAGCCAAAAGGUAGAUGUGUAAAGGUAAAUAUGUUUGUUGAUUGAUCGUUGGAUGCUAAUUACAAGGACCGGGGUAUGUAUUUAUACCCUAGGCUAAAGACUCCUAGUUGAUCCAUACAAAGACUUGCCUAACAAUAAAUAUCUAAACUAAAAGAAAUAUUUAAAAUACAUGGACUCUAAUUUCCUAUAUGUAGAGUCCUUGCCAAUGAUGCUUCCUUGUCCAUCCGUGAAGAGGCCAAUACGUGAUUAACUUGGUCUUCUCCUUCUCAUGCGGGAACCUAAUCUUAUUUUAAUCAUCUUCACGUACACGUGCUGGUCUGUACGCUCUUUCUUCAUUCUAAUCAACAUUUAUUUAUUCUGAUUACCUCUUCCUGUCCAGCUGAUCCCACUUAGCCGAUGUCCAUCUUACUCCAGAUUAUUUGGAUUUACUGGUUAAAAUCCGGUGUCAACACAGGCCCGCCAAUUUUGGAGCAUGAAGGCUUCAUAUUUCGAAACUAAUUAUAGAGGUCCGAUGCUUGUCUUUGGAGCCAAUGACGUCUGAUUGCAAUAUUCAAAGCCGCAUCGACUACUCCUAAAAUAUAAAGAACCCCGUCGGCUUGAUGCCUUGAUCCCACUCUGAGCCGAUGAAUUCGUUGGCAGUGGAAACAACCGAUAAAAACUAUAUACAUAAAAAUUAUUCCUAUCACAAUUUUUAACCUAUAUACAUAAAAUUUAUUUCUACAACAAUUUGUAUACUAUAUCCAAUUAUUUUUCUAUCACAAUUUAUACAAAUUUAUGAUUCUUGAAAAUUGCAAUCAAUAAAUAUUUAUACACCAAAUUUUCCUAUCCCAAUUUUCAAUACAAUAAUUAUAAUUGAAUUAAAUAAAAAAAUAACCGUUGGGGAGGGCUCGGGAGAGGAGGAGGCGCAGUGGCUAGGGGAGAGGAGGUGGCGCAGCUGCCUCGGGCGCCGUCGGGGAGGGGGUCGGCGCGGCGGCAGCUUGGGGAGGGCGGCGGUGUCGGAUGGGGAGGUCGCGACGGCAGCCAGCGGGGAGGAGGGUGGCACGGGGGCAGCUCGGGGAGGAGAGGGUGGCGGCGGAGGUGCUGCAGGAGGGCCAGUGGCGCACUGGGAGGCGUGCGGCAUCGGGGAGGGGGCGGCGCUCGUGGAGGAGGGCCGUGGUGGUGCAUGGGAGGAGGGGCGGCGGCGCUUGUGGAGGCGGGCCACGACGGUGCACGGGGAGAGGGCCACGGCGGUGCUCCGGGAGGCGUAGGGGCGCACAGGGGAGCGGCUGCGGCGGCAUUGAGGAGGGUGGCGGUUCCGGUGCAAAAAUUUGGCAGCCUGACGGUGUCAUGAAAAUUUUGCGUCGGGACUUAAGAAAAUUUGGUGCCUUGGUUGCGCGUUCUAUAGGAGAGAUCUGUACUGGCAGGCGCUAAUGCCCCCCGCCAGCAUGGAGGUUUUGCGCUGGCGGGUGGCAUUAGCGCUUGGCGGGCAGCAUUAACGCCCGCCAGCACAGAUUCUAUGUGCUGGCAGAUGGCAUUAAGCACCCACCAGCAAAGAGUUUUCACCAAAUUUCAAACAUUUUGAAUACAUGUUAAAUGAUUUCAAAAUUAUUUGAAACGUCUACACCUAAACAUAAAUGUUUUAUAGUGCUUGUGAAAAAAAUAUUUUCAUAAAUAACACAAAUAUUUUUGAGUAGUUAGUUUACAUGUCACUAUAGGUUCAAACUCAUCGUGAGUUAUAUGGUGAUUAUGAGAUGGAUAUCCAUUUUGGGAAGGACGUACUCUUAUACCAUCUUAAAAUUGUGUUAUUUUUUUAUCCAUGCUGGGGCACUGCUAAAGUGAUUACAUGCCAAAUAUGAUGAUUGUUGGACCAAAUUAUAUUUUAUUAAAAUUUAGUUAAAUCAAAAUGUAAAUAUAUUUUUGUGUUAAACCUUUUAAACAUGUCCAUAUUUAAGAAAAUUCCAUAAUUUGAGAUAAAAACUAAGAUGUAUCUUUGCUGGAAAACACAAAAUCCAAGGGGAAGGUGGAUCGUGCCAUUCCAUCUAGGUUUAAUGUAAUUUUAAUAAAAUAUAAAUUUGUCGAAUAAUCAUGAUAAUUAGCAUGUAAGAACUGUACCAGUAGACCAACAUGGAUAAAAAUAAUAAUACCAUUUUGAGAUAGUAUAACAGUGCGUCCUUCCCAAAUGGAUAUCUAAGUCAUAAUCACCCUAUAACUCAUGAGGUGUUUCAACCUAUAGUGACAUGUGAACUAACUAGUCAAAACACUUGUGCUAUAUUUUUUACAUUCACUAUAAAAUAUUUAUGUUCAGGUGUAGAAGUUUGAAACAAUUUUGAACUCAUUUAGCAAGUAUUUCAAUUAUUUGAAAUUUGGUGAAAUUACUUUGCUGGCGGGUGCUUAAUGCCACCCGCCAGCAAAGACGAGCUAUGCUGGCGGGCACUAAUGCCAGUCGCCAAUGCAAAUGCUCUGUGCUGGCGAGCACUAGUGCCACCUGCUAGCACUGAUGCCUCCACUAUAAGGCAGGGGAGGCCCUGAAAAUUUCUAAGUCCUGGUGCUGAACGAAAAGACGCUAUCAGGCUACCCGACUCCGCCGUAGCGCCAGGCCGCCUCCUCCCUACCGGCAUUACUUUUGUAAUGGCUAGCAUCACAAUUUGGAUACUUUUCCAAUUUUGCACACUCACCGCGAUAUAAUAUGCAGUGGUUCCUGCACGCGUGUAUUCUUUGCACAUACAUAUUUAAUAGAUUGAUAAUCUUUUUUGCUUUGUAUGUGUUUUUUAGCAUAAAGUUAGGCUUCGGAAGAAAUUUUCCCAGCAGAGUAAGCAGAUCAUUGAAACUAUUAUCUGACCAGCAGGAUUUAGCCUUCAGGAUCAGAAGAUAAAGGACAAAAUGUAUGACUGUCCACUUCUUCCCACAACCCUUAUACAUACUGUCCUUUGCUGCUUUCCUAAGCGUCUCGAAAUUCUCUAACCCUUUAGCACUCCCUAGCAACACUUUUGGUUAAAUGUGGCGCAACAUGUCCUCCAUAUCAACAUCACAUUCCUUGUCCACCUAUGGUUCAACACGUGCAUAUAUUUGAUCAUCAUUUUAAUCUCCACGGUCAUAAUCAUCAUCCAUCAUAACAUGAUCACUUUCGUUUACAUCAUCACCACCCACUUCAUCAUAGCCAGUGUUGAUGUCUGUGUUGUUGAAAGUACCUCCUGCCUCACCAUGGUAGGAUCAAAUUGUGUAUCCAUCCACAAAAUCUUACUUUAUCAAAUGCCUCUUGAUGACAUCAGUAUCCUCCCAUACAAUAUCGUUGCUGCAGUCAAAACAUGGACAACAUAUUUGCAUUGUCUAGCAACUGCGAGUGUGCUUCUCCGCAGCCUCGACAAACUUUGAUACCUCUUACAUGAAUACAUACCAAUGUCUCUGUAUGCCGUACAUCCAUGCUCUAUGAUCCAUCUUUAACUACCUAUGACAACAAUCCUAUGUUAUAUUAACUAAUUUAAUAAGCUAUGGAUGCAAUAAUUAAUAAUUCAAUUAAACCAUGGAUGUAGUACCUAAUAAGUAGGAUGAAAUAUAAUCAAAAUCAAUUCUAUAUUAUCCUAAAUGAAACUCAAUUAAACCAUGGAUGUAAUAAUUAAUAAGUAGAAAGAAAAAAUCAAACUCAAUUAUAUAUUAAAUUCAAUCAACCUUAUUAAUUAAAACUAUGGAUCUAAUAAUUAAUAAGUAGGAAAAAUAUAAUCGGACUCAAUUCUAUAUUACAAACAUAGCAUUGUAAUGGUUAUAAUAUGAUCAUAGAAUUUUAUUUAUAAAAACGGCGCUACUAGCGCCCGGACGUCCGAUGGGGACUUACCCAUUGGACACUCCGUUGCAACAUCCAACAUAAAUAUCCGCAACAUCCAAUACAUAAGACUGCAACAUUGAAAAAAUAUGUGAAAAAUGUAGUGCAAUGUAAAUAUCGUAUUCUAAAGGAAAGAAAUUUCCGCCACAACAUCGAACGCCUGUUUCAUGCAACAUUUCUCAACCAUAUGAUAGGUUGAGUUUGAGCACGGUGAAACACUAAAACACAAAAGUUGCAAUAUAAAACAUCAACAGAUGAAACAUCAAAACCCAACUGUUGCAACAUUUAUACCGCACACAUCUAUAGCAUUUUGCAACAUCCAAAAACUUCUACUGCAACAUCAUGGGGUACCUAAUGCAACAUGGAGUCGAAAGCGCAAAGUUCGCCUCGUGCGCCGCCAGCCUCGCACGCCGCCGCUCGUGCGGGACUCGCCGGCCUCACCCUCGGCUAGCCUUGUGCGCCGCCACCCUGGAUCUCCCGCUGUUAGCUUCGCCCUCUGCUGACCUCGUGCGCCACUGCCCCGGAUCUCCCGCCGCCCGCCGGAGGCGAUGGGGCUGUCAGCCGGUCAUGGAUAGGCUGCGGAGUCGCCGGACCUUGACUUGGCACAUCAAGGAAGGAGAGGGGAAGGGAGCCAGGGAGGUGGACUGCUAUGACCUCCGUACCUCCAUGGUGAUACUUGCGAAGAGGAUGGGAAGAAACCUGCUGAAUGGAUAAGAACGCCUGGUGUUGGGUAGUCUUGUGGAUGGGAGAGAGGCCACAUUGCUUGAAAAUAAUUAGCCACAAGUGUGGACAUGUGGGCAGGCAGGACAUCUAGGCCUCCACGGUAGAGCCGUCCGACGAAUCGCACUCGUGUCAGAUGCAUGACUUGAAGCAUUACCGUUAUAAAAAUAAUCCAUAUCUAAUUAUUCUCUCUCUUCCCUCCUCUCUCUUCUAGGUCUAGAUCUAGAUCUAGAUGAUAACCUAAUCAAGCUAGAAAUGAUGGAUAGAAGUUGAAAAAGAUUGUUGGAAUGAAUGACACAAACUCACAUUUUAUAGCCACCUCCUCCAAAGACAACUAGAGCAAAACCUUCCCCUUAGAUUUGGUAUUUUUGGAUCUUUUUCUAAGCUCCUCUCGAGCAAGCUCCAAAUGGAAGGUUGGCUGGGAAAGAAGCUGUCUGCGGCCUUAUUGUAACAUCCGCAGAAAUCACCAACUAAAAUCACCCGUUAAAAUUGCCUUUAAAAUCUUUUUACCGCUGAGCUCCCGAAAAUCGGAAAUCUCCCCGGCGAUUUCGCCGUCCCGGCACCCAUGCCGACCCCCCCCCUAUCUUGUUAUAUGUGCCCGUAAAUCUCGCCGCGUGCCGUUGACAGACGUCGCGCGCGUGCUCCGACCGCGUGCCGCAAUCGCCACUGGUCCCUCCCCUUUUCUUUCUCCUUUUCCCCCUUUUUCUUUUUCCUUCCUCUUUUCUUCUCUUUCUUCUUUCUUCCUCCUCCUUCCUUCUUUCUUCUCUCUUCUCCUCCUUCUUCUUCCUGGCACCCAGCAUCACCUCCCCCUGGCGCCAAACCUCCUGGCCGGCCAACGCCAUUUACUCCGGCGGCCCCCCCCCCAAUCCCUGGCGCCAUACUCCCCCAUCGCCCGGACCCGCGCCGCCCGCCUCGGGUCCCGCCGGUCACCUCCGCCCGUCACCGGCCCCCUCGCUCGGCUCAGUCCCGCCGGUCACCUCGGCCCUCCCGGCCCCGCCGGCACGCCCUGGCGCCACGCCGCCCGGCCGCCUUGGGCCCGCGCCCGGGGCACGUGCCGCCGCCCGGCGCCGACUCCCCGGCCGGCCUGCCCGGCCCCUACCCCGCCGUACGCCGCCGCCACUCCGCCCGACGCGCCACCACCGGACCCCCCGCCUUCCGCACGCCACCGGGUCCGCUCCUCGCCAGCCUAUAAAAAGGGGCGAACGCCCCGGCCACCACCACCACAACCCGCCGCACCCCCCUCCCUCGCCACCUGCACAACCGCCGCCGCCGCCGCCGCCUGUGCGCCGCGUGCGCCGCCGCCCGAAGCCUUCCCCGGCCGCACCUCCCUCCUUUCCCCGAAUCCCCAGAGUAAGGAGCAAAAUGGGGCCACCACGACCCCCUCUACCCUCCCCCGCCGCUCCCUCUCACCGCCAGCGAAGCCCUGGCCGCCCCUCCCCUCCACUGCCUCUGUUCCAGAUAGAUAGAAAGGAAGAAGAAGCCCCUCCUUUCCGAUCUAACCCUCAACUUUCCCCAAAUUACACAUAGGUCCUUCCACCUCUCUCAAAGGCUGUUUUACAGAUCAAUCCCUCCACCCCCAUAAAUAUUUACAAAUAGGUCCCUGGUUUAUUACGAAUCAGUCCUAAACCUCCGUUUAAGCCCCUAAUGCAUGUUUAACCCGUCAUUUCAUGCGCCAAACUUCCUCCAAUUAAUCCCAAAUUUUACCACGUCAUCCUCCAAAAUACCUCCGCCGAUCUAUCUCCAAAUUUCCGAAAAUAAAUCUUUCUACCUAUUUUCCGUUCACGUUUUCUGUUCGGAGCUCACGGUUAAAAACCGAUCUUUCUUUUAUUUAUUUGUGUGUCUGCUUGUGUGUACCGUAGAUCGCGGAUUGCCCGAGGAGGAGCCCGAGGAGGAGUUUGACCGCGAACCCGAGCCCGAGGACCAGUACCGCGAGCCAGAGCUCCCGGAAGGCUUUGAAGACGGCAAGUCCAAUCUCACCCUUUGAUGCAUACUUAAUACCUAGUUUUUUUUAAACACAACCCAUUGGCCUAUUUUACAAAAUGCAUAUUAUUUCAUCGCAAGACAUGGUUGGAUAGCCACCCCUUGAUUGUUACGAACAUUCUUUGCUAUCCUAUGCUUAUCUCUAAAUACGACUUGCUCUGUUUAGAUGAUAACCACUGCUAGAACGCUUAGGAAUUGGUUACACAACUACAGUCAUUAUUACCAUGGUGUUUUCGGAAAAUAAGCAUGUGUGUGUGUGUGUGCAAGUGAGAAAAUGGCUUUUCGGGUUCAAGGGAAAAAGAUGUGUAGACAGGAUGGAUGAGUAUUCCUUGUGUGGGAUGCCAUGUUGUUGUGCUCGUACCUUGGUGGUUGAGCAAUGUCGGGAGAUAUCCAUCUUGUCGUAAUUGAGUACCGAGUUGAUGUGUCGUCUUGCCUAAUUCCACCAUCGUGCAACCACUCGACCGUUGUAUGGGCAACGGCUUAGCAUAAAUCCCACUAGCUGAACUGUUAGUCCUCAGGGGUGCUGGUGAGCAACGGGAGCCCAUGGAAAAGGAGUAAGAUCUUGGUGACUUAGGUCCUGGUUACGGUCUCGUGGACGAGCCGUGAACCCCUUGGGUGUUUCCGCGAGGGCUAGCCAGCCUUAGCUAAGGUGGGUAAUGGCUUUGUUAGGAUCCGUACCGUCACUAAGGUGAUCGCGAUACGGUACCCUACUUAUGGGAAAAGUGUACAACCUCUGCAGAGUAAAAACCUAUCCGGGUAGCCGUGUCCACGGUAUUGGACGAGUUAUGGCUUGGUCACAUAACUAGUACUUGGGCAAGGAUGUUAUGUGUGUGUGUGUGUGUGUUGGGUUUUGGAAGAGUCUGGCAGAUGUGCCGUGCGCUAUGGCGGACGGGGAGUCCGAUAGCGAUAAAAACUUGGAUCCUUUGUGUAGGAUCAACCCCACUUAAAUGUUUCGGUUACGAAAGGAAAACUUUACAAAAACCCUUUCAAAAACAAUCCUCUGCAUGUGUUAAAAAUCUAGCUUUACCGCAAAUAAACUCUAGCCUAUCCUUGUUGUGACCUAUGCAUGUACUUGUAUCCCCUCCGUGGAUGGGGUUGGACUUGUUGAGUACGUUUGUACUCACCCUUGCUUCGUUGCUACAGAGGAAGACCCGGACUUCGUCGCCGAAGACCUCGAGUAGAGGUUGUGUCCGCACCCAACGCUGCCUGUGGUGUUGGCCUACCCAAGAUGCUGCUGCUGCCGUGUAGUCCCGAGUGCUGUCUUUUGGCAGUCGCUUGGUUAGCCGCCGUUAUUUAUUUACUGUUUGUUGCUGCGUGGCUUUCACGCCCACUCCCUCAGGAGUUGUACGGUAACUGAAUUAUCUGUCGAAUAAAUGUGUUAUCAGCCUCCUGGGACUGAUAUUUGUAUCACAUUUAGUCUCUACUUAUGUGGGGACGCUUCACUUAUCUGGGUGGCAUCUAUGCUGGCGGUCCACCUAACACACCCACCAGCACAUAUGCAUCCCAUCUGUGCUUGCGGGCGCUUAGGUCAGGUCACCUUUGUGCUGGCGGGUGCCAAUUCCACCCGCCAGCAUGCUAAUUUCGACGUGCUAGCACAAAUCGUUUUUAGCGUAGUGGACGGGCACCACUGGCUUGAUCUUGCAUAUGGUAGCCUUGAGCCCCUCAAGGGAUGAGAUAUAGACGGUCAUGAUUGUCAUCAUCGCGGUGCCCACAGCAAGGCGCUGGGUCCCGCGGCGGCCGGCGGCAGGGAAGGCAGGGCCGUGCGGAGAAGAAGGAGGCGGUGACGGAGGGGGGCGAGAAGGCGGCGGUGAGGAUUGGGGAUUGGGGGGAAGGAGUUUGUUACGGGGGAUCCCUUGUUGCGACCGUUGCGCCGGGCUGAGAGGAAACCCCUCUGGAGUUCGAAAAAUUGUGAAGAUGUGAUCCAACGGCUCGCAUCGUUUCAAAGACUGUAAUGCUACAGAACAAACGUCCGGACUCUUAAAAAAAUCGAAUGCUCCGACACAUGUUGCAAUAGUUAAAGUAUCGAUGUUGCAACUAUUGUUUCUGUGUGUUUUACAGUGAAUGUUGCAUGAAACAUAGUGUUUAUGUAGCGGUGGAAAUUUUCUAUUCCAAAGUUGAACGAUGUAGUCAUUUUUACAUAUUAUUUUUCAUAUUGCAAACUACAAACGCUGAUGUCGCACUAGGUAAUUUUUAAUAUUUCGUCGGAGCGUCCACUGGAAAUUUCCCAUCCGACGUCCGGGCGCUAGUAGCAGAGGCCCAGGCGAUGAGCUAAGCUGACCCCGGCCAAGGGGGUCCCACCUGUCAUAGAUAGUUCCUGGGCUGGUCCGCCUCGAACCGAGCCGAGAAACACCCCGUACGUCCUCGUCGCCGGCCACGAGGUGCUCGAUGGCGUGGCCGUGCUAGCCGGCGCGCGCCCGGCAGCGGCAGCAGCUCCGGUGCACGCGAGGUGUUCGACGAAAUGCGUAAGCCGAUAAAUCCGCGCUCGUUGCCUGCGCCUGCAUGGGUGACGCUGCUGUGGUUUGCUUGCUGUUCCUCGUGUGGUGGUUGUCUGAGAGCUUCAGCUUGUUCUAUCGUUCCCACCACAAUCCUACCUGUUCUAUCUGAGAAAUUUUGCCUACAUGCUAAAGCAUACUUCCCAGGUUAAAAUGCUUCCACAGUUUGACCGACGGUUCAAUUCUGAAUGCGGCGAAACUGAAAACCUCCCUGUGCUGUCAUGCAAAGAUCGAUCUGGUUGCGCUUCACCAAUCAGCCAGCCACCCAGUUGGCCACUGAAACUUAAAUUCUGCUUGAUGUUGUUUGCCGCUACAUAUGUUCAGUUUUUGUUUCCGAAAAACUCAUAUGCUCAGUUUGUCCCAACAACCUAAGCCCAAGCAACAUAUGGACUCAUGGGCAGCAAGAGACAUAUGGAGGCUGCUGAAGAAGUGAAGAGUACCAACGGUCACAUGAACUGAGGUCGACUGCAGGAAAAUUGCAUAAUGCAGCCCAGCACCCACAAUACUAGCUCCAAAUCAGCUUUUAGCAAGCAUUAUGAGUAUUUCUCACGCAUGCUAAAAAGCAUCAUAUUGACAACUUCGAAUAGAACACAAUGUUAAUAUUUAGACAGAACAGUUGCAUUUGAAGAUCAUCCUGUCAUAAGGGAUACAGAGUUUACUCUCUGUUAACACAUUCCACAACACCUUACAUCGGUGUACAUUAGAGGCUAUUCAUAUAACAGAGCUCAACUCCGAAACAUGUAAUGUUUGUCAGUAUAUGCACUUGCUGCACGGCUCAAUAACCUUUUGGUUCACAGACGAAGGCACUCUCCCCUCAACAUAUCUCUGAAUGGCGACACGGGCCUUUUCAGCCUCCACAAGUGCAUCCUUACGCAGCUGCAAGCAUUUAUCAGACCUGGAACAUCUCUGGUCAUGCCCACGGGUAGUAUCUAAUGUUAGAGACACAAGUGACAUUGUUUUCCGAAUAAUAUGGAUUGUAAGCUCAAUCAUGCUCUUUGCAGAGCAAAAGCCGGUUAUCAUCACAUUCUUGAGGCGGCCAUGGCACUGUUCUGAAAGGCACCGUGGACGUGAGAAAUCACCACCUGAAUCUUCAAUGAUAGAAUCAGGCCUUAUGGUCGGCAUUGCAAUCUGCAUGCAAUUAGUUUUCAAUUAGGCUGGACAUAAUAACCUUCGGCGUUAAAAUAGAAGAGAUCCCCAAAGGGUAAUAAUUAAAAUAGUUGUCCUUGAGGAUGGCUUUUCAGAUAUUAUUACUGGUGACUUACACGUAAGACGAAGGUCUCCAACGCAGGAGAAGCAUCAAGGAAAGAGACCAGUGAGUAAAAAUCAUAGUCCGAGGGAAAUAUUAGUGCGCACAACAAUAUCUCCAAGUACUUGAGCUGGAGAAACUUACAAGAUGCCAUUGGUGUAUUGCCUGUCUGAAGAAAGACAUGCCCCAAAUAUUAAUUGUAUAUACCAAGUAUGAGUAACUUAGUACAGUAAACAUACGAUAUGACACUUUUUAUCUGCAGAACAAUGAAAUGUUUAGGAAGGAUCAAACUGACCUCAGCUCUUGUUGAUAGAACAAGAGUUCGAACAUUUGGCACGAUCAAUGGAAGUUUGGUUCUAGCAUAAUACAGGGCACCAGGUGAAUGGUCAUGACGGAAGUCAACUCUCCUGACAUGCAAUGCAUCUCCAACUGAGGUACAUAUUGGGUCCCCUGCAUAGUAGAAAAUGGAGAGCUUUGGGGCAUUGCAUUCAAUCAUCUCCAGCUUUAGACAGCCAAACACAUGUACGAUAUUAAGCUGCUUCAGUAGAUAAGGUAUCUUUAAGCAGAUGAUGUCCCUGCAGUUGGAAAGGUAAAAUUGCUUCAAUGCACAAGAAUUGGACAGAAAACCGUAUAAUUCCUCCCCAGUAACAUUGAUGGAAUGCAAUCUCAAAUUUGUCAAGCUACUCAUGCAACCGACUUGCGCAGCAGAGUGAAGAACAUACACCGAGAAGAAAAGACUGAAUGGAGCUUCUCCGCUCACUAGAUAAAACAGAACACGGGAAGUUGUACUUGAUGUCACGUCGUCCGAACAUUGUUAGCUCAAAAUUUUCAAUCCCAGGAGUAAUGGCAAUUUGAAGCCAGCGGUCAACAUAACUAGGAUGCAGAUCAGAACAAGGGUAAGUAUGAAGGCUAAACAUCUUCACUCCCAUGCCAGAGUGGUUCUGCAAAAUGUGGUCAACUCUACUGAUAAAUUCCCUACUUAUUUCAUCUUUUCUAGAUGCAUCUUCCUUUAUGCGGAGUGAGUCAACAGAAAGCAUGAGCUUUGGAUAGCAACUCCAAGAACGCAGAAAACUGCGAGACAUGCAGGCAGCCUGGGCCACAUCUUGCAUUUGCAUGAAAGUGUGUAUAUGACGAAGGAUAUCCUGUGCAAAUAAGCAUGCAAGAAAGAUUACUAACGUAAAAUGGCUGUAACAACAAUGCUUUCGUGAAAUGAGCUGGACAAAGAAGUUACUAUCCAACUAACAAUUUUCUUUUGUAAUUGCUGUUAAAAUAUUAGGCAUUUCUGGGAUGUUUGUUUUGAAGAAUUAGGUGACCCAUCAUCUUCACACCUUCUAUUUUUGUUUGGUUUGAGGGAUAGAAUGGGUUGAUCUAUCACCACCUCAUUUCUCACAAGUACAUAAUUAGUAUAAAUAGAAGUGGAGUCAUCCCACCAAAAUUCAUGGGAUCAACCUGAUGACUAUCUCAUCUAGCAUGAAGUAAUUCCUCAAACCAAACACAUCAUUAUUAAACAGUGCACAUCCUCUGGGCAGCACUAUUGGUAAAACAGAAACAAGUACCAUAAGCAGGUUACAAACAAUAACCAUCACCAGAGGAGACAUAAUCACAAUUCGAUACAAAAUUUACCAGCAAAGAUGAUUAUACAUAUGGUCACUAUCAGUAGUACCAGGAUCUCAUUUCUUACCUCUGGAAGCUGGACCUGGGAUCCCCUUAUUUCAGCACAAUCUGAAUCAUCACCUUGUUGACAAGGUGAGGCCUUUAUUUGAGCGGCCAAACAAGUCGACCCAUCACCUGCAAACCAGCAAAGUCGUGAUACAGAAGUGAGAAUGACAGGAGAAAACAGCAAGCAGGAGCACAUUUGCAGACACCACUUAGCCUAAAGGUUCAACUUUCGCUCAAGAGCAGUAAGCCUGACAGAACCAAAGGCUUUGAGGUUUCCCUCAAUAGCCAUGACUUGCUCAGGGGAAAAAACACAUUGUACAAGACCUUCAAUUCUCUCUAUGCGCCAAGUAAAUCGCCUAAAAACCUAAUCCUUCAUGUGCGAAAUCAGCUCAAAACUAAGGCCUGAUGCGCAAAAUCUCUAGCCAAGGCAGAUAAAGCUACUAAUAAGUCGACGAAUCCUAUUGCUGCUAGACCUGUUGGAGCAAUAGAACAACCUCUCUCCCCCCUAAAACCAAAAAUGAAAAUUUAGGUACAACAACAAUCCCAACGCAAGACUCGGAGGACUUGGAUCUCACAGAACAAUAAAGCAUUCAAGAAGUGACCAUACAAUACAGGUCACAAGUGACCGGAGCAAACAACAGGAAGGCUUACUGGUUACCGGGCACUGCGGCUGCCCCUUUGCGGACAUCGCGUCCAUCUCCUCUAGCACCCCCAUGGCCGCCGGCCCCCAAAUCGAAGCCAAGCCUGCUGAAUCGAGGUCUCCUCUCUCUCGCCGAUCCGGCCGCUGCGGGUCCGGCAACCACGGCUCGGAUCCGGCAAGCUGGUGGCAGUUCCGGCGGCUGGAGCCCGUCUAUCUGAGAGGGGAUGGAUGGAGGGAAAGAGUUCUUUUUAGCCCCUUCAUUUUGUUUUAUUUCGAACCCCGGUUUGGGAGCCCGACUUUGGAGUGGACUCCCGUGAGAAGGGGUGUUUGAUACAAGGUAUUAAAUUUUAAAAGUAUCACAUCGGAUGUUCGAACGCUAAUUAGGAGGACUAAAUAUGAGCUAAUUAUAAAACUAAUUGCAGAACCGCUAUACUAAUACGCGAGAUGAAUCUAUUAAGCCUAAUUAGUCCAUGAUUUGACAAUGUGGUGCUAUUCGCGAGAUGAAUCUAUUAAGCCUAAUUAAUCCAUCAUUAGCAAUGGUUACUGUAGCACCACAUUGUCAAAUUAUGGACUAAUUAGGCUUAAUAGAUUCAUCUCGCGAAUUAGACUACAUCUGUGCAAUUAGUUUUGUAAUUAGAUUAUAUUUAAUACUUCUAAUUAGUAUAUAAACAUCCGAUAUGACAUGUUAAUUUAGGACGUCGGAUUCAAACAGGUCCGAAGUCCUCGGAGAGCGGGAACAGCCCCGCGUUGUACUCGAACUCGACCAAGAUUUGAAACCGUUUUGGAACCGGAAUCAACUCAAGUUCAUCAGUAUUUAGCAGACAGGAGUACACAAUUUUAUGGUUUCUUUUUGCAAUCUUGAUAUGCAUUUCAAGAACGCCGAUAUUAUGUGCCCACGCGUAUUGGAGAAAACGGCACAAAAUAUACUGGCCCAUGACGUCAUCGUGGAUACAUGAUGGAUGCUAAGGUUCAAGUUUAUUUUUCACUGAAACUGUAGAUGAACAUAAAGAAAUCAUCAGCAAGUAAAAGUUACACGACACUUUUCACUUGCAUAAUAACGAAUUCUUUUGUUUAGGCAGGAUCCAAGUGACCUCAUCUCUCGUUGAUAGAGCGAGAGCCUGAACAUUUGAACUUUGAAGUGAUGAAUGGAAGUUUGGCUCUAUCACAAUACACAGGGCACCAAGUGAAUGGUCAUGACCAAAUUUAACUCUCCUCUUUUGACGUGAUAAAUGUAAGUGAAGAGCUUUGGGGCAUUGCUUUCAGUCAUCCACAACUUCUGGCAGCCAGACACAUGUAGGAUUUUAAGCUGAUUCAGCAUAUCUUUAAGGAGAUGAAAUCCUUGCUGUUGUAAAGGUAAAACUUCUUCAAAGCACAUGAAUUGAACAGAAAACCAUAUAGUUCCUCCCCAGUAACAUGGACAGAAUGCAAUCUCAAAUGUCAAGCUACUCGUGGAACAGACUUGUACAGCAGGGCGAAAAGAAAGAGUGAGAAGAAAAGGCUGAAUGGAGCUUCUACCCUCAUUAGAAAAAACAGAACACGGGAAGUUUACUUUAUGUCAUGUCAUCCGAACAUUGAUAGCAACUUGAACCCAGCGAUCAACAUAACUAGGAUGCAGAUCAGAACAAGGGUAAGUAUGAGCCACACAUCUUCACUCCAAUGCCAGAGUGGUUCUGCAAAAUGUUGACAACUCUAAUGGUAAAUUCCAUGGUUAUUUCAUCUUUUCUAGAUGCAACUUCCUGUUAGAAUUCUAGGCAUAUUUCGGUAUAUUUUAAUUCCAAAAUUAAAUAUGUAAAAUAUUAUAAUGAAUAUGUUGAAUGAUUCAGUGACAAAAUAAUAUAUACCAGUGUUCAAGUUUAAAUAUCUAAUAAACAAGAACAAAUAUAGGGAUGUACCCUGGGGCGGGGCUAGUGACGGAGGCACCGGAUGCGCCGUUACCAUCUAGAUUAGUCAUACUAAUCAUGGGAUGGCCUCAGUCGAUGUAGUCAUACAAACGAGACACCAGAAGAGGUCAAUGCAGUACAGUACCUCGAACGGUCUCCGGGAUGUAGCAGGAAGAAGAGGACGUAGUCGAUCAGCACGGUCACCAGGAAGAAAACGUUGCGGACGAACGGGUCCUCGGCCACCAGGAAGUAGACAAUGCAGAGGUCGCCCACCAACAAGUAGACGUUGCAGGGGUCGGCUAUAGAGGUGACGAACUAGGAGGGAGCGAGCAGUCGCGUUGAACGCUCCCCAAAAACCUUAUCGCUCGCCUAUCCCAAGCAGGAACUCCAGUGGAAGGUGAGGUUCCGGAGGCUCUACUCUCGCCAGAACUUGUGCGCGCAGUGCCUGGUGAUGGGAAUGCAAAGAGAGCAGCAAAAGACACGGAGAAGAGAGAGGUCUCCCAAAAGGAAUACCUUUAUGUGUGUCUGGGAGGAAGAGGAGGGCACCUUAUAUAGGCGAGCAGUGAGAGAGGGGGCACAGUAGCCAGCACAGUCAUCAAACGCAAUCAAUUUGCCCAUCCAUCAAAUGCAAUCAAAUCAGGCAAUCAAACCAGUAACUGUUGGAAUAUUCCAGAGUUUAUUCCUUAGCUGUACUGGAGUGAAUUCUUUCAAUUGAUGACUCUGAUGAUCGGCAAAAUGUUCCUUUCGUCUCGACACGCCAUGCCAUGCCACGCCCACACCCACGCCCUCGGCCUGGCCCAGCCCGGCGAGGCGAGCAAGCACGCGCGUGUGGCACGCUAAUCUCCUUUAUUGACUUCACAAUUGGUGUACACAGAGUCCACCAUUUAAGUCAAUUAAGAUCCUCUUCAAAUCCCCAUGUGGGACUAAACACUUAACUCUCUAGCAUUUAUUAGUGGGCUUUUAAUUCUUUUAAUUGAAUAAAUAAAUGGGCCAAGCCCAUAUAUUCUAACAAUCCCCACCAAGAAUUUCAAGCCACACUAGAAAUGCUCUCAGAUCCACUGUAAUCUUUGAUAUACUAGUAUUUGAUGGAGAUUGUUAAGUUGAACUUCCAUCUAGAGCUAAGGCUACACUUAUUAACAACUGUUCAAUGGACUAUGCUUUGAAUUGACAGUCUUGUGCAAACAAGUUUGACCAGAGCCCUUCACUGAUACUAGGCUGCGAAAGCAUCCCCGCAGUUUGGAGCUUAUAAGUCAUACUCCAGACCUUUCAUGAGUUUCUAGAGAUCACCCACAUCUCAUAGACUAUGACUAGUAGUCAGACUCAUGUAGGUGCAUUCCUCAAAAGAUGUUCUGUAGGACAAUAUCUUUGCUUCAAAGAAACAGCUCCCUUAUUUCAAAGAGGCCACUUGGAACGCAUUAAGGUAUAAACCAACCUGCCAUACAGGAUUGAAGAGAAAUGCAUCUUUCACUACAAUGAGCCUAUUCAAAGGUUCUCUUCUCUCAGUUAAACUAUAGCUUGUUUCACCAUCCUACUUCACGGGAUCUCCGAUCACAUAGAACAGGUUACCACUAUAGAAUAACUCAUGUGGGUCUCAAGCCCAAUUCAAUAGAUGCAUUGUCUAUCACAUUUCGUGCUCUUGACAUGCCUUGAUGACUUCAUGUUAUCCUUUGAAUUGUUCACCUUAACAAUCACAAUUUGGUUGUUACAGUUCAUUAGAAUUACCGAUAUCAGUUUUUCAACUAUCGGCAAGUCCAUUAGGAAUUCACGAAGCCACUCAGCCUGAACAGUGAGCGGUGUCUAAUGCUGGGAGUUCUACUUCCAUUGUUGACCUCGUUAAGAUGGUCUGCUUGCAAGACUUCUAGGAAACAGCGCCAACUCCAAGUAUGAAUACAUAUCCACUUGUGGCUUUUAUCUCAUCAGCAUCAGAGAUCCAAUUUGAGUCACUGUACCCUUCAAAUACCCUUGGGUGACUAGUAUAGUGAAUCCCGUAGUUCACAGUGCCUUUUAGAUAGCGCAUCACUCUCUCUAGAGCAUGCCAAUGAUCAUCUCCCAAAUUUGAAACAAACUAGCUUAGUUUGGUCACAUCAAAUGAUAUGUUAGGCCUCAUAACACUAGCCAAGUACAUAAGUGAACCAAUAAUUUGAGAGUAUCUCAGCUGACCUCUCAUUAUCCUUUUAUUUUUCCUUAAAAUUACACUAGCAUCAUAAGGUAUUGAAACAGGUUUGCAAUCACUAUAACCAAAGUGACCUAGAACUUUUUCCACAUAAUGGGAUUGCAAGAGUGUAACCCCACCAUCACCUUCUCUUACUAGUUUUAUAUUAAGGAUAACAUUAGCCUUUCCCAAAUCUUUCAUCUCAAAGUUUUGAGACAAAAAGUCCUUAACUUCCUUAAUCACAUUAAGGCUUGUCCCAAAAAACAGUAUGCCAUCGACAUACAAGCACAGUAUCACUCCUUCACCCGCACCAAAAUGAUAGUACACACACUUGUCGGCUUCAUUCACAACAAAGCCAGCGGACGUAAGAGUUUUAUCAAACUUCUCAUGCCACUGCUUAAGAGCUUGCUUGAGCCCAUACAAAGAUUUUAACAGCUUACACACCAUUCCUUCUUGACCUUUUGCUACAAACCCUUCUGGCUGAUCCAUAUAGAUCUCCUCCUCCAACUCUCCAUUUAGGAAAGCUGUCUUAACAUCCAUUUGAUGGACGAGAAAACCAUAAGAGGUUGCUAGGGAAAGUAACACUCAAAUUGUGGUCAAUCAAGCAACAGGUGAAUAAGUGUCAAAGAAGUCUUCUUCUUCUUUCUGAGUAUAGCCCUUAGCCACAAGCCUUGCCUUGUACUUUUCAAUAGUACCAUCAGGCCUAAGCUUCUUCUUGAACAUCCACUUGCAUCCUACGGGUUUGCACCCAUAAGGCAACGACUUCCCAAGUUCCAUUAGACAUAAUAUAAUCCAUUUCACUCCUACUUCCUUCCAAUAGUCAGCAUUAGGAGAUGAAUAUGCCUCUUCAAUGGUUCUAGGAGUGUCAUCCAAGAGGUAUAUAAUGGAAUCAUCAAUGAAAGACUUUUCAGUCCUUCGUCUCUUGCUCUUUCUGGGAGCUUCAUUGUUAUCCUCCUCAAGAUUUUUCACAAGUGUAGGUUCAUUGUGUUGUAUUACAUCGGUAGAGAUAUUCUUCUCGAUAAACUCUUGCCUAGAUGAACUUGUUUCAUCUCUCGUAGGAAAAAUAUUCUCAAAAAAUGUAGCAUCUCUAGACUCCAUUAUAGUACCAACAUACAAGUCAGGUACUUCAUAUUUUACUACUAAAAAUCUAUAGCCAACGCUGUGAAUAGCAUAACCCAGAAAGACACAAUCCACAGUUUUAGAUCCAAGCUUACGUUUCUUAGUUAUUGGCACACUAACUUUUGCCAAACAACCCCAAGUACGUAAGUUAGAAAGUGUUAGCCCCUUCUUCUCCCAUUCCUUGAAUUAUUUCUUUAUUCUUUGUAGGAACACGAUUUAGGACAUGACAAGCAGUCAAUAUAGCCUCACCCCACCAUUCCUUGGAAAGUCCUGCUGUAUCUAACAUGACGUUAACCAAAUUAGUUAGAGUGCGGUUCUUCCUUUUAGCAACCCCAUUUGACUAAGGUGAAUAGGGAGGCGUCCUCUCAUGAAUAAUACCAUGUUCCUCGCAGAAUAAAGUAAAAACAUUUAAGUACUCGCCACCACGAUCCGACCUAAUUCGUUUUAUCUUUCUCUCAAGUUGGUUUUCUACUUCAGCUUAGCUGGACAAUGUGAAGCAAAGUGAUCUGGACUCUCGCACACAAAGCAAACUCUCUUCUUCUUCUUCUUAGCCGGUGCAUUUGUUUGUUUAAUAUUUCCUUAGUUCUGCGGUGGCUUCAUCCUCUUCUUUUGGGAAUUGGAAUUGUUCUUCUGAACAAAGUUGACACUUGAAGCUCCAACAAUUCCUUUUCCCCAUGUGUCUUUUGCUCUCGCCUUCUCUUCAACAUCAAGAAUCCCAAUGAGAUCAGAGAUACUAAACUCUUUCCUCUUGUGUUUUAGAGAAGUAGCAAAAUCCCUCCAAAAAGGUGGUAGCUUAGAGAUAAUAGCUCCGGCCACAAACUUGUCGGGCAACACACAAGGAAUCUCUUUGCUAUAGUCUUUGAGAUCUUUUGAUAGCGCCUGAAUCUCAUGGGCUUGUUCUACUAUGAGACGGUUUUCAACCAUCUUGUAGUCAAGGAACUGCUCCAUGAGAUACAGCUCACUGCCAACAUCAGAAACUCCAAAUUGAGCCUCAAGCGUUUCCCACAUCUCCUCGCUACUCGGCAAAGAGAGGUACGUGUCAACAAGGUUUUCAGCUAGAACACUUAUGAUGGCACCACGGAAAAAGCUAUUAGCACGAUCAAAGGCAUUUGCUUCCUCUGAGGUACUGCCCUCGGGCUUUCCGUCUAUGACAUGCAUAACAUUCAUGGCCGUCAACCACAACUAAGCCUCUCACACUAACGCUUGUAAUUGGAACCAUCAAACAUGUUUUGUUUAAUCGAUGCAGCAAAACUAGAUACCGAAAGUCUAUCAACAUUAUAAGGUUUUUGGAUUGUUAGAAUUCUAUGCAUAUUUCGGUAUAUUUUAAUUCCAAAAUUAAACAUGUAAAAUAUUAUCAUGAAUAUGUUGAGUGAUUUAGUGACAAAAUAAUAUUUGCCAGUGUUCAAGUUUAAAUAUCUAAUAAACAAGAACAAAUAUAGGCAUAGAUGAUUUAGGAUGUACCCUGGGGCGGGGCCAGUGCCGGAGGCACUGGAUGCGCCGUUACCAUCUGGAUUAGUCAUACUAAUCGUAGGAUGACCUCAAUCGAUGUAGUCGUACAAACGAGACGCCGGAAGAGGUCGAUGUAGUGCAGUCCCUCGAAUGGCCUCCGGAAAGUAGUAGGAAGAAGAGGGCGUAGUCGAUCAGCGCGGCCACCAGGAAGAUGACAUUGCAGAUGAACAGGCCCUCGGCCACCAAGAAGUAGAUGAUGCAGAGGUCGCCCACCAGGAAGUAGACGUUGCAGGGGUCGGUUGUAGAGGUUGCAGACGAACAAGGAGGGAUCGAGCAGUCGUGUUGAACGCUCCCUAAAAACUUUAUCGCACGCCUAUCCCGAGCAGGAUCUCCAGCAGAAGGCGAGGUUCCAGAGGCUCUGCUCUCGCCAAAACUUGUGUGCGCAGUGCCUGGCGAUGGGAAUGCAAAGAGAGCAGCAAAAGACACGGAGAAGAGAGAGGUCUCCUGAAAGGAAUACCUAUGCGUCUCUAGGAGGAAGAGGAGGGCGCCUUAUAUAGGUGAGCAGUAAGAGAGGGGGAUGAACCUGGACACCAGUAGUCCGCACAGUCAUCAAACACAAUCAAUUCGCCCAACCAUCACAUGCAAUCAAACCAGGCAAUCAAACUGCUGCAAUCAAACCACUAACUGUUGGAAUAUUCCAGAGUUUAUUCCUUAACCGUUACUGGAGUGAAUUCUUUCAAUUGAUGACUCUGAUGAUCGGCAAAAUGUUCACCGCACAGCAGCACAUCAUGUCGCAUCGCUCGCUUGCUCGCUCGUCUCGACACGCCCACGGCCCGGCCCAGCCCGGCGAGGCGAGCAAGCGCGCGCGUGUGGCACGCCAAUUUGCUCUAUUGACUUCACAAUUGGUGUACACAGAGUCCACCAUUUAAGUCAAUUAAGAUCCUCUUCAAAUCCCCUUGUGGGACUAAACACUUAACUCUCUAGCAUUUAUUAGUGGUCAUUUAAUUCUUUUAAUUGAAUAAAUAAAUGGGCCAAGCCCAUAUAUUCCAACACUUCCUUCGUACUGAGUUAAUAGACAGGAUGACCUUUGGAUAGCAUCUCCAUGAAUGCAGGAAAUCAUGAGAUACACAGGCAGCCUGGGCAGCAUCUUGCAUUUGCAUGAGUGUGUAUAUGGUGAAGGAUAUCCUGUGCAAACAACUGAACAAACAUGACAGAAAAUUAACAUAAAAUGAUUGUAGCAAUAAUGCUUUCAUGAAAUGUGCUGGAAGUACACAAUACUAUCCAAUUAGCAAUCAAAUUUGUAUUUUCUGUUAACAAAUUAUUGAAAUUUAUUUAGUGUGCAGAUCCUGUGGGCAGCAUUUUCUGUUGGUAAAACAGAAAUAAGUCCUACACGGUUGUAACCAAUAAUCAUCACCGGAGGAUGACUGACAUAAUCACAAUUUGAAACACAUGAAUCCCCAAUCUAACUUGCCCUACACCUUUGGACAAUGUGGUGUUUUUUGCAUGUUAGAUGGACAAGGAACUCUGAUAAUCCAAAAUGCAUCAGCAAAGUGAUGGAUUUUGCAAUUAUAGUCACAAUCAGUAUCAGGAUCGUAUUUCUUACCUCUGGAAGCUGGACCUUGGAUGCCCUUAUGUCAGCAUAAUCAGAAUCAUCACCUUCAUGAGAAGGUGAGGCCUAUCACCUGCAAGGUCUAGUGUGUUCCAGCAAUGCGCGAACAGUCAGCUGAACUCAAAACUCCUUAUCAGGUGCAUCCAGGUCGCCUUGAUCUGCAGGUGGGCAGAGGGUUCACCAGGGCACCUUUGCCUGCCACCACUGAAAGUGGUGUAUGAGAAUUGAGAAGGCACCUGCAGCCUUAUCCUCCUCCGUCCAGGUACAAACUACUCAGGAUCAAGUCAGUUCUUAGAUGUGGGGAAGCCCUUUUUUUAUGGAUGUAGAUGCCAUGAUAAUGUACCCCUUAGACAUCAAACUGUUUGUCACCAUCUGGGUUCAAUGUGAAGUUGUAGCAUGGCUAGUAAUAAAGGAGCCUGAUUACCAGCGGGUAAAAACAGAGAGCCUAGCAAGUGAUGUUCUCCAUGUCGCUUCUCAUGACCUCUUCCUGCUCCUCUACAGCCACUGCUAAGUACUGCUUCAACUGAAGGAGGUAGAACCCAGUCAAGGACUCCAUGAUGAGGUUGUAGCGUCCAGAGCUCACAUGCUGUCCAGAAAGCAUGCUGCAACAAGUUACCUGAUUACUCCACCUUCUGUGGUUGAGCGUCCAUUCUCCUUGGAACUAAUGAAGCAUAGCAGCACAUCAACCUCAGACUGUCCAUACUCCAGAGGCCUUGCCGGACUAGUAGAGGAGAAGAUUUUUCCAAACGUGACACUGAGAUAGGGAGAUAGUGGAAGUUUUUUUAGAAACUAGGUUUCCCCGCUUUAUUUCAGAGAAACAAAGCAUGGUUACAUUUUGGACCAGCGUAUUGGCAGCGCGCCCGCUGUUGCUUUCACUCAGUACCACCAGAGUCCAAGGAGCCCUUUGGUCGGGCUUUGGCUCCGGCUUAUUUGCCGGCUUAUGCCGAAGCCCUACCAAACGCUAAAAAUCAAAACGGCUUCUUCCCAGAAGCCGGUAAAAGCCUCUAGCGUUUUUGAACUAGGAUGAGAGAGCUGAAAAAAGUAGCUUCCCCCGGCUUCUCUUCCUCCCUUGCGCCAAGACAAAUGGAACUAUCCCUCAACUUGGCUGGAAUUGCAACGAAAUUGCCAUUCCUACCUCUCUGGUGGCGGCGUGAAGCUCACCGGUGAUGAGAGGUCGCAGCUGCCCGGCGCGAAUGGUAGCAGGUGCACGCGUGCAGCCGCAGCUGGAUGGCGCGGACGGACAGCGGGGUGGAGCAACGGCAGUACGGUGCUGGGCAGAUCAAUGACGGCGUGACCCCGCGGGGCGCACUAGCGGCAGAGCUGCUCAGCGGCAGGUCGAAUCGGCAGCGUAGCCUAGCAAGAGAGACGAGAGAGAAGACGAGAGAGCGAGAUUGGGAGAGCGGACGGUGGACUCCGUAUAAGAGGAUAAGGAUGUACGGAAAGAAAGGAAAAUAGGAAAGGAGGAAAGGGAAAAAUAGAAAAGAAAAAUAAAAAGGAUAAAAAUAAAUAGAAAAAAAAAGGAAGAAGGAAAAAUGGUAUUAUCUUUUUAUUUCACACAAAUCACAUUAUCAAUAGAGCCACACAUAAAACUUGUAUGGGCAAGCAACAUACAUAUGCAUGGGCAAAAUGGACAAUUGACAUCUUCUAUACAUUCUAAAAAGCUAAGAGAAGCCGUUUUGCCACACAUUUUUCUACAAAAUAAGCUAGAACUAAAAAAAAGCUGCUUUUUCAUACGAGCCAGAGCUAGAGUUAUUUUUUCACGAGCCAAAACCGUGCCAAACGGACCCUAAACUUGUUACAGGGUUUGCUGACAGAUAAAGCAAACUCGACUCUUCAUUAACGCCCCUUCCAACCCCCAAAGGAUUGACAUCGCUGGAGCCAAGCUGCCCAAUGAAUGUUCCCGCACCUGACAAUCCCUGCAUCCUCGUCGUAGCGGAAGCUGCUCGUUCCCAGGUUAGCUGUAGCGGUUGGCUCAUCUUGGCCUUCAGUAUGCCCAGCACAUGGUCCAGUCCUGCAGCAUGCCCUUCCUCGCACAAGACUCAGCAGCUCUCCAGCGUCCUUAUCAUCCUGUCCAUCAACUUCUUCUCGUUCACCCAUCUCUUGCCCUGAAAACAUAAUGCAUUACGAAAUUUCCAUAAGUUCCAUAACAAUGCAGCACUACACAUAUUAAGAAUACUGUUCUUCCUAUUGCCCACUCACCAACGGGCCAUUGAUUCAAAAUUUUCACCAAUUCUAAUUCCAAAGAUAUCAGAGAUGUAUCCCCACAUAAGUGUGGCGAUGUAACAUUCAAAAAAAAAGAUGGUUAACUGUUUCUUGCUCACUACAGAAGAGUCAAGUCUGAUCAUCCACAUGUCUUCUUUUUGCCAGGUUGGUUCUAGUUAAGGUUUUGUUAUUAGACGAGCCAUAAAAAGAUGUGAAUGCGGGGAGGGGCUCUCAAACUCCAGACAGCAGGGGUGUACACAGGUUGAACGCCUGCGAAGCUGAUGAUUUUGUACAUCGCUUGAAUAGAGAAUUUGCUACUAGACUCAAAAGCCCAAAUGAUAGCAUCAGUCAUCAGUAUAACUGAUGGAUUCGACCAUGGUGACCAGUUCCCAGCUGCGCAUUAGCCUAGGAGUAACCCCUCUCCUAGGAGAUUUUCAGGUCAGUUCCAUCCCACACGUCAGCCACACAUAGAUUUUUCUGAUCAGCUAUUGUGUACAGCUCCCAGAACUGAAUGGCUAAGCUAUUAUUUUCGAACCAAUGAUCCUCCCAGAAUCUAAUGGAUUUCCCAUUCCCAAUCUUCCAUUUUACACCCAAACAGGCUGCUUUACAAGCCUAGAGCACCCCCUUCCAGAAAGGUGAUGCCCCAAUCUCGGGACAACAGAAGAUAUUUGGAUCAUUGAUUUUGUACUUAUAAUCCACUAUCUUCCUCCAGAUAGCAUGCUCCCCCAACUGAUAUCUAUUUAUCCAGGAAGCCAGAAGGCAUAGGUUGAGGUUGCCCACAUUGGGGAUCCCAAGACCGACAAAUUCUUUUCUCUGGGCUAGAUUAUUCCAAUUGGAGAGGUGAUAUUUAUGCUUCCCCUCUGAAUCAUGCCAGAAGAAAGUUUGCCAUUUGAGAGUUAAUACUUUCAAUGGCCCAUUUAGGGAAUUUUAUCACAGAUAACAAAUAGAUAGGUAUGCUUGCCAGGCAGGAUCUCAGUAAGGCGAGUUUCCUAGCACUAGACAAUAAUUUGCCUUUCCAGCCCGCUAUCCUUUCGAUCAGCUUAUCUACGAUUGGUUGGAUAUCUUCUCUUCUAAGCUUGGUGUAGUGGAGGGGUACACCUAGAUAUUUGAUGGGGAAAGUACCAAUAUUAUAACAAAGCAACCUAGCAUAGUUAUUGUUUUCCUCUUCAGACAUACCUAAGGUCAUUAGAUCACUUUUAUCAUAAUUAAUCUUCAUCCCCGACAGAUGUUCAAAACAAGUCAAUAGCCACUUAAAGUGUGUAGCUUGUGAUGGGUUGAUUUUCAAGAACAGCAACGUAUCGUCGGCAUAUUGCAGGCUGAUUAUGCCUCCUUCAUAAACCUCAGGUAGUAGGCCUUCAACUAGACCUUGUCUAGUUGCUUUAAUAAGCAUUCUAGUGAAAACAUCAGUAACUAGAUUGAAAAGAAGGGGGGAGAGAGGGUCCCCUUGCCUGAGCCCCUUCCCUGCUGCAAAAAAGCUGCUGUUUUCAUAAUUAAGCCUUACACAAAUUGAACCACCUCUAGUCAUUUUAAUGAUCCAGUUGGUCCAUUUGUUGGAAAAACCUCCAGAUCUGAGCAUUUCCUCAAGGAAGUCCCAGUUAACCCUGUCAUAAGCUUUUUCAUAAUCUAGUUUGAGAAUAACACCAGCUUCACCUCACUUCACAACCUCAGGAAUAAUCUCAUGGGCUGCCACCACACUCUCUAAAAUGUACCUUCCUUUAAUGAAGGCAGUUUGGUUAGGGAAGAUAAGCCUAUCACAAAUCUUGAUCAAUCUAUUAUUGAGGGCCUUGCUAAAAAUCUUGAAGCUGCAAUUAAUAAGGGCUAUAGGUCUGAACUUUUUUAGUUCAGUUGCCCCUGCUUCUUCUGGUAGCAAGGUCAGCAUAACAUAAUUCAAUCUGUUAAUGUUUAGCUCUUCAUUCUCAAAGGCUCUAACAAUGUUCAUAAAGUCAGUUUUAAUCAACUCCCAGAACUUUUGGUAGAAUAAGAAAGGAAAACCAUCGGGUCCUGGAGCCCCAUCGGCAUAGGAACCAAAAAUGGCUUCCUUAAUUUCCUCAGUAAAAGGAGCCUCCAGCAAAACAUUUUCCUCCCUGGUAACUCUAUCCAUGUCAUCCCAAAAGCUAUUUCCCAAGUGCAGGUAUAGCUUGCUCUCUGAUCCAAACAGAUUUCUAUAAAAGUCACCCGCCACCUUUAGCAUCUCAUUGUUAUCAGUGACUUCACCAUCAUGGCCUUGUAGGGCUGGGAUGUUUUUUUUUUCUUUUUCUAUGGUUAGCUACAGCCUGGAAGUAGGCAGUGUUCCCAGUGGCGUAGCCAAGGGGGCUGGCAGGGGCCAUGGCCCCCCUAAUGUUUCUGCAAACAUGUACUAUAUACUUAGUUUUCUAGUAGGUAAGCACAGAAAACACUGUGUUCUUAUCCCCCUCUUUGAUGUCCCUGUCUCUAGAUCUUUGUUUAGCUUUUAUCUCCUCCAUUCGCCAAAUAUUUUCUAGUUCAGAUUGGAUGUCAUUCAUCCUGUUCCUUUCUUCUUCAUUUAGUUGGUUGUGUUCAGAGAACACAUCCAGCAUAUCGAAAUCUCCUCCAAAAGGGACUGCUUAUAUAUCCAGGUCUCAGCAUUAAUGUUGAGAGCCCAUCCUUUUAGUUUCUUCCUUAAGAGUUUAAUUUUAACGUGCCAAACAUCUAGGGGCUCUGUACAAGUACAGGGAGUAGACCACGGAUCCCUGACCAGUUGGUAACACUCUUCCUUCUCUAACCACCAUUUUUCAGAGCGGGGAAUAAGAAAGGUUUCUUUUCAGUCUUCAAACCAAAGUCCACCAUAAGUGGCACAUGGCCACUUCCCAGCCUAGAGACACAUCUAACAUUCAUCCCAGGGUACCUAGCUACUAGCUUCAAGGCUGGUGGUAGAGAAGAUUCUGUCAAGGACUGCCAUAGUAGGCUGUUCUUGAUUGUUUGUCCAGAUUUAGGACCUCGUGGGGUUUUUGAGUUCGGUCAGCCCCCAUUGGUUAACCUAAUUAUUGAAAAGAUAAGACCAAUGGAAAUUAAUAUUUCCAUUGUUUUUGUCGGUCAUAUUUCUAGUUAGGUUGAAAUCACCUCCCAACAGAGUUGGGCCAUCCCACUCUCCCAUAACACCAUGGAGUUCAUCAAUGAACUCCUGUUUACCUUGGUCAUAAGGCGAACCAUAGACUACAAUCAACCUCCAAGUAAAAUUAUCAUGGACAUUUUUAACUUGUGCACAAACACAAAACUUCUUGAUAUCCCAGCUCACAAUAUCGAACUUGUUACUUCUAAAACCUACCAGGACACCACCAGUAGUGCCUCUAGCAGGUAGUAUAGGUAGUUCCAAGUAAAAUUCCUUCCCACGUUUUCAAAGAAAGCUGCAUGAAAACUAGAUUUUUUUAGUUUCCUGAAGGCCCACAAAAUUUAAUUUAUUCUUAUCUAUGCAACCUAAUCUGCCUGAUUUAUUCAGGCCUCUAAUGUUCCACAUUGCUCCUAUCAUUGUUACAGUUUCUUGUGUAUGAGGCUUAUUGUUCCUUUGAACAAUUUGAGACCAGGUCUCCCUACCUGCCCCUUGGGGAAGCUGAGUAAUCUCAGGACCCUCACGGAUAGGUAUUGCAUUGCUAUCAAUAUCGUUAUGUACUACGAUAUCAAUAUCCAAGUUGACAGGCAAAACAAUUUCUGGAUGUUCAUUCUCAAAAUUAACACACCUAGUGAUUUCAUUGUUUUUCAAAGCAUUAAUGUUUUGAGUUAUUCUAUGGGUGUCAACACCCAAGUCAAUAUCCACUUUAGCAGCUAGUUGUGGCAGAUAUUCAUGCUCAAGCACAGCAAAGGACUUACCUGGACCUUUGCGUGGGGCUUCUAGGUUCUUGUACUCCCUCCAUUCCAAAUUGUAGGUCAUUUUAGCUUUUUUAAGUUCAUAGAUAUUAUUAUGCAUCCAGAUGGAGUAUAUGUCUAGGUGCAUAAUAAUAUCAAUGAAACUAGAAAAAUCAAAACAACCUAUAAUUUGGAACAUACUUUGGAACGGAGGUAGUAACAUUUAAGAUCAAUAGCCUUCUGAAUCAUAGAUCUGUUAUCCCCUGCAUUCCUCCUUGGUCUUUCUGGAAUUAAUUCCAGCCCCCAUUUGUGUUUUUCUUGGUCUUGUAGUGGAAGAUGACACUCACUGGCUGCGUUCAAGAUGAUGUAAGGGAGCAGAAUCAUCAACAGAUAGCUUUUCUUGAUGGUGGCGGUGAAGAUUUCAGCCAACAUGUUCUGGAAUUGGAAGGUAGCGGGAGAUGACACUCACUAGCAACAUCUAAGAUCAUGGACGGGAGCAGAAACAUCAACAGAAGUUUUCUCGCACCAACCUCCAACUCCCCAGCAAGCACAACGUUCUGUUCCAGCACAUUCAAAGCCACAGUACUCCCCAUAUUGAGAAGUAAAUCCUGCAGAAGACAACGUAUUUGCAGAUGGGAUAAACCUUCAAUCAUAUAAGCACAAGAUUGAUUAGAACAAGAAAUUUAGACAAACAAAUGAAUCUGACAUUAAUGGAAAGAAAUGCAGCACGGAACCAUGGACUAGUUCAGUGUACUUAUCAAAUAAUGGAAGCACGGAGAUUCAUAUAUCAGAAAAGGAAAAGGCACAAAUCACUAUUACUGCUGGCAGAGGAUGGUUCAUAGUCAUAGAUUUGAAGUGCAAUUCCAUUAAACUGUGCCAGAGCCCGCUCAACAAACCGAGCUCAUACACUCAGAAGAUAGUCAUAAACUUUUCCCAGACCACCUUCUCUGGUGUGCAAUUGUUGUUUCUACAUCCUAACUUGUAUUGCCCUAUGCUGACGCGGUGUGGUAUGCUACAUCCUAACUUUGAAUUGAAGCUAAACAACAAACGGGCCUCUGUUGACCCUCUGCAGAACCUUGUAUGCUACAUCCUAACUUUGAAUUGAAGCUAAACAAAAAACGGGCCUCUCUUGACCCUCUGCAGAACCAGCUGAAGGCGGCUGAUCUUCUGAAGGAGCACACCCUUGAUUGCGUCCUCCUUGGCCUCCGGGUUUAUCUUGCUGUUGAUGUGGCCAAGGUGGUGCGCGCCGUCCUUGGCCACCGGGUUCACCUGGCCUAUGUCGUCGCCAAGGUUGUGCUCGCCGGCCUCCAAGCCACUCGCGAGGUGGAGCGCGUUGUCCUGGUCCGCGAGCCCGGUCAGGAUCUUCCCCUUGCCAACCACCGGGUAGAACACGCCGCGCUGGUCGACGCCGAGGUGGAGGGCGUCGAGCCUGUUGCUCAGGGCGCCUUCGUCGCCUGACCCAACGGGGAGCCCGGCCUCCCUGUCUUCGACGCUGACCAUGUCCUCCUCGAAGUACACGGCCUCGACAUCCCCGACCUCUCCUGCCUCAAACACGUCCUCCAGGAGCCACUCGAGGUCGUCGUCCAUGAGCUUCGUCUCCUCCACGCCAGCGCCGCCAAAGCCGAGCAGGUUCGCGACCCUGGCGAUACGCUGGCCUUCGAUGGUUAUGCUGUCGAGAACCUCGAUCAUGGAGGCCGGAUGGGCGUGGAUGACGACUUCGUUAGCGGUCUGACGAACGCCGUCGAACCGAAUUUUCUUCAUGGAGAUCCCCUCCACGAUGUCCAACCUCAUCAGGUCGAGGUGAAGCUCUAGUAGGUCCAACUUCUGGUAGUACUCGCUGGCCUGCAGGAGCAAAGCCAGCGCGCCGUCGUCGACCUUCCAGAGAAAUCUGCUGUCGUAGACCUGCUUCUUCAGGAGGUCGAGAAGCGGGGCUGCCUCGAACAGGUCCCCGACGCGGGGGACGAGGACGAGGACGAGGGGGCGCUGCCCUCCCGACCAGAGAUCAAUCUCCUCCUCGAGCGACGCCAGGGAAGACACCUCCAACACCUCCAUUGUAGCGAGCUGGCCACGCGGAACGGCGGCGCGGCGCGGCGAGGAGAGGAUUUGGUAGCGGCGGCGCGGCGGUGGCCGCCUGGCCGGUGAUUGGGAAUUGGGAAUGGAAGAGGGGGAGGCGCGAGGGUGGGGGCCCGAUACGGCCCGGUGGCUUAUUAACCGACGGCUCCUGUUGCUUGAAAGAAGCACAAACAAAUCUGGGUGGUAGAAGCAGGCCCCGAUCCGCGGGAUCCCUUCUUCAACCAUUAGAAAGCGGACACGUGGCCAAGCGGCCAGAUCGUUGUGGAGGCGUGAGCUGGCCCGUCACUCGACGCCGUCUUGGUCCCACCUGUCAGCCAAUGGGGGCGGGGGAUUUUCCCUCUUACCGCCGUGACGCCGUCACGCCUGGCCGCCAAUUGGCAGAUGAGCCAACCCGAGUGCCCGAGCCGCGUGCAACUCCAAUAAAAAAAAACCUGGCGUGCAUCUCGUUUCUUGCCACGCCCAUGCGCCAACAUUAGUUGGACUUGGGAUCGAGCACGCCAGUGCAAAAGUUCUUGAAAUGAACUGUGUACAUUUAAAAAAACUAAACAAGUGAAAAAGGAAGGGUUAAUUGGAAAUAUGCCAUUACAAUUUGCACGUUUUGGAGAUGUGCCAUUAAAAAUCAUUAAAUUGGAAACUUGCCAUUACAAUUCGAUCGCUCAUGUGUUGUAGACGUACUCGUCAUUUCAAUGGAAGAUAUUGCCCCUGCCUGGACACUACAACCCGACUUGCACAGCCCUAGAUCGAAUCCUUUCAUUCCCCCCACCGGCCCUCUCCUCCUGACGAACCCUAACCCUAAGCUAGCAACUGGAGGUGGCAGUGGAGUAGAGCAAGUUCCCGAAUCGAUCUUCAUCCGCGAUGAUGGAGGCGGCCUGAAGUAGAUGGAAGUCAACCCUAACUGCCACAGUGCGGCGGCGAUGAUGGGCGGUGGUACGGCGAUGGAGGGCAGCAAGGUAAGGUACGGGAUCUAAAUCCUUCUCGAUUUGGUCGUGGUUUUGGGCUUAUCAGACGCAAUGCGGUAGUUUCCGGUAGGAUUGAUAGGUGCUAGGGUUUGACUUCUUGUGUAAACUGGUAGGGUUGAGUUCUUCUCGCUAGAGAUUAAGGUGGAAGGAUUAUGCACAACUGACUCUUUGGGUACGAAAUCAUACUCAAAGGGGACAGUUAUUAAGUGGGAUGUGGAGAUAGGCACAUUUACAUUUGAGUUGCUAAUGAAUAGUUUGAGGAAUAAGGUGAAAUGGGCACCUAAUCAGGAUGCCACAGUGUGGUUCUUUGACAAGAGAAUUGGUGAGGAUGUCAGGCUAACUAAUGAAAUCAAAAUGCUUGAUUUGUAUGAAAUGUACAAGUCUGAGAUGAGUUGCCAGGUGCUUUGUGUAGGUGUUUGCCAAAUCUGUUUGUGUUGAUCAUGAGUUUGAUGCGUUAGAGCCUUUGUGUGUGUUGUCUCUUGAUGAAGUUAUACCUGAUAGUCAUGACCGCACUCAACCCACUAUUGCACAGCAUACACCUAAGACAGGUGAUGGCGCGUCUGCAUCUAAGGGUGCUAAUUCAAAAGGUCCUACAGCUAUGGAAGCAGAUGCGCCAGAGCCUGACCGUGAGCCUGAUUUGUUUGACAAUGAUGAAGAGUAUGCUGGUGUGGACGAUGAACAUUUAUAUAUGGCUGGACCAAGUCCACAACCAUCUGACAAUGCACAACCUGAUGAUGGAAGUACUGAUCCUUUUGCUGAUAUAGGAGGUAUACCUCAUGAUGCAGAGGUCAAUGAUCAAGAUCCUCAAGAGAUCCAUGUUCUUCAUGAUCCUGAAAAUCCAAAUAUUGCCAAAGGUUCUCAGUUUCCUAACAUCAUAGCAUUUAGGAAAGCAAUAAGGCAUUAUGCUGUGAAGGUGGGCUUUGAGUUUGCUAGGCUUAAAAUAGACAAGACCAGAUUCAUUGCACAUUGUGCUGCCAAAGGGUGUUCUUGGCGCAUUCAUGCUUCUACGAUAUAUGAUAAGAAAACAAUAGAGGUAUGAUAUCUAUACCUUCUUAGUCUGUUUGCUUUCUAUAAGUAUUCAUGCUUUCUGUUUGCUUGGAUCUCUAAUAUGUUUUCCUGUCUUGUGCAGAUUAAGGUGCUACAUGCAAAGCACAAUUGUGCUACUACCAAGUUGAGAGAAGGCAAGAUGGCUUCACAAGGUUAGUGCUCGAUAGGCUGUGUGACUGGUUGAAGAAAAACCCAAAGAAGACAACAAAGGAUGCCAAGGAGAAAUUGGACGAAGAUUUUGGAUUAAGCUAAAGUACUCCAAGGCUUGGUCAGGUAUGUAGGUAGCACUAGAACAGAUUCAUGGUAAAUAUGAGGAAAGUUUUCAACUGUUAUUCAAUUGGAAAGCACAAAUAGAGUUAUCUUCCCCUGGUUCUAUUGUUGAAAUAGAAGUACAUGGGAAGAAGUAGAGAUUUAAGAGAAUAUUUGUUGCUCUCAAGCCAUGUAUAGAUGGAUUUUUAGAGGGAUGUAGACCAUUUCUUGGAAUUGAUGCAAGUAGUUUGAAUGGUAGAUAUACUGGACAACUGGCUUCAGCUACUGGUGUAGAUGGACACAAUUGGUUGUAUUAUGUUGCAUAUGCUAUUUUUGACUCAGAGACUGAAGACAACUCGACCUGGUUCAUGCAACAAUUGCAUAGAGCAGUGGGGUCACCUGUAGGAUUGGUUACUGCACAGAUGCAUGUAAAGGACUUGAAAUUGUAGUUGGGAAAAUUUUCCCAGAGGCUGAGUGUAGAGAAUGUAUAAGGCACCUCUAUGGCAACUUCAUGAAAUAUUUUUCUUGAGAUGUGUUCACUUGUACCCUGCUGCUAGAAGUUACACAGAGGGCAUGUUUAAGUGGCACGUGAAGGAGAUAACAGAGUUUGCUCCAGAUGCUAUAGAGUACCUACAGGAAUAUCACAAUAGGAUCUGGUAUAGAUGUGGGUUCUCAGAGGCAAGUAAAUGUGACUACUUGACAAACAAUGUCUCUGAAAGUUUAAAUAGCCAAAUCAGGAAGUUUAAAGGGUUGCUAGUUCAUGAGUUAGUUGAUGGUUUGAGGGAAAUGAUCAUGGAGAAAAGGUAUCUUAGGAGAAUGAUUGGAAGACAAAUGGAAGAUGGGAUCUAAGGGAUAUGGGUACCCCAUAGGUCCUCACCGACCAGGGUACUGGCUGGACUUGACAAGUGGGCCUGCCCGACCAGCACGUCCGGGCCGAGGACACGAAGUUACUUGGACUACACGUCAAGGAAACUACGCUGUCCAAAUCUACCCGGAUAUCAUGGGACACGUAUUGUAAUCCAACUUAGCUUACUUUCGAUGUAAAAACCGAGUAGAUUAGAUUCAAACCGACUUGUAACUCUUGGUUGUCAGACUAUAUAAGGCGGCUAGGGGCGUCCCCACAGGGCAUUAGAUCAAUCCCAAGCAAUACAAUCCACGCAUACAGGACGUAGGGUAUUACUCUCCGGAGGUCCAAACCUGUCUAAACCCUUGUGUCCCCUUUGUGUUCUCGUGAUCACCUUUGAGUUCUUGGUCUCGCAAUCACCUUUGCCUACAAAUCAACCACUUGGGUAACCCCCUAGUGGACUAUCGGAUAAUUAACUCCAACAAUUGGUGCGCCAGGUAGGGGUGGUUGCGAGACUCAUUUUUUGUCUCGAUGGCAUCCCGUGCCAGUGUUAUUUUUCCUGAGAGCAUGAAGGACUUCCUCAACAACCUAGUCCAGAUCCAGUUUGGGACCAUGCCGGCGGAUUCAAUCCCGACCACUUUCUCCAUCAACUCGGCAACUCCCGCCGACUCAGCGGCUUUUGCUAACGCGUCGACCUGUAGCGACUUGGCGACUCCCGUCGACUCGACAGCUUCCACCAACUCGGCUUCUGUUGGAUCCAUUCCCGCGAAACAGGCUCUCCACCCAAGGAUCAUCAUGCUGCAUGCCCAGCAAGUUGGUGAACUCUCCCUCUCCGAGAGGGUUCCAGAUCUGGUCACCGGCGCUCGCCUACCCAUUCCCUCCGAUCUGAUCACGGGGCUAGAUUGCAUCAGCAGCACCAUCGUUGAGUACAUAGAGCUGUCUGAGGCUGCGCUGCGUGAAUCCAAAUCGGCGUAGGGUCCAUCCCGUACCCCCUUCAGUCUACGAAAAUUGGCUUCCGAGUAUUCCGCUAGGCUUGACCAAGUUUUCCAAAUCCAAUCUGGAGACCCACCUGAACCCGCCCAGUCUCCGAACUGCGGUGAAUUCCAAGUGCCUCGCAUCAUCCUGAUGCCAAACUCUUACAGAAGCGACAAUGAAAGCAACUCUUCCACACCAGAUCGUGAGGCUUUCAUUGUCUCCAUCGACAAGCCGCCUUACGAUGGCAAAACGGAAUCUCAAGAAGAAGGUCGUAAUGUCAGGAAUCGUAAUAGAGCAGAGCGGCGGCAACAGGAGCAAGCUAGCCGACAACAGCAACUUGUGGCUAACACAGACGCAGCAGGUGACCAGCAACAACAUCCACACAACAAUAGAGACAACCUGUCCUGACCACCAAGACAGACGCAGGCGACCCAUGCGAUCCCGCAACCCAUUAGCUGACCUCAAGUAGGGCAGUCACAACAUGUUCACUACACCCCAUGCUAACUUGGGGGCUGCCGUUGCCGAGCUAGAAAAUCUUCCAGAUUUAGGUCAAGUCCGACAAGCCCGGGCACGACUCCAAGCCGCCAAAGCCCAACUUGAAGAGCAUAUCAUCAAUCGAUGUGCUCACUCUCGAUCCACAUCAUCUAGGCACUCCCGAAGCCGCUCUGGGCGUAGCAGAAUUGAUCGCCAUAGAGGUGAUUACGCUGGUGGUCAGCUGGAGCCAAUCCAUGAAGAAGCAGUAGAACAAAAUGUUGUCCAACCUCCCGACCCACCAGCCAUCAACAAUGCCAACCCACCAGCCAUCAACAAUGUCAACCAACCAGCCAACCCUCUUGUCAAUGGUAACGCCAACCCUCCUGUCAAUGGCAAUGCCAACCCUCUUGUUAACGUCAAUGCAAACAAUGACUGACAACGCGACAACAAUGACAACCGCCACCACGGCGGGAGAGGCGGAGCAGAUGCCAAUGGCCAACCAGAACCGCGAUACGACCUCCACAAGGAACUGCGUGAGCUCCGUCAAAACCGUGACAUACGCGCUGACCUCAACAAUCGCCAUAACGAGCACGAUAAGUAUGAAAUCCGCCACCGUGCCGAGUAUGAUCGCGACUACAGCACUCCCGUGCCCAACCGUGACACAGCGCGUGACGAUCACCAUCGCUAGGAAGAUGAGAUGCGUCAUCGUGCCAACUACGAUCGUGCAUACGACGCCCCUAGAGGUGCCUAUAACCCGCCCAGGUGCGAGUACGACUACGAAGAUGACUAUAACCCGCUUAGGCGCGAGUACGACUAUGACUAUGACGAAGCAUGCUAUCCACCUAGGCGCAACUAUGGUGGACGCGGCAGGGCUCCUCCCGACCAGCACUAUCCCUGCAGUUAUGAUGAUGACAUGGCGAUUGAUGGCUUUGCGGCUUUCACCCCUCACCUCAGGGUUAUUGUUUGGCCACCUACAUUCAAGCCAGCCAACAACGAAAAAUACGAUGGUCGCUUUGACCCCACCAUAUGGCUCAAGACAUAUAGUACCGCAUUUAGAGCUGCCAAUGGCACCUAUGAUCAGAUGGCCGCCUACUUCCUGGUGGUGAUGGGCGCUGCUCCGCUACUAUGGCUGGAGAAUCUUACCCCAAACAACAUUGAUAGUUGGGGUCAGCUUGCUAGAGCUUUCACUUAGAAUUAUCAGGCCACCUAUAGCCGACUUGGCAACAGGGAAAAGCUCAGCCAAGUUCGCCAGAUAAUAAGCGAGCCACUCUGAGAAUACGCCAAUCGCUUCUUCAGAAAACGCAACACACUGGCUGACAUUGAUGACCGCGAUAUCAUCUGAUACUUUCACUCCAGCCUAACAAACCAAAGGAUGUUUGAGAAAUUGUAAGAGGUGGCCCUAAAAAGGGUUGGGUAGAUGAUGGAAGUUGUCAACACACAAGCUGACCUCGAAGAAGUGUCAAAAGUUUAGUUCCAGAAACACUACCAAGACGAUGAUUACGAUCCGCCAAUGCAUGAUGAACCCCAAGCACGCCCGGAACCCCGGUUCCACAAAAGGGCCCCAGAGGUCUACGCCACUGAGGGUAAUCCAACCAGGCAAAGCACCUUCCACCGAGAAGAAUUUGAUGGAACCCUUAGCAGCCCAUGCCCCUUCCAUAAGGAUGCAUGUCACACCCUGCGAGACUGCAUAGUCCUAAGAAAGAGCUUGGUGCUCUGGUAGAAUACAAGCGACCACACCGCAAUGACUAUCGCAGAGAGAACAACAACCACGACUAUCAAAGUCGCGACGGGGACCAUCACCAAGACGACCGUGACAACCACAACAGUGGUGAUCGUGACGACCACAACAACCAUCGCAACUACCAUAGGUGCGACGAUCGUGCCGACCAAAACAGAGAAGAACAUCGCUACCAGCCACAUCAAGAUGCCCAGUGACCCAACGCCGACUAGAACGGGGACUUCCAAUGACCCGAGCGCCAAGUCAACAUCAUUAUGGGCGGCCGUAAUGCCUUUUGCAGUAACCGUUAGCAGAAGCUACGCCAGCAAGAGGUGCACUUUGUCUCCGUACAGCCAGUCUAGUACCUGCGCUAGUCCGAGCAAUCCAUAACUUUCUCUAGGCAAGAUCAUUGGGUCCACAUCCCAGAUCUCGGGUCCUAUUCGCUGGUGUUUUGCCCGACCAUUGACAAGGCCCUACUCCCAAAGGUGUUGAUUGACGGUGGCAGUGGCCUCAACAUUAUCUUCAUCGAGACAUUGAAGUGCAUGGAUUUUUGAGGCGUCCCCACAUAAGUAGAGACUAAAUGUGAUACAAAUAUCAGUUCCAGGAGGCUGAUAAAAAAUUUAUUCAAUAGAUGGUUCAUAAACCGUACAAAUCCCGAGGGAGUGGGCACGAAAACCACGCCGAAACGAUAAGCAAAUAAACAACAGCAGUGAGUCAAGCUACUAUCAAGAGACAGCACUUAGGACUACAUGGCAGCGGAAGCAUUCUGCAAAGGCCAACACCAUAGGCAGCGUUGGGUGCCGAAGCGACCUCCUACUUGAAAUCCUCGGUGAUGAAGUCCGGGUCUUCCUCUGAAGCAACAAAACAAGGGUGAGUACAAAAGUACUCAACAAGUCUAACCCCAUCCUCGGAGGGAUAUACAAUCAAGAAUAUGCACAAGAUAAAUCAAGGAUAAGGCUAAGGUUUAUUUGCACUAAAACUAGAUUUUCAACACAUGCAAGGGUUCAUUUUUCAAAAGGUUUUCACAAAGCUUUUCUUUAGUAACCGAAUCAAUAGGUGGGGUUGAUCCUACACAAAGGAUCCAAGUUUUAAUGCUACCGGAGUCCCUAUCCACAGUAGCUCACGGCACAACUGUCGAACACUUCCAAAAUCCAACACACACCAUGAAAAUCAUCCAUGUCCAAGCACUAGUUAUGUGAGCAAUCCAAAACUUGUCCAAUGCCGUGGACAUGGCUACCCAGAUAGGUUUUAACUCUGCAGAGGUUCUACACAUUUCCCACAAGUAGGGUACGGCAGCACGAUCACCUUAGUACCGGUGCAGAUCCUAUCAAAGCCUUUACCCACCUUAGCUAAGCUUGACUAGCCAACACGGAAGCAACCAAGGGGUUUAAUGACCUACCAACGAGGUCUUAACCAGGAUAUAAGUUCACACAGUUCUUAUUCCUUCUCCAUGGUCUCCCAUUGCUCACCAGCUCUCCUGAUGACUAACAGACUAGUUAGUGGGAUUUAUGCUAAGCCGUUGCUGCAUACAAUAGUCGAGUGGUUGCACGAUGGUUGGGUUAGGCAAGAUGACACAUCAACUCGGUCCUUAAUUUGUGACAAGAUGGAUAUCUCCCAACCUUGCUCAACCACAAAGGUACGAGCCCAACUUAUUGGCAUUUCACACAAGACACACCCAUCCAUCUCAUCUAAGCAUUUCUUUCCUUUAUUUCCGAAAGCCCAUUUUCCCUUUUUAAAACACUCACACAUUUAUCCUUUAACAAAACACAUUGUAGUCAUGAUUCAGUUGAGUAACAAGAUCCUAAGCAUUCUAGCAGUAAUUAUCAUCCAAACAGAGCAAAUCAUAUUUAGAGACAAUUAUAGGACAAUCAAGAAAUAAUCAUAACAAUCAAGGGGUGGCUAUCCAACCGUGUUUCAGCAGUAAAAUAAUAUGCAAUUUUAUAAAACAGGCCAAUAGGUUGUGUUUGAAAAAUUGGGAUAAAUAUGCAUCAAAAGGUAAGAUUGGACUUGCCAUCCUCAAAGCCUUCUGGGAGUUCUUGCUCGUGGUGCUGGUCUUCGAGCUCGGGUUUGCGGUCAAACUCCUCCUUGGGCUCCCCCUCAGGCACUCCGCGAUCUAUGGCACACACAAUCAGGCACACAAUAAAUAAAAGAAAAAUAACAUUUUACCCGUUCAGCUUGAAUAGAGAACGCGAACGGAAAUUAGGAGGAAUGAGUAUUUUCAUGGAAUUUCGGUGGGAAUAUAUUGGAGGAUGUCGUGGUCGAAUUUGGGAUUAAUUGGAGGAAGUUUGGCUCAUGAAAUGAUGAGAUAACCGUGUAUUUGGGGGUUAAAACAAGGUUUAGGACUAAACUGCGAGAACUAAGGACCUAUUUGUGAAUAUUUCUAUAAGGUGGAAGGGCAUAUUCGUGAGAGAACUUUGAGAGAGGUGGGAGGGCUGGUUUGUCAAUAUGGACAAGGAGGGGGUUAGAUUGAAUUUGGAGGAAAGUUGGGGGGGCGCCCUAGUGGCGGGUGGCCGGCCUAGGCUCACCAGUGGCGAGGGCUAACAGUGGGGGAAGAUGGAGGAGGGUGUAGGGACUCCAUUUUGGCCCUCACCUUGGCGAAUCGGUAAUGGGAAGCGAGGGGGCCAGCGCGGGUAGGGGCAGAUGGAGCUUCGGCGGGGGUGGGCGACACGCAGGAGGGAGGGCGACGCUUGGGGGCGCGGGGGAGGCGGCGUUGGUGGUGUGGGAGGUAAGGGCGAGGGAUGGUUGGGCCUUGGCGCCCUUUUAUAGCUGGUGGUCGGGGAAUAUGAUGAUGGCGCACAGGCGAGCGGCGUUAAUGGCAGCCGAGAUUCCCGGUCGGUGGCGUGGCGAGGUGGAGUUCCGCGUGGAUGGCGUGGUGGGGCCGGGCUCACACGGCGAGGAGCAUAGGUGCGCACAAUGACGACUGGCGUGGGGAGGGGCUGGGCGGCGAGCGGUGACCGACGCGUGGGGCGGGGAGAGCGCAGUCGGGGCGCUAGGUGUGCGGCGUGCGGGACCGGCCAAGGCGUGUUGGUGGGGCCGGGGAAAGCAGUGCUAGGGAGCCAGGCGUGGGUGCGCGGGAGGUAGCGUGCGGCGCAGGUGGGGCUGGCGUAGACGCUAGGUGCCAGGAAGAAAGGAGACGGAGGAAGAAAGAAGAAGAAAGAAGGAAGAAGGAAGAAAGAAAGAAAGAGAAGGAAGAAAAAGAAAAGGAAAAAAAGAAGAGGAAAAAGGGAGAAAAAGGAAAAAGGGGUAAAAUAAAAGGAGUCUAGGCAUAAAUGGAUCGGAGUAAAAUGAUAGGGUUUACAUUGGGUGAAAUGUUAACGAGAUAGCAGAAAUUGCGGGAGUUGUCACGGCACGAGUACGACAGUCUUCCGACCGGCACGCGGCGUGACUUGCGGAGAGGAAAAGAGAACAAACGGCGGAGAUUGCGGAAGCGGUUGGUGCACGCAUGGCAGUUUGUUGACUAGCCCACGGUAUAAUUUGUGGAGAGAAAAGGAUAAAAAGGAUGGUUGUCGGCUUUGGGCACCGGGACGACGAAUUUGUCGGGAAGACGGGAUUUUCGAGAGCUCAACAGUAAUAAGAUUUUGAAAAUAAAUUUUUGGCAGGUGAUUUAAGUUGGUGAUUUUUACAAAUGUUAUAAUUUUGAUUUGAAGCGGCUCCAGCCUUGCGAAGAACCUUUCUACGGCAUUGUUCCUAAAAAAGGAUCCUACCCCAUAGGCCGAGUUAUUUUGUCGAUCACUUUCAGCACACGAGCCAAUUAUCGCACAGAGUACCUCACAUUCGAGGUGGCUAACUUCAAGACCUCCUACCAUGCUAUCUUUGGUAGGCCAAUGCUGGCAAGGUUUAUGGCAAUUCCCCACCAUACUUACGUUGUCCUCAAGAUGCUAGCUCCAAACGGAGUCCUUUUUGCCUAUGGUGACAUGGAGACUUCAUACAAAUGCGACACUGAGGCAGUCCAACUUGCAGAAGCCCUGGAGCUGUCAGCUAAGACCUGCGCCAUGGUUGCUGAGGCCCAGAAGAUAAGCACGGAUCAACUAAUAAUUCUUGAGAAGGAGCCGACCUCUACAUCACUACAGCCCAACCCCAGGGUCAAGAAGAUUUGCCUCGGCCUUGAAGACCGGACCAAGAUGGCUCUCAUCGGAGCCAACCUCUCGAAGAAAUAGGAACUCACACUCACCAGUUUCCUGCGGGAUAACUCGAACAUAUUUGCGUGGAAGGCAUCAGAUAUGCCUAGUGUCCCCAGGGAGCUGGCUGAGCACUCCUUGGACUUGAGCAAGACUGCACAGCCGUUCAAGUAGAAACUCCAUCGCUUUGCCCAAAAUCACAAGGAGGCCAUUAGGGUAGAAUAGAAUAAGCUCCUAGCUGCCGGAUUCAUCUGUGAUUGUAAACAUCCCGACUAGCUAGCAAACCUAGUUCUUGUAAGAAAGAAAAUAGGUGAAUGGAGAAUGUGCAUUGAUUACACUGACCUGAACAAGCACUGCCCUAAGGACCCUUUCCCUCUUCCGGGUAAGGACCGAGUCGUAGACUCUACUGCGGGGAGCAUCCUGCUCUGCCUCCUCGAUUGCUACUCGGGCUAUCACCAGAUUGCCCUUAACCCCGCCGACCAAGACAAGAUGGUCGAGAGACCAAGUUGAGAUGUGCCUUGGUCUAUUUGUGAUGAGUGAUUGACUAAAUGAUUUGAGGCUUUACCGGUUGAGUCCAUAUUUCAUAUGUGCAUGAUUAUGCUAACGGCUAACCAGAUAUGUUGUGUUGUGUGCGUUGUGUUGUGGUGUUUGUGUAAACUAUAUGUUGUGUGUUGUGUCUCUUAGCUUGGGAUGUGUAGGUGUAGGAUGCGACAUGGCAGUCGACAACAUGAGGUGAAGGUCAAGCGAAAGGUUCAUGCCGAUGUACUAGGGCUAUGAAGGGUGGACAUGAGUAGGCUUGGACUAAGGGACCCGAGGAGUCUGGGCGGAGUCAUAGGCUUUCCACAUGGUGCACGAAAGAGGAAGAGUACACAAACGGUGAUGGAGAUGGCGUCGGUCGAGUCAAGCAGGACGGAGGCAAGUCGAGUAGGCGGCCCGGGAGCCGGGAGCGAAAGACUUGGAGGCAUCAAAGGCUUGGCGGAGGUCGGACACAUGUCUACAUCAGUGAGUCACAUCAUACACGACGUGCAAGAGGGUUUGACCGGUUUGGCCUCAAAACUGGGGAUGAGUCACGCUUGAAGGGUAUGCAAGAGGGUUUGACCGGUUUGGCAUCAAAACCGGGGGACAAGUCCGGUGUGGCUGGAUGGCAUCGAGUUGAAAGAUGCGUGGCAUCAUCGCAAAGUUUGCAUCAAGGUGAAGCUAAGUCAGGAAGGUGUCAGGUCCGUCCGAUGAACGAAGAAAAAGUUGGAUGAUGUUGCCCCUAGGGGGUUUGGAGUUGUAUGCUUCAUGUUAGAACAACUUGGGAAAUAGCCAAGUGUCUAUAUAUAUGAGAGAUGGCUGGUUGGGGCAGCCAUCCCUUUGGUUGUUUUUGGUGGGAGUUACUCAUUUGUUUGUGAGAGCCUUUGGUAGAGGGAGAGAGGGAGAGAGGAGGGAUCUUUGAUUUGAUCUUUUUGCUAUCCUCGUUUUGUUUGUGCUUAGGAUUGGCUUGUAACCGGACAUAGUGAAGUAAUCCAAGAUUCAAUUUCGUGCUCAAUUGCUUCUCCUUCUUAAGAUCUAAAAUUUAUCUUUUUUCCUAUUUUCGGAGCAUUUUUGGGUGAAUUUUUGGAUCUCACGAUUGGCAGUGUUUUGGGGUGUUUUUCUUGGGGGAAAUCGGUGCUAGGACUUGUGCAAGAACAUUUAGGAUGAUCCCCUAGCAAAUCCAUGCACGAGCACCUUGGAUUUUGAUAUUUUUCGAAAAUCCCCUUCACUACAAGGAUUUGACCCUUUUAGCACCACUUGUUUUCGCAACACCACACAUUUGGUUGCAAUAUUUGGUUCUAUGGCAACCAACGGCAUAAUUGGUAGCGAUAUAUGGGCCUUAUGGCCACAAAAAUUGUGUGUUGCAUUAUUUAUAAGCUCUGUUGCAAGAGGGAGGCACUAAUGCUACAGUGGAAAAGGUGGUUGCGAGUAUGGGUUCCUAUUGCCAUGACUAGUGUUGAAUUGUGAUAAUAUUGAUUUUGUGUUGCGAUAGCUAGGCGUUGUUGCUACCAUUGUAAAGUUGGUUGCAAGUAGCUGUGCAUAUGGCCACGGUGUAAUUACAUCGUCUUAAUCAUGACCUACGUUGCAAAAGCUGUUGCUAUAUUGCAUCCAAAAAAAGAUUAGUUGCAAGUAGUUGUGAAUAUGGCCAUGAUGAAACUGUGGUUCUUUAAUCUUGUCCUGUGUUGCAAAAGAUCUUAUUAUAUUGCAUCGAAAGAGUCAUUCGUUGCAUCCGUUGAGGUUCUAUUGCCACUAGCAUCAUAUGUGGCUACAUUUGAGUAUAUUUGGUUGCCAGAAUAUUUUGUAUUGCCACUAAAAUUUAUUCGUUUGUAUUGUAUAUCAUAUACACUAGAGUCUGGAGCGCGCCCCUAGUGCGCUAAUAUUUUGACCAAUUACGUACAGUGUCAAGAAUGUGAUAUAUUUGGGGGAAAAAAUAAAAUUGGUGGCUCUAAUUAGGUCAUUGCAUACGUUUAUGUUUAGAUCUAUACAAGGAUCGUGCCGGUGCGUUGCUACGGACAAAACAAAUUUCGUCUAUAAGCAUCAAACAUUAUCGUGUGAAAUAUUUACUUCUACAAACGCAAACAUGCGAAAUGCCCCCAAUGUGAAUAAAAAUAACUUUGCAAUGAGUAAUAAAAUAAGCAAUAAGUAGUCGGAGCAGGGAGCAAAACAGAUGUACAUAUGAGUAAUAGAAGCUGAUAGAGGAAAACCAAAACAAAGAAAAAUCACCUAGAAGUUGACAGGGAGCAGGGAGCAUUUGAGUCGAUGAGUACAAAACAUUCACAAAGACAAGAAUUUUCAACACCAACACAAAUAUGUAUGCCCAUAACAAUAUUUGAGUUCAAUAUUUCACAGGUACUAAGCCUUCAAUUAAAAAAAUCACACCAAUACUUAUAGAAUCACAUUUAUGUAAAAAACUCAUCAUCCUAUCCUUGGCCUAAAGAAUUGACAGGUGCAACAUGUCCAUCGUCGAUGAGGUGUCAUCAUUAUCAUCAUGUUCAUCAACUAAGUCUUCAUCAUUUGGUUCUGGCACAGGUAUAGCUUUUUCAAUGACCCUAGCAUCUCUAGUCACUCCUUGGAGAUCAUUCCUUGCCCAAUUUAUCAACACUUCAUGUUGGUUAGAAAUAUUCAUGGCCUCCGCACCGAUGUCAAGUAAGUCAAUAUCAAUAUAUCCUUGUUGUUCAGUCUCUUCUAGUUCUGGCAUGGAAAACAAAGUCCUAGGCUUCAUUCUAACAACACUGCUCCAGUUGGAUUUAUUUGCACAUUUGACAUAAAAAACCUGCUCAACUUGAGUCCCUAGAACAUAAGGAUCAUUUACAUAUCGACGACGAGUUGUAUCAAUAUCUAUAAUCCCAUAUUGAUCUUUACUGUACCCUCUACUUUUGUUCUUAGUAGCGGCAGGAACGUCGUACCAAUCACACUCAAAUAAUAUGACUUCUUUUUCACUAGGGAAAUCUAAUGUGAUUAUCGUUUUAAGGACACCAUACCAAUCCAUAUUUUCUGUACUAUCAUCACCCUUCACUAAAACUCCAGAAUUUUGUGUACUAAAGCUGACCUCUGUAGAAGCCAUUCGAAAAAGGAAAUCAUGGAUGAAGCAUCUACUGAAAACACGGGCCAUAUAAUGGCGACCCUGAGAAAGGGCAUAUAGCUCAUCACUAAUCUUCCAUUUUGCAUAAACUACCUUCAUCUACACUCAAUUCAAAUAAAUAAAUAAGACAAUUUCUAUUUUUUUUACAUGUAUAUGACAACAUUGCUCACCUUACGUUCAAACCACCCAACAAAAUGCUCCCUAUGACACUUAUCAACGCCAUGUGCGCUAGUUCUUCUCAUUAGCUCCUUAUGCUUACUAUAUAUUAUUGGUUGGAACAAAUAGAUUACAUUAGUGUAACAUUAAUCAUGAGUAAUAUUCUACUCUUACUUAUGUACUAUGAAAAAAUACAAAAACACAAAAUAGAUGGUAGUAACAGCUUACUUAAUCCAUGGAAUUGCCUCGUCACAGUUUGAUAAUAUGUAGUGUCGCAUCUACAACAUGUCAAAUCUAGAAAUAGGCUCAAUUUUGCAUCCUUUCUUGCUAUAGUCAAUGUUCCCAAAUAUGCUAGGCCCAGCCAGUGGUUCAUUCACCGCGCUGCUCUGAUGACGCGCUGGGCAAUUCAGCUUCAUAUCAAUGUCUUCUAUGAAGCAAGAGCAGAAUGUCAUGCACUCCUCUGAGAUAUAUCCCUCUGCUAUUGAACCUUCUGGUUGUGCCUUGUUUCUAACAUAUCCUUUAAGUGUACGCAGAUACCUCUCGAUCGGAUACAUCCACUGAUAACACACUGGUCCUCCAAUUUUAGUCUCCUCAGCUAAAUGAAUAGGCAAGUGCAUCAUAAUAUCAAAAAAUGCUGGUGGAAAUAUCAUCUCAAACCGACAUAAAGUCUCUGCAAUUGAAGAACUUAGUUUUUCAAUGUCACUUUGCACCAGCUCCUUUGAACAUAGCGCAUUGAGAAACCUGCUAAGCUCAAUCAAUGGUCUAGAAACAUCUUCAGGCAAUAUGUGGCGUGCAACUAAGGGUAACAGUUUCUGCAAAAUAACAUGAUAGUCAUGUGAUUUCAGUCCAGAAACCUUACAGCCAUUGACACCCACGCAUCUCUUUAUAUUAGACGCAUAACCAUCAGGCAUCCUCACUCCUUCUAAGAAUGUACAUAACAUGAUCUUCUCAUCCUUGCCUAAGGAGUACAGUGAUGGUGGCAAAGUAUACUGACCAUUCUCUAGCACUGGAUGCUGAUCUUGCCUUAUCCCAAGAUGUUGCAUGUCAAGCCGUGCCUUGUCACUAUCCUUACACUUACCAUCUAUGUCAAGCAACGUCCCAAUUAUGCUCUCAUAGAUAUUUUUCUCGAUGUGCAUAACAUCCAAAUUGUGCCUUACAAGCAAUUUUUUCCAGUAAGGUAGCUCAAAAAAUAUACUCUUCUUCCUCCAGUUGUGCAACCUACGCUCUUCUUCACACUCCUUCCUCUUCUUUGUGGCUAUCCCAAAUUUUGGUUGCUCAAAACUUUCAUAAUGCUGUAUAACCUGUGCACCAGUCAAUGGCACAGGUACCUCCCUCAUCUCUUUCUUGUUGUUGAAGCUGUUUUUGUUCCUACGCCACCUAUGGUUCUGAGGUAGAAACCGGCGAUGACCCAAGUAGCACAUUACGAGGGUCUGAUGCAAAAUUCUUAUACUUGCCAUCCACAUGCUGCCAUGCCAACGAGUUUGCAGGGUGACGCAUUUUCCCAUCACGCACCAGUUCAUCCUUGUGCCAACGCAUCAGUGAAGAUGGUGAUGCUCUCAUAUACAAUCUUUGUAAACGAGGAAUAAGUGGAAAAUAACGAAGGAUCUUAUGGGGAAAAUGCUUCUUUCCACCACCAGUGAUAACAAGAUCAUCAUUUUCAGUACCCCCGGUCUCUUUCCACCUAGACUCACCACAUGUUGGACAGUUAUCCUUUUCAGCAUAAUCCCCACGAAAUAACACAGUCAUUCACACAUGCAUGAAUCACAUAUGCAAAAAUUUAGGAAUAAAAUGAAAAAAAGCAAAAAAAUUUGUGAUGCAUCACUAAAUCGAACCGUGGUGUACAAGUACCAAAGCAGCAUAUAAACCAUUGAGCUAUCACUUGAUUUUGGUAACUAAGAAGAAAUUUAUUCAUUUUAAUGCUUCUCGGUUCCUCCAGCAUCCGCAUCUUUGCCUUCAGCAUCCGCAUCCUCCCCAAAACCCGCGCACCCUUUCCUUCUCUCCCAUCGGCCGUCCGCUCCCUCCUUCUCGAUGCUCCCAUCCGUGCAAAAGCUGCCCGCGCCCUCCUCCACGACCCUCCCCGCUCCCACCUCCUCCUCGUCGUCAUCCUCCUCCUCCUCCUAUGUCUCGCGUGCCUUAUCUGGACGGCGGAAAAAGGGAGCAAAGUUUCUGUCUGAAGUUGCAGACCAUCCACGCUCUUUACUGCGGACUGUCCGCUGUGCGCGGACCGUCCGGGGCAGCUACUGCGGACCGUCCGAUAAAGGAAAUAGAAACUUUCAACUGAUAGUUCAGUUUUUCCUCAACCGGCGGACCGUCCGCGCUAUUCCCUGCGGACCGUCCGCGACGGGGGUGCCACAGUGGACCCGCGCCUCGCGUGCCUUAUCUAGAUGGGUCUUGACCCUUUCUCCUCCAACUGGUCAAAACACUUUCUUUCAUCCCCUUCUCCUCCACUUAUAGAGGAAGAUCCUCUCCUAUGGUUAUGCUUUGGAGACUUUCCCGGACCGCCCGAGGAAGGAUUCCGAACCGUCCGUAGGAUCCUCACCAUGACUGGACAGUAUUCCUUCGAUCUCUUUUGGUUUUCUUGGUUGUUCAAUGACGGUUAGGGUUUCAUGUGGAUUUGUCCAUGGAUAAGGGUUUGCAUGUUGGGGAUUCACCUCUGUCUUCUUCUGUGAACUCUCUCAAUCAUCAGUACCAUUGGAAAUCAAGAGAUUUGGGGGAAGGAUUUUCAUGUUGUUCUAGAUCUCGGGGUCAGCCCGAUGAACGGCGGACUGUCCACUGUUACCCGAUGGACUGUCCGCGGUUCUUCAACGGUUGCCCGAGAGCCCUAGAAUCUUAGAGAUAAUAGCAAGUGUCAUUCUCUUUGUAUCAUUGCAUAAACUAAUAACAAUUCUCUAUAUCAUUGACAGUGGCCGUGUUGGUCGUAUCACAAAGGCCUUGACUCGGAAGCUGAGAAAGGGAAGUUCAUCUAAGCGGCCUCGGUUUGAGGAUGAUGGGGAUUCAGGAGAAGAGGAUUCUAGAGUUGAUGAUUAUGCUCCUAGUGAUGCUGAAGUGGAAUCCUCAGUGGUGUUCUCAAUGCAUGUUGAUGAAGAUGUUGAUGAAGAUGAAGAUAUUGAUGAAGUGAUUGAUGUGACCCUACACACAGCACCCAAGCAAAAAUGGAACAUGGAGACCUACUCCAGAGAGAGGACACCUUAUCAAUUUAGUCUUCCCUGUACGACAUCUAACCUGUUCUUUCACACUCAAGUACAGGAAGAUGCCUUCUUUGGUCACCUGGUCAAUAAAACAGUGUUCAAGCAUCAGACAAUAGAUUUUGUGUACAUGGCUCAGCAACCUGUUAUGACCGAGGUAGUAGGGAAGUUUGAGGCUAUUGGCUUGAGGAGGUUUCUUGAGCAUAAGUGCAACUGGAAUGACACUAUCAUCCGUCAAUUCUAUGCCACUGUUGAAAUUGAUUUCUUUGAAGAUACGAUUGAGUGGAUGACAGGAAAAAGGAAAUACAGCUCUACUUUUGCUGAGUUUGUUGCGGCCAACCAUCUUGACUAUGCUUUUCUCACUGAUAACUAUAGGAUAAAUAUGGUUGAUGAGAACAUUUUGGAGCUUGAUGACAUAACACAGUAUUAUGAGCCAGCUAGAACUGGGAUUCCUAGACUCUAUGGAAAAACAACUGGCUUGAGGCACUAUCCUGCAAUAAUCAACAAAAUAGCUCGAGUCACAAUCUUGCCUAAGUGUGGCUUCAAGGAUGGAUUUGUGGGAUAUCAUAGAAACUUUGUGAAGCAUGUUAUGAAUAGAUAGAAAUUUGAUGUAGUAAGAUUAAUUAUGGACCAAAUUGCGGCAAAGAAGGUCAAUCUUGAAAUCAAUGUAUACUUUGCCCCUUAUAUUAUGACACUCAUCAAGGCCAAAGCAAGAUUCCAAGGUCCGUGCAAUGUCAAACAUACCGUCUACAAGCCAUAUGCAAAUAACCCGGCCUUUCUUGAAAGAGAAGUCACUCCUUAUCCGGCUGUGGGAGUAAAUCAAGAUGAAGGAUAUAUGGGGUGGGCAGAAAAUGAUGAUGGCAAUGCACAAGCCAUGCCUCCUCCUCCCCCACAACGUCCUUCUGGGUCACAGUCACAUUGGGAACCUCCUGUCGGUUAUUUUGAUCCAUACUUUGCAAAUCUCCAGGAGGGCUUUAAUUCAACGUUUGAAGCUUUUGGACAGCAAGUGAUGGAUAAUUUGUUUCCAAUGCAAGGGGAAACCUGAGGACGACGAAUUCAUCGACAUUGAAGUAGACAUAGCUCAUAUCUCAUUUUAUAACCUGGUAUACUUCAAAGAACAGCUUGGGUAUGGAGCCAGGGACUUCUUAUACUACAAGAAACGUUGCGGUAGGGAUGUAGCUAAACUUUAGGCCAUCAAAUAUUAACGCCACGUAGAAGCAAUGCUACAGGACAAUGCUGCAGAGAGGGAAAUCAGGUUGGUAUUGUCAAGGGAGGGUAAAUGUCAGCAUAACACCAAUUAAGCAACAUGGGGGAAAGCGAAAACAUGAUCAAUCAGGUACACAUGAACACCUUGAUGCCUACAAGGUGUGGGUAGCAAAACUGCAAGCCAAAGAACUAGACAUAGGUGAGAUCAUUCUUUGCAUCACCCAUUCAAAUUGUUAUAACACAAUGUUGCUUUGACAAGUGCAUCUGGUUAAUCAUGACUCACAGACUACAGGGAUGACUUCAGGGAUGAAACAAUUGAAACAUACAAGGAAUGGCUAAGGCAUGCAGGCUGUCGUUGGCAUAUGCGUAAUUUAAUUGCUUUUAUGAUGUCAUCAAAUAUAGUACCAGCUCUUGUACAUUCAAUAAAAUAAUUGAUGCAUGGUGCUUUAUUUUUUUUGCAGUGUCAUUAUUGAAAGAACAUACGGAUGAUGACCAUAUAGCUGGAGGGGAUGAAAAUCAGGAAAGGAGCACGGCAAACAAAGAUAGGCUAGCUCAUGCAAGAAAACCAAAACAACAAAGGAAUGGUAUGUGCUGGUCUUUCCAUUUUGCAUUAUACUCUUUUGCUGAUCAUAUAUUUUAUAUUUGUUUCAUAUGUUAAUAAGGUGGACCCAAAACUCGUGGACAUGGAUGUCUCAAAGGAUAUAAAGUAGCUACAAAGAUAAUGAAGAGCGGAUCUCAGAAAUUAAAGAUCGAAUUUGAUUCCUUGCUGGGAGGCCCCUAUGGUGAGAACAGCCGCAAAUUCAUGGAUGAGAUUGUAAUCUUUACCAGGAAAAAGGCUCCACUUAUAGGAGUGCAAUCGUGGAAGGAUGUGAAGGACAAUGUGAAAAUAGCAAUAGCAGAAGAAAUGAUGGUAAGUCAAUUGUUUUCUUUAGCCAAAUGUUAUAAAUUUAGUACCUCCGCUUUAAUGUUCUAUUUGUCUUUCCAUUCAAAUAGAAAAUUUGGGACUUAGAUGACAUUGAAGAUGCUACUGAAAAGAUAUGGGCAAUUGCCAAAGAGAGGUACAAAGGAUGGAGAGCUUCAUUUAGUUCGAAAUACAAGGCAUACUCCACUGACGCUCAACAAAUGAAGCAUAAGCCUGAAGAUUUAGACAACGUGGAGUGGUACUACUCGAUCCAAUAUUUUGGAAGUAAGCCAUUCCAGGUUCGUCGGUGUUCAGUUUCUUUUGUGAUUCCACUACUAAAUAUAAUGUAAUUAACAAAGCACUGCUUGUACACAUUUUGCAGAAAAUUAGCACUAGGAACUCUGGAAUCCGACAGAAGGUGAAGACUAAGCAUCUCACGAGAUCAAAAUCAUAUUCCCAAAUUAGUUUUGAACAGGUGAUGACAACAUUAGCUAAGCUAAUUACUUUCUUAAAUGGUUGCUACCUAAUGCUAAAUUAUUGCCAUCUCAGAGAAACAAGGGUAAUGGACAACAACCUACUGAUUUGCAACUUUGGAUGACUACUCACACCAAGGAUGGGCAAUGGUCAAAUGAAGACUCUAGGGAUAUCUACAUGAGUGUUUGUAUAUGAUUGCACCUUUAAAAUUUUAGCAUGUUUCAAUCUUAUUUUUGAACUGUUUGAAAUUACAUGCUUCUAAUUUAUUUUUCAUGUUUCACUUAGGAAAAUGCCUGCAUCCAAGUUACAGAGGCAGAAAAAGGGAAGGGUAGGCCCUUCCUUACGGUUGAGGAGGAAAACACAGUUUUCCAUCUCAACUACUCUAAAACUCUUGGAAUAAAGUCAUAUAGAUGUCAUGGAUGUGGAUACAUGGCAAAAUAUCCAACAAGAAAUGCUCUACUGAGACAUAGAGAAGAAGAUGCAACCCGUACUGAAGUUUUAGUUCGACAAGAAAGAAUGCAGCACCAACAAGAGGUUGAAGAAUUAAAAGAAAAGCUUGAACUUGCAGUUUCAGCAAGGGAAAGAGACAAGGAAGAAACUAAGAAACAAAUUGAAGAAAUCAGGGAAGAAUUCCGGUCAACACUACAACAACAAAUACAAUUAGCAUUGCAGCAGGUAAUCACUUUGGACCACGUUUCUCCUUUUUUGGCUCCUCUAUUUUAGCUAAUGUUCCUUGUCUUUUGGGUUGCGCAGGCUAUCCUAGGAACCAUCAACACCACACAAGUUCCAAACGGACCAAGUGUCAACAACAACUUCAUCACACCACCACGCAUAGAGGAUGCGGCUAUAGAGGUAAUACAAAUACAACAAGGUUACUUACAGAAGAUGCAACAUGUUUACAUAUAAAAUACAACUUGUUCACACCAAAGCUUUCAUUUUGGCAGAAUUAUGAACCAGUAAGCGUGUUGACCACAUAAAUGUUAGUUGAUGAAGGUACUACCAUGACAUCAAAGACUAAUGCAACCAGGACUCUUUUUUAGAAAAAGAAUGGUUCCAAUGGGUCAUUGAAUUAUGUUUCUACCCAACAACUAUUGAGGACUCGUAAUCAAAAGAAAAAACAGUAGGUAUGAAUACCAAUGUGAUUUGUCUUUGAAUGGUGGGUAAUAUGCUUUGUAUGAUAUGUCAAUAAAGUUCAUCAAACUGGUGGGGAUCUUGUCAUCUCAAAUGGUAUAUGAUAUUAUUGCAGAGUGUUCCUUAAUUUAGUUUAUAUCUUUACUAUGUCACUAUGAUCAUUUAGUUUGCACGUGAUUAGUUAUUCCAUGCACUUAAUCACCAAGGUUCCUAUAUUAAAUUAAUAAAUUAUAUGUGUUCAUGAAUUGCAAGAAAGCGUGGAUAGCUAAAAUAUUUAGAGAAAGCUUUAUGCCUAUAUGCUGGUGAUGGACAGCUAGAAGAAUGAAGAAUUAUAGAAAUUUUUAUUGGUGAUGGCCGGUGCUGAUGGGGCAUGAAGAGAUCAAUAAGAGAACUCAUAUUUAGUUUUAUUUUAUUAUGCCAAACAUAGUUACAAACUUGUAGUUAGAGAACAUGUUUAUUAUAGCAGUACUCUGUUCAUUGUGUUAUUACUUUGGUCGAGACAUAUAUUUGAAGUUAAUGAAGGUUUGAGUUCUUAUAUGUGAUGAUGAAAUAUAUACUUAUGGCACAAUUAUUUUGUAACAACAAUUAAAUUUCUAGCUACAAAACGAAAUUAAAAAGGUGUUGGCCAAAAUGUCCUCGUUGCAACAAACCAAUACGCAACCACCGUUUGUUGUUGCAAUAUACAUUAUUGCCACAAACCUUAUGUGUUGCUAUAGGACGUGUCUACCACCAACAAUGAUUCGUUGCAUUUUCCAUCUAUUACCACCAACAAUGAUUCGUUGCAUUUUCCAUCUAUUACCACUAACAAUGAUUCGUUGCAUUACUUUUUAUUGCUACCAGCAAGUGAACGUUGCAAUUGUGACUCUAGCCACCAAAUUUGUUACGUUGCAAUAUUUAUUUGAUGCAAUGGAGCAUAUUGCAUGGCAAUAUGGCCAUAUUCGCAAGUAACUACGGGUUGACAAUAAACCUAUUUUGAGACAAAUUUGUUCAUAGCAAUACUGUCAUAUUGCAGCCAUGUAUUUUAUUGCAACAAUAAUUCAUGCAACCAUUCUGUUGGUCGCAAUAUCCGUGCUUGCAACCAAAUCGCAGUUGCGUUAGUUUUUUUAUGUGCAUUGCAAAACCACCAUAUUGCAACACCACUCCAAAAGGAUGCAAAAACCUAUUGCACCGUUCCAAAUGCAACCACCUGUCAACGACCAUACAUAGAUGUAAUUGAUCCUUAUUGCAAUCAAAAUAGCCAUAUUGCAACCCAAUAUAGGCGUCACGAUAGGGCUGGAUCCUAGUAGUGCUUUCUUGUGCCCUUCUCCAAAUCCAUGGAAUCUUGUGACCAAUUCAUGAGCUUUUCGACUUGAACCUUUAGGAAUACGUUUGGUAUGUUGUUUUGAGUCUAUGGUUCAAAUUUUGUGAUUUUUGGAGGUUGUUUGAUCAAGUUUUGGAUUUUUUCACCUUCCUCACGAAGGAUGAUUUUGGAAUUUUGGAAUAUUCCGGAAAUUUCUGAAGUUCUGGAAUUUUUCGAAGGUUUUUUCGGAAUUUUCCGAACUGAGGUGUUAGUUUUUAAAGUUUUUCUUCUGACACUUGUUUGGACUCUUUCUCGCUUCCGCUAGUCUCAAAAUUGGUUGGUAGCAUCAUUCUUAGAGCAACUCCAAGAGGCUGCUAAUCUUACCCCCAAUACCUUUUUUAGGAAAAAAGAGAGAAAAAAUGAACUCCAACAAUCCACCUAAACUUUCCCCAAUUUUUUAGCGACGCUAAAAAACAGCCUGCCACCGCGUAUAUUUUAGCGUUGGCGUUCCUCCCCCAAUCCUGAUUCCCGCACGCCCGCGCGUCCCUUCCGAUGGGCCCAAUACGAUGACGUGGCCUGUGUUUGAAAUAUUGGGGGCUAUUUAUUAGCGAUCUGCUGUGGACUAAUAUGUUUUUGGGGGAAAUUUUUUUUAGGAGAACCUCCAAUACAUAGUUUUGGGGAAGAAAUUUUUAGGAUACUCUUGGAGUUGCUCUUAGGUCCAUUAGCUCGUGCAUAGCUAAGUGGAUUUGACAUUGCUAGAAAAGAGGUUUGUGGAUUGGUUUGGGACUUUAUUCUAGGUUCUUUGAGAAAUUGAAUCGGCUCCCAUUUACCCCCUCCCCUUUGGUCACCUUUCCGGUCUUUCAACGGUGUUCAUAACACCCUUUGGUAUCUACUGCUACAACACCAUGAUCUUCGGGUUGAAAAAUGCUAGUGCCACCUACCAGAAGGCAAUCUAGGGUUGCCUCGCAAUACAGCUCCACAAAAACAUCGAGGCUUACAUCGAUGAUAUGGUCAUCAAUACAAAGGAUGAGGAAAAGCUUCAUAGCCAACCUUGAGGAAAUCUUCAAUAGCCUCUGGGCAUACUGCUGGAAACUUAACCCCGACAAGUGCAUUUUUGGUGUCCCAUCUAGCAAGCUCCUGGGCUUCAUGGUUAGCCAGCGAGGCAUCGAGGCCAGCCCUAUCAAAGUAGAUGCAAUCAAAAACAUGACGAAGCCAUCAAACAAGAAAGAUGUCAUGAAACUCACUGGAAUGAUGGUGGCCCUUAACCGUUUCAUCAGCAAACUUGGAGAAAAAGGCCUGCCCUUCUUCAAGCUCCUCAAAAAGGCAGACAAAUUUGUGUGGGAUGAUGAGGCUAGCAAAGCACUCAAAGAGCUCAAGGGCUUUCUCACUGCACCUCCGGUCAUGACGGCCCUGGCCGACCAGGAAAGACUCUACCUUUACAUCUCCGCCACGACACACGUGGUCAGCACUGUGUUGGUCAUAGUGUCAAGAGCCCAGCCAUGCCUAUGCGGUGCAGCGACCAGUGUACUACGUUAACGAAGUCCUCAGUAAUUCCAAGACCCGCUACAGCCAGGUGCAGAAACUGCUUUAUGAAGUGCUAAUAUUUUCAAGAAAGUUGUGUCACUACUUCCAGGUACAUAAGGUCUGUGUGGUAUCCUCGUUUCCCAUCGGUGAAAUCCUUCACAAUAGGGAUGUCAACGGCCGAGUUGUGAAGUGGUCCAUUGAGCUCGGCGAGUUUGACCUUGAAUUUUGCCCGCGUCAUGCAACCAAGUCACAAAUUAUGGUCGACUUCGUAGCAGAGUGGACAAAAAUCCAGAAGCCGCCCUCCCUGGAGAGGCCUGAACACUGGGUGAUGUACUUUGACGGCACCUUCAACCUCGAAGGAGCCGGUGCAGGGGUAAUCUUUAUAUCCCCUAAAGGCGAACAACUCAAGUACGUCCUCCAGAUUCAUUAGCCACUAACAAUGGCGCCGAGUAUGAAGCUCUCAUCGACGGUCUCCGUAUAGCUGUUUCCCUUGGAAUGAAGUGUAUACUUGCCUACGGUGAUUCAAAAGUGGUGAUCGAGCAGGUUAACGAGAAUUGGGACUACACAAAGGACGCCAUGGAUGCCUACUAUGUACAAAUCCACAAGCUUGAAGCCCACUUUGACGGCCUUGAAUUUCAUCAUGUCCCUAGGGACCAUAAUGUGGCUCCCGAUGUCCUAUCCAAGCUCAUAUCUAAGCGCGCGUAGGUCCCAGUCAGUAUAUUCAUUCAAGAUCUUCGAAAACCUUCUAUCAAAAUCAUGGAUCCUGACUAGGCUAGCGAUGCUAGCGUUCAGGCUCCAGCCAACCUAAAAUCCACUGAAGUCAUGAUGAUUGAGGCAGAGGAAGAUUGGUGCGCUCCAUUUAUAGCCUUAAUCACUGACCAGAUGGCACCAGAGGAUAAAUAGAGCAUGAAAAAUUAGCUCGGCGCAGUGCCAAUUACAUUGUCAUCGGCAAAGAGCUCUACAGAAAACCCGCGUCUACAGGGAUAGUAAUGAAAUGUGUUCUAUGCAGCGAAGGAAUUGAGUUAUUCAACAAAAUCCACUCAGGGACAUGCGGCAACCAUGCUGCCUCGGGCACUUUGGUCGGCAAAGCUUUCCACUCUGGUUUUUACUGGCCCACAGUAGUAGCCGAUGCAAAGGAGCUCGUCCAAUGAUGCAAGGGGUGUAAGUUUUUGUCCAAGCAGUAGCACCUCCCGGCUCAGGCCUUGCGCACCAUCCCUCCAUCAUGGCCCUUCGCAUGCUGGUUAGACAUGGUUGGACCUUUCAAAACCGCUCCGGACGGCUAUACACACAUUUUCAUGCCAGUUGAUAAGUUUACAAAGUGGAUUGAGGCAAAGCUCGUCACCAGCAUUGAGUCAGCUAAAGUAGCCCAAUUUGUGGAAGAAAUCAUUCAUCACUUUAGAGUGCCUAACAGAAUCAUAACCGACCUAGGCACACAGUUCAUAGGUGCCGAGUUCUGGGGUUUUUGCCAAGACAAUCUCAUUGAUGUGUACUACUCCUCAGUAGCGCAUCCACGUUGCAAUGGCCAAGUGGAGCGUGCAAAUGGGAUGGUCCUCCAGUCCCUCAAGUCAUGCAUCUUCAUGUCAUCUGGGGCCUAAGAACGCAGAAGAGGUGAGCUACUAGAUACACACCUUUCUUCAUGGUGUAUGGUUUCAAAGCCAUCUUGCCAUCUGAUGUGGCCUUUGGUGCCCCACGUAUCCAAUACUAUGAGGAGGGUGAGGUAGAAAGAAGUCGUCAAGUUGACAUUGACAGUCUCAAAGAACAUCGUGUAGCAGCUCUCCUCCAACAUGCUCGCCAUGAGUAGUAGAUACAACAUUACCACAAUCGCAAUAUCAAGGAACGGUCCUUCAACGUUGGUGACUUGGUGCUUCACCGAGUACAGUCCACCAAAGGACAAGCACAAAUUGGCUGCCCCUUGGGAGGGCCCCUUCAUCGUCAAAGAGGUCAUCCAACUAGGCACUUACCGACUCAAAUGGGCAGAUGGAUCUAGUGCCCCCCCCAUGGAACAUCAAGCAUCUACGAUGAUUCUACCCUGAGAAUAUAUAGCUAUGUACUUUGUUUCUCUUUUCCAUAUUAAAUAAAUAAAUACCCAUGUGGUUCCUUUUUUGCGUACCUACUUCCUUACUGCUUUUUCUUUUCCGAGCUACGCUCUAAUGCUCGGGGGCUGCCUGACCUGCUCAGUAGCCCGCUCGCUCACAAAAUCGGGGGCUCCCCCACCAACCUCUGGGUCAUACCUUUUUCCUCCCCCUCUUAAGGCUAUACAACUAACACGUGUGGUCGGCGUCCUAGCUUGCGAAACCUACACAACCUUGCGUUCACCCCUCCUACAAGCUCGAGUUCCACUCUUAGCAGGACGCUGGUCAGGCGAGGCUAGGUGCUUAGCGGCUACAGGCCUCAGCUACACGAUGUGUUGUCGUAUACGUCAAAGGAGGGGUGGAAUUUUUCUUUCAUCAAAACACAACUAAAUACAUCUUGAUCAGUCAUUGCAUAAAAGGAAUAGUCAGGAAGUGCGAGACCAACAACACAAAUGUAUUCUUGACACACUCGAGGGCAGUAUCCUUCAGCAACCUCUUCAACUGACCCAGCGCAGCUUUAAGGCGGUCCAAUAGAGAUGUCGGUCUGGCUGGGUCAGUGUCCUUUUUGAUCAUGCCCAUCAGAUACCUAGUCGACUUCCGAAGCUCCUCUAGCUCUAACUCCAAGCCUGCAAUCACACGCUGGUCAUUCUAGAGGUUACUUACGGCAUCCUCUAAGCUGCACUCGAGAUCCCUACACGCGUUGGUGUAACGGCCUCGGGUAAAAAUCCUUCGCGUUAAUCUUAAUCCGAGUCCCUGAUCCCCUGUCUCAAUUUCCAAGCCUAAGUGUUCAACCUCCAGAUCUUCCGACCCUUCGAUCCGACCCCUCGCCAUGGUCUCCCCAGUUCCGACCCCGCCAACCCCCAACCCACCGUCGGAUCUUUCUAAGCCACCCCACAGCGUCGCCCUUCAGUUCGAGCCGUAGACCACCGAGACUGACCGGUGGGCCCACGAGAUCUUUUCCCCCAGAUCUCCCGUGAUAGGCGCACUCGAGUUGCAUGCCCGCUUCAGAGUUCCCCAGGCGCGUGGCUCAGCUCCUCCGACGCCUGCCGCUCUGCCUCGUCGCCGGCCCACGACCGGAUGGAUUCUCGCGCCCCCUUCCCCAAUCGUGGCGGAAGCUCCCCUGCUACCCUUUCUGCAGCACCUCGCCGCCCGCGCCCAUCAUCACAUCGCCAGAUCCCGGCCGCAGAGCCCGAUGCCGCCUAUCUUUUCCGUCACCUCGCCACAGUCGCGCCACCCCGGUCCUCGCUACGCGAUGAUUCCUCCUCCACCAACCCAGACCGCGGCAGCGACAACUCCUUUUCCCGCCCUGUCAGAAGUCGCCCCGACAAUCUGUUGCUCCACGCUCGCUCGCGCAACCGCAGCCGCCUGUCUUCUCACCUGUGCGCCCUCGUUUCUAGCGCCGUUUUCUCGGUCACUUCCAUCAGAUCCACCGCACGAUGACACCCACCUCCGCCAAAUCUCAACCACUGGCAAACCCGCGCCUGCGCCGCCCUGACGUCGGUGCCCAAUGACCGCCGGUGUCAUCCCCGAAGUCCUGCUCCACCGCCCUUGUCGCUCAAUUGCCGCCCGGGCAGAGCACUCCAUCACUUCUUCCCCGGCCUUCGCGCCGCUCCCCCUUCCCUCUUCCGCGCAGCUAUAAAAUGGGAUGCCGGAGUCCCACCGGAGUUCCCCUUUGCCUUCGCUGCCAUCUCUCUUGCUCCCUGUUCGAGCUCACAGCGCCACCACCUAAGUCUGAGGAACUCUCAUCUCCGCGCAACACCACUUUCCCCAAUCCACCAGCCACUGCUUUCAGUGCUGCCCAAGAGCUUGCUGUGAUCCACAAGAAGCACCACAGCCGCCGGAACACCGCCGGACAUCCUCGCCGCUGUCCCAAGCCCCUUAGUCCUUCCGCCCCAGCCUUCUCUGUAAGACGAAGGUAGGCUGCCGACCCUUGUUCGCCUCGCCCGACCCCUCCUAUCCGCCCGACCCCGGUUCCAUCUCGCCCGACCCUGUCUGUUUCGCCGACCCUUCUCCGCCUCACCCAAGGGCUCGGCUGUAUCUUUUUCUUUGAACCGAGGGUGUAUGUGAAAAACUUGGGGACCUUUCAGCGUUAAAUCUGAGGACCCCUAGCACAUCUAUUCCUCUAGAUUAAGGGCUAGAUCAUAAGUUCCUCCCCCUCCGACCCUUACAUCUUGAUCUCCAUCAACUCCAUCGAACCUCCCCACCCUCCUGUAACUUGCCGCAAGUUUCUGGGCUCAAACUUGCAAGUGUUGCUGUUGAAAUAACCGUCUAUGCUAACCAAUGCAUUGCAUUCGUGUAGAGCUGCGUCUCGUCGAUGGCUACUACGAGCUGCACCCGGCGCCAGAAGACGACGGUGUAGCUGAGCUCCUGCUUCCAGAAGCCCAAGCUGCCCAAGAAGACGAGCAGUUCCCUUCCUCCUUGCUCGAAGGCAAGCCCCGGAUGCAUGAAUUCCCCUACAUUUUACCAGACUUGCGCAUGCCUUCUUUAACAUGCUUGUGCAUUUACGUAUAGGAGUUGGUUGGAACCAUAGCUGCAUAAUUUAGCUCCCUUGAUCUGAACACUAGCUGUUGGACCGAGUAGAUGCUUUGCUUAAAUAGAAACGGUAAAAGCCGAGUGAUUCCCUGUCACUCGCGAGUUGUAGGAGUUGGAUGUUUACCCUUCUGUCACAACUAUAAGGACGAUGGACGGGGCAGGGUUUUGGGUAACUCUUUGGUGGUCGGUUGAUCGCCCCGUCUGUCUAUGAAACUUGCUAAGGCCCGACAGUGGUGGUGUUCGUGAUCAAGUGUUUGAAAGUACUAAUCUCAUACCUAGUAUGGGAUGGGGAAGCCUAGUACCUGAUUGAACUAGGGUGUGGCUUAUACCCCUACUGUCCCUGGAACGAGGUUCCCAUGGUGCAUCAUGUGGGUGCAAGUGCGGUCACAGUAUGGCAGAGGCUGGGACUGUGGAGCAUUGCAUGCCAAGGGAAGUUUGGACCUGACACGCGCCUGGGAAUUGAUGGGGACGGCUGACACAGGAAGCGGCCCUCGUGGUGCGCGGAUGUCGUGAGAUUAGGUUCGCCAUGCAUGGUUAAGAAACUCGAAUCGAUUCGUCUGCCUCUCAUAGUUUGAGACUACUUGAUCGCUAUGUCACCCUGAGUAAAUAAGGAAUCUAAUGAUGACAUGGUCGUGUUGAUGAUGUAUAUACCUUUGGUUGGUUCUAUGCUUGCUUAGAAUAGGUUGCAAACUUAGACCGGAUAAUGAACUUAGAACCGGAGCUAAAACUUGAAAGUAGGGAUACACUUAGUGCUUUUUGGCAAACAAACCCCUCAGCCUAAAAGCCUCGCAUGUCUAGAAAAGAUAGUUUAGCGCGCUCCCUGUCGGUUAAGUCUUGUUGAGCUUAGUAGCUCAGCCUUGUUGUGGCUCUUCCUUUUCAGGUGAAGUUGUUGCCUCUGAGCCUCCUUCUGCUGGCACUUGGCCGCCCCAACUCCCUCCGGGUUGGACGGUUGAGUGGGAUCCCUCCUCGGACGGCGAGGAGAGGGAUCAUUGACAUCCCGGUUGGCCUCACCAGGGAUGUCCGACCCCGACGAGUUCGCUUCCGCUAGUUGCUUUACCUUUUGUUGUUGUUUUUCUGCUAAACCUUGUAAAACUCUGAUGUUAUUUUUACGGCCAAACUAAAUGGUUAAUUUGUUAACUCAGUGGACUUGUUGUAUUCUCUGGAACCGCUCACCUUCGUGUGGGUUUGCUAUUCGGUCCUGUUCAAGUGGUUAAAUCGGAUGAAAUCCGACAGCACUUCGUGUUUACUCGGUUUAGGCAUGAGCGUCGCGUGUCAUGCGGCUAAAUCAUGUUUAACCAAACAAAUCCGAAGUGGAUCCACCGCAGUUGGCUUCAUAGGCUAGCUUCUGGGAUACCGCAUACUCACGGUUCACUGCAGCAUCAUGUUCUUCUUGGAGGCGCGCAUUGGAUUCUUCAAACUCUUUGAGAUCCAGUCGCAGCCACGCCUGUAUUCGCUUGGAAUCUAUUCGACUGAUCAAAUCCGGAUCAGCACAAUGACAUUGAAGAAAAACAUGAUCUCACAAGUCGGCAAAGCUCACCUACCAGCCCCGAGCUGAUAAAUUCCCUUUCUGCAGCAAAGCUAGCUUCGAGGCGCGCUUUGGCACCCUCACUCUCCCUAAGGCUCCGCAGCAGCCUUGCUACUUGCACCAUGGAAUCUACAGAACCAGCAAAAGAUUGCAUCAGCGUAAAGCUCGCAAAAAAAAAACAAGUCGGCUGGCUGUACCUCUCAUGAGCCCAUCAUGAGUGGUCUUCUCGACCUCUCGCCGGGCCUGCUACCUCUGGAGCUCAUGCUUCGCCUUUUCAAGCUCAAUCUUCAGUUGCCUCGCUUUAGACCGAUAGCAAUCACAAUGGAAGACCAACUACAUCCUCUUUGGAGCCUACUCAGCCAGUCCCUAUUCAAAUCCAUACAAUCAGAGCUCCGCAGAAGAAGAUGAAUUUCAAGCACAAACACAACAGGUUGGUCAGCAUACUUACAUGAAGAUACUCGCCAAUCAUUGAUCCUGCCUCCUAUAGCCCCACAAGAGCCUCCCUAUCCUUUUGUUUGUCCUCUUCAACCUCAACAUCGAUGUAAGGGGUGCUUUGGACAACGAAUCAUUCUUGGGUGGAUCAUCCCGCUGACGAUUGGCCUUAGUGCCCUCCUCACCCUCCUCUUCCACCAUGACAUCCUCCCGGACCACCUCCCUGAUCACGACAUCGUCCUGGGCCACAUGCUCGACCUCAGCAUCCUCCUAGGCCACAUCGUCAACCCUGGCAUCCUCCUGCGCUACAUGCUUGACCCUGACGCCCACCUGAGCUGCAUCCCCGACCUCGACGCCAGCCCGAGUCGCAUCCCGGACCCCAACCUCCUCCUCCAACUCCCUUAUCCUGGGGCCAGCCAUGCUAUCAUUAGUGGGUUUGGCGCUGACCUCAACCUAUUGCGACACAGGAUUCAAUACAACUUCCUCAGCCAUUUCAGACCCACCAGUCCUGACCUCUCCAGCCGGUGACUGCUCAGCGAUGUGACCACUAGAGGCUUCAAUCGGACUCGAGCAUCUGUUCAGCUAAGUGUCACCAUCAUCAGACUACACGCCAGCUCUGUAUCAUCACCACAGCAUGCAAACCAAGCAAGAAUUAGACUAUUGUCAUGAAAGCAGAAAUCACAAAAGGUGGCAACAUUUACAGAGUACUCUUUGGGAACAAGCGCAUUUUUGGGCACAGCUCUUGCAGUGGAACAGGCGCAUCGCCACUGGAGCUGUCACGCAUCUUCUCCUUCAACGCCUCUUUGAGGCGUGCCACGUUAGUAGCAGUGGUUCCCCCGUGCUUUGGCUCUUUGUCCUACACAGCCGGGCUCCGCGCGACGGCCCCUGACUCGCCGCUCGACCUAGUAGCAGCAGUAGUAGUCAGCACGGUCUUCUACCGACCGGCCAACUUCUUCUUCUUCCCAGCUAGUUGGGACACCUUGGAAAGGGACCGCUUGUGAGUUGCCAGCUAGCCUAGCCAACACGAACCUUAGUCCCCGCCAUCCUCACCAGCCGCGCUAAUAGCAAGCCCAAGAGAGGAAUCUGACUCAAAUAGAAGGCUGGGCGGUAGCGCAACCGGCACAUCAACCAGCGUGACCUUGGGCGGCGCCACUGGAGUCCUAGCAGGCAAUGAUGGAAGACAAAAAUAUACAAAGGGGUCGCUCUAAAUCAAAACAUGACCUUAAAUCAUUAAGAUUGCGAAUAAGGAGCAUAUUACAUCUAAGCAGAAAUGAAUACAGUUUCACCAGGGUAGGUGACGGAUUCCUCAGGGAAAAAGCCUUAAGGGCACCCGUGUUGAUGAUCUCGCCCUUGAACAACCCGGACAAUCGGCAAAGAAUAUCUUCUACGGGAACAUCAUCAUCGACUUCCCGAGUCGGAUCAUUAAGCCCUGAGUACUCGAACGAUGGAUGUACUCGGUGCUUGAUCGGAUGGGUGGCCCUCUGGCAGAAAUUGAUCCCAAUUGCCACGAGUGUCAAUCCUUGCACCUUGAGGUCAGCGAUCCUCGCCAGCAACUUAUUCACUUGGACUUGCUCCCCCAGGGUCGGCUGUUCUUGCCACUUAGACACUGAUAUAGGACCAAAACCAAUACACGACGGCAACUCUGGCUUCUGGUUGGCAAUUAGAAAUCACUCGGCACGCCACCCCUUGUGGGACUCCUUCAACUGAAGGUCAAAAUACUCACGCAUCCUCUUGGGGUGCAAGAGAACCCAGCCCCACCGUUAACCCUAUCCUUCCUACCCUUAGUAUUCACAGGUUUCAGCUGAUACAGAUACCACCACAAAUUGAAGUGGGGGGCGGGGAAUGCCUAGAAAUGCUUCGCAAAGAUUAAUAAAAAUAGCAAUGUCCAGGAUCGAGUUAGGGUUAAGGUGCACCAACUCGAUCUUGUAGUAAUGAAGGAGGCCACGGAAGAAAUCUCUAGUCGGGAUCUCGAACCCGCACUCGAAGAACGAGGCGAAAACCACCACUUGCUCCGUGUCCUCGGACAGAAACUCCUGGCCGGCGGUGGCCCGUCACUCAAGCAACUCCUACGGACCAAGGAGCCCGUGGUCAAUGAGGGCCUGGAUCUGCUCAUGCGUCAUCACGCUCUUUAUCCACACCGAAGAAGGAGAUGGAGCAUUGCGCUGCGUUGUUGCUUUUCGAGCUCAUGGUUUGGAUCUAAAAAGCACUAAGGUUUUGUUACUCAUACAGUUGCACAACAGCUCGGGUGGAGGCGGUGUAGCAGCCCAGGCGACGGUGGCGGCGUGCAUGCGAGAAGGUUCAGAAAUGCGGCAGUGCAACCUAGGGUUUGUGAAUGCGACGGUGGAGCACUUAGUGACCUCAAGAUGGUGGCACUACAAGAGGUUGAAGAUGCGAGUGGCAACGGCUCCGUGACUCUUGCGCUUUUAAAGGAGAUAAUGGCAUCACUCAUGGAUGGAACUCGCGGGCCUCCUGUUAGGAGUUUGGGUUUGAGGGGGCAGUUCAACAGGUAUAUAUACCCACAGGCAGACUAUUGGAAGUUCCAAUGCAGCAUCGGAAGUCCCGACGAAAAUCAAAAACAUCUCCCAAGCACCUUCUGUCGGAGGAAAUUAGAAAGUUCCGAAGAUCAUCGGAAGUUUCGAUGAAGCAUCGAAAGUUUCGAUAAUAAAAAGAAUUCUCCCAGGCACCCUCGAUCGGAACUUUUAUGAUACUUCCGGUGGCUAUUGGAAGUUCCAAUGGUGUACUGAAAGUUCUGAUAAAAUCAAGACAACUCCAAAAAGAUUGAUUUUGAGAUGGAUAAGGAUUGAGAUUUCAAGAUAUAUAGCUUAUGGACAAAUAAGAAAACUUGACGCUUAAGUGAUCAGCCAACAAGCAACAUUACAAAGCAAUGAUCACUUGAGUCAAGUUUUGAUCCAAGGAUCAAAAUCCAAAUUUUGAAAGAAACUGAACACAAGUAAAUCCAUUUUUCUUAUCUAGGCAACAAUCAAGUAUGUGCAAUAAGUCAAGCCAAGUUACGAGAAUCCAAGAUAUUUAGCUCAUUCCUCAAAACACAAAACUUGCUCUUCCCAUAGCUCUACGUCAAGGCGCAACUCAGUGGCUAGGUGUUCAAGAUCAGCCGCCUCUCGCUCGAUAGCACGGCGGCUAGGGCGGCGAACCCAAGAAAGAAACCUGCUCUUCUUCAUCACGGAUCUCUCUAUCCUAAGCUCCUAGCGUGUGCGACGUAGUACUGGCCAGGAUGCAUCCAGGCUCCAGCACGACCCUCGACGGCGCUAGGCCAGCAAGCAGUGCUGCAGCUGUGGUUCCCAUGUCAGUGCCCACGGCGAGCGGCAUGUCAAAUGGAGUGGGACCUUGCCCACAACCUUCUCGACGAAAUGUGUGAGUUGCCUCGUGGAGUCCAGUCAGCAGGCCAUAUCAGCACUUGGAGUCCAUGUGAAAGGCUAUGGACCUGUGGCGCACCAGUAAACAAGAUUGAGGUGUAAGAAAUGUGUUUUGAAAGUUCAUGGACCUAAAUGACACAGAGAGAGACAAGUUUGAGGACCUCCCAUUAUAUUUAACUCACAUAUAAAUAUUCAUUUUGACAUUGAUUGAAAGACAAACCUAAACACUGGCACAUGCUAGAAAUAAACACGCUACCCAUCUGCGAUAUAUAGUUCCAAACUUUCUAACAACGGCUUCUUGCAACAUGAGCCUUGAGUACUAGGCUGCCAUUGCUUCCUCUACACCUAAUGAGUCAUGACUUCGGUUGUAAUGUGUUUAGCAGGAGUUCGUGGAAGCUUAACCUAUCUUGCAGUGCCAUAGUUAAAACAACCUAUAAUGGUCAUAGUUUGUACCCUUUAAAAUUGAAAAUAUGUUAAUAUUGAUGCACUUUACAAUAUAAAAUUUGAGACAGCUUGGUCAAGUGACGGUGUCACAACUAUCUGAUGUUCACUACUAGGGAAUCCACGUUUAGAGAUAAGUUUGGAACGAAGGGAGUAUAUAUUAAAAUAUCCGUGUAAGACACUAAUCACUACUAGAAAUAUGACCUCUCAUCCCUGAUGUUUGUACCGAUCACAUUUGGAACUGGUACUAAUUCUAGCAUUAAUACCGGUUCCAACGGAUACUGCUUGGAGGGUGCCCCGAGAACCCCUUUAGUACCGGUUGGGGGCAACAACCAGUACUAAAGGGUGCACAUUAGUACCAGUUGCUGCCACCAACCGUUACUAAUGCCCCACGCACCCUCUAGUACCGGGUGAUGAUUGCAUCAACCGGUACUACAGGGGAUACCCUCUAGUACCAGUUGCUGCCCCAACCCGGUACUAGUGUGGCAACCCCCCUCUAGUACCGGUUAAGGGCAACAACUGGUACUAAAGGGGCCACCCUCUAGUACCAGUUGCUACUCCAACCAAUACUAAUUUCCUUUGUAUAAAUACCCUCUUCUUCCUUUGUAUACCGGUACUAUCUAAUUUUCAAUUCAUUUGCUUUUAUUUCAAAACCAAUCCGUGUGUAUACACUUAGAAAAAUUAGAUUAAUCUAAUUUUCAUUUUAUGUGCUUUUACUUCAAAAACCAAUCCAUGUAUAUAUACUUAGAAAAAUUAGAUUAACCUAAUUCUCAAUUCAUUUGCUUUUACUUCAAAAACCAAUCCAUGUGUAUAUACUUAGAAAAAGUAGAAUAAGUAUUUCAAUUGAUUUGCUUUUACUUCCAAAAACCAAUUCAUGUCUAUAUACUUAGAAAAAUUAGAUUAAUCUAAUUUUCAAUUCAUUUGCUUUUAUUUUAAAAACCAAUCCAUGUGUAUAUACUUAGAAAAAUUAGAUUAAUCUAAUUUUUAAUUCAUUUUCUUUUACUUCAAAAACCAAUCCAUGUGUAUAUACUUAGAAAAAUUAGAAUAAGUAUUUCAAUUCAUUUGCUUUUACUUCAAAAAACCAAUUCAUGUGUAUAUACUUAGAAAAAUUAGAUUAAUCUAAUUUUCAAUUCAUUUGCUUUUACUUCAAAAACCAAUCCAUGUGUAUAUACUUAGAAAAAUUAGAUUAUCUAGUUUUCAAUUCAUUUGCUUUUACUUCAAAAACCAAUCCAUGUGUAUAUACUUAGAAGAAUUAGAUUAAUCUAAUUUCAAUUCAUUUGCUUUUACUUCAAAAACCAAUCAAUCGGCUUGUGUGAUGAAGUGGCUAGUUUGUGGUAUGCAUGAAGGCAAUGUGGAGCAAUCAGUUGCCGAGGGAGGCAAUGAUGUGCAACAAGGUGAGGUAUAGCAAGUAUUAUAUGUAAACAUUAUUUGAAUUCUCUUCUUAUCAAAAGAAACAUCAUCACACAACAUUCCAAUCAUGCAACAUUUCAAUUGUCAUUUUUUAGCCAUCUGGAUCGAACAGAAGGCCUCAAAAGAAAUGAGGCAAGAACAAGAAGUUAGAGGGUCGUAUCAUCAUCAUAAAAAUUGCUGAAGAUGGUGAACCGAUUGCUCCUGCCAAUGCUAAAACAAAGAUGGUGAAUCAGCUUCGGUUCCUUGUCAGAGAUAACAUCCCAAUCAGCUUCCAGAAUUGGAAAAAAACCUGACAACGUCCCGGUCGGCACAAACCCGCUCCUUUACGUACCUGACCGAGAGAAGGCUAUGAUAUGGGAACAGCUAAAAGAUAACUUCACGUUUGAAAAUGUAGUCGAAGACAAAUUGAAAGAAUGGGGCUUGAAGAAGGCUACAAUUGCAUUUUAGACGUACAAGAAAACCUUGAACAAAGAGUACAUAAAGAAGGGGCUUGCAUCUGAUUUCAAUAAACACCCAAAGAUAAGGGAUCAUUGGGAUUCUUUUGUAUAGUUCAAGGAGACGAGCAAGAGCUAGUCGUUAACUCAGACCAACAUCGGCAAUGCCUAGAAGAAGCAAUACUUCCAUCAUCUUAGGACAGGAGGUUACAAGUCGGGGGCCGUGAAAUGGCAAAGGAUGGAAGAUGACCUAAUUGCUAGGGGAAUAGUACCAUAUACUCUCGAAUGGCCUGAGCAAGCAAAGAAUUGGUUUUAUGCUUAGGGCGGGAGGCUCAAUCCCGAAGAUGGAUCAAUUGUGUUCGGCAAUGAAAUAAGAGAAGCGGCCAAGAGACUUGAUGACUUAGUCAAGAAAAUGACCGAUGGAUCCUUCAUGCCUGAUCGAGAGAGGGACAAGCUGACAAUGGCACUUGGAAAUCCUGAACACCCUGGAUGAUGCCGAGGCAAAGGACUCAUUCUGUGGAAGUUUGCCUUUCGUGAGCACAUUGAAUCAUAUAGAAGUUGCCAAACAAGCAAGGCUGACCAAGCACGACAGCUCCGAGAGCUGCAAGAACAAGUAGCAGCAUCAGAGGCAAGAAUGGCGGAAAUAAUAGACCAGCAUGUGGCCCUAGCUCUGAGUAAAAAUUCCAGUGAACAACCAGCUGCUUCAGCAUUAGGGCCACAUGUCGACGUAAGCCCGACUCAGCGUCGAAGCAGUGUCGCUUCCAGGAAGCCGCAGCUGGAGGAUCCACUAAGAUCAUUGAGGAACGCCACCCCAUGGAUGACAUCACAAGGAGAGCCCCUUGUGAGCUUGUUACUCCCGUGAGAAACAAGCUCAUAGUGGUGGCUCAUGGUGUGGUUGAGCAACCAACGCAAGGCCAAACACUAUAUAGCGUGGAGAUUCAAGCUCGCUAUGCCAAGGUUGGGGUGGACUGAGUGGCCGACGGUUGGGAGGACCUGGAACUGGAGAUCCCUGAAGGUGACGGGGAAAAGAAUUUAGGAGAAGCUAUCCAUGGUUGGAUUCAGUGGUCCAAGCGCUACAUAAGGAUUACAGUGCCAAAUCCCCCAACCUUGGGAUCAUCUCCUCAAGGCUCAAGGGCAAGAUCACCUACGCAAUCUGCCAGGGCACCCUCUCUAAUACCAGACAGGUCUCCUAGCAUGAGACCAGUAGCAGAAAGGGAUCCAAGCAUGAGUCCACCUCCUCCUCCUACGAAGAAGCGUUCAGUUCCUCCUCCACCUCCUAAGAAGAAGCAGAAGAAGUAGAAGGAGAAGCAACAACCUGAGAAAUUACCUUAUCAUAUGAUAGAUGAGGAGGUCAAGGUUGCAGUGACGGCUGAGUGCACAACAUGGAAAGAGGCUUGUAAAGAAGCAUGGAGGAAGAAACAGAAUCCGGAGCCACCACUAGAUAAAUGUAAGCUUCGGGCUUUCAUUAGAAGAAUGGAGGCGGAGCAAAAGGAAAGAGCUAGAGAAACCUCCGCUAACUGAUUACGAAAUGCAGAUAACAAAGCAGGCAGCUCAGAAGAAGAAGAAAAGUGGGAAAUCUAUUGCUCAACUCGGAGAGCAAUCCAACCAAUUUGUUGCCCCCGCUUGUGGUGCUUUUUGAGUUUGAGAAGAACCUGAUUGAAUUCAGUAAAGAUACAAAUCUGACAGCAGCACAACUUUGAGGGGAGGAUGACAAAGAGCUCCCUGUGCCUGUCAAAUGGAAAUAUGAGUAUGGUAAAGAGCUCGUGUGGCCAUGGUUGGUGAAACAUCUCCCAAAGCAGAUGUACAAGCUGCAUCAAUGGUACAUGGAGGCUACAACAAAUGGUUUUGUCGUGAUAGAAGUUCAGGUUGGUGAUCAACAUUACUUAUGUGGUGAUGACAUCAUAAUGGUGGAAAUGGAGGAACUAUAUAUGCUAUACAAUCAAGAUGUACUAAACAAGUCACUAAUCAGUUGCUGGAUCCUGUAAGUCUUUAGUAUAUUCCUCAAACUUCAAAAUCCCCGCUCUAAUCAAUUUGCGAUGUCUUAACUCCUAUUCGAUUUUGUAUCAUGCAGGAUGAAGAUGCAACUUGUCGCAGGAUGGGAUACUAGGAUGUAGGCUUCAUGGACCCCGAAAUUAUUUUCCAGGCAAAUCUAAGGGAUAAACCAAAUCAAACCUUAAAGAAUAUAUUUAAGUUCCUCGAUAAGCAUUAGGAUAAGAAGUACAUAUUACUACCGUGGAACUUCGAGUGAGCAUUUUUCUCAUCUCUAUCUUUUCCGAACUUGCAGUUAAACAUAAUACUAACUAGCUUCAAUUUGGAUGCACAGCUACCAUUGGAUACUCCUUGUUAUUAUGCCUGCUUGGAGCUUCGUGUAUGUCUUCAACUCUUUGAGGAAACCAAAAGAAAAAUACGCUGACAUCAUGAACGCUCUGAACAAAUGCUGGGCUCGAUUCCGUCAAACUCACAAGGAUGAUUUCAAGGAGCAACUUGUUUAGAAGACAGAUUUCUCGGUAUGUGUUGAAUUUUCACAUCUUUUGACAGAUUUUGAAACAGUGCUAGUAAGUUCGGUAUAUUAAGAUGGCAUGCUUUUCUGCUCAGAAGUACCUGAUAACCUUCAGUACUGCAUUGUUCCACUAAAAUCUGCAUCUAGUGUUCUACUAAAAUUUGAAUCUAGUGUUCUACUAAAAUCGUAUUGAGUCUCAGUCACUUUUUUUGAAAAAAAUCUAAAACCAAAUCGUCUGAGGCCGUAGCAUAGCUAGCCAAUAAGAACAAUUUACAAAACGUAUCAAAGGAAAUUUUGGACUUGCUGAAGUUGCAGUUUCUUUGAUGCUACGUUACCAACUAACAAGGCAAGUAGAAAAUCCACCUAGGAAAAUCAUGAUUCCGCAUAGGACAUCACCAGUGACAAGCUAAGGCCGUUAUGAUUAACAUCCAAUGGAAAGAGACAGCAACUGACCUACGCAAGCAAGUAUGCAAAAAUCGCUUUGCAUGCCAAAGAUUCUCUCCAAUAUUCAUCCGUGAUCAGUCUAACCUUUUCUGAUAGGAGAGAAAAGAAAUGAGCAGAUUAAUUUAUUUAACAGAACAUGAAUUUGAACUAACUAAACUGAUCCUAUACCUGUAAAGUGGAACUUUCUUGCCUCCCCUAAUAAUGAAAUCCUGAAAUUUGUGUAAUUUAGAAUGAGCCCACAUCUAGUUCUAAAUGGAUAUACCACCAUGAAAUGCUUGCUUAAUCUCUUACCUGAGUAAAAAUUGCCUUUACUUUUGAAACACCCAUGCGAAUACCAAUCUCCUGUGGUGCAAAACUAUCUGCUAUUGAUACGACAACAAAGCCACCAAGGACGAUUGCCAAAUAUAUGAUGACCGCAUUGCAUGUCAUAGGCAUGUCUAUUGCCAUCCGAUCCCCUUUCUGGAACAUGGUAUCUAGUGCAUUUGCAACAGCUCUGAAAAACGACAUAGCAACAAAGCCGUGAUGAAGAAUAAUUCAUAGAUGCAAAUAUUGUAUGCUUCUAACUCUUAGUUCAGGAGUAAAAACAUAGAUCACUUCGACUACGAAGCUCCUUCAGUGACAUACGGUUCACUGGAUGAUCAUCAAGACCUUCAUCCCUCCAAACAAUAACAGUACUGUCAUCUGUCCUCUUCAAGGAAGGGCAAGGUAGCAGACAGCAUUCGGCAAUGUUGAGCACCACUCCUUGAAGCCAAGUUCCCCCUUUCUUUGAUCUAUCUGACGUACUUAGAAUUGCCUUUGGUUCUUGUUGAAACUUGAGUGCGAGCUGCUUUAGCACCAUUGACCAGUAGACCUGAAAGGGGAAUCACCUAGGAGGCUAGGAUCAUACUGUUGGAUCCAAAAUAAAGAACGGAGAACUUCUGAAGUGUCUUUUUUUGUCUGUUGACUCAUACAUGGAGUAUUUUAUCGUAUUAAUUUAGAGCAACUGACCUCUUGAUUUUCUACUGAAAACCUAUAAAAGUGCCAUGAUGAUUUUAACAGCUUCGGUCUAUUUGCUUCCAUCAAUCUCCCCAGGUUCUUUGCUUACUGUCAAAUCCUGCACCAACCGAAACGCUUAUGCUACUAAUUAAUGCCGUACAGCAUACUCGGUAGAGGUACAACCAAGAGCAUCUACAGCCUAGCUCUGUUAAUCAUUCUCUAAAGCCUGUCAAUCUCACUGAAUUGGUUAGGCACGCAGCACUAAGAAAUGAUGCUAUCAGCUACUUGAUACACGCUUGAAAUUUGCAGUGCAUGUUACGGUUACAUCACACAACAGUCAAGGCCGUUCAACAAAAUCAACAAUAGCAUCAAGAUUCACUUAGCCGGCUACUGGGCUGCUGUAGGAGCUGCUGUAUCCCUGUCCGUGGUGGCUUUGGAUGGCCUUGAGGGGCCAAGUGCUGCCGCACGGCAGUCUGCGCUGCUUCAGGCCUCAAGCGCUAGCCUCCCUCCCUUGCCGAGUCGGCAUCGCCGCCGCCAGCUCCGGCAAGCUGCCAUGCCUCCCCGCCGUCGCCCCUCUCUGACCGCCACUCCGUGCCACCGCGGCCUCCCCGCUCCCGAUGCACCCGCUCCCCCAUUUCCUACGCCGCUGCUUCCACCCGCCCGCGCUCCUCCUGCUCCUCGGCCUCCCCGCUCCCGCAUCGGGUGUCAAUUAAUUGGAGACAUUACCCGUACCCAUAUCCCGGGUUUUAAGCCCACGAUUUUGGGUGUAAAUUGGCGAGGUGGGAUUAUACCUGGUGGGCGGCUUGCAAUCCCCGCCACCUCCGGGCGCGCGACGCUCCGGCUGCCACUCCGUCACGCUGGAGGCCACAGAGCGCGCUCUGGAGCCGUUCCCGCCGCUGGUGUUCGCGGGCAAGGCGCGGAAGCUGGAGGAGCAGCUCGGGGAGGCGGCCUUGGGCCAGGCGUUCCUCCUGCAGGGUGGCGAUUGUGCCAAGAGCUUCAAGGAGUUCAGCGCCAACAACAUCCGCGACACGUUCCGGCUCAUGCUGCAGAUGGCCAUCAUGGCCCCGGCCGCCCGCGGCCCUGCACGUACGGCGACCCCGCAGGGGGAGCCCAGCCGGAGCAAAUGGCCUCCGGGGCAGCAGUGCAGCGCGGCCGCCCCAUCCACCACGCGCCGCUAGAGCUCGCUUGACCUUGUCUCCGCAGUCCGCACCCGUGGUCGGGCCGCCCUCCCUCCUCCCCCUCUCCACUGCCGCGGCUGAGCCCAGGACACCGGCCGCCGCACCACUGACGCUGCCGCCCGCCCGCGCACAAUCUUCCUCGUUACGGAGGAAGACUUGCGGAAGGGAAUAGGACUGCGGGUUGAUUACUAAAAACUUGAGGGUUUUUUUUGAAAAAUGACUAUGACGGUUGAAGGAUUGAAAGAAACCUCAUCUGUUUAAUAUUAAGGUAUAUAUAUAGAUAUAGAUAUAUAUUAGGUAUAGAUAUAGAAUAGAUAUAGAGCCAACUCAUUCCCAAAUGGGCACCAGGCCUGUUGAUAGCCAUGUGCGAGAUGGGGAACCGAACAGGGCGUCCAAAAAAGUCGGGCCUCCAAAUUGCUAAUCUGUUUCUCUGCUGGACUUCACGCGGCUGUAUAUCCUGUUCAGCAAGCUGUUGUCGACAAUAUGCUGCCAGUUGUGGAACUUCUGAUGAUAUAAAUUUCUCCAAGAUUUAUAAGAUUAUUGCUCAUUCGAAUUUCAACAGCACUAGAAAUGAUGUCUCGGUGAAGAUUAAUUAUGAAGAUAUAAUUAGGUCAUGUUUGGCUCCCCUGCUAAAGUUUAGCAUCUGUCACAUCGGAUGUUUAGAUACUAAUUAGGAGUAUUAAACGUAGGAUACACUAGUAGAGAAUUGGCUUUCGAUCCGCCCCCUUUUGUCCCGGUUUAAAGUUGGCCCGGGACAAAAGGGGGUGCGCCACGGUAGGCAAAAAUGGAGGGGAGAUUUACUCCCGGUUGGUAAUUGCAACCGGGACUAAAGGCCCCCCUUUAGUCCCAAUUGCAACGGCUAGUGGGGGGCUGUCGGCGGCGGCACCCUUUUAUCCCGGUUGGAGGCACCAACCGGGAUAAAAAGUUUAGUCCCGGUUGGUGCCUCCAACCGGGAUAAAAGGGUGUCCCUUUUAUCCCGGUUAGAGGCACCAACCAGGACUAACUAUUCAACCGGGACAAAAGGUGUUCCUUUUUGUCUCGGUUGAAGUUUUUAACCGGGAUAAAAACUCAUCCCCAUUAUAUAUGGCAAAGACAGAGGACUUUCUUCCUCCUCCAGCCCGAGCCAGUCCAGCACAUUGACAGAGAGAGCUGAGCUUCACCUACUCUCCGGUGGUGCCGAAGCAAGCAAGGGAGGUGCUGCCUGAAGUUUUUUCCCUCAUUUUCGUGGGAAUUUCACUCGGCCAACACAAGUGUUGCGAAGGUUUGCUACUUCAUCCUCGCGUUAUGCUUUGAUUUAUGCUUUGGAGAUGGAAAGAUUAUUUGCUAGAAUGUGAUGAUGAAGUAGAAAAAUGGAGAGGUAUUUUGAGCUAGAAUGUGAGGGAGAUUGAUGUGUCAUAUAUAGUAUGCAUUAUUGCAGUGGUUUAAAAAUGAGGCUACCUUGUCUAGACGGUUUAUCUUAUCAAAUUCAAUAUGGUUUUUCAAAUCCACACUUGUUGAACUUGCAUACCGUGUUCAUUUCUGCGAGGAUGUUCUCCGCCGAGCAGCAACGUAUGUCAAGAAGGAGGUUCGAUUCUACGAGAAAGAGUGGAUACGGACAUCGUGACCGUGUCCCCUUUUCCAUAGCAUCUAACCUCUUUCAUGACGAAGUGCGGUGCCGCCCAGUUGAGGACAUCCUCGCGAGAUGAUCACGGUCUUCAAGUUCAACAACUUAUGCAGUGUUAAGAUAAUAAUUUUUGUACAUAGAUGGCUUCUGCUACUGGAGGAAGUGGCGAUCGUGGGGGCGAUCGUGGUUCCUAUUAUGGCAAGGUUUCAAUCAUAGUUGGCCCUCAGCAUAAGCCGAAGAAAAAGAGCGCGCUGGAAAAAGUAAUGCUUCGUUAUUUGCAGCAACGUCAUGAAGAAGCUGUUGCCGCGGGUCAGGAACCUCCUUUUGGUGGUCGUUAUGCUCCACCCUCAGUCCUGGGUGUUUCACGUCCACUUAGUACUACCGUUUCAGGCGGCACAAAUAAACCUAAGGAUGAGGUUGGGUUAGCGGAACCUUCGUCUUCACCGUCCAAGGAUGCUUAAAGUCCUCCUUGAUAAUAACCAGUGGAUGGCUUGUUGUAUUGUAUCAUGUUGUUUGGGACUUUAAUUUAAAUAUGUGUAUUUGGAUCUUCAUGUUGUUGUAUUGUACCAUGUUGUUUGGAUCUUUAAUCGAUUUUCACGCGUAAUCCAUUGUCAAGUGUAAUCCAUUUUCAUGCGUAAUACGAUGCAGAUGGACCGGCAAUGGAUGUAUAAUGCAGACAGGCGGAGCAAGGCAUUUAUUGAUGGCUUGCAUUAUUUUCUCGAAGUGGCAAAAGCGAACAAGCCAGAGAAUGGGUUCGUAUGUUGUCCAUGCUUCCAAUGCAAUAACAGAAAUGAGUAUUCAAAGGAUUCCUGAGGGACUAUUCACAGCCACUUGUUUAAAUACGGUUUCAUGCCUAACUAUUUGGUUUGGACCAAGCACGGUGAACUAGGGGUUGUAAUGGAAGACGGCGAGGAGGAGGAGGAAGAUGACACCAUUCCGGACUGGGUUGCAGGCCAAGCUUUUGCAGGUACUACAAUGGGUGAGGCUGAUAAAGAUGAGUUUGCAGAAAAUGGCCCUACUGAUGACCUUGGUCGGGUGAUACGAGAUGCAUACAGAGAUUGCGAAACUGAGAAGGAAGCAGCAAAGUUGCAGCGCAUGAUAGAUGAUUACCAAAAAUUGUUGUACCCAGGUUGUCAGCAGGGUCAUAAAAAACUAGGUACAACACUAGAAUUUGUGCAAUGGAAGGCAAAAAAUGUUGUGUCCGAUAAGGCAUUUCAGGGGAUGUUGAACAUUGUCAAGAAGAUUCUCCCCGAGAAUAAUGAAUUACCGUCCACAACAUAUGAAGCUAAACAGAUUAUUUGCCCUCUCGGAUUGGAUGUUCAGAAGAUACACGCAUGCCUUAAUGACUGUAUCCUCUAUCAUGGUGAUGAAUACGAGAAAUUGGAUGCUUGUCCCGUCUGCGAAGCCCUGCGGUAUAAGAUCAGGCGAGAUGAUCCUGGUGAUGUCGAGGGGCAGUCUCCAAGAAGAGAGUUCCCGCGAAGGUGAUGUGGUAUUUCCCUAUAAUACCACGCUUGAAGCGCUUGUUCAGGAACAAGGCGAAUGCUAAGUUGAUGCGAUGGCACAAAGAAGACCGUAAGGAAGAUGAGAUGCUGAGACACCCCACAGAUGGGGCACAGUGGAGAUCAAUUGAUAGAACAUUCCCAGACUUUGAAAGUGAAGCAAGGAACAUAAGGUUUGGUUUAAGCACUGAUGGAUUCAAUCCAUUCGGUGAGUUGAGUAGUGGCCAUAGUACUUGGCCUGUGACCCUUUGUAUGUUCAACCUUCCUCCUUGGCUGUGCAUGAAGCGGAAGUUCAUUAUGAUGCCGGCGCUUAUCCAAGGCCCAAAACAACCCUGCAACGACAUUGACGUGUACCUAAGGCCGUUGGUUGAUGACCUUUUACAGCUCUGGAAGGAAGAAGGUGUACGUGUGUGGGAUGAGGAUAGAUAAGAGAUCUUUAAUCUACGAGCACUAAUGUUCGUAACCAUCAACGAUUGGCCUGCAUUGAGUAACCUUUCAGGACAGACAAAUAAGGGAUAUCGGGCAUGCACCCACUGUUUAGACGACACAGACAGCAUGUACUUGAAGCACUGUAAGAAGGUUGUCUAUAUUGUUCAUCGUCGAUUUCUCCCUGCUCACCACCAGCUGAGAAAGAGCGGGAUGCAUUUCAAAGGGGCGCCAGACCAUCGUAAAAAACCUGCACACCGUAAUGGAAAGCGUGUGUUCGAGAUGAUGAAGGAUGUAAAUGUAGUCUUUGCAAAGGGACUUGGUAGCCAACCUGUUCCGAACGACGAUAACGGACAUGCACCCAUGGGGAAGAAAAAGUCAAUAUUUUGGGAGCUACCUUAUUGGGAAAUCCUAGAGGUUCGCAACGCAAUAGACGUGAUGCACCUGACGAAGAAUCUUUGCGUGAACGUGCUAGGCUUCAUGGGUGUUUAUGGAACCUCAAAAGAUACAUUGGAAGCACGACAGGACCUGAAAGCCAUGGGGCAAUGAGAUGACCUACAUCCGGAAAAGAGAGAUAAUGGACAGCACUACUUACGUCCUGCCAGUUACACUCUCAGCAAGGAAGAGAAGGAUAGCAUGUUUGAAUGCUUGAAUAGUAUGAAGGUCCCAUCUGGGUACUCCUCGAAUAUAAAGGGAAUAAUAAAUAUGAAACAAAAGAAGUUUACAAAUCUCAAGGCUCAUGACUGCCACAUGUUGAUGACCCAGUUGCUUCUGGUUGCACUGAGGGGUGUUCUACCAGAAAAUGUCCGGUUGCCGCUCGUAAAGCUAUGCGCGUUUCUCAAUGCGAUUUCGCAGAAGGCAAUCGAUCCAUCCAAGCUAUCAAAGCUAUAGAACGAUAUGGUGCAAUGUCUUGUCAGUUUUGAGUUGUUAUUUCCACCAUCCUUCUUCAAUAUUAUGACGCACUUACUGGUUCACCUAGUAAAAGAGAUUGGUAUUCUCGGACCUGUAUACCUGCACAAUAUGUGGCCUUUCGAGAGGUUCAUGGCAGUCCUAAAAAACUAUGUUCUUAAUCGUGCCCGUCCAGAAGGAAGCAUCGCCAAGGGAUAUGGAACAGAGGAGGUGAUCGAGUUUUGUGUUGAUUUUAUUGAUUCAAUUGACUCGAUUGGGGUUCCAACUUCACGCCACGAGGGGAGGCUCCGAGGAAUGGGCACCCUUGGAAAGAAAUCAAGUUUGAGCAAUGAUACUGAUUUGUUCGACAAGGCACACUACACUGUUCUACAACAGUCAUCCUUUGUGUCUCCGUAUAUCGAGCAGCACAGGCAGAUGGUAGCUUCCAAAAACUCGACCAAAUCCGAUGCUUGGCUUACCCGUCAUCACAUGGAAACUUUUCCCUCCUGGUUGCGCCAACAACUUAUGGGUAACUCUGAGAUUCACCCACAGCUUGUCUGGUUAGCCAGGGGACCUGCUAGCACAAUCGUCAAAUUCCAAGGCUAUGAGAUAAAUGGUUACACAUUUUACACGAGAGCCUAGGACCAGAAAAGCACGAACCAGAAUAGUGGUGUCUGCAUAGAUGCCAUGGACAGAAAUAAUAGCAAGGAGUCGUAUUAUGGUUUCAUACAGGAGAUAUGGGUGUAAGGUUACGAGGUAGGCUACACUAGCGCAAUUCAAAAAUUCUACCGCGUAUAACCAGGAAGAACUGCCAUAUAAGGAUCACAGGAUUACCACUCGACGCACUACUGGUGCGGAAGAUGUAGAUAUGCGUCGAUGCAGUGAAGACGAUCACGUAGUCGUGCGUAGUCGAUCAACGUAGUCGUACGUAGUCGAUCACUUCCAGCAGCUCCUCAGCAGCUCAUCCACGUGCAGCAAGAUCGCCUCCGGUGCCGCGGCUCGUCGUCGGCUCGUCGUGGCUCGUCGGUGGCUCGUCGGUGGCUCGUCGGCGGCUCGUCCAAGUGCUGCAGGCGCAGCGCCUCCAAGGUAUCCACACGUGCAGGGAGGAAGCGUCGCAAGCCAGACUGCUAGAUCCGCGAGUUGCAACAGGCGAGGGCGUGGGAGGCGCGGCAGAUGUGUUUCGCCAAAAGGUGUAAACCCUAGGGCGCCCCCACCCCUCUAUUUAUAGAGGUUCCUGAUGGGCCUCUGGGUCCGAGGCCCAUUAGUACUUCUAAACCUAAUCCAACUCGGAUCAGAUCCAAAUUGGGCUUCCAGCCCCUUAAGUGUGUGACCCUAUGGGUUCGGAUACGUAUAGACAUGGCCCGAGUACUCCUACUCGGCCCAAUAGUCGGUAGCGGCCUCUAGCAAGACGUGCCAACUCCUAUACGCACACGAAGAUCAUAUCAGACGAACCAUCACAACAUAAUAUACAUGCUAUUCCCUUUGCCUCACGAUAUUUGGUCUAGCUUCAAGCCGACCGCUCUUUCUCGAUCCUGUGAUCCGGAAUCCCUUUGUAGGUUAACUCUUAACCAUACGUAGCAUGGCCAUGCAUUUUCGGAUCCGAUCACUCGAGGGGCCCAGAGAUAUCACUCUCAGUUAGAGAGGGGCAAAUCCCAUCUUGAUUGACCAUGUCUCAUAGCAUGCUUCUUGACAAACCCGAAAGCUACCUUUAUAACUACCCUGUUACGGCGUAGUGUUUGAUAGCCCCUAAGUAGGUCGAUCCACAUCUAGAAUACAUGCGACAAUCUCAGGUCUAAGGACAAAGCAUAUAUGUUGUUUAAAGAGAGAACUACUUCUCGUGUUGGGUCAGUCCUAGCACAUGUCUCCACAUGUGUCCACAUUAUUAGUUCAACAUCUCCAUGUCCAUGACUUGUGAAACAUAGUCAUCAACUAAUACAUGUGCUAGUCUAAUAUUCAUGUGUGUCCUCACAUGAACUCCGACUAGGGACAACUUUAGAAUAACCAUAUAAGUAAAGAGUUUCACAUACAAUUCACAUAAUUGCAAAUCAAUUCAAGUAGCAUUUAAUGGAUAUUCAAUGAACACAAUAUACAAAUCAUGGAUACAAAUGGAAUAUCAUCAUCUCUAUGAUUGCCUCUAGGGCAUACCUCCAACAAUGGGAACUCGAAUACGGACCGCUGUACAUCCCUCUAUUUCUUUGCAAUUGGGUGAAGCUAACUGCCGUCACCAAAGAUCAGUACGGAAUGACAAUAGUAGAUCUGAGCAAGACUGGAUACAGUGAUGACCCAUUCGUACUUGCCAAUGAUGUGCAUCAGGUGUUCUAUGUGAAGGACAUGUGCAGCAAACCUAAGAGGAAUCUAGAAGAGACAUGGGAGCCAAAGUGCCACAUAGUUCUUCCAGGUAAAAGAAAAAUCGUGGGAGUCGAGGAUAAAAUAGACCAAUCAGAUGAUUAUGAUCAGUUUGAUGGCAUGCCUCCAUUUGCCGUUGAAGUUGAUCCAAGCAUCCUGCUAUCCAAAGAAGAGGCUCCGUACUUACGCCGCGAUCAUGAUCAAGGAACUUUCGUGAAGAAGAAAUUUUACAACAUUGUAUUGUAAUGCGUUAAAUGUACAUGACCUUUGUGUAUUAAUUGAUACAAUUUGUAAUUUACCCUAUGUACGAUUUCAUGUGUUCUUAAAUUUGUUAGGUGAAGAUUUUAUAGAUAAACAUGAACAAACUGCGCAUUGAAAUUAUUUAAUUGAAUAAUUUCUUGAUCACAGCAAUGCAGUAAAAUAAAUAUUUUAGAGGCUAAAUGAACUGAUAUAGAAUUAAUGAUUAAUUCAUACUUAUUGUCAAUUUACUCAUUAAUUAAAUAUAUUUUUGCAUGUACAAAAUUAGUGAAGGUUUUGUUUUUCAUCCUGAAAUGCAGUGAAAAGAUAAAAUAAAAUCCAUUUCCAAAAAACAGGCGGGAGAAAAAAACUAGGAAAAUAGACCUUUUGUCUCGGGUGCUAACAGCAACCGGGACAAAAGGCCCCCCUUUUAUCCCGGUUGCAAACGGCAAUCGGGAUAAAAGGGUACUUUUCGUCUCCCGCCCCGACGUACCCUUCUAUCCCGGUUGCCAACUGCUACCGGGAUAAAAGGCCCCCCCCUUUUAUCCCGGUUGGUGGUGCCACCCGGGAUAAAAGGGUACGCUCCCAGCCCCACCUGGCGGGGGCACCCUUUUGUCCCGGGUCCCGUCACCAACCGGGAUAAAAUGGGGGGGCCUUUUAUUCCGGUUGGUGACGGGACCCGGGACAAAAGGCCCUUUUGUCCCGGGUGCCAUUACGAACCGGGAUAAAAGGGGGGGGGGUUAAAAGGCACUGUACUCCCUUCUACCCCCACGUCAGUUACACUUAGCCAAAUUUUUGCCAAGUCCCGCGCGUUCUGCUCCGCCGUCGCCGCCCGUCCGCCUCCCUCGCCGGCCGCCGCCGUCGUCGUCCCCUAUUGCGCCGGCUGUCGUCGUCCCGCCGCCGACCGUGCCCAGACAUCGUCGUCCUCCAUCCCCCCGGCCGGCCCACCUCGAUCCUCCUCGUCCGUCGACGCGCCCGGCCCCCACCUCGUCGCCUCCGGGCACCGGCUCCAUCCUCGUCGCCAGCUCCAUCCUCGUCACCCCUCGUCGCCCCUCGUCACCCCUCGUCGCCGUCUCGUCGCCGUCCCGCCUAUGCCGCCGUCGUCGUCGUCGCCUCGGCCGCCGUCCUCGCCGCACCGGCCGCCGCCGUCCCGCCGCCCGGCCGCCGCCGUCCCGCCGACCCGGCCACCUCGUCGCCCCGGCCACCGUCGACGACCGCGCGCGAGAGGUCCGCCGCCGCGCCGGCCGGCAGCGCCGGGAGGGCCUUUUUUUUAAGUUAGAAAAUUAAGUUAUAUUUUUAUGAUAGAUUUUUAAUUUUGAUUGUUAAGUUAGAAAAUUAAGUUAUAUUUUUAAGUUAGAUUUUUUAGUUAGAUUGUUAAGUUAGAUUUUUAAGUUAGAAAAUAAAGUUAGAAAUUCGUAGUAGGCACCGCCGUCCUGCCGCCGUGACCGCCGCCGUCCCGCCGCCCGUCACAACCUAGUAGGCACCGCCUGUGGUUUCGGGGAACCGUCCCCGCCUCCGCCGUACCGCCGCCCUGACCGCCGUCAUCACAACCUAGGCACCGCCCGUGGUUCCAGGGAACCGUCCCCGCCUCCGCCGCCCUGAUCGCCGCCGUCACAACCUAGGCACCGCAUGUGGAUAUUACUAGAAAUUCGUAGAAAUUCGUUGAAAUUCGUAGAAAUUCGUAGAAAUUUGUAUAAAUAUUCCGGACUUUGUAGGAUUCAUGUUAUUUUAUGAUUUCAUUAUAUACAUGUAUGAUUCCGGACUUUGUAGGACUUCGUAGAAAUUUGUAGUAAGACGAUUUAUAUGACUGUCAUGUAUGAUUCCAUGUAUGUUUCCAUCAAUAGUUGAAAUGGCAGACGAUGAGACCGCAAGGUAUAUUAUGGAGCAGAUAAUCGCUAGUGAUGGUAGUGGUGCUAACGUUCCACUAUCAUACACGGAUGAAGAGGGCACCCAGGCGGACAUGUUCCUCAACAUGUCCGCCGAUGGGAAUGAAGAGCAACAGCCGCAGCAACAACUUGCCGUGGCGGAAGGUUCCGGCGAGGUAUAUAUAACCAUUCUUGUAUUGUUUCACGCCACUGUUACUACUACGUACUAAUUAACGAAUCUUGAACUGUUAGCCCUCCGGAUCGACACAAGGGCAGAAGACCCGAGGUCGUACAAAGGUGAUGGAAGGGAGGCUUGUCAUCACGGAAGUGAUAGAAGAGGGCAGGCCGGUUGCUCCCGAGAAAGUAGCAAAGAAGUACGUGAGUCAGAUCGGGGCAAUCGUCUGGGACAACGUGCCUAUCAGCAUCAGAGAAUGGAAGGGCAGAAGCACUAAUCCGUACGCCCUUCCGGAGACAGAAAAGAAUAUGCUGUGGGAAGACGUGAAGAGACAUUUCACAUUCCCCGAAGGAUAUAGUGAGAAGGAUGUCAAAGCGUGGACGCUUAAGAAGAUGGCUACUCAAUUCCAGACAUUCAAGAAGAUGCUAGAUACCCACUACAUCAAGAAGGGCCGAACUCCAGACUUCAACGCGUGGCCAAAGUUGAGGGACCACUGGGAUGCAUUUGUUGAAUAUAAGAGGAGUGAAGACGGUAUGAAAAAGAUCACGACCAACACAGCAAAUGCUAGUCAGAAGGGCUACCACCAUCAUUUGGGGCGAGGUGGGUAUGGCUCAGCAAUUCCCAAGUGGAGGAAGAUGGAACAAGAUCUGAUCGAACGGGGAAUCGUACCUGCAACUAUUGAAUGGCCCGAACGAUCAAAAAAUUGGUACUACACUCAUGGAGGCUCCCUAAGCCAAGAGGAUGGGACGUUGAUUUUUAAUGACACAAUACGUGAGAAGGCCGAACAUCUCAUGAAGAACAUUGAAGAUUCUAAGGCUGGGAGGUUGAAGGUGGACCGAGAAAAUGAUGAGCUCACAUUGGCCCUCGGUAAUCCAGAGCACCCAGGACGUUGCCGAGGGUUCGGGGUGGUUCCGUGGAAGUUUGCUUUCCGAGGCGACAGCGCCUCGUACAGAAGCCGGAAGCGAAGAAAGGAACAGAUCGAGGAGAGCUGGCGGCAGAUGCUAGAACAAAGAAUGAUGGAUGAAAUCAAUCGGCGGGUGGCCCACGCAGUUGUGGAGUUGGCCUAAUCUGGAGCAUUGCCGAUUCCUAACACCGCCAGCCCUUCUCAACGCCUCUUGAGCAGUUGUGCUUCUACAGGGGUCCCCGAUGCGCAGACGCCCAGGUUACCCGUGGAGGAGCAACGGUUCCCCGUGGAUGCCAUCACACAACGGACCUCAUGUGAGCUGCAUGCACCGGUCGGCAACCUCACUAUUAAGGUAUACUUAUACAUAAUAUUUAUGCAAUCUUGUCAAUUGAUCCAGGCCUCGAGAUCGGAGUUCAACUUGUUUACUUCUGCUAUAUGUACAGGUAGCGUACGGGAGUGCGUUAGCAACCCUGGCGGGGCAGAGCAGUCAUGGCAUGGAAAUUCCAACAGGCUACGCCAGCAUCUGCGUAGAGCAAAUUGUUGAUCCCCAGUAUGAAGGUCUAGAGCUCGACUUCCCGGGAGGCGACGGGGAAAAGACAUUGGCAGAUGCGCUUCAUGGGAUCAUUCUAUGGCAAAAACGCUACAUCAUUAUUCCCGGCACGGAGCCAUCUCCUCAGGCCUCAAGACCGCUCCCCGUAGAUCCCCAGCAGCGACCUUCUCCUCAUACCUCGAGACUGUCAUCUCCUGCUCCAGGACCGUCCCUUCCAUCGAUAUCAAGGUCUCCAUCUCCACCACAUCCUGGUGCUGGGAGCGACGACGACAAUAACAACACCCCUCCCUGAUCACCGUCGCCGGCACCAAGAGCGGCCCCCUUGAAGGAACCUGCACCACCACUAAAGAAGUCACGAGCACCGCCUCCCAAGCAAAGACAGAGAAAGAAGAAAACAAAGGAGCCUGAAGUGACUCGUAAGGAACGCUUUGAGGCAAUGUCUCAUGCGGAACAGUGGGCAGAAAUGCAACGAGAGGCCAGUGAGUGGUUCAAGAAACAAGCCGAAGGAAAAAAAGCAAGGGAGAUGGAGCCACCGCCAGUAAGUCGGCGAGAUUUAAACUUUUUUAUCAGGAUGGAAGAAGGAGCCAAGAAAAGAAUACCACUCUUGUCAAACUAUGAACAGGCUCUAGUAAAGGCUGAUGAAAAGGAUAAAAGGAAAGGAAAGUCAUCUUCCAGCGGUCCAGUCCCCGACCUCAGCCAUUUAUCAAAAAAAGAUGCUCAACGGGUAAAAGCAAUGCCCUUGGAUCAACAAGCAAAUGUAUUGAAGUUCAUGGAAGAAACAGGUCUGGGACUUGAUGAAUGCAUAGGGCAAGUUGAGACGCCAACUGCAUCGCCCCCUGAGCCGAGAUGGCCUUAUGAGCUAGGCAAACCUCUAGUAAAGCCUUCAUUGGUACGGAAGCUAUCAACAAAGAUGUACGCAUUCCAUCAAUGGUACAUGAUGGCAUCCGCCGACUCGAGGGAGAUGAUCGGCAUGAAGGUAAAACCGAUAGAUUUUCACGGUGAAGGGGAGAAAGUGCUGUGGCUAGACUUCAAGGAUAUAUACGAAGUGUACCAUCAUGAUGCCCUGGACGUCUCUCUGAUCAGUGCUUGGGUUCUGUAAGUGUCCAUUUAUCUCUACAUGUAAAUUUUGGCAUGCGUCACCAUACUAACUUCAUCUUCCAUUUCAUGUAGGAUGCUAAUUCAGACAUGCCGCCGAGAGGCGUACCUACAUGUAGGCUUCAUGGAUCCAUCUGUAGUUAACCAACAACAGAUACAAUUAGCGCCGGAAAAAACCUUUGCGGAAAUAUACAAUUUCCUAGACAAACAAACAUUCAAGGAUUUCAUACUACUUCCAUACAACUUCAAGUAAGUGUGUGUAUACCGUCUACUUUCGAUGUCUUUUUCCUUAUCUCUACAUGUUAGUUAGCUCUAAUAUGCAUGAACAUUUUACGCACGCAGCUUCCACUGGAUCCUUAUUAUAAUUGAGCCUGAAAGAAGCCAUGUCACUGUCUUCGAUUCGUUAAGGAAAGAUCCGGUGGACUACCAAGAAUUGCAAGACAUGCUAGGCUUGUAAUAAUUCUGGACCUUUAUCUCUAUGCAAAAGUUUAUUUCCUAAAUUUUAUCCCUGUUACACUAUAUCAUUCAUUAUUCUAAUCCGCAGCGCAUGGAAACAAUUCAUAAGGACACACAAAGGUCCAUUCAAAGAAAAACUUACAUGGAACACAAACUUCCCGGUACGUAUGAAGUCUGCACAUUUAUUACAUUGUAUAACACGAAUAUUUCAUAACUUAUUUUUUUCCGCACUGAAGUGCUUAAGAUAGGAACCCGGGAAUAAUCUAUGUGGCUACUACAUCUGUGAGCACAUGCACAGUUUUAUGGGACCCAAGGGACCGAAGAUGACGCCGCACAACUUUAAAGUACGUAAAAUAAAACUAUUACUAGUUAAUUAUUUUCUAGCUCCUUAUAUGUAUUUGUUCGUGUAACAUUCACAAAUUUUCAAAUUAUAGAUGUUAAAUAUUCAACAAGGACUCUUGAAGGAAGAAAGAGUAGCGGCAAUAUGUGAAGGUCUCAUUGGAUUCAAAAUGGACGAGGUGGUAGAUCCAAAAGGAGAAUUUUAUUACGAUGGACGACAAUUAGACACUCCGAUCAGCAACACCACGACGGGAAGAUUGUAGACAGAUACUUUGAUUUAUUUGUAUAUAUAAUACGCGCUAAUUAUGAUCGAUUUGUACUAAGCUAGUUGAAUUGUGUAUAUGAAUUGUGUAUAAGGAUUGUGUAUAUAUAUAUAGUAAUUGUAUAAUUACAAAUCCCAUUCAUUUAAAUACUAGUUGAUUUCGUUCUAAAAAAAUCUCAACUACUAAAGGUUAACAAAUUAAAAGGGCCGCGGUACUACGUAUAUGUGAUGCAUGCAUUAAAAAUUCAGGCGCCACGGCAGUGCCAUGCAGGCGCCAUUUAGUCCCGGUUGGAAUCCCCCCUUUUGUCCCGGUUGGUUUAUCCCGGAUGGAUAUCCGAGAGAUAUGCACCCUACCAACCGGGACUAAAGGCCAAUUCUCUACCAGUGAUAAUUACAAAACUAAUUGCACAGAUGGAGUCUAAUUCGCGAGACGAAUCUAUUAAGCCUAAUUAGUCCAUGAUUUGACAAUGUGGUGCUACAGUAAUUAUUUUCUAAUGAUGGAUUAAUUAGCUUAAUAGAUUCGUCUCGCAAAUUAGCCCAGGGUUCUGCAAUUAGUUUUAUACUUAGCUCAUGUUUAGUCCUUUAAGAGCAACUCCAAGAGUAUCCUAAAAAAUUCUUCCCAAAAACUAUGUAUUGGAGGUUCUCCCAAAAAAAAUUUCCCGCAAAAACAUAUUAGUCCACAGCAGAUCGCUAAUAAAUAGCCCCCAAUAUUUCAAACACAGGCCACGUCAUCAUAUUGGGCCCAUCGGAAGGGACGCGCGGGUGUGCGGGAAUCAGUAUUGGGGGAGGAACGCCAACGCUAAAAUAUACGCGGUGGCAGGCUGUUUUUUAGCGUCGCUAAAAAAUUAGGGAAGGUUUAGGUGGAUUGUUGGAGUUCAUUUUUUCUCUCUUUUUUCCUUAAAAAAGGUAUUGGGGUAAGAUUAGCAGCCUCUUGGAGUUGCUCUAACUAGCAUCCGAACGUCCGAUGUGACACUGCUAAAGUUUAGCAUCUAGUAUCUAAACAUCUUCUUAGAAAUAUCAUCUUAAGAAUACUAGGUGGAUGAUACGUUUUAGUAGAACACGUGGUCAGUACUAUGUUGUUUUUUCUAUCCUAAUAUUUAAUAUAUGUUUAAAUAUUGUAUGAAAUAACACAUACUAAAGUUAAAAAAUGGGUGAAAGUAUACCUAAGUUAUAUUAGAGAUUUUUUUUUCAAAAAUUAGGACUAUAUUUUGCAUUUCGCUCCGGAACCUCAAAGUUCGGAAACGUCCCUUAUGGGCACAUACAACAAGUACAUGUGCCACGUAGUCUAACGAUGGAGGAAAGUGGGAAGACGUGCCAUUGUGCAUGGUUCAGAUGAACAAGUCAACAAAGCGAACGAUAGGGAGCUUUCUAUCAUGGGAUCUAUUUGUUUGUUGAAAAGUUGUUGUUGGCUUUUCUGUUCUGAACAAUUAAUAUGAACUUUUAGAAGAUGCGUUUAGCUUCCUAAGGUGAGAAAGCUGCAAAAAAACUCAUAAAUUGAGCUUUCCAUCUCUCCAUAUAAAUUCAGCUUUUUUGAACUUUCAGCUUUUCAGAAGGUAUAUGAGAAGUUUACUGUUUGUUCAAGCUCCUGACUUUUCACGCUGAAAAGCUGCUAGAAAGCUCAAACAAACAGGCUCAUAGGCUAGCGCCAACGAUGCUUGGGCGAAGAUGUUAGAGUGUGGACACAGAACCUCUUUGCUGCAAGGAGCAGAGUUGGAGUGGGUAUGCUGCAGCUUGCUCAUCGUCGGCGGCUUGGCGCUAUCGAUAUCCUCCAAUGUGAGAUACUUGAAAUCGCUUGCUUUGGCUUAAGGUUGGCACUUUAUGGUUUGAGGUUUUUGUUUGAGCUUCUUAGCAGUUUCUUAUCGUAAAAAGUCACUAGCUUAAACAAAUCGUAAACUUCUCGUGCAGCUUCUGGAGCUUCUGAAAAGCUAGAAGCUAAGAAAAGUUAAGUUUAUAUGAAAAGUUGUGAAGCUCAAUUUACUCAGCUUUUCAUAGCUUUUUAAGUCCAGGAAGCUAAAUACAAAAGUUAGUAUUACCUUUUUAAAAUUAUAAAGCCAGCAGUAUCUUUUCUGAAAGUUCAAAAAGCUGCAGCUAAGGCAGGAGGCUUGAAGGUUGGAUCGACUUCUGACUUCUCCAUGCCGAGCCAGCUCGUUAACUUUACAAGCUGGCCGAGCCGAACCGGCUCGACUUCCAGCCGAGUCGGCUACUCGUCGCCUUCCCAAAUCCCAACCCGAUCCGAAAUCCGUCGCCGCAAACGCAACUCCGCACUCCCAACCGCGGGUGGAGCCUAGAUCCUUUGCCGCUCGUGCUCCGUGGCCUCCCUGCACUCCCAACCGCCGCCGGUGCUCUGCCGUCGCCAUAUCUGAGAGAGACGGCCGGACGAGGCCCUCCUCCGCGACAUCUCGACCUCGAGAGGUCGAUUCGGUGGCGGCCGCUGGUCCGCGGCUUCCAGCCAGGGCGGCGGUUUCCAGGGAAGGCUCAUAUUUUUUUUAACUUACCCGGUUCGAUUGCUCUAGUGCCUAAAUCGAACCUUUCCUUGUUUAUUAUCCCCUCGAUUCGUUUUGCAUCCACAUUGGAGCUGCCGUUCUGGCACCGGACUCGGUAACCGAGCACCACAAAGAUUCACCCAGCUCCACAUAUCCCUGCUACCGUGGCGUACCGAUUCUCACGGCAGAAACCUGACCCGUGAUUGCUGCACGAGCGGCAGAGGGGGCGAGGGGCCAUAGGGUGCGGAGACUUGGCUUGAUUGUUGGGGCGACGGACAUGGGGAUACUGGAGCAGAUGAAGGCUCUGUCCGUCGAGGGGCAGCCUCAAGUCCAGAUAACUCGUAAGCAUCCUGGUGUCUGUUUGCUCGCGUUACUUAUCUGCAUGAUUAGUGAGUGCUGUCAUAUGAGAUAUCAAUUAUUAUUUACAAUUUUUCUACAUCUGUUUCUGGGAUAGAAGUAGCCACAGGACUGGUCGAAUUAAGUAAAUUCAUGUGGCCUGGCUAAGUUUCGAACAAAGAUCCCUCUACGCUGAUGAUUUUGUGCAGAGACAUAUGUUUGAGGUGAUUGUGGGCAUAAAGAUUUAAUUUUUAGGUAACAUUGCGUAUAAAGGAUGUUCUUAACCCAACUCAUGGAACCUAGGUUCUGUCUGCUCAACUGUUCUCGAGCAGAAGUUUAAGCAUCAUCUAAGCCAAGUGCUGCGCAUGUGCAAUUGUGUUCGUGUUUUCUGUUUUCCUUGCCAUUGUCCCUUCUGUCUCAUGACAUUCCUGAUUUGCAGGUGGUGGAUCAAAUUGUUCGGCAUCUCAAAUAAUGGUAUCACCUAGUCUAGAAGGAGAUAUUUCGCAUUGCGUCGAAACAAUGGGAUCACAGGUCCAGCUUCCAGAGGUAUGAGAUGAUAUCAUGUAAGUUAUUAGGAUGAAUCAGUUUUUCUCAGAGCACUAUAUAGCAAGUGAUAGAACUAACCACCCCCACUGUCAUUACUGCUAGCUUGGUGGUGGAAUUUUGGAUUAUAAGAACUUGGUAGUGCAUCUGACAUUCACACUAUGAGGUCCAGGGUUGUACAAUGGUCCAUGGUUGAUGUUUUUGAAUUGUCGUUACCUUGCCUUAUCAUCUUAUGAUGGUUGUUGCUUGUGAAUUUUUUUUAUGUUAUACCUGCUGAAAAUGAGGAUACCCCCAGGAUAGCACAAUUCAAUACUGUAUUUUUUAAACCAGAACACAUUUAGCUAAUUCGAUCGUAAUUUGUCCAUACUGCUCACUUCAGACAAGCAUUAUUACCACAACCAUCUUGUGAUGUUCGUUAUUUUUCUCAUGCUUUUUUUUUGAAAAAUUUCCCAUGGUUAUUUUCACAGGACAUUCUUCAUCAAAUACACGCCCUCAUGCCAUUGCGAGAUGCUGCUCAGGCCGCCUGCGUGUCUCGUGGUUUUCUGCGUUCUUGGAGAUGCUUUCCAAAUCUCAUUAUUUCUGUUGAUUCUCUAGGGAUUAAUGAAAACACAUCUAAUGAUGAAAUAAAAAGGGAUUUCGUAUGUAGAGUUGACCACAUUAUGCAGAAUCACUCUAGCAUGGGAGUGAAGAGGUUUGUAAUGGGAACCUACCCUUGUUCGAAUCUCCAACCUAGUUAUGUUGACCGCUGGCUUCAAUGUGCCAUUACACCUGGGAUCAAAGAAAUCUAUCUAGCAAUGUUAAGUUGUGGGAUAAAGUACAACUUCCCAGGAUUACUUUUAUUUAGUAGGGAGAUAAGAAGCUCCAUCCAGACUUUUGUGCUUGGGGAUUGUUCUUUUCGCUGUGCAGCCCAAGUUGGUUAUAUGAGUAGCCUAACAAAUUUGCAAUUGCAUUCAGUACACAUUACUGGAGAGGAACUAUAUGGUUUUCUAUCCAAUUCUUGUGCUGUGGAGGAACUAAGGCUUAGCAACUGCAAUGAUAUAAUUUGCUUGAAGAUACCUUGUCUGCUGCAGAAGCUUGAUAUCCUGGAUGUGCUGGGUUGCAGUAAGCUGGAAAUGAUUGACAGCAAUGCCCCUAACCUCUCCACUUUCUUCUUUGCUGGGCGCCCAAUACAUAUCUCGCUUGGUGAAGCAUUGCAAGUGAGAAAAAUAAGUUUUAGGCGUGACUAUUCACCUGAUGCGCUAUAUUAUGCUAGUACCAAAUUUUCAUUCAUCGCGCCAAAUCUCCAAACUCUUGUGCUAUCAACAAGUAAUGAGGUCAGUUUUAUCCGUCCCAAUAAGUUCAUUGUUCUGGAAAUGAAACUGAUGGUAGAAUAGUAGUUCUAUGUUUACAAUACUCAAUUACUCAGUCCACAAUUAAUCUUCGGGGGAUAUUUAUUUCUUCAGACAGUCAAUACACCAAAGGUGUUUGGCAAAUUCAUCCAGCUCAAGUACUUGGAGAUAGUGGUCUCUACAUCAACGUUUUCCCAAGACUAUGAUCUCUGUUCUCUUAUUUCUUUUCUUGAUGCUUCUCCUGCCUUGGAGUCUCUCAUUGUACGGGUAUGACAUCACUUUGACAAGUUACCAUCUUAAAAACUUCAUAUUUAGGGUGAAAAUCAGUAUAUUCAGUAUAAUUGAAACUUUGUGAUUAUUAUUGAAUAUACACUCUGACAUAUCAUGUAUACCUAUGCAGAUUGCGCAGCCGACAAUAAGGCGAGAUUCAGUUAUUGAAGACUCAAGUGGCUACUCACGUCCACAGUGCCUUCAAGAACAGUGCCAUGACAACCUCAAGAAUGUGAUGAUAACCGGCUUUUGCUCUGCGAAGAGCAUGAUUGAGCUCACGAUCUGUAUUAUCGAGAAAACAAAGGCACUGGCGUGCCUUACACUAGACACUACCCGUGGGUACGAUAGGAGGCAUGUCAAGGUUGAUAAGUGCCUGCAGCUGAAUGAGGAGGCACUUGUGGAGGCUAAAAAGGCCCGCGUUGCCAUUCAGAGAUACAUCGAGGGGAGAGUGCCCCCAGCUGUGAACCUGAAAGUUAUUGAGCCAUGUAGCAAGUGUAUAUGGUGACAAAUGUUAGGUGUUUUUAUGUGUUUUUCCUUUUCCCAAGCUAUGAUUCACAUAGCUUUGCUACUCUCCCUCGUUUAGCUAGUGCUAAUCUCCGUAAUUCUGCCAGAAAGCAUGGUUGUCAAAUCUUUUUUUUUUAUUUAGCAUGUUGGAGAAGUUUUCCAAAUAACCAAAUUCAGGGGGAAAAUCUGCAAUAUUUCAAUAUUUUGUGGGUCCGAUAAAUUUAUUUACCGAAACUCCAUGUAAAUAAUUCUAUCUCAUGUGUUAAAGUUGUGGUAUAUCGUCUUUUUUUUUAACUUGUGCAAUAAUUACGAUGUGUGAUGGAUUAGGGAUAGUUUCUAGUGAAAUCCUGGCAUGCCAAAAAAAAUUAGCAGUGAUUGUAGUUGCCAUUUUUAUCAUGGCCUGGAAGUUUACUACUCGGAUGGGGUGGUUGUCUAUUAAAAAAUACAUUACCGUCAUGUUUCGGUGUUUCACCCGACUCUCUCCACCGAAAUCGCUAAUAGAGUACCGGACACCUCCGUCGCCGCCCACCUCCUCCGUCAUCCUCUUCCUCUCUUGGGUUCCCAUUUCGGCUUUGUUCAGUUAAUCCCCUUCCCAGGGGAUCGGAGGGGAUUGAGGGGGAUUUUGACUUGCAAGGGAUUUAAUCCCUCCCAAUUCCUUUCAACCCUCUCCAAUCCCCUUCAAACCGAAAGGCCUUCUUAUUUAUUCAAUUACGUGCCACUGGACAAAACUGAUUCGCAAGUGAUAGGUCGGCUUGUUCCGUCACUAGAAUAGAUGUUUCACCUCAUCAAGUGUAUUGAAGGGACCAUGACACCCUAAGAGCUCGUUUGGCAACUUAGGCUAGAACUACCCUGGGCAGCACAACCCCCUUCGAUAAAUUAACGGAGUUGGGCAUCCCUGCCCAGACAGGUAGACCCCCCCCCCCCCCCUCCUCCGUUUGGAGCCAAACUCCAGGGGAAGGGCCUCCCACCCAAAUCUUGUGUAAAGAAAAUAGUCCACAAUUCACAAAUACUAAAAAAAUUCAAAAAAUCAGAAAAAUAGCAAUAAUAAAUAAGGUCCAACAAGCAAUAUCAAUCACCAAGUAUUAAGGCACUGCAAGUUAAAUAAAUUCAGCAUAGCACAUCCAAGUCGCAGGCACUGCUGAUUAAGGCACCAGAUAAUUAUUGAUCCAUCAAUUGUUCUUCUAAAAAUUUAGGUAUAUAGUUAAAAUGUUGCAUAUAACAUAUGGAUCAGAUAAUUCAAAGAUACAUAUAGCUCGUAAUGUAUGAAUGCCAACUGAACAAGAAUGGGGUCUACAUAAUGAGCAAAACCUUUGUACAUGAUAUAAAAAUCAAAUGAUCAAAUAUAUACAUAUGCACAUAGAUAUUCACAUGAAUACUCUUUUUGCUAUUAUUACUGGAAAGCAUGACCAUUACAUGCCACUAUCUUAGAAGUUACAGUAUAGUGGAUGGUGUGAUACUAGUAUUGACAAGGUUAAAAUUACUAUCAAGAUAUGUUGCAGAUAUCUGGAAAGAUAUGUUACAGACAAGAGAUGUGACAAGAUAUGUAUUGCACAGACAACUAGACAUGGCAUGUAUCCUACUGAAAUGAUAAUUGAAAAAAGAAUGCUUGCAUGAACCAUAAUUAGGAAUAGCUCGUCAUCCUCUUCUUCCUCCUCUAGCAUGAAUCUUCUAACUUCAUCCUCCCAAGAUUCCAUUAUCUCCUUACUCCUAUAAUAUGCAGAUUCAAGGACAAUAAAAAUUGGACAUGCACCGGAGGUUACUUAAUACUGAGACAUAAAUGUACAUGCACCAAAAAAAUUUAUUUUAUUCCCAAGCACACCAGCAAGAGCAGGCAGCAAUAGAUGCAGCAGACAAGACAGUAGAGUCUAGUGGGUGAGGAAACAGCAAUGCCACCUUCCUGAUGACCAGCAAAUGCUGAAGCAACUGAGAUCCUCCCGUCCUUGGACUCCACAACUACAAUAGAGGGGAAGAUCAUAUAUUGAUUGUAAAUGCAAGAUUGAGAUGUCAACUAGAAUACAUGAAUUGAUAUAGCAUCAGGUUCGUCAAACAAAAAAAAAUUCAAGCACCACUGACAACGACCAAUGCGAGCACUGACUAAAACAAAUGUGCAUAUAGCCAUUCUUGUUCUCAAUGCCUGUGUGCAUUAGCUAUGCAGCUAUGCGCAACAGCUAUGUGGCACCGUUUUGAAUGCAGCACACUAAUUAUUCAGAAUUAGUCACAGUUUUGAAUGGCUGUGUGCAACAGCUAUGCAGCUAUGGACAGUACAAGCGCAUACUUGCAUACUAGCAUCCUCAUACCAGUAGUAUAGGAUACUAUAAAAUCCCUCAAAAAUAAACUUGUUAAAAGUUGUAAUUUUGAAGCUUUGUAUUCUCUCCGUGGAUCACUUGUACUGAAAAGCUUAGUCAGCUAUGACAUUAUUAGUCGGAGAGAUUUAGCAAGCACUUGUCUGAACUUGUUGUGCUAGAUGAUGUGUGAGACAUAUAUUCAGUGCAUCUCGAUAUAUAAGAUUUUAUACUAUGUUCAAAUGUUCAGACUACACACAAUGUUCAGACUACACACACCAAACAUAUAGAUGCAUAUAUGACAUAAUUUGGCCAAGCUACCUGUACCUGUCUGCUUGCUCGUGUUUAGGAGGAAACCAGGACAAGUAAACAACACUAGUUCUGAACAGUGCUGAGUGCACAUUGUAAUGGGGACAACACUAGUUGAAGAAACAAGAAAUCUACAGUUCCCUGGGAGCUGGACCUACAGAAGCAUGAUUCAAAUUUUUUGAGCGAGAGAAUUGGUAAUCUUGGCACAAAAUUGAUCCCAGGACUGCAGGAAAGCAAUAAUCACAUUUGGCAACUGGAUCUCUGCCUAGCCUCUCGGAUGCUCCUCGACGCUCUUCACUAGGUAGAUCCUUUGGCAAAACGCCUAGGGCCUCUCCUCCCUAUCACAACUACCGGCGGCCACUCCACAAAUGCGGUAUAAGGGUCUCGCAAGACUUACAAGCCCUAGAUUUACAACUCUUGGUGCGCGCAAGCACCGAUACAAAGGAGGUGUGCAAACCUCACCUAACUCUAAGCUAAUCCCUAAAGCAAUGCGCUAAUAAGCCUAAACUAGCACUAAUCAAGACUUAAGCCUUAUGCUAAUUGCCUUAAUCUUCUCUUUAGCACUUGUCUGUAUGUGGAAUACAAGCCUUCAGCUUCCCUGAGCUCUAACCCAUCUCAAAUGGUCGGGUAAUGGGGUAUUUAUAGCCCCAACCAAAGAAACUAGCCAUUGCAAGCAGUUGCAACUUUUCUGCGUAGCACCGACUGAUUCGGUGAUGCACAAGAUGUGUCACCGUAUGAAUCCAUAAGUGCCACCUCAGCUAGCCGUUGGGCUCUUACGCACACUGAUGCCUGGGCCCAGGUCACCGACUGAUUUGGUGCCUUUCCUUGACCCUCACCGUAUGAAUCGGUGGGUUCUUCUUAGCCGCUGCCUUCCUCCGUCACCGACUCAAUCGCUGCCCUUCUCCUUGAUCGACCGUAUGAAUUGGUAUGGCUCUAAAAUCACUCCAAGGUAGAAAAAGCCAAUUUUGAGCCGAUCCUGAGCCUAGCCGAUCGCACUGACUGAUCGGUGCUGAUUUGCUGUGCCCACCGAAUGAGUUGGUGGUCACAUUGCACGCUGCCUUGGUCUUGUAGUUGAUCUUUGUCACCGACUGAUUCGGUGCCUUGGCCUUUUACGCACCACAUCAUCCGUUGACCAUAGUCUUAGCCCUGCUAUGGUUCUUCUUGUCACCGACUGAUUGGUGACCACACUUGGUCACCAUCGUAUGAAUCGGUGGUUGGUCUUUCAGCAGGAUUCGCUUCAUGUCUUUGCGUGACUUUGUCCCGACUUAUCUUCUAUGAUGUAUUGGGUUGCUUUAAGGUCUUGUAGGGUGUUGUACUUGUCCUCUUGACAUUUGUUCCAUGUGUUAUAUUCCCAAGUCCAUCACUUUGCAUCCAUGUGAAUAAUCCUUGUAUACUUGCAAACGUUGUUAGUCCAUGGGUUAGUGUUGACACACAAUCACCAAAAUCAUUAAUGGCCUAACUAGGUCCAUUUUCCUUACAUGUAUGAUGGUUCUCAUUGUGCCCAAAAAAAGGGAUCUCAAGUCCAGCUUCUAGAGGAAUUGUUGGUAUUGUUUAUGUGUAUGUAACUGCAAGUGAAAAAACAUCAUAUUGUUGGGUUUAUUUUGGAUUGCACGAAUUUGUAGAGCCAUCUGAUAUUCAAUCAGCACUUUUAGGUCUAGAUUUGCAGUGCAAUUUGUGAGAUAUGUAUGUGCUAUGUGCGUGUAUGGGCCUGGUGUGCAUCACGCCACGGCCCAGGUCGGCUCCCUGUCGUGCCUAGAUAGAUCAGGAUAGGCAGGUUAUCCCUUGAUUGGUUAUGAUUCUAUAAACCUCUCCCAAAAGCUGCCUAUAUAUUUGUAUACCUUGUAUACCCUAAUCAAUCUAUUAUUCCAUGCAAUCUCCAUUGCUUUCUGUUGAUGUCCAAAAGUGGCAGCAAGCUGAUCAGGAUGAGACUAGCCGGUCAGACCGGUUCCUCCAGGCGGUCUGACCGGUCCGGGUCUCUAUAGCCAAUCUGGCACGCGCCUGCCGGUCUGACCGGUGGUCUCGACCGGUCAGACCGGUCACCCCGAAUCCGAGAAGAACCUAGGAGUCCUGGUUGAAUUGGAGUUGAAACGGAACUUCCUUGCGGGAAAAGACCUCCCACCCUAUAAAUAUAAAGGACCUGGCUAAUUGAGUGCUAUCACCCAAUCGACAAACAAAUAUUUUACACUUUUAUCUCCAAACCCUAGCUUUUCCAACCCCUUUGCUUUCCUCCUGCGUCCUGGCGGCAUUUGAGGAUGUUCUGACUGGCCUGACUAAUCUCAGAGCAACCCUAGGCUCGCCAUCUCCGACAGGAUCCCUCCCGAGGUGGUGAACGUAUGCUUUCUUGGUGCCCCUACGAGGACUGGUCUACUAGACCCCCUGACCGGUCUGACCGGCCAGGUGCAGAAGACCCGACGAGGUGAUCUUUCAAUUCACGUGCGAACCAGCGCAUUCGUGUGUUGGCCGGAAAAAGGCGUCAACACAUUUUGGCAACUCAGCUGGGGAAGAAAGAUCUGGUUUUACAACCGUUCUGAAAAACCCUAGCAAGAUGGGAUUUACUAUAGAAAUCGACAUGGACAACAUCAUCACAGCUUCUGUGGAGGAUCUCAGCGAGGAGGAGCAGCGGAACAUCGCGUCACUACAGGAGUAUGUGAAGAACUACUAUCUGUUGGGCCCCAAGAAAGAUCACAAGGGCAAUUUGACGAGGGUACAAGACUUCGAGAUGCCCGCGAUCAAGAUGAAGGACCACAUGUCGAGGAAGUAUGCAACGUAAGUGAUUUUCCACCCGAUCAGUCCAUCUUGAAUGAAGAGUUCCGUAAGAGCCUCGAUCACCAAAAUAAGACUACUGCUUCUUCAAUGGCACAAGUAAGUCAACUUGUAGAGGGUAAAUCUGUUGAAUCUAAUAAAGAUGAUUUUUCUCAAGUUGAUUCACGUGGGGUUGCGCAUGUGAGUCCAUCGGCAAACCUAGGGGCUACUCCUGAAAACCCUAAGUACGGCAUGCCAUUGAACUUCUAUGCAGGACAGACGCCGCCCCGGGUCCAACCGCCAAAGCUGAACAUGGCUGAAGCGGUCAGACUGGUCCAGGCAAGCGGUCUGACCGGUCAGGCUUCCUAGGCCGACCAGUUAGCAAUUGUCCCUGAAUCGCUCGUGCCACUCACUGUUGUGCCUAGUUCGGUUGCUCCAAACCAUACUGGUGAGCUUGGGAUGAACACACCAUCAAUCAGCACAAUAGCGUACACGUCACCCCCGAUCCCUAACACCACUGUAGCAUCUAGGAGUAUUUCAAAUGAUGUGUUUUCUGAUUUGCACCGCAUUCAGAAUGGCAAUCCACCCCACGCGAGUGCUAUGAAUACAUCAGCCUCAGUGCUACCAGAGUCACAUCCCCUUCACGAGAUUAGAAAAUUUAGAGAAGAGAUGUUGGCUAUGAUUCAAAAUAAAUUUGGCAUAGAUACAGGUAGUUCAAAGUUGUAUCAAAAACCAUAUCAUGCUGAUUUUGACUAUGUCCUCUAUCCUGUCAGUUGGCGCAUGCCCGAUUUUAUUACAUUCAGUGGCGAAAUAACCGAACUACUUGGGAGCACAUUAGUCAGUAUUUGGCUCAACUAGGCGAAGCAGGUUAUUAUAAUACUUUGCGGGUUCGCUUAUUUUCUUUAUCAUUAACUGGAACCCCCUAGGCGGGUUGCCGGUCUAAAACACCGACAGCUGGCGCGCCAGGUAGGGGAACUCGUUGAGUUUCUCAGCCUGAAUUCAAUGGCAAAGGUCAUCAUCAGGCCCAUUUUCUUCAUCGAAGUGGGCGCCACCUUCAUUUUCGGAUCCUGGCUUUGCGUCGCCGAUGGCUCGGGUUCGUUCCGGUGCCAGAUCGUUGAUCCUCAGGAGAAGAAACUAGAAGAUCUGAUCGAAAAAAACCAAGAUUUCAAAAUUGACGAGUUCGAGUUCGACUACACAUCGGAUGCGACUUCGCUUCAGACUAAUCGAUCCUAGCUAGUGCCCGAGUCGGUUUCGAUUUCAAAGUGGUUCCCGCACGGAAUCCGCAACGCAACCAAGAUUCACCAAGGCUUUCUUACUCAAACCCGACUUGAACUCGGGCAUGAUGAAGACAUCGACUCCGACUCGUCUUAUUCACUAGAGAUACCAUUAUCUGGUCCAGCCCAAGGAUUGGUAAUAACUUCAACAUCACAAGGCAGAUUCGUCCACUGGCCGGGAUUGCGACCAUCUUUUCUUGACCGCGACUACGACUCGCGCCUUGUCGCCCAUAUAGACAAUCUCCCAUAUCAAGAGGGCGUUCCACUCACUUCCAACCACGAGGAAAGUUCCACAGAGAUUGCAACGUCAAGCUCCGGAAGCUACUACCCGGAUAGGGAGAUACUUGUUAUUACUCAGAAUAACAACCCGGGUACUAGCUAGAACAGAACCCCCAGGUGAUUAUCCGGAGAUGAGUCUACAGCUGACGCCCCUCACAAUGAAACCUCUGAGCAAAGAAACCAAAGGAGGAUGCGCAACGCUACUCGAGCCGAGCGACGGUAGUCGAUGGCUACAAAUAUUCCCAUUACAAAUCUUGAAAGGGCCUUCGACGUAGUUUAGGCUCAGGAGCACAAUACUCCACUCACGGCUAUCGCCUCAAUCAGCCUUUUAACAACGCUGAUGCCUCAGGACAGGGAUAACGAAGCCACAGCUCAACUCGUAUAGCGUGGCAACGGACUAAUCGCACAACUCGUGGAGCAAGCCUACAAGUUACUCGACAAGGAAUCUCCAAUUCCGUCUGUUCCUCGCAUCACAUCUCACCAAGAAGGCAGCCGGGGAGCUGCAGACAACAACAAUGCCCCAAAAAAUAGCAACGAAGUUAACCAACCUCGGCAGCACAGCCAAGGUCCAAGCAAGCACAAGGCCCCAGCUCGCCAUAAGGAUGUUGGCAAGGUCAGCUGCACCAACUCGGUUAAAAGUAUCCGCCCUACUCGGAAGAACCACGAAGUGUCUAGCUUUAGUGAUCUGCAAGAAAUUCUCAACAGUCGGCGUGAACGAGAAGUCGACAACUAAAACCACUUUCCUGCUUUCACAAACCGAGUAAUGAAAAGAAAAUUACCCGAGAAGUUCAAGCCAACCGGAAUCACCAAGUAUGACGACAAACAAGACCCAAUUCAAUGGCUACAAUGCUACUCGCUAGCCGUCCAAGCAGCUGGGGGCAAUAACGACACCAAAGUUAUCCACUUCCCCAUAUGCAUGGAACCCACACCACUGACCUGGCUUGAGUCGCUCAAACCCAAGUCCAUUGACUCCUGGGCAGAUUUGACAAAGGCUUUCACCAACAACUUUGCCGGCUCCAUGGCUAGACCAGGCAAUAAGAUUGACUUAAGUCAAAUCAAGCAAAAGGAAAGCGAGACCUUACACGACUAUUUGCGAUGCUUUUUCGAAAAGAAGGCUACCAUAGUUGACAUCUCAGAAACAGACAUCAUCGAGUGCUUCCAGAAUGGACUCUACGAUCGACGAACAUACCAAGACUUCGGUCGCCGACGACCAGCUAAUGUCAAAGACCUCAAAGUCAUGGUGCAGCAGUGGGCAGAUGAAGAAGAUAAAGAGCGAGAACGGUUCAGCUCCCACCGAAACCGUGGAUGCGACAACAACAAUGACCAAGAUAGAACUCAAAAAAAUGAUACUCGAAACAACUAUUCGAGUAAUCACAACCACAAAAGGAAGCCCGACAACACUGUUGCUGCCAUGACCAACUCCGGGAGAAAGGGACCCCGUAAAAACGACGAAGGGACAACCUUCAUUGAACUACUCAAAAAGCAGUGCCCAUGGCACCCGACUAGCAAGCACUUGACAAUAGACUGCUACAGCAUGCGCCGAGUAAUGCAAGACUUACCCGCACCACCACCUCCUGAGGAGUACACCAAGAAAAAGGAUAAGGGCAAGAACAAAGCCCACAACGAUGAAGACGAAGAAGGCAACUUCCAGACCGCCUCAAAAACUGUCAACGUCAUCUUCGGCGGUAUCCCAGGCACUGCAUCCAAGCGAGCCAACAAACUCGUACUCAGGGAGAUCAUGGCCAUCGAACCAACGGAUCCAACACCAUUAAAAUGGUCAGAAGUGCCUAUUUCUUUCAGCAGAAAAGACCAAUGGACCAAGUUCUCAGAACUAGGCUGUUUCCCCCUAGUACUUGAUCCAGUUGUGGCAGGCUCAAAGUUAACCAAAGUACUCAUCGACGGCGGAAGCGGACUCAACGUUAUUUUCACCAAGACAUUGAGGAAGAUGUGCCUCGACGUUACUGAAAUGCUUACUCCAACAGAUUCACCUUUCUACGGUAUCGUGCCUGGAAAUGCGGUUGUACCACUAGGACAAGUUGUCCUUCCGGUUACCGUACCGAGUACAUCAGAUUUGAAGUCGCUGACUUCAAGACAUCAUACCAUGCCAUACUCGGAAGGCUAGCACUCGCCAAGUUCAUGGCCAUACCACAUUAUGUUUACCUGGUACUCAAAAUGCCAGGCCCCAAGGGAGAACUCACGCUGCGAGGAGAUCUACGGCGAUCCUACAAAUGCGACACCGAAGUCGUAGAAAUUGCUGCGACUACUCAAGCACCUAGUCCCAUGCAACAAUUCUUCACAGCUUCAAAGAAGCUCCAUCCAACCGAAUUAGAGAUCCUAGAAAACAAGUCGGGGUCCACAAAGCUGAAACCUGCUAGUGAGCAAGACUUCAAAUCAGUUGACCUCCAGACGGGCGACCCUUCCAAGACAGCCCUGAUCGAAACAGGGCUAUAUCCUAAAUAGGAAUCCACGCUCGUCAGCUUCCUUCGGGCUAACCACGAUAUCUUCACUUGGAAACCGACUGACAUGCCAGAUGUGCCCAAGGAGAUGAUUGAGCAUACACUCAACGUCGAUCCCAAAGCUACUCCGAAACGGCAACGACUUCGCCGCUUCGCUCAGGACAGACGAGAAGCAAUCAGAAAAGAGUUAGCCAAGUUACUUGCGGCAGGGUUCAUCAAAGAAGUCUGUCAUCCUGACUGGCUCGCCAAUCCCGUGCUCAUUCGUAAGAAAAACAACGAGUGAAGAAUGUGCGUCGACUAUACCGACCUCAACAAACACUGCCCAAAAGACCCUUUUGGGCUACCCAGGAUUGAUCAGGUGGUCGACUCCACCGCUGGGUGCGCUUUACUAUGCUUUCUCGACUGCUACUCUGGCUAUCACUAGAUAAGCCUCAAAGAAGAAGAUCAAGCCAAAACAACGUUCAUCACGCCUUUCGGAGCUUUCUGCUACAAAACAAUGUCCUUCGGACUAAAAAAUGCAGGGGCAACCUAUCAAAUGGGCAUACACAUGUGCUUCGAAAAGCAACUUCACCGUAAUGUUGAAGCUUAUGUCGACGACGUAGUCGUCAAAACAAGAAACUGGGAGGAACUCAUUACGGACCUAGAGGAAACUUUCUCUAGUCUACGCGCUUUCCAAUGGAAACUCAAUCCUACUAAGUGCGUCUUUGGAGUACCUUCCGGCAAAUUACUCAGGUUCAUCAUUAGCCAUCGCGGCAUUGAGACCAACCCGGAAAAAAUAUCUGCCAUCACAAACAUGCAGGCACCAGCUAGCAUUAAGGAUGUGCAAAAACUCACAGGCUGCAUGGCCGCUCUCAACCGGUUCAUCUCGACACUUGGAGAACGGGGACUACCCUUCUUCAAGCUUCUCAAACGCCAGGACAAGUUCAAAUGGACGGAAGAGGCAGACGAGGCACUAACACAACUCAAAGACUUUCUGUCAAAGCCUCCGAACGAAGACUUACUCCUAUACAUCUCAGCUACUACUCAUGUCGUCAGCACGGCAAUAGUAGUCGAACGGUCUAAACCGGGCCACGCUUAUAAGGUCCAACGACCUAUCUACUUCAUUAGUGAAGUACUCUCGGACUCCAAAACUCGGUAUUCACCGAUACAAAAACUCUUAUACGCAAUUUUGCUCACCUCCCGAAAACUGCGCCAUUACUUCCAAGAGCACAACAUCACAACCAUCUCCGACUUCCCGCUCGGCGAAAUUCUCCACAACAGAGAUGCCACGGGUAGAAUCUCCAAAUGGGCAGUUGAACUCGGAUCUCUCACCUUGGACUUCAAGCCAAGGACAGCUAUCAAAUCCCAAGCUUUGGUCGACUUCGUAGCUGAAUGGACUAAAAAUCAAGUGCCAACACCAGUCGAACAGCCAGAACACUGGGUAAUGUACUUUGACGGAUCCCUCAAACUCAAAGGGGCCGGCGCAGGCGUAUUACUCAUCUCCCCAGGGGAGACCAGCUCAAGUACAUGCUGCAAAUAUUCUGGGAAGCAUCUAAUAAAGAACCCGAGUACGAAGCACUACUCCACGGCCUUCGCCUUGCAAUCUCCCUCGGCAUCAAACGACUACUGGUGUAUGGCGAUUCUCUAGUUGUUAUAAACCAGGUCAAUAACGAGUGGGACCGGAACAAGGACAACAUGGACGCUUACUGCAAAGAAGUCCAUCAACUGGAAAACAAGUUCUCAGGCUUGGAAUUUCAUCACAUCGUCCGCGACAACAACGUUGCCGCUGACGUCUUAUCUAAAAUGGGCUCAACUCGUGCAGAGGUUCCAGCAGGAAUUUUUGUACACGAAUUGCGCAAGCCGUCCAUAUCUGACCAAGUCACACCGCCAGCAGUCCCGACUGCUGACAUCUCUUGAGAAGUCAUGAUGAUAGAAGUUGACUGGAGGACACCCUUCAUCGACUACAUCAAAGAUCACCAGUUACCAUCCAACAAAAAUAAGGCUGAGCAAAUCUCCCGGCGAGUAAAAAAUUACAUACUAGUCGGAGACAAGCUCUACAGGAAAGGUGCAUCAUCUGGGGUACUCAUGAAGCGCGUUACCAGAGAAGACGGUCAUGAAAUCUUAGAAGAAAUUCACAAAGGAAUCUGUGGCAACCACACCUCUUCGCGAACAAUAGUUGGCAAGGCUUUCAAAGCAGGCUUCUACUGGCCAAUGGCUCUGGCCGACGCUAAACAACUAGGUCAGAAAUGCAAAGGUUGUCAAUUCUUCACAAAACAGCAACAUGUACCGGCCUACAAGCUAGUCACAAUACCUCUAACAUGGUUGUUUGCCUACUGGGGGCUCGACAUGAUAGGGCCGUUACCAACUGCGCCAGGAGGAUUCAACCGAGUACUCGUGGCAAUCGACAAAUUCACCAAGUGGAUCGAGGUCAAACAAGUCACUUGCCCCAAGGCAGACCGAGUCCUCAACUUCUUAGAUGAAAUCGUACACCGCUACGGUUUUCCCAACAAGAUUAUCACAAACCUAGGGUCAAACUUCAACAAUCACGACUUUUGGGAAUAUUGCAAGAAUAGCGGCAUCGACGUCCGCUAUGUCUCAGUCGCUCACCCACGAGCCAAUGGACAAGUCGAGCGUGCUAAUGGCAUGAUACUCGACGCCCUGAAGAAAAGACUACAUGACGUUGGCAACACUAAAGGCGGCAAAUGGCUCAAAGAGUUACCCAACGCUUUCUGGGGCUUACGUACCCAACAAUGCAAGACUACUGGGCUAUCACCCUAUUUCCUUGUAUAUGGCUCAGAAGCCAUACUACCUACCGACAUCAUGUGGCAAUCACCCUCAGUUGAACAAUACGAUGAAGCACUGGCAACAGAAACAAGGCGAACAGAUAUAGACAGUCUAGAAGAAACAAGAUGCGCAGCUCUAGUGCAAUCUACCAGAUACCUUGACGGUUUAAGGCGUUACCACGACCGCAACAUCAAGGAAAGAUCUUUCAACUUGGGCGAUAUGGUCCUUAAGCGUAUCCAAGACACAUCAGGGUUACAUAAACUCAAUUCACCAUGGGAAGAUCCUUACAUCAUGUCAAAGGUUACGGGACCUGGAUCUUACAGACUCCAUGAGUUUUCAGGAGAAUAAGUACCAAACUCUUGGAAUAUAGAACAUCUUUGUCGCUAUUACCCAUAGCAGCAUCCGAGUAAUCGCUUCAAGGCAAUAACUCCUGAUGACUACUCAGGCUAACUGCCCGUCUACCGACUUCAAGAUACCUCAGCUUUGACAAGAGUUAUCAACUCAACAAGGAUCACUGCCCUGGUACAGAAUUUCCAUAAAGUAUUUCUUUACUGAACCGAAGAUACAUCAGGUUACAUACGAGUACAAGUACUCGAAAUACACGAAGACUACAAGCAACUGCCUACUGGCAAGCUGCAUUUAAGCCUCAGGCUUUUACUAUAUCACAAGGCCACUCAGGUUUGCCGACUAUAGUAGGAAGGGCCUACACGCAAGGAAGCUGCGCAAAACGCAGCCAUAUCCAGGUCCUCUACCCAAGGCAACGCCAGGAACUCCUGCAUCGCCACUACCUUGACAGCGGCAACGAUGAAUCCAGCGCGACGCGCCUAGAGAGAACCAAGGCUGCUCUUUUGCUAGCCUUGCGGAGCCAAUCCACUCUACGGCCACACCUCCACCUCUAAGAGAGUGGAAUAAAGACCGCGGCACUCAUCACCCCUCACCCGCGAGUUCCAGUGCGUACCCCACUGGAUCACGAGCUGCAAGAUGAGGCGUGUGAUGAAACCUCCUACAAGGAUUCUUCUAGCAUCGCGGCUAUCCCUACGAGCGCAGGAGUCUGUGGAGGGAAGGUGGCCUCAAUCUACGAGGAAUCUUCUAGCACCGGUGCACUCUUUGAUGGCUCUCUACACUCAAAACAAAAGCAACCAAAGGCAAUCCAUUGCUACUCAGAAACUUGGUUUGGUUCGCUCUCCAGAUGGCUCUAUUUAUAGCCGAAAGACGCAACUACCACCUGCCCAAGAGUUACUAUGCGCCAGUGAUCAAUGAGUCUGACGACUCCUUACUCUUUCCACGUGAUGGUACUUAUGCCACAAAGGAAAAAAGAGUACAGUAUACCCGCGCAUCCACAAAGGACAAAAGAGUACAGUACACCUGCGUACCCUCAAAAGCAGAGUACUCGACAGCAUCAUGACUACUCGACACUUGGAACUACUCCAAGCCAAGCGCGGCCUUUGCCCACACCAUUAUCUUGGGGGCUCGGAAUAUUCCGACCCUCUGCUCAGGGGUCGGGUACACCCAACUCUAAGACUUAGGGUCGGGCGAGGUGAAGCUUCCCCCCUUAAAGGGGUCGAGUGCACCCGACCCCAGGACUUAGGGUCGGGCGAGGCAGAGUUCCCCCCCCCCCCCAAAGGAUCGGGCUCAGCCGACCCGGGGACUUUGGGUCGGACAAGAUAGAGUAAACCUACUCUUCGCAAGAUAAUCCCUUCAACCAACAAGACCAAUGGGCAAGUAUUCAUUUAUCAAAAGUAUUGUUCAAAGUACUCGACACAGAUUCACGAGUACAUAAAACGCUCAAGGCUCUUCUGGAGAGACGAACUUCGACAUCUUCGAUGUGAUAGGCUCCGCCUCCUUGAGGUAUUGCGCAUAUGCUUCUUCUGUGCAGUUGCGAGCCACACAGUCACCAACCGCCGCCAAGUCUGCCGUCGGGUACUAGGACUUCACGACUGCAAGGACCUAUUUGCAAACAGCUUUGUAGAGUCCUGCCACUUUACUCGGGGCAGCCUUCAAUCACUCGACUAGUGAUUGUGGCCCUGCGCCUUCUUCCACGGGGGCUAUGGCGUUCACCAAGUCUUCAGCUGCUACAGUUAGCUCCUGGAGUUCGCCUUGAAGUCUUCCCAUGGUCUGGGCAUGAUCUCUGCAUGCCACCAUGGCCAUGGCAAGCAUCACGCCAUUCUGCAUCUUCCUGUCCCGCUGAUGCUCGCAAGCAGCCUGUGCUUCCGUCAGCGCGGCCCGAAGACGUUCAGCUUCAUCCGCCACUCGGUCGUGCGCGUUUCUCCAGUUGAGAACUUGGCUCCUUGCAGCCGCCUCUUGCUUCUUGAGCUCUACAAGACAAAAACAAGUUCAACCACAGCCGACUACAAUCGGACAUACUCGGAGUAUGCAGAGUACUUGCCUUGAUACUUCUUGUUCAGCGACUUGUUGCGGCUCUCCAGUUUUUGCUACAGGACCGCGUGAUCCGUACGUUCCAAAGCAAAAGACUUUGCUCCAACCUCGUGAACCCUUAGAGCUUCUGUCAGUCGGGCACAUUCCUGCUCCAAUUGAUGACUUCGUUCUUGAAAGGGCCCGAGUAAACAAGGCAAUACGGUCAGUUAAAAGCCUCACAGUUACUUGAUCUAUGUGACAAUUCAAAAGAAAUUUACCUGGAAGCUCCGGAAAACAUCGACGGCCCUCUGGAACUCCAAGUCAGAUGGCAGGCUGAGCACUAGUCUUUGAGUACUCUUCGCAAGAUGAGGAGUUGUACCCAAAGUGGCACCUGCAACAUUUAUCAUGUCAACUGCUUGCUACGACUACAAUAACAAGACUAACAGAGACAUACCUGGAGCAGUCGCCUCUAUGACUUUUUCAACACCUACUACGGCCAGCGAUCCGCUAGUGGAUGUUGAUAAGGCAGCACUUCCUGAACCCAAUGCAGCGGCGGGAACCUCCACCGAACGGAUGAUGUCUUGAAGCAUCGACAUAGUAGCCCCAAGACGACCGGCAUCAACUUCGGGUACCUCCUCAACAAUUAAAUCCUCCAAAGGAGCAGAUAAUGUAGUCGGGGGAUCCGACUCUACCCCUCUCCACAGGGAUAGUCUCAUCCGCAUCCCUACAUCAAAAAAUGUCAUUAUACGACUUCAAGACAACUUAAAGAUAUACACCGGCUAAACAAGCUCACCAAGUCGAGCCUGGCAAAAAUCGCACACGUUUCUUCUCGACAACAGGUGGUCGAGUAGUUGGCGCCGCAGGAACAGCCGCCGGCGUUGUCUUCUCGCCAAGACCUGUAAAGCAAAAGUCAAGACUACAAUUCAACUCAGACAAAAGAAACUAGCCGGGGCAGAACACUUACCACUGGCGAUCACAUUGGACAGUAAAGAAACGGUAGCGAGUACUGGCAACACCUCCUUCGCAACAUCUGCUGCUCCAGCGGGCAACCCCAGGACUGCCUCGUCAAUAACGGGCAGCAUGGCAGCCGACGGAGCCCGUGCGGAUAGCUCGGAGGCUACUCCAACUUCUGUUGAUGGCACCUUCUCUGGCACCAUGUCAACAGAUAUAUUACCGACAUCCGAGUCGGUCAUGACUACUUCUUCAAAAGCAGCCUCAUCAUUACCAAGGGUCGUUUCAACAGCCUUUAUGAACAAGAUAAUUUAGUCACAACAAUAGCAAGUUCAAAUUCAUCAGCUACAGAUAAGUUCACGACUACAUACCUUGGUACCCCGAGACUUCUCAGGGGUUGAAGCAGACUUAGCCGCAGAUAUCUUGCGGACUACUCUGCGCUUCUUGGCAGGAGGAGAGGGUUCGUCCUCUGAAUCCUCGGCAACAGUUUCUGAUUCUUCUUCUGACUGUGGCAAGUAGCCGGCAAGAACUCGAGACUGCAAAAAACAAGUCGAUAUUAACAACAAAUAUCACACAAGUGAAAAAGUACAAAUCAGGUGCAAAGACAUACCACUUCUGGCUCAUACCAAGCGUCAUACUGACGAAGAGCCGCAGGGAUUACUAGUACUCCCUGAUAGUUCCUGAAGAACUUGGCCAGCAGUGCCUCUACAUCAUCAUCGGAUAUAUCUUCAUUGGACAUACGCGAUGGAUCCUUAAGACCUGUGUACUCACUUCCUGAGUGAGCACGAUGUUGAAGCGGCUGGACCCUUCUCUUCAGAAAGCUGGCCGCCACAUUGAUUCCAGUUAGACUGAGUGCCUUCAACUCGGUAAUCUGUUGCAUCAGAUGAUCGAGCUCAGGGGUGUCUUCGGGUUUGCUCACCCAGUUUUCUGCAUGCUUGGGCGCAUGACCAGUCACCACAGGCAAGCGAGGAUUGUGGUUCCCAAUGUAGAACCACCUUUUCUUCCACUCCCCAUGGGAGUCAGUCAAGUUCUACUCAAUGUAUGCGCCCGAGUUCCUGAGUUGGAACCCAGCGCCUCCAAAGACUUCUGUUCUAUGGACACUUGACUGUGGCUUACAGCAGAAUAGUUUCCUAAACAACUCAAGACUUGGAGGAACUCCCAAAUACACUUCACAGAGUUGUACAAAUAUCGACAUAUGCAGUACACCAUUGGGGUUCAAAUGCACAAGUUGAAGGUUAUAAUAGUCGAGAAUAACUCUGAAGAAGUCGGAGGUGGGCACUGCCAACCCCCUCUCCACAAAGUGCGCAAGCAUCACGGUCUCGCCUGGAUGUUCCUCAAAUUGCCACGCAUUUAGAAAUGUGGGGCGCCACUCAAGAAUCUCUUUCGGCUGCAGAAGCUUCGCAUCGACUAGUGCUUGCAUGGCUUCCUCCUUCAUCACCGAAUGUUGCCACGUUGCUCCAGGCAGUGGUGGCGCGGUCUGGUUCGUCAGCCCCACCUUCGGCGCCGGACAUACCAGCUCUUUCACCUUCUUGGAUUUCACCUUGCCCGUCGCCAGAGCCUUGCCCUAGUUCUUCUCGGGUUUCUUGCCCAUCUUCUUGGUGCGCAUUCGAUGGACUCAACCUCAAUCUAGAACGGCACUCUCCCUCAAAUCUCUCUCAAGGGGCAGCAAUGGCGGCGGCGGCACUGGCGGCGGCUAAAAUGUGGAGCAGGAGGAUAGGGGAGGCAGAAGAACAUAUCUAAUUACCGUGCGGCGUAAAACCAAUUGAAAGGGGGCCUUCCAGUUUUAUCUCUGCCAGCUCCGGUUUCCACGCGUGAGUUACGCAACGGACGGAUUCUAAUAGAUUAAUUGCAGAUUAAUCGCCUUAACACUCAACGGCUACUCUUUUGAACAGACUGCUGACCACUUCAAUAACAGAGAUCGCCUAAGUGCUCGGGGGCUGCGGGUACCGUACCCGUUGGUCGGUUUUUUCUUUUUCAAAGAUUUCCAAGGGUAAAACAGACAAAAGACUGGUUUGACCCUAAGCUUGACUCUUCGACUCAACCUAAGGCUCGGAGGCUACUCCAUAUGGAGUGCGAUUGACAUCGCACUACCAUAUAAAAUCUCGGAACAGAAGCAACUCGAAGGAAUAAAAAGAGUACCUUCCAGCCACGCAACAGUACUCGAGCACUUCGGUCUGCAAACUCUACGACUAGCUACUCGAAUAGUGCUCACAGUGCCCAAGACUGUGGCGCACGACUACAAAGUACUUGGGGGCUUGUCGGGCAUACACCCCAGGCCCACGAGUAGAUCUUGGACGGCCCACUAAGGGGCGUACUCGAACACGAUCAGAACAAGGGAUAGGCGUAUCCCAUUCGGACUAGUCAAGUGUGUAUAUGGAAAACUACUCGGGCCUUACCAAGUAUAACUCUGUAAUAGUACUCGACUAGGACUCAAGACAUGUAACCCUGCCCUCCUGUGUAUAUAAGGGUGGGCAGGGACCCCCCCUCAACAACAACUCCAGUUCAUCAAUACAAACCAACACACAGGAUGUAGGGUAUUACGCGAUCUAGCGGCCCGAACCUGUCUAAAUCGUGUUCCCUGCGUCCCCAUUGAUUCCUUGAUUCUCGACGAUCCUUAUCGCACAAAAGACCUCCUAGGGUACCCCGUAGGCGGGUUGCUGGUCUAAAACACCGACAUGGCCUUCUAAAGCUAAAUCAUAUUCUUGUGCCUCUCUUAAGCUACGCACAAGAGUCGGCAAGAAGAAGUGAAAUUUACUUUCGAUGUUUCCAAUUGUGAUCAUAUUUUUGAUGAAUUGCUUAAACUUGGACAUCUGAAAAUAUCUCAUACUAUGCCUCCACUUGAAGAGCUCAAAAUUACUGUAAAAGCUUCUGGACAUCGGGGGCAAGCGGCGUCCUCAGUAUCUGGUCAAAAACCGCUCGAGUUCGCUGGCCAGAGCGAACCGGUCGGACCGGUGCAGGGGACCGGUCAGACCGGUCAGCCCCAGGACCACCCCCGGAUGCUGAAACCAAAGCGUCCAGAAAUUGGGACUUGGAAGCUCAAUGUGGCAAAAGAUCAGGGGAGCAGCCCCAGGGAAAAGGUCACCUUUGACAUGCUUCUGGACAAAUAUUUCAAGCAAAAGGCCGUUACAAGUGAUCGACCGGUAAAAAAGAGAAUGAGGUCACCUAUUCAUCAAGGGAGACAAAGUUCACUACCGAGCGCAGUUACAAGAUAGAGGAGUGACCAAGUGCAACCAAGGCAGUACCCCUCCACAUCUUGGGCUCCUCCGGUGUCAAAUCCUCAAUGCUCGGUGUGGGAUCACAACGGGGUAAUGUGGGUGCCUUACUAGUUUGUGCAGCAGCCGUCUUUCCAUCCUGGAUGGGAAGAAUUGAGGAAGUCAGCUUUGGAUAGGAUCUCACGCCCCAUGCAAGGCCGUUGGGCACUCCGCUCAUCCGGUCAGGGUUCACAGACCCGACGAGUCAGAUCGGUCCAUACCAACCGGUCAGACCGGCCUGUCCAGGCACCUAGGAUGCCUCCUCCAAAGCAAGUGUAUCAUACCAAGUGGAAGGAGGAGGACAAUCAGAAGAUGGAAAUAGACUCAGGUAAAAGCGUAGAGAAAGCUGUUAUUUAGAUUGUUUCUAUGGACGUUCCUGUUGAGACUCAUGUGAGAGGACCGAUUGCAACAAGCAAUCUAGUCAAGUCGUCUGUUCAGAGGGUUCCUACUGCUAAUGAUCAUGAGGCUAGUAGCAGUGGGUCGAGCUCCAAGUAUUUCUUGCCAAGGUGGUGUCCUCCCGGGUUGACUCGCACAUAGAGGAGGAAGUUGCAGAGGCUGAGGCUACAAGAGAAGAGGGAACAGGAGCUAGAGAAACAAAGGGAGGACACGUUUAACGCCUAUAGACCCAUGGUCCCUCAAAAGGAGGAGUGGAGAGUCAAGGCCGAUGCCUCAGCUCCAUCAGUCAGACCGGUCGAGGAACCGGUCAGACCGGUCAAGGCGUCUGUGCCAGCACCUGAAUUGGUCAGAUUGGUCAAGGAUCUAGUUAGACUAGUCGAGCUAGAGUUGCCGCUUAGUUUCGCUCCUUCUAUCCCUAGGCUUGUGACAAUAAGUUGGCAUCAGUCCGUGAAUCAAAGGAUGAUGAACAGCUUGUUGAUUACAAUACUUUGCCUGAGAGCAUGAACUUGGAUAUAAAUGUGAUUCAUAUGUCGAUGAAUGGUUAUGUGAUCUCGGAGGAUGAUUUGGCUCACCUUGAAUUUGGGCCUAAGGAGGCUAUGUUCCAGAAGCCUAAGGCUACUGAAAGUCACCUGAAAGCACUAUACAUGAAAGGACAUAUCAAUAGGAAGCCAAUCUCUUGGAUGCUGGUUGAUGGAGGGGCUAUUGUUAACUUCAUGCCCUAUUCUUUGUUCAAGAGAUUGGGACAUUCAGAUGAGGAGUUGAUCAAGACCAACAUGACUGUCAGCGGUGUGGGAGGAGGCGAGCCUAUGAGAGCUAAAGGUGUUGUCUCUAUGGAGCUCACCAUUGGGAGCAAGCUGUUGGCUACCUCUUUCUUCUUCGCCGAGACCCAAGGUAACUUCAGUUAAAUAUUGGGGCAUGAUUGGAUACAUGCGAAUCUAUGUGUCCCUUCUACUUUGCAUUAAUUCUUAAUCCAAUGGGUCGGAGAUGAAGUGGAGAUCGUGCAUGGUGAUACGUCGGCUUUUGUUUCUGUAGCCGAUAGUUCUACCAUAAGCGCGUAUGAUAAUGUUAAGUACUUAUCAGGUGUAGAUCUUUCUGAUUGUGAGUUUAUUAGUUGCACAAAGGAUGGCUUUGUCGCUGCUAUAUUAAAGCCGGUUGAGGAUUGGCUAUCUUAUCGCAUAUGAUGUAAUGGAUGUAAAUCUAGAAUGGUUGCAGCAGAGGCUAGAACACUAUCGGGUGCAGAAGAAUGAUAUGUGUGAGGCCAUUAAGAACCUUAAUGAUAUGAGUAAAUUAGGACAAGGGUUUAUGUCAGUCGAUCCUUUAGAGGAAGUGGAUAUUGGUGAUGUUAUUGUACCAAAGCCGACAUUUUUAAACAAAAAUCUUGAGCCUGCUUUUAAGGCCGAUUUAAUAAAGUAGUUAAAAGAGUAUGUCGCUGUUUUGCAUGGAAUUAUACUGAAAUAUCUGGUUUAAGCCGCGAGAUAGUUGAGCAUCGGUUGUCCAUUAAGCCUGGUUUUAGGCCUCACAAACAACCUGCUAGUCACUUUAAUCCUGUUAUUUAUGACCGAGUGAAAGAAGAAAUCAUUUGGUUGCUUGAUGCUAAGUUUAUUAGGCCUUAUCGAUAUGCUGAUUGGGUUUCUAAUAUUGUGCCUAUUGAAAAGAAAGGUAUAGAUAAGCUCAGAGUAUGCAUUGAUUUUAGGGAUCUUAAUAGAGCUUCACCAAAAGAUGAAUAUCCUAUGCCUAUAGACGAUGUGCUUAGUAAUGCUGCAUCUAGACAUACAAUGAUUAACUUUCUUGAUGGCAAUGCUGGAUACAAUCAAAUCUUUAUGGCCGAAGAGGACAUAUCCAAAACGGCCUUUGUGUGUCCAGGAUUUGUUGGUUUGUUUGAGUGGAUAGUUAUGACUUUUGGUUUGAAGAAUGCUGGUGCUACUUAUCAAAGAGCUGUGAAUUUGAUUUUUCAUGAUUUUCUUGGGGUAGUGCUGGAAGUGUACAUCGAUGACAUUGUGGUAAAAUCGGUCGGGCUAGGAUACCAUUUGGCUGAUUUGAGGCUUGCAUUUAAGAAAAUGUGUCGAUAUGGUUUAAAGAUGAAUCCACUCAAAUGUGCUUUUGGUGUAUCGGCUGGGAAGUUCUUGGACUUUGUAGUGCAUGAAAAAGGUGUUGAGAUUGAUCCUAAAAAAAUUGAAUCUAUUAGACAACUACAAGCUCCAACUUGCAAAAGAGAGUUGCAGAAAUUCUUGGGCAAAGUGAAUUACUUGAGAAGUUGAGAAGGUUUAUUUGUAACUUGUCCGGGAAGGUGAAUGCUUUUACUCCUUUACUUCGGUUGAAAAAUGAGGAUGAUUUCACUUGGGGGGGGGGCAAGACAGCAAGAAGCAUUUGAGGAAAUCAAGAAUUAUGAAUCUUCACCACUCAUUCUUCAGGCACCAAAGCAUGGUGUUCCCUUUAAAUUAUAUGUGGCAGCCAAAGAAGGUGUUAUUGGGGCUGCUUUGACUCAAGAGACUGAAGGGAAAGAGCAUAUUGUUACCUAUGUGAGUAUAAGCCUAUUGGAUGCCGAAACAAGGUACACUUUUAUUGAGAAGUUGUGCUUAUCAUUAUAUCAUGCUUGUACCAAGUUGAGGUAUUAUUUGUUAUCAAAUACUUGCAUAGUGGCUUGUCAAACCGACAUAAUUAAAUACAUGUUGCAAAAAUCUAUUUUGAGUGGUAGAAUUGGCAAAUGGGCUUAUGCUCUCAUUGAAUAUGAUCUAGUCUGUGAACAGUUGAAAUCAAUGAAGGGUCAAAUUGUAGCCGAUUUUAUUGUUGAGCAUAGAAUUGAUGAGCAACUUGAUUUAAAUGUCGGUUAUAUCACUAUUACCCCUUGGAAAUUGCACUUUGAUGGAUCGGUUUGCAAAAAUGGCUGUGGUGUUGGUGUGGUGCUUAUUUCACCAAACAGAGUCGUGUUUGAGUUUCUUAACCAAUUGGAUCACAAGUGUACUAAUAAUCAAACUAAAUAUGAGGCUUUGCUAUUUGGUUUGGAGAUUUUGCAAGAGAUGGGGGUAAAACAUGUUGAAGCUUAUGGAGAUUCCUUACUGGUGGUAUAGCAAGUAUCCAAGGUAUGCCAAUGUUUGGAUGGAUUCCUAAAUUCUUAUCUUGAUAAAUGUCUAGACAUCAUAUCUUGCAUGGAUGAAUUUACUAUUUAUCAUGUACCACGGGAAGAGAAUCCGAGGGCUAAUGCUCUAGCACAACAAGUGUCUGGCUAUAGUAUUCAGAAAUGAAAUUUUCACAAAAGAAAGCUAACGCUUUACGAGGCCGAGGGUUAUGUCCUGGAGGGACCGGUCCAACCGGCCUCCAAAACCGGUCUGACUAGUCCAGCCGGUCUGACCGCCCAAACAGCCAGUCUGACCGAUCUGGCUGGUGAGAUUCCCGCUUCGGCCAUGGAUUGUUCCAAAUUGGCUAAGGACGAAGUGGAUGACUGGAGAACACCUCUGAUUGAUUAUUUACAGAACCCUAAGUGUUCAGUUGACAGAAAAGUCCGACGGUGGGCACUCAAGUUCACUUUUAUGGAUGGUGAGCUGUAUCGUCGGACGAUUGAUGGGUUGCUUUUAAAAUGCUUGGGUUCUGAUCAGGCCAAAAUAGCCAUGGCAGAGGUGCAUGAAGGAGUUUGUGGUACGCAUCAAUCAACUUGUGUGAUGAAGUGGCUAGUUUGUGGUAUGCAUGAAGGCAAUGUGGAGCAAUCAGUUGCCGAGGGAGGCAAUGAUGUGCAACAAGGUGAGGUAUAGCAAGUAUUAUAUGUAAACAUUAUUUGAAUUCUCUUCUUAUCAAAAGAAACAUCAUCACACAACAUUCCAAUCACGCAACAUUUCAAUUGUCAUUUUUUAGCCAUCUGGAUCGAGCAGAAGGCCUCAAAAGAAAUGAGGCAAGAACAAGAAGUUAGAGGGUCGUAUCAUCAUCAUAAAAAUUGCUGAAGAUGGUGAACCGAUUGCUCCUGCCAAUGCUAAAACAAAGAUGGUGAAUCAGCUUCGGUUCCUUGUCAGAGAUAACAUCCCAAUCAGCUUUCAGAAUUGGAAAAAACCUGACAACGUCCCGGUCGGCACAAACCCGCUCCUUUACGUACCUGACCGAGAGAAGGCUAUGAUAUGGGAACAGCUAAAAGAUAACUUCACGUUUGAAAAUGUAGUCGAAGACAAAUUGAAAUAAUGGGGCUUGAAGAAGGCUACAAUUGCAUUUUAGACGUACAAGAAAAUCUUGAACAAAGAUUACAUAAAGAAGGGGCUUGCAUCUGAUUUCAAUAAACACCCAAAGAUAAGGGAUCAUUGGGAUUCUUUUGUACAGUUCAAGGAGACGAGCAAGAGCUAGUCGUUAACUCAGACCAACAUCGGCAAUGCCUAGAAGAAGCAAUACUUCCAUCAUCUUAGGACAGGAGGUUACAAGUCGGGGGCCGUGAAAUGGCAAAGGAUGGAAGAUGACCUAAUUGCUAGGGGAAUAGUACCAUAUACUCUCGAAUGGCCUGAGCAAGAAAAGAAUUGGUUUUAUGCUUAGGGCGGGAGGCUCAAUCCCGAAGAUGGAUCAAUUGUGUUCGGCAAUGAAAUAAGAGAAGCGGCUAAGAGACUUGAUGACUUAGUCAAGAAAAUGACCGAUGGAUCCUUCAUGCCUGAUCGAGAGAGGGACAAGCUGACAAUGGCACUUGGAAAUCCUGAACACCCUGAACGAUGCCGAGGCAAAGGACUCAUUCCGUGGAAGUUUGCCUUUCGUGAGCACAUUGAAUCAUAUAGAAGUUGCCAAACAAGCAAGGCUGACCAAGCACGACAGCUCCGAGAGCUGCAAGAACAAGUAGCAGCAUCAGAGGCAAGAAUGGCGGAAAUAAUAGACCAGCAUGUGGCCCUAGCUCUGAGUAAAAAUUCCAGUGAACAACCAGCUGCUUCAGCAUUAGGGCCACAUGUCGACGUAAGCCCGACUCAGCGUCGAAGCAGUGUCGCUUCCAGGAAGCCGUAGCUGGAGGAUCCACUAAGAUCAUUGAGGAACGCCACCCCAUGGAUGACAUCACAAGGAGAGCCCUUUGUGAGCUUGUUACUCCCGUGAGAAACAAGCUCAUAGUGGUGGCUUAUGGUGUGGUUGAGCAACCAACGCAAGGCCAAACACUAUAUAGCGUGGAGAUUCAAGCUCGCUAUGCCAAGGUUGGGGUGGACUGAGUGGCCGACGGUUGGGAGGACCUGGAACUGGAGAUCCCUGAAGGUGACGGGGAAAAGAAUUUAGGAGAAGCUAUCCAUGGUUGGAUUCAGUGGUCCAAGCGCUACAUAAGGAUUACAGUGCCAAAUCCCCCAACCUUGGGAUCAUCUCCUCAAGGCUCAAGGGCAAGAUCACCUACGCAAUCUGCCAGGGCACCCUCUCUACUACCAGACAGGUCUCCUAGCAUGAGACCAGUAGCAGAAAGGGAUCCAAGCAUGAGUCCACCUCCUCCUCCUACGAAGAAGCGUUCAGUUCCUCCUCCACCUCCUAAGAAGAAGCAGAAGAAGUAGAAGGAGAAGCAACCAGCUGAGAAAUUACCUUAUCAUAUGACAGAUGAGGAGGUCAAGGUUGUAGCGACGGCUGAGUACAAAACAUGGAAAGAGGCUUGUAAAGAAGCAUGGAGGAAGAAACAAUCGGAGCCACCACUAGAUAAAUGUAAGCUUCGGGCUUUCAUUAGAAGAAUGGAGGCGGAGCAAAAGGAAAGAGCUAGAGAAACCUCUGCUAACUGAUUACGAAAUGCAGAUAACAAAGCAGGCAGCUCAGAAGAGGAAGAAAAGUGGGAAAUCUAUUGCUCAACUCGGAGAGCAAUCCAACCAAUUGGUUGCCCCCGCUUGUGGUGCUUUUUGAGUUUGAGAAGAACCUGAUUGAAUUCAGUAAAGAUACAAAUCUGACAGCAGCACAACUUUGAGGGGAGGAUGACAAAGAGCUCCCUGUGCCUGUCAAAUGGAAAUAUGAGUAUGGUAAAGAGCUCGUGUGGCCAUGGUUGGUGAAACAUCUCCCAACGUAGAUGUACAAGCUGCAUCAAUGGUACAUGGAGGCUACAACAAAUGGUUUUGUCGUGAUAGAAGUUCAGGUUGGUGACCAACAUUACUUAUGUGGUGAUGACAUCAUAAUGGUGGAAAUGGAGGAACUAUAUAUGCUAUACAAUCAAGAUGUACUAAACAAGUCACUAAUCAGUUGCUGGAUCCUGUAAGUCUUUAGUAUAUUCCUCAAACUUCAAAAUCCCCGCUCUAAUCAAUUUGCGAUGUCUUAACUCCUAUUCGAUUUUGUAUCAUACAGGAUGAAGAUGCAAACUUGUCACAGGAUGGGAUACCAGGAUGUAGGCUUCAUGGACCCCGAAAUUAUUUUCCAGGCAAAUCUAAGGGAUAAACCAAAUCGAACCUUGAAGAAUAUAUUUAAGUUCCUCGAUAAGCAUUAGGAUAAGAAGUAAAUAUUACUACCGUGGAACUUCGAGUGAGCAUUUUUCUCAUCUCUAUCUUUUCCGAACUUGCAGUUAAACAUAAUACUAACUAGCUUCAAUUUGGAUGCACAGCUACCAUUGGAUACUCCUUGUUAUUAUGCCUGCUUGGAGCUUCGUGUAUGUCUUCGACUCUUUGAGGAAACCAAAAGAAAAAUACGCUGACAUCAUGAACGGUCUGAACAAAUGCUGGGCUCGAUUCCGUCAAACUCACAAGGAUGAUUUCAAGGAGCAACUUGUUUAGAAGACAGAUUUCUCGGCAUGUGUUUAAUUUUCACAUCUUGUGACAGAUUUUGAAACAGUGCUAGUAAGUUCGGUAUAUUAAGAUGGCAUGGUUUUCUGCGCACAAGUACCUGAUAACCUUCAGUACUGCAUUGUUCCACUAAAAUCUGCAUCUCGUGUUCUACUAAAAUCUGAAUCUAGUGUUCUACUAAAAUCGUAUUGAGUCUCAGUCACUUUUUUUGAAAAAAAUCUAAAACCAAAUCGUCUAAGGCCGUAGCAUAGCUAGCCAAUAAGAACAAUUUACAAAACGUAUCAAAGGAAAUUUUGGACUUGCUGAAGUUGCAGUUUCUUUGAUGCUACGUUACCAACUAACAAGGCAAGUAGAAAAUCCACCUAGGGAAAUCAUGAUUCCACAUAGGACAUCACCAGUGACAAGCUAAGGCCGUUAUGAUUAACAUCCAAUAGAAAGAGACAGCAACUGACCUACGCAAGCAAGUAUGCAAAAAUCGCUUUGCAUGCCAAAGAUUCUCUCCAAUAUUCAUCCGUGAUCAGUCUAACCUUUUCUGAUAGGAGAGAAAAGAAGACAAGUUUUUUUUCUUUCGAAAAUGAGCAGAUUAAUUUAUUUAACAGAACAUGAAUUUGAACUAACUAAACUGAUCCUAUACCUGUAAAGUGGAACUUUCUUGCCUCCCCUAAUAAUGAAAUGCUGAAAUUUGUGUAAUUUAGAAUGAGCCCACAUCUAGUUCUAAAUGGAUAUACCACCAUGAAAUGCUUGCUUAAUCUCUUACCUGAGUAAAAAUUGCCUUUGCUUUUGAAACACCCAUGCGAAUACCAAUCUCCUGUGGUGCAAAACUAUCUGCUAUUGAUACGACAACAAAGCCACCAAGGACGAUUGCCAAAUAUAUGAUGACCGCAUUGCAUGUCAUAGGCAUGUCUAUUGCCAUCCGAUCCCCUUUCUGGAACAUGGUAUCUAGUGCAUUUGCAACAGCUCUGAAAAUCGACAUAGCAACAAAGCCGUGAUGAAGAAUAAUUCACAGAUGCAAAUAUUGUAUGCUUCUAACUCUUAGUUCAGGAGUAAAAACAUAGAUCACUUCGACUACGAAGCUCCUUCAGUGACAUACGGUUCACUGGAUGAUCAUCAAGACCUUCAUCCCUCCAAACAAUAGCAGUACUGUCAUCUGUCCUCUUCAAGGAAGGGCAAGGUAGCAGACAGCAUUCGGCAAUGUUGAGCACCACUCCUUGAAGCCAAGUUCCCCCUUUCUUUGAUCUAUCUGACGUACAUAGAAUUGCCUUUGGUUCUUGUUGAAACUUGAGUGCGAGCUGCUUUAGCACCAUUGACCAGUAGACCUGAAAGGGGAAUCACCUAGGAGGCUAGGAUCAUACUGUUGGAUCCAAAAUAAAGAACGGAGAACUUCUGAAGUGUCUUUUUUUUGUCUGUUGACUCAUACAUGGAGUAUUUUAUUGUAUUAAUUUAGAGCAACUGACCUCUUGAUUUUCUACUGAAAACCUGUAAAAGUGCCAUGAUGAUUUUAACAGCUUCGGUCUAUUUGCUUCCAUCAAUCUCCCCAGGUUCUUUGCUUACUGUCAAAUCCUGCACCAACCGAAACGCUUGUGCUACUAAUUAAUGCCGUACAGCAUACUCGGUAGAGGUACAACCAAGAGCAUCUACAGCCUAGCUCUGUUAAUCAUUCUCUAAAGCCUGUCAAUCUCACUGAAUUGGUUAGGCACGCAGCACUAAGAAAUGAUGCUAUCAGCUGCUUGAUACACGCUUGAAAUUUGCAGUGCAUGUUACGGUUACAUCACACAACAGUCAAGGCCGUUCAACCAAAUCAACAAUAGCAUCAAGAUUCACUUAGCCGGCUACCUGGGCUGCUGUAGGAGCUGCUGUAUCCCUGUCCGUGGUGGCUUCGGAUGGCCUUGAGGGGCCAAGCGCUGCCGCACGGGAGUCUGCGCUGCUUCAGGCCUCAAGCGCUAGCCUCCCUCCCUUGCCGAGUCGGCAUCGCCGCCGCCAGCUCCGGCAAGCCGCCGUGCAUCCCCGCCGUCACCCCUCUUUGACCGCCACUCCGCGCCACCGCGGCCUCCCCGCUCCCGAUGCACCCGCUCCCCCACGUCCUACGCCGCUGCUUCCACCCGCCCCCGCUCCUCCUGCUCCUCGGCCUCCCCACUCCCGCAUCGGGUGUCAAUUAAUUGGAGUCAUUACCCGUAUCCGUAUCCCGAGUUUUAAGCUCACGAUUUUUGGUGUAAAUUGGUGAGGUGGGAUUAUACCUGGUGGGCGGCUUGCAAUCCCCGCCGCCUCCGGGCGCGCGACGCUCCGGCUGCCACUCCGUCACGCUGGAGGCCACGGAGCGCGCGCUGGAGCCGUUCCCACCGCUGGUGUUCGCGGGCAAGGCGCGGAAGCUGGAGGAGCAGCUCGGGGAGGCGGCCUUGGGCCAGGCGUUCCUCCUGCAGGGCGGCGACUGUGCCAAGAGCUUCAAGGAGUUCAGCGCCAACAACAUCCGUGACACAUUCCGGCUCAUGCUGCAAAUGGCCAUCAUGGCCCUGGCCGCCCGCGGCCCUACACGCACGGCGACCCCGAGGGGGAGCCCGGCCGGAGCAAAUGGCCUCCGAGGCAGCGGUGCAGCGUGGCCGCCCCGUCCACCACGCGCCGCCGGAGCUCGCUUGACCUCGUCUCCGCAGUCCGCACCCGUGGUCGGGCCACCCUCCCUCCUCCCCCUCUCCACGGCCGCGGCUGAGCCCAGGACACCGGCCGCUGCACCACUGACGCUGCCGGCCGCCCGCGCCCAAUCUUCCUCGUUACGGAGGAAGACUUGCGGAAGGGAAUAGGACUACAGGUUGAUUACUAAAAACUUGAGGGGGUUUUUUGAAAAAUGAUCACGACGGUUGAAGGAUUGAAAGAAACGUCCCCUCUUUAAUAUUAAGGUAUAGAUAUAGAUAUAGAUAUAUAUUAGGCCCUUGUUUAGUUCACCUCCAACUUUCAACUUUGGCACUAUGCAAAAAGAAGAUUCCCUAUCACAUCAAACUUACGGUACAUGCAUGGAGUACUAAAUUUAGAUGAAAAAUUAAAAACUAAUUGCACAGUUUUGUUGUACUUUGCGAGACGAAUCUUUUGAGUCUAAUUAGUCAAUGUUUGGACAAUAAUUCACAAAUACAAACGAAACGCUACAGUGUGCUACAGUGCCAUCACAGUAAUUUUGGCACUCCCAAUUUUGGCAACUAAACAAGACCUAGGUAUUAGAUAUAGAGCCAACUCAGUCUUAAAUGGGCACCAGGCCUGUUGAUAGCCAUGUGCGAGAUGGGGAACCGAACAGGGCGUCCAAAAAAGUCGGGCCUCCAAAUUGCUAAUCUGUUUCUCUGCUGGACUUCACGCGGCUGUAUAUCCUGUUCACCAAGCUGUUGUCGACAAUAUGCUGCCAGUUGUGGAACUUCUGAUGAUAUAAGUUUCUCCAAGAUUUAUAAGAUUAUUGCUCAUUCGAAUUUCAACAGCACUAGAAAUGAUGUCUCGGUGAAGAUUAAUUAUGAAGAUAUAAUUAGGUCAUGUUUGGCUCCCCUGCUAAAGUUUAGCACCUGUCACAUCGGAUGUUUAGAUACUUAUUAGGAGUAUUAAACGUAGGAUAAUUAAAAAACUAAUUGCACAGAUGGAGUCUAAUUCGCGAGACGAAUCUAUUAAGCCUAAUUAGUCCAUGAUUUGACAAUUUGGUGCUACAGUAAUCAUUUUCUAACGAUGGAUUAAUUAGCUUAAUAGAUUCGUCUCGCAAAUUAGCCCAGGGGUUCUGCAAUUAGUUUUAUAAUUAGCUCACGUUUAGUCCUCUAACAGCAUCCGAACGUUCGAUGUGACACUGCUAAAGUUUAGCAUCUAGUAUCCAAACAUCUCCUUAGAAAUAUCAUCUUAAGAAUACCAGAUGGAUGAUACGUUUUAAUAGAACAUGUGGUCAGUACUUAUGUUGUUUUUUCUAUCCUAAUAUUGAAUAUAUGUUUAAAUAUUGUAUGAAAUAACACAUACUAAAGUUAAAAAAUGGGUGAAAGUAUACCUAAGUUAUAUUAGAGAUUUUUUUUUCAAAAAUUAGGACUAUAUUUUGCAUUUCGCUCCGGAACCUCAAAGUUCGGAAACGUCCCUCAUAGGCACAUACAACAAGUACAUGUGCCACGUAGUCUAACGAUGGAGGGAAGUGGGAAGACGUGCCAUUGUGCAGGGUUCAGAUGUCAACAAGUCAACAAAGCGAACGAUAGGGAGCUUUCUAUCAUGGGAUCUAUUUGUUUGAGGUGCAGCUUUUGAUCUUUUCUAAAAAGUUGUUGUUGGCUUUUCUAUUCUGAAAAAUUAAUACGAACUUUUAGAAGAUGCGUUUAGCUUCUUAAGGUGAGAAAGCUGCAAAAAAACUCAUAAAUUGAGCUUUCCAUCUCUCCAUAUAAAUUCAGCUUUUUUGAGCUUUCAGCUUUUCAGAAGGUAUAUGAGAAGUUUACUGUUUGUUCGAGCUCCUGACUUUUCACGUUGAAAAGCUGCUAGAAAGCUCGAACAAACAGGCUCAUAGGCUAGCGCCAACGAUGCUUGGGCGAAGAUGUUAGAGUGUGGACACAGAACCUCUUUGCUGCAAGGAGCAGAGUUGGAGUGGGUAUGCUGCAGCUUGCUCAUCGUCGGCGGCUUGGCGCUAUCGAUAUCCUCCAAUAUGAGAUACUUGAAAUCGCUUGAUUUGGCUUAAGGUUGGCACUUGUACGUGGUUUGAGGUUUUUGUUUGAGCUUCUUAGCAGUUUCUUAUCGUAAAAAGUCACUAGAUUUGUGCUUAAACAAAUCGUAAACUUCUCGUGCAGCUUCUGAAAAGCCAGAAGCUCAGAAAAGCUGAGUUUAUAUGGAAAGUUGAGAAGCUCAAUUUACUCAACUUUUCAUAGCUUUUUGAGUCCAGAAAGCUAAAUACAAAAGUUAGUAUUACCUUUUUAAAAUUAUAAAACCAGCAGUAUGUUUCAGAAAAGUUCAAAAAGUUGCAGCUAGUGUUUGGAAGGAGGGGCUAAAGUUUAGCUCCCGUCACAUCGAAUAUUUGGACACUAAUUAGGAGUAUUAAACCUAGACUAAUUAUAAAAUUAAUUACACAACCUCUAGACUAAAUCGCGAGACGAAUCUAUUAAGCCUAAUUAGUCCAUGAUUUGACAAUGUGGUGCUACAGUAACCAUUCACUAAUGAUGAAUUAUUUAGGCUUAAUAGAUUCGUCUCGCGAUUUAGUCUAGAGGUUCUGCAAUUAGUUUUGUAAUUAGCUCAUAUUUGGUCCUCCUAAUUAGUAUCCGAACAUCCGAUAUAAUAGGGCUAAAAUUUAGCCCUGAUAGCUAGACGCCCCGCUAAGGCAGGAGGCUUGAAGGUUGGAUCGACUUCUGACUUCUCCAUGCCGAGCCAGCUCGUUAACUUUACAAGCUGGGCCGAGCCGAACCGGCUCGACUUCCGGCUCGACUUCCAGCCGAGUCGGCUACUCGUCGCCUUCCCAAAUCCCAACCCGAUCCGAUCCGAUCCCCUCCCUGUCCGUCGCAUUUCAUCUCCCUCCCGCCGCCGCGAAAUCCGUCGCUGCAAACGCAACUCCGCACUCCCAACCGCGGGUGGAGCCUAGAUCCUUUGCCGCUCGUGCUCCGUGGCCUCCCUGCACUCCCAACCGCCGCCGGUGCUCUGCCGUCGCCAUAUCUGAGAGAGACGGCCGGACGAGGCCCUCCUCCGCGACAUCUCGACGUCGAGAGGUCGAUUCGGUGGCGGCCGCUGGUCCGCGGCUUCCAGCCAGGGCGGCGGUUUUCAGGGAAGGCUCAUAUUUUUUUUAACUUACUCGGUUCGAUUGCUCUAGUGCCUAAAUCGAACCUUUCCUUGUUUAUUAUCCCCUCGAUUCGUUUUGCAUCCACAUUGGAGCUGCCGUUCUGGCACCGGACUCGGUAACCGAGCACCACAAAGAUUCACCCAGCUCCACAUAUCCCUGCUACCGUGGCGUACCGAUUCUCACGGCAGAAACCUGACCCGUGAUUGCUGCACGAGCGGCAGAGGGGGCGAGGGGCCAUAGGGUGCGGAGACUUGGCUUGAUUGUUGGGGCGACGGACAUGGGGAUACUGGAGCAGAUGAAGGCUCUGUCCGUCGAGGGGCAGCCUCAAGUCCAGAUAACUCGUAAGCAUCCUGGUGUCUGUUUGCUCGCGUUACUUAUCUGCAUGAUUAGUGAGUGCUGUCAUAUGAGAUAUCAAUUAUUAUUUACAAUUUUUCUACAUCUGUUUCUGGGAUAGAAGUAGCCACGGGACUGGUCGAAUUAAGUAAAUUCAUGUGGCCUGGCUAGGUUUCGAACAAAGAUCCCUCUACGCUGAUGAUUUUGUGCAGAGACACAUGUUUGAGGUGAUUGUGCGCAUAGAGAUUUAAUUUUUAGGUAACAUUGCGUAUAAAGGAUCUCAUGGAACCUAGGUUCUGUCUGCUCAACUGUUGUCGAGUAGAAGUUUAAGCAUCAUCUAAGCCAAGUGCUGCGCAUGUGCAAUUGUGUUCGUGUUUGCUGUUUUCCUUGCCAUUGUACCUUCUGUCUCAUGACAUUCCUGAUUUGCGGGUGAUGGAUCAAAUUGUUCGGCAUCUCAAAUAAUGGUAUCACCUAGUCUAGAAGGAGAUAUUUCGCAUUGCGUCGAAACAAUGGGAUCACAGGUCCAGCUUCCAGAGGUAUGAGAUGAUAUCAUGUAAGUUAUUAGGAUGAAUCAGUUUUUCUCAGAGCACUAUAUAGCAAGUGAUAGAACUAACCACCCCCACUGUCAUUACUGCUAGCUUGGUGGUGGAAUUUUGGAUUAUAAGAACUUGGUAGUGCAUCUGACAUUCACACUAUGAGGUCCAGGGUUGUACAAUGGUCCAUGGUUGAUGUUUUUGAAUUGUCGUUACCUUGCCUUAUCAUCUUAUGAUGGUUGUUGCUUGUGAAUUUUUUUUAUGUUAUACCUGCUGAAAAUGAGGAUACCCCCAGGAUAGUGUCAAGGACGUCGAGUCCUCGACUGGCCGGACCGCGACUACGGAGCUCGUAGCCGUCGGCCGUCUUCUCCGGUGAGGUUAUACCCCUCAACCGUAGGCUUUAGGAGACAAGGGAGAUAGGAUAUAUAAUUCUUGCUUAAUUGAUCUCACGAGUACAGCAGCUUAUAUAUGGCCAAUGGCCUAAACAAAACAUAGAAAGUAAAGCUAAGUUUCCAUCCUUAGUCACUAGAGUUUGAUUCCAGCAGCGCUUGAUCCGCACGCUCGGCAGCGCGGCGUAUGUCGCGGGCCCGACGGCGCCUGCCGUAUGUACGCCCGUACAUGACAUCUCCCCCUGCCUCGAAGUCCAGCUCGUCCUCGAGCUGAAAUGAAGGAUACCGAGCACGGAAAUCGUCCAAAUCCUCCCAUGUGGCCGACUCCGGAGGUUCACCUUGCCAUUCGACGAGGACUUGACGGACGCCACGGGCAAGACGAGCGCGUGUCACCUGACUUGGAGUAGGCACCACCGCACCAUGUAGAAGUGGAGGCAACAAUGGGGGUGCGGAUGGUGGAACGCCGACGAACUUUUUUAGAACACUGACGUGGAAGACAUCAUGAAUACGAGCCCCGGGAGGAAGCAGGAGCCGGACAGCUACCUCAUUGAUAAGCUCCGCGACUUGAUAUGGCCCGACGAAUUGCGGCUUGAGCUUCCCUGUGACAGAACGUGGAAGAGACGCGGCCGCCCGCUGCCGUAGACGAAGAAGAGCCCAGUCACCGACCUGGAAGGAGACCGCCCUGUGAUGCUGGUCGUAGACACGUUUCUGGGCCGCCUGUGCCUGCUCGAGACGAUAGCGGAUGUCCUCAAGAAAAGCGGAGCGCUCCUCCAUUUCCUGGGCGACGGCGGCGACACGGGUGUCCCCAGGCUCAUAGGAACGAAUGGACGGAGGAUCCCGGCCAUACACCACACGGAAUGGAGUGUCGCGGAGGGACGUCUGAUACGCCGUGUUGUAGAUGUACUCGGCCCAGGGCAACCAUCUGAGCCACUGCCGGGGACGAUCACCAGUGAAGCACCUCAAGUACAUAACAAUCACCCGGUUGGCCGCCUCAGUCUGGCCGUCCGUCUGGGGAUGGAAAGCAGACGACAUGAAGAGCUUGGUCCCUGUAAGCCGCAUGAGUUCGCGCCAAAACGCUGAGGUGAACACCGGAUCGCGGUCCGAUACGAUGGACUGCGGCACGCCAUGGAGACGAACAAUGUCGGCGAAGAAGACGUGGGCGACGGACUCGGCCGUGUAGGGGUGCGCCAAGGGAAUAAAAUGGCAGUACUUGCUAAAACGAUCCACGAGAGAAAGAAUGACCGUCUUGCCUUGUACCUUGGGAAGGGCCUCGAUGAAGUCGAUGCCGAUGUCAGCCCAUACGGUCGAUGGAACGGGCAAAGGCUGAAGGAGUCCGGCCGGCCUGAGAUGAUCGGACUUGUACUGCUGACAAGUGACGCAUGCCUUCACGAAGUCCUGCACCAACCGGCGCAUGGCAGGAAAGUGGAAGUCCCGACGGAGCCGGUGGAGGGUACGGUGAACGCCUUCAUGGCCAUCAUUGUGGACGGCGGCCACAAUCUCUGGCAGCAGCGGGGACGCCGAGGGAAUGUACAAACGGCCAUCGAAGGCAAUCAUGCCGUCCAGCAGUGCCCACGGCGUGGUGCGGGUGCCAGCCUGAAUUUCGUCGUGGAUGGCGACCAAGGCGGGAUCAGUGGCCUGGGCGUGGCGGAGACGCUCGAUGAAGUCGAAACGGGGUGCCGAAACAGCCAUCAAUUCCCCGGCGUCAUCAUCGCGACGGGACAGGGCGUCGGCGACGACAUUUGUGGCGCCCGAGCGGUACUCCACCGAGAAAUCAAAGCCCAGGAGCUUGCCGACCCAAUGAUGCUGAGGGAUAGUGGCGAGGCGUUGGUCGAGCAGGUACUUCAAGCUGUAGUGAUCGGUGCGGACGGCGAAGCGCCGGCCCCAGAGGUAUGGCCGCCAGUGCCUAAUGGCCUGGACGAGACCGAUGAGCUCGCGCUCAUAAGCAGCCAGCGAGCGGUGGCGAGGAGCCACAGGCCGGCUGUAGAAGGCUACAGGGUGGCCUUCCUGGACAAGAACAGCACCAAAGCCGACGGACGACGCGUCGCACUCCACGGUGAACAUCUUGGUGAAGUCGGGCAUGGCGAGGACAGGAGCAGAAGUGACGGCUGCCUUGAGCGCGGUGAAUGCCGCCACAGCCGCGUCGUCCCAAGAAAAGCCUUCCUUCUUGAGAAGGGCCGUCAGGGGAGCCGCAAUUGCCCCGUAAUUGUGGACGAACUUGCGGUAAUACCCGGCGAGGCCGAGGAAGCCGCGCACCGCCCUGGGUGAACGUGGAGGAGGCCAAUCGUGGAUGGCCUGCACCUUGGCAGGGUCCAUGGCCACGCCUGCCGCUGAGAUGACAUGGCCGAGGUAUGCGACGGACGAGGCGCCGAAGGAACACUUGCUGCGUUUGACGAACAGCUGGUGGCGGCGGAGUUCAUCGAGGACGGCCCGAAGAUGGCGAAGAUGAUCAGCCCAUGUCCUGCUAUAGAUCAGAAUAUCGUCAAAAAAUACGAGGACGAAACGACGGAGGAACAGCCGGAGCACGUCGUUCAUCAGAGCCUGGAAUGUUGCCGGAGCGUUGCACAGGCCGAACGCCAUCACCAGAAACUCGUAUAGGCCGUCGUGGGUACGGAAUGCCGUCUUGUGAAUGUCUUCCGGGCGCAUGCGCACCUGAUGGUACCCCGAGCGCAGGUCCAGCUUGGUGAAAAACUUGGCGCCGUGCAGUUCGUCGAGGAGCUCGUCGACCACCGGGAUCGGGAAAGCGUCCUUGACGGUGAGGGCGUUCAGCGCCCUGUAGUCGACACAGAAGCGCCAGGACCCAUCGGGCUUCUUGACGAGGAGGACGGGCGACGAAAAAGGGGAAUCACUGCGGCGGACGAUGCCUUGGGCGAUCAUGGCAGCACACUGCCGUUCCAGUUCAUCCUUGUGCGCCGCAGGGUACCUGUAUGGCCGUACGGCGACCGGCUGGGCGUCGGGCUUGAGGAGGAUGCGAUGAUCAUGGGUACGCUUGGGUGGGAGGCCCGCCGGUUCCGCGAAGAUGCCCUCAAAGGAGCGGAGCAGCGCCUCCAAUAGUGAACCUGCGGCUGUGGUAGCGUUCAGGGCCGGUACCGACGGGCUGUCCACGCCGGUCCAGGAGACGAAACGCCCGUGGCGCAGGAAGUGCAUGCGCCGGUGGCCAAGGUCCCAGACGAUGGGGCCCAACUCGCCGAGCCACCUGGUGCCGAGGACGACGUCGUACCCCGCCAAUGGCAUGACGUAGAGAUCGGCCGGGAACGACUCGCCGUCGAUGAUCAGGGGAGCGUUGCGGAUGACGCCGGCGCAGGAGACCCGUUCGCCAUUAGCGACCAAGGCAGUGAGACGGGGACGGGAGCGGGAGGGAAGACCGGAGCGCCGUGCUGCCUCCUCCAAUAUGAAGUUGUGCGUGCUGCCGGAGUCGAGGAGGGCGACGAGAGAUGCGGCACCGACGACCACCGCGAUCUGCAUGGUUCCGGCCACGGGCACCCCAGCUACGGCCUGUAAGGAGAAGCAUGGCGCCUCGGCCUCGCGCUCCUCGUCAUCCGCGGCGUCCACAGUGUCCUCGAGCUCCACACCUUCAAUGAAGAAGAGGCGCCUGCAAAAUCGGUUAUGGCCCCGAGUAUACUUUUCAUUACAAUUGAAACAGAGCCCCAGACGACGGCGUUCGGCCAUCUCGUCCGGAGUCAGACGCCGCGGAGUGCUCUCGCUGCGGCCUGUCUGGCCGGCCAUCGGAGGGGCGGGGAGGGCCAGCGGUUGGUGUGGCGCCGGCAGGGCGGCCCUGGGAACGGGCGCGGGCAGAAGGGCGCGCUGCGGUGGCCGGUGAGGUUGCGGCGCCGGACGUUCGGCCUCCAUGAGUUCCACCUGACGCGCCAGGCUCAUAGCAGCCGCUAGCGUUGCUGGAUUGUGGAGGCGGACGGCGUGGCUGAGCGGCGGUAGAAGACCCCCGGUGAAGAGCUGCACACGUUGGGCCUCAUCCAGCCGGCCGGCGCGAGACAGGAGGGCCUGGAAGCGAUUGGAGUAGUCCUCCACCGUCCCUGUACACCGGCACUCAGCAAGCUCGAAUAGCGGAGCCGAGCGGAGGGGAGGCCCGAAACGCAGGUGCAGUAGCUCCUUGAAACGCCCCCACGGCGGCGGUCCCUCGUCUUCCUGGAGUUGGGUGUACCAUAGCUGGGCGACAUCCUCCAGAUGAUACGAAGCCAACCACACGCGCUCCUCCGCCAUAGUACGUUGCUGACGAAAGUAAGAUUCACACCUGUUGAUGAAGAGGAGCGGAUCGGACUUGCCGUCGUACCGGGGAAAGUCCAACUUGUGAAACUUGGGGGGGCGCUCGGCGUCGCGCGGCCCCUCCGGACGGCCACCGGUGGCGCUGGUGGACGACGAGGACGGCUUUUCUUUGAUGGCCGCCAAGUCAGCCUUCAGGGUUGUUACUUCCGUGGACAGCGAUUUCAGUAGUUCCAUCACAUCGGCGAGGGACGGAUCGCCCAUGGCUGGCGGCGGCGGCGCGGCAGUCGAAGCCGACGGUGGGGAUCGUGGAGGGUUUGGGUGGGAAUUGGCGGCGGCCGAAGAGUUGGAGCGGGCGGGCGAGGAUCGGCGAGACCGUGAUACCAAGUUGUCAAGGACGUCGAGUCCUCGACUGGCCAGACCGCGACUACGGAGCUCGUAGCCGUCGGCCGUCUUCUCCGGUGAGGUUAUACCCCUCAACCGUAGGCUUUAGGAGACAAGGGAGAUAGGAUAUAUAAUUCUUGCUUAAUUGAUCUCACGAGUACAGCAGCUUAUAUAUGGCCAAUGGCCUAAACAAAACAUAGAAAGUAAAGCUAAGUUUCCAUCCUUAGUCACUAGAGUUUGAUUCCAGCAGCGCUUGAUCCGCACGCUCGGCAGCGCGGCGUAUGUCGCGGGCCCGACGGCGCCUGCCGUAUGUACGCCCGUACAUGACAGAUAGCACAAUUCAAUACUGUAUUUUUUAAAACAGAACACAUUUAGCUAAUUCGAUCGUAAUUUGUCCAUACUGCUCACUUCAGACAAGCAUUAUUACCACAACCAUCUUGUGAUGUUCGUUAUUUUUCUCAUGCUUUUUUUUUUGAAAAAUUUCCCAUGGUUAUUUUCACAGGACAUUCUUCAUCAAAUACACGCCCUCAUGCCAUUGCGAGAUGCUGCUCAGGCCGCCUGCGUGUCUCGUGGUUUUCUGCGUUCUUGGAGAUGCUUUCCAAAUCUCAUUAUUUCUGUUGAUUCUCUAGGGAUUAAUGAAAACACAUCUAAUGAUGAAAUAAAAAGGGAUUUCGUAUGUAGAGUUGACCACAUUAUGCAGAAUCACUCUAGCAUGGGAGUGAAGAGGUUUGUAAUGGAAACCUACCCUUGUUCGAAUCUCCAACCUAGUUAUGUUGACCGCUGGCUUCAAUGUGCCAUUACACCUGGGAUCAAAGAAAUCUAUCUAUCAAUGUUUAGUUGUGGGAUAAAGUACAACUUCCCAGGAUUACUUUUAUUUAGUAGGGAGAUAAGAAGCUCCAUCCAGACUUUUGUGCUUGGGGAUUGUUCUUUUCGCUGUGCAGCCCAAGUUGGUUAUAUGAGUAGCCUGACAAAUUUGGCAUUGCAUUCAGUACACAUUACUGGAGAGGAACUAUAUGGUUUUCUAUCCAAUUCUUGUGCUGUGGAGCAACUAAGGCUUACCAACUGCAAUGAUAUAAUUUGCUUGAAGAUACCUUGUCUGCUGCAGAAGCUUGAUAUCCUGCAUUUGGUGGGUUGCAGUAAGCUGGAAAUGAUUGACAGCAAUGCCCCUAACCUCUCCACUUUCUUCUUUGCUGGGCGCCCAAUACAUAUCUUGCUUGGCGAAGCAUUGCAAGUGAGAAAAAUAAGUUUUUUCCGUGACUUUUCACCUGAUGCGCUAUAUUAUGCUAGUACCAAAUUUCCAUUCAUCGCGCCAAAUCUCCAAACUCUUGUGCUAUCAACAAGUGAUGAGGUCAGUUUUAUCCGUCCCAAUAAGUUCAUUGUUCUGGAAAUGAAACUGAUGGUAGAAUAAUAGUUUUAUGUUUACAAUACUCAAUUACUCAGUCCACAAUUAAUCUUCGGGGGACAUUUAUUUCUUCAGACAGUCAAUACACCAAAGGUGUUUGGCAAAUUCAUCCAGCUCAAGUACUUGGAGAUAGAGGUCUCUACAUCAACGUUCUCCCAAGACUAUGAUCUCUGCUCUCUUAUUUCUUUUCUUGAUGCUUCUCCUGCCUUGGAGUCUCUCAUUGUACGGGUAUGACAUCACUCUGACAAGUUACCAUCUUAAAAACUUCAUAUUUAGGGUGAAAAUCAGUAUAUCCAGUAUAAUUGAAACUUUGUGAUUAUUAUUGAAUAUACACUCUGACAUAUCAUGUAUACCUAUGCAGAUUACGCAGCCGACAAUAAGGCGAGAUUCAGUUAUUGAAGACUCAAAUGGCUACUCACGUCCACAGUGCCUUCAAGAACAGUGCCAUGACAACCUCAAGAAUGUGAUGAUAACCGGCUUUUGCUCUGCGAAGAGCAUGAUUGAGCUCACGAUCUGUAUUAUCGAGAAAUCAAAGGCACUGGCGUGCCUUACACUAGACACUACCCGUGGGUACGAUAGGAGGCUUGUCAAGUUUGAUAAGUGCCUGCAGCUGGAUAAGGAGGCACUUGUGGAGGCUAAAAAGGCCCGCGUUGCCAUUCAGAGAUACAUCGAGGGGAGAGUGCCCCCAGCUGUGAAACUGAAAGUCAUCGAGCCAUGUAGCAAGUGUAUAUGGUGACAAAUGUUAGGUGUUUUUCCUUUUCCCAAGCUAUGAUUCACAUAGCUUUGCUACUCUCCCUCGUUUAGCUAGUGCUAAUCUCCGUAAUUCUGCCAAAAAGUAUGGUUGUCAAAUCUUUUUUUUUAUUCAGCAUGUUGGAGAAGUUUUCCAAAUAACCAAAUUCAGGGGGAAAAUCUGCAAUAUUUCAAUAUUUUGUGGGUCCGAUAAAUAUAUUUACCGAAACUCCAUGUAAAUAAAUCUAUCUCAUGUGUUAAAGUUGUGGUAUAUCGUCUUUUUUUUUGUAACUUAUGCAAUAAUUACGAUGUGUGAUGGAUUAGGGAUAGUUUCUAGUGAAAUCUUGGCAUGCAAAAAAAAUUAGCGGUUAUUGUAGUUGCCAUUUUUAUCAUGGCCUGGAAGGUUACUACUCGGAUGGGGUGGUUGUCUAUUAAAAAAUACAUUAUUUCAGUAUUUCACCUGACUCUCUCCACCGAAAUCGCUACCAGAGUGCCGGACACCUCCGUCGCCGCCCACCUCCUCCGUCAUCCUCUUCCUCUCCUGGUUCCCAUUUCCGCUUUGUUUAGUUAAUCCCCUUCCCAGGGGAUCGGAGGGGAUUGAGGGGAUUUUGACUCUCCGUCAUCCUCUUCCUCUCCUCGGUUCCCAUUUCGGCUUUGUUCAGUUAAUCCCCUUCCCAGGAGGAUCGGAGAGCAUUGAGGGAGAUUUUGACUUGCAAGGGAUUUAAUCCCUCCCAAUCCCUUUCAACCCUCUCCAAUCCCCUUCAAAUCGAAAGGCCUUCUUAUUUAUUCAAUUACGUGCCACUGGACAAAACUGAUUCGCAAGUGAUAGGUUGGCUAGUUCCGUCACUAGAAUAGAUGUUUCACCUCAUCAAGUGUAUUGAAGGGAUCAUGACACCCUAAGAGCUCGUUUGGCAACUUAGGCUAGAACUACCCUGGGCAGCACAACCCCCUCCGAUAAAUUAACGGAGUUGGGCAUCCCUGCCCUGACAGGCAGACCCCCCUUGCCGUUUGGAGCCAAACUCCAGGGGAAGGGCCUCCCACCCAAAUCUUGUGUAAAGAAAAUAUUCCACAAUUCACAAAUACUAAAAAAAUUCAAAAAAAUCAGAAAAACAGCAAUGAUAAAUAAGGUCCAACAAGCAAUAUCAAUCACCAAGUAUUAAGGCACUGCAAGUUAAAUAAAUUCAGCAUAGCACAUCCAAGUCGCAGGCACUGCUGAUUAAGGCACCAGAUAAUUAUUGAUCCAUCAAUUGUUCUGCUAAAAAUUUAGGUAUAUAGUUAAAAUCUUGCAUAUAACAUAUGGAUCAGAUAAUUCAAAGAUACGUAUAGCUCGUAAUGUACAAGAAUGCGUCUACAUAAUGAGCAAAAUCUUUGUACAUGAUAUAAAAAUCAAAUGAUCAAAUAUAUACAUAUGCACAUAGAUAUUGACAUGAAUACUCUUUUUGCUAUUAUUACUGGAAAGCAUGACCAUUACAUGCCACUAUCUUAGAAGUUACAGUAUAGUGGAUGGUGUGAUACUAGUAUUGACAAGGUUAAAAUUACUGUCAAGAUAUGUUGCAGAUAUCUGGCAAGAUAUGUUGCAGAUAUCCGGCAAGAUAUGUUACAGACAAGAGAUGUGACAAGAUAUGUAUUGCACAGACAACUAGACAUGGCAUGUAUCCUACUGAAAUGAUAAUUGAAAAAAGAAUGCUUGCAUAAACCUUAAUUAGGAAUAGCUCGUCAUCCUCUUCUUCCUCCUCUAGCAUGAAUCUUCUAACUUCAUCCUCCCAAGAUUCCAUUAUCUCCUUACUCCUAUAAUAUGCAGAUUCAAGGACAAUAAAAAUUGGACAUGCACCAGAGUUUACUUAAUACUGAGACAUAAAUGUACAUGCACCAAAAAAUUUUAUUUUAUUCCCAAGCACACCAGCAAGAGCAGGCAGCAAUAGAUGCAGCAGACAAGACAGUAGAAUCUAGUGGGUGAGGAAACAGCAAUGCCACCUUCCUGAUGACCAGCAAAUGCUGAAGCAACUGAGAUCCUCCCGUCCUUGGACUCCACAACUACAAUAGAGGGGAAGAUCAUAUAUUGAUUGUAAAUGCAAGAUUGAGAUGUCAACUAGAAUACACGAAUUGAUAUAGCAUCAGGUUCGUCAAACAAAAAAAAUUCAAGCACCACUGACAACGACCAAUGCGAGCACUGACUAAAACAAAUGUGCAUAUAGCCAUUCUUGUUCCCAAUGCCUGUGUGCAUUAGCUAUGCAGCUAUGCGCAACAGCUAUGUGGCACCGUUUUGAAUGCAGCACACUAAUUAUUCAGAAUUAGUCACAGUUUUGAGUGGCUGUGUGCAACAGCUAUGCAGCUAUGGACAGUACAAGCGCAUACUUGCAUACUAGCAUCCUCAUACCAGUAGUAUAGGAUACUAUAAAAUCCCUCAAAAGUAAACUUGUUAAAAGUUGUAAUUUUGAAGGUUUGUAUUCUCUCCGUGGAUCACUUGUACUGAAAAGCUUAGUCAGCUAUGACAUUAUUAGUCGGAGAGAUUUAGCAAGCACUUGUCUGAACUUGUUGUGCUAGAUGAUGUGUGAGACAUAUAUUCAGUGCAUCUCGAUAUACAAGAUUUUAUACUAUGUUCAAAUGUUUAGACUAUACACACAAUGUUCAGACUACACACACCAAACAUGUAGAUGCAUAUAUGACAUAAUUUGGCCAAGCUACCUGUACUUGUCUGCUUGCUCGUGUUUAGGAGGAAACCAGGACAAGUAAACAACACUAGUUCUGAACAGUGCUGAGUGCACAUUGUAAUGGGGACAACACUAGUUGAAGAAACCAGAAAUCUACAGUUCCCUGGGAGCUGGACCUACAGAAGCAUGAUUCAAAUUUUUGAGCGAGAGAAUUGGUAAUCUUGGCACAAAAUUGAUCCCAGGACUGCAGGAAAGCAAUAAUCACAUUUGGCAACUGGAUCUCUGCCUAGCCUCUCGGAUGCUCCUCGACGCUCUUCACUAGGUAGAUCCUUUGGCAAAACGCCUAGGGCCUCUCCUCCCUAUCACAACUACCGGCGCCCACUCCACAAAUGCGGUUGGAGGGUCUCGCAAGACUUACAAGCCCCAGAUUUACAACUCUUGGUGCGCGCAAGCACCAAUACAAAGGAGGUGUGCAAACCUCACCUAACUCUAAGCUAAUCCCUAAAGCAAUGCGCUAAUAAGCCUAAACUAGCACUAAUCAAGACUUAAGCCUUAUGCUAAUUGCCUUAAUCUUCUCUUUAGCACUUUGGUGGCUAGAGCACUUGUGUGUAUGUGGAAUACAAGCCUUCAGCUUCCCUGAGCUGUAACCCAUCUCAAAUGGUCGGGUAAUGGGGUAUUUAUAGCCCCAACCAAAGAAACUAGCCGUUGCAAGCAGUUGCAACUUUUCUGCGUAGCACCGACUGAUUUGGUGAUGCACAAGACGUGUCACCGUAUGAAUCCAUGAGUGCCACCUCAGCUAGCCGUUGGGCUCUUACGCACACUGAUGCCUGGGCCCAGGUCACCGACUGAUUUGGUGCCUUUCCUUGACCCUCACUGUAUGAAUCGGUGGGUCCUUCUUAGCCGCUGCCUUCCUCCGUCACCAACUCAAUCGCUGCCCUUCUCCUUGAUCCACCGUAUGAAUCGGUGUGGCUCUAAAAUCACUCCAAGGUAGACAAAGCCAAUUUUGAGCCGAUCCUGAGCCUAGCUGAUCGCACUGACUGAUCGGUGCUGAUUUGUUGUGCCCACCGAAUGAGUUGGUGGUCACAUUGCACGCUGCCUUGGUCUUGUAGUUGAUCUUUGUCACCUUGGCCUUUUACGCACCGCAUCAUCCGUUGACCAUAGUCUUAGCCCUGCUAUGGUUCUUCUUGUCACCGACUGAUUGGUGACCACACUUGGUCACCAUCGUAUGAAUCGGUGGUUGGUCUUUCAGGAGGAUUCGCUUCAUGUCUUUGCGUGACUUUGUCCCGACUUCUCUUCUAUGAUGUAUUGGGUUGCUUUAAGGUCUUGUAGGGUGUUGUACUUGUCCUCUUGACAUUUGUUCCAUGUGUUAGAUUCCCAAGUCCAUCACUUUGCAUCCAUGUGAAUAAUCCUUGUAUACUUGCAAACAUUGUUAGUCCAUGGGUUAGUGUUGACACACAAUCACCAAAAUCAUUAAUGGCCUAACUAGGUCCAUUUUCCUUACAGGUAUGAUGGUUCUCAUUGUGCCCAAAGAAAGGGAUCUCAAGUCCAGCUUCUAGAGGAAUUGUUGGUAUUGUUUAAGUCUAUGUAACUGCAAGUGAAAAAAACAUCAUAUUGUUGGGUUCAUUUUGGAUUGCACGAAUUUGUAGAGCCAUCAGAUAUUCAAUCAGCACUUUUAGGUCUAGAUUUGCAGUGCAAUUUGUGAGAUAUGUAUGUGCUAUGUGCGUGUAUGGGCCUGGUGUGCAUCACGCCACGGCCCAGGCUGGCUCCCUGUCGUGCCUAGAUAGAUCAGGAUAGGUAGGUUAUCCCUUGAUUGGUUAUGAUUCUAUAAACCUCUCCCAAAAGCUACCUAUAUAUUUGUACACCUUGUAUACCCUAAUCAAUCUAUUAUUCCACGCAAUCUCCAUUGCUUUCUGUUGGGGGGAAAUAUUAACGACCCUCUAACACGCAGCUUAAAGAAACAAACAUGAAGGCCCAGGCCCACCGAAGCGUGAUCAAGUCUCCGCCUCGCCCGACCCCAGCGUCAGGAUCGGGAGCGCCCGACCUCCCUCCGCAAGAUCUCCGCCUCGCCCGACCGCGCCCCCAGGGUCAGGAGCGCCCGACCCUGUACCACGAAAGUUCCGCCUCGCCCGACCCCGAGCAAAGGAGUCGGGCACGCUGAGGCCCACGGGUCAGAAUCCCCCUCGGAUACGUUCCGCAUAGACAAGACAAAUCCUGUGGGGCCCCCCGUCGGCCUCACCAUAAAUGCGCCGCAGAGAUAGCAGAGCGCAGGGCGACCGCGCCCCUCACGCAACCCGGCACAAGUACCCGCGCACGACUGUCCUGUACGAGCUACAGUACUGGCGGCCAGCUCCUAUUCGUCGCAAGGUACUCAUGACCUGCGGCGACUAGAGAGAGGGAGGGAGCGGCCCCGCCCUCGGGUCCCUCGCGCCCUCGGGUCCCGCGCAAACGGCAGCACAGGCACGGAACUCCCACCCUCUACAAGCCAUCGCCGGAGCAGCGGCAUCCACCAUCCUCCCUAACGGACGGCGGGAUAACGACGAAACCCCCUCAUCAUGAUCUAUCCUGAUACCUACGAACCUCGAAGUAGCUACCUGCGAAGAGCUGCAACACUUGGCAUCCGGCAGCCACCCCUUCCGGCAUGCACGACGGCACGCGUUCAGGGUCAGCAGGACGUCGGGCGCCAGGGGCCUCUGCCCCCCUUCCCGCUAGACCCUUUUUACCAUCUCACUCUUUGCCUUUUAUCUGGUCCCAAUUGUAACUCCGGCUGGCCCCUUGCGAUAUAAAAGGGGGAACCUAGAGCCGGGGGAAAGGGAUCGGCAGACCAAGAGAUCAACACUUCCCCCAAGAACACAAAAAUAAAAGAGACCUGGGACCAGUCCCUCUCUCGCCCGUCUGUAACCCCCUACUACAGAAUCCCCGCGCGGGCAACACGAACAUCCUCGAUACUGGACGUAGGGCUUCCUUUGCCCGAACCAGUCUAAUCCGUGUCUCCCGUGCAACCAUCUGAGACUCACGCACAUAAAAGAAAUUUACUAGUCUAAGUCCUGAUCCGCUGAUCUUGACAACGACAGUUGGCGCGCUAGGUAGGGGACCUUUGCGCGUACAUCUCCAAAUCUCAGAUGGCCAAUCGCGAUGGCAGCUUCGCUCCGAGCUCCCUGAUCCGCUUCGGGAGCCUGGACUUUCUGGCCACCGGAAAUGGGAUCGAGCUGAUCCCUGUCCACAUCCUGCCCGCUCGUCCUGCUGCCCUCGGCACCACCGCUAGGAUGACGACGAGCGGCCGGACGCCGGCCGGAAGGGCCUCACCAGAAGGAUGGCUCUUCGGGCUACGCAACGCCACGGAUGCUCACGGUCGCCUCCUAGCGCGGUCCUUCGCCACGUCACCCGCGAGCAACGAGCUCGCGGGCAUGGCAAGGACGGUCUCCGACACUGGCUCCAGUAACGAGGAUCCACGCCCCUCGCGCGAGUGCUUCAUGGCUGACGCGCACUCCGAGGGGUCCAAUGGCAAUGGUGCCGAAGGGAGGCAACGGGCUCCCCCCUCGCGCGCCGCAGCUACGACUGGGGCCCUACCCAGGGCACCAGAGGGCUCUCUGCAACCGGAAGCGCACAUGGGCGCUUGCCAAGAAGUAGAGCACCCCCGCCACGAGGGGAGAGCACGACAACGAGCGCGCGACGUCCAGGAACGCAUCUGUGCGGAUGGAGAACGUCCACCGCUCUUUGCCCGCGCCAGCCAGAACGUCGCCGCCGCGGCGGUGCUACUCCGACAGCUCCCCGAGCCGGCAACGCCUGAGGAGCGACGGGCGCGCCAAGAGAUGCGUAACCUACUCGAGUGCACCGCCGUCCAGCAGGCAGAAAGUUCGGCGUCUCGACGACGCGGCCAGAACGCCAGUAGGGCGACGCAGGGCGCCCCCCCGGAACGGCGGGGGGAAUCUGUCCAUCAACCCCUUCCGGAAGCGAAUCCGACCGCGACCGCCCAGCGAGCACCGCCACUCGCGGUAGGCGAGGCCCGAUCCAUCCACCAGCGCGUCGGUCCCGUUCGUGACGCCCGCGACACACUGAACGCGCGGAGACGUUCCCGCGCGGACAGGGCGGACGGGGCGGACCGUGGCUACCACGUCCACCGUGGCGGGCGCUACGACAGCGGGGAAGACCACAGUCCGAGUCCCGGAGCAGCCGGACCUCGGGCCUUCUCUGCGCGCAUCCUGAAUGCGCCCUUCCCGCCGCGCUUCCGGCAACCUACGAGUGUGGCCAAAUACUCAGGGGAGACCAACCCUGGGGUAUGGCUCAGCGAUUACCGGCUUGCAUGUCAAGCUGGCGGGGCGGACGAUGACUUGUUCAUCAUCCGCAACCUACCCUUGUUUCUGGAAGACUCCACGAGAGCCUGGCUAGAACAUAUCCCUUCAGGGCGUGUUCGCAACUGGAACGACUUGAAGGAGGUUUUCGUAGGAAACUUCCAAGGGACGUACACACGCCCUGGCAACUCCUGGGAUCUCCGGAGCUGCCGCCAGGGGGCGGACGAGUCCCUCCGGGAUUACAUCCGGUGCUUCUCCAGAAAGCGCACUGAGCUCUCCAACGUCGCCGACGCUGACGUCAUAGGAGCCUUCCUAGCAGGGACCUCUUGCCGACCCCUCGUCCACGAGCUAGGGCGCCGAGGCCCGCGGACCACGGAGGAGCUCCUCAACAUCGCCACUAGCUAUGCCUCUGGCGAAGAGGCUGUCGGAGCGAUCUUUGAUCGUUCCAAAGGCAAGGCGAAGCGGGAGGAGGACGCCGACGAAGGCACCUCCAACCGCCAGCGGCAGAAGAAGAAGGGCAAGCAGCUGUGCGAGGCCCCCCUCGUGGCCGCAGUCGAAUGCAAGCGAGGGCAGCCACCCCCCGAAGGCGCACCUGGCUUCUUCGACAAGCUGCUCGAGGGACCGUGCCCAAACCACGAGUUCCCCGUAAAACACGCCUACAAAGAUUGCAACCUCAUGAAGAGGUUCUUCGUGGGCAAUCCGGUGAAGGGUGAUCGGAAACGGAAGCCCGAUGAGGAAAGGAAGGGCGACGAGGAGAAGGAAGACGGCUUUCCUAAAGUGGACGGCUGCUUCAUGAUCUUCAGAGGCCCCGCAGCGUACGACACCAAGCGCCAGCACAAGCUAGAGCGUCGGGAGGUUUACGCCGCCGAGCCUGCAACCCCGGCUUUCCUCGAUUGGUCCGCGCCGGCCAUCACCUUCGACAGGUCCGACCACCCUGGACGCGUCCGGCACCCAGGGCGCUAUCCUCUCGUCGUCGACCCCAUCAUCGGCACGACGCAUCUCACCAAGGUACUCAUGGAUGGGGGCAGCGGCCUCAACCUCCUCUACGCUGAGACCCUCGACACCAUGGGGAUUGACCGCUCCCGUCUCCGUCCUAGCAAGGCUCCCUUCCAUGGCGUCGUGCCAGGGAAGCAGGCAACGCCCCUCGGGCAGAUCGACCUGCCCGUCACGUUUGGGACCCCUUCCAACUACAAGAAGGAGGUCCUCACCUUCGAGGUGGUGGGCUUUCGCGGAACCUACCACGCCAUCUUGGGCCGCCCAUGCUACGCGAAGUUCAUGGCAAUCCCCAACUACACCUACCUCAAGCUCAAGCUGCCAGGACCCAACGGAGUCAUCACCGUCGGCACGACCUUCCAGAAGGCAUACGAGUGCGACGUCGAGUGCUGCAAGUACGCCGCGGCUAUCACCGUCUCGGGCGACAUGGUGGCCCAGCUUGAGGAAACAGUUGAAGACCGGCCCGAUGCCAAGCAGUCAGGAACCUCCUUCGAGCCCACCGAAGGUAUCAAAGAAGUCCCUCUCAAUCCCGGUUGUUCCAGUGGAGGGGUGGUGCGGAUCAGCGCAGCCCUAUCCCCCAAAUAGGAAAGCGCGCUCGUCGGCUUCCUCCGCGCAAACAGCGACGUCUUUGCAUGGAAGCCCUCGGACAUGCCAGGCAUCCCGAGAGAAGUCGCCGAGCAUUCCCUGAACAUCAGGACCGGCUCUAAACCGGUGAAGCAAGGCUUGCGCCGUUUCGAUGAAGAAAGGCGCAGGGCCAUUGGUGAAGAGCUUGAAAAGCUCCUGGCGGCCGGCUUCAUCAAGGAAGUACACCAUCCCGAGUGGUUGGCCAAUCCUGUUCUUGUGCCGAAAAAGAAUGGGAAAUGGAGAAUGUGUGUCGAUUAUACCGGUCUCAACAAAGCGUGUCCAAAGGAUCCGUUUCCUUUGCCGCGUAUAGAUCAAAUAGUCGACUCGACAGCCGGGUGCGAAACACUCAGCUUCCUCGACGCGUACUCCGGCUACCACCAGAUCGCGAUGAAAGAGGACGACCAGCUCGCUACCUCCUUCAUCACCCCCUUUGGCCCCUACUGCUAUGUUAAGAUGCCAUUCGGCCUCAAAAACGCGGGGGCUACCUUCCAGCGAUGUAUGCUUAAGUGCUUCGGAGACCUCAUCGGGCAGACCGUUGAGGCCUACGUCGACGACAUCGUUGUCAAAUCCAGGAAGAGCGAUCAGCUCAUCCCCGACCUAGAGCUAGCCUUCGAAAGGCUAAGGGAUAAGCGUAUCAAGCUUAACCAAGAGAAAUGCGUGUUCGGUGUCCCAAGGGGCAUGCUGCUAGGCUUCAUCGUCUCCGUGCGCGGCAUCGAGGCGAACCCGGAGAAGAUAGCGGCCAUCAACGGCAUGGGGCCGAUCCGGAACAUGAAGGGAGUGCAGCGCGUCAUGGGAUGCUUAGCGUCCCUAAGCCGCUUCAUCUCGCGCCUCGGCGAGCGAGGACUCCCCCUCUAUCGGCUCCUGAAGAAAUCCGACCGCUUCGAGUGGACCAGCGAGGCGCAGGAGGCGCUUGACCGGCUCAAGGACCUCCUGACGAAGGCCCCAAUCCUGGUUCCGCCGGCCGACGGCGAGAUCCUUCUACUCUACGUCGCGGCGACCACCCAGGUGGUCAGCGCGGCCUUAGUGGUGGAGCGGGAGGAGGAGGGGCAUGCUCUUAAAGUGCAACGCCCGGUGUACUUCAUCAGCGAGGUGUUGUCCGAAUCCAAGUCACGAUGCCCACAGAUCCAGAAGCUCGUCUACGCCGUCCUCAUCGCGAAGAGGAAGCUGCGUCACUACUUCACCUCCCACCCGGUAACGGUCGUCUCUUCAUUCCCGCUUGGUGAAGUAAUCCGGAACCCAAAUGCAACAGGGAGGAUCGCGAAAUGGGUGGUUGAGCUUAUGGAUCAAGGUAUCACCUACGUCCCCCGCACCGCCAUUAAGUCCCAGGUACUUGCCGAUUUCGUGGCCGAGUGGACACAGAUACAAACACCGCCGGCGACAGAGGAGCAGGAGUAUUGGACGCUGUACUUCGACGGGUCGUUGAUGAGGGCCCGCGCUGGAGCAGGCCUCGUUUUCAUCUCUCCGCUGAGCGUACGCAUAAGGUACAUGAUUCGCCUCCAUUUUCCUGCAUCCAACAAUGUCGCUGAGUAUGAAGCCCUUCUCAACGGGCUUCGCAUCGCCAUCGAGCUGGGCAUCCGUCGACUAGACGUCUGAGGCGAUUCCCAGUUGGUCGUCGAACAAGUCAUGAAAGAAUGGAGCUGCCAUGACCCAAAAAUGGCCGCCUACUGCAACGAGGUACGUAAGCUCGAGGACAAGUUCGACGGGUUGGAGCUCAACCACGUCGCAAGGCGCUUCAACGAAGCCGCCGACGAGCUCGCAAAGGCAGCGUCCGGCCGGAUGCCCGUCCCCGACGGCGUCUUCGUUAGCGACCAGCUGAAGCCUUCGAUCCGUUACCCGGAGCCAGCAGGGGUCGGCGAGGCAUGCCCAGCCUUGGGGUCGGGAUCCGAGCCAGGAGAGGUCGGCAAUACGCCACCUAUCCUGGACCCGAACACCAAUCCCGAGGGAAACAACGCUGCCCCACCCGACCCGGCCGCGAAAGCCAAGCCCUCCGACCCCGCAGUUAUGGAAAUUGAGGCGGGCCCCGCGGCGGGGGCCGACCCCACGACCAAUUGGAGAACCCCGUACCUCGACUACCUUAUCCACGACGCACUCCCAACCGACAAGACCGAAGCCCGCAGGAUCACGCGCCGUGCGAAAUCCUUCACCAUCAUCGACCAAGAGCUUUACAAGCGAAGCCACACGGGGAUCCUCCAGCGCUGCAUCCCGAUCGAGCAGGGAAAGGCGCUGAUCCAGGACAUCCACGCCGGGGCUUGCGG
rnacentral:lncRNA from 1 species